rnacentral:lncRNA from 1 species
GAGGAAAAAAAGAAAAUUAAAGAAAUUAUAUUGUUUGAGAUUAAAUUAUACUAUUUAAAAUUAUUUGAGACUAAAUUGUAUAUUUUAAAUUUAAAUUUGAUGUUUAAUCUAAUGUAUUUAUAUUUAACUUCUGUAGUUGAAAAUGUUAGAACUUUAUAAGAAACUAAAAUCGUAUCUUCUACCAUGAUUUCGAUUUCAAUACCCGGAUUACAGAUGGCAAUCCUUACUCGUGGUUCGUUCUCGUUCGUGAUCUGCAAAAAGACGGACGUUUCGAGUCUAAUUCCCUUAUCUCCGGAGAUGGAGCCGUUACAAGAAUUAGGAUUAGGAUUAGAUCGGGACUUCCAUAUGUUAUAUUUAUAUACAACUUAAUGUAAGGAUAUUAAAUCACGUCCGUUCAUCAAGAACGUGUUCAGAUACAUCCUAACCGUUAGAUCUACCAUAUCUUUAUAGAUCAACUUAAAUAAACCGACUGUAUCUUUAUAGAUCGUAUUGAAUAAAUCACAUGGGUCACAUCCAACAUUCUCCCACCUGGCCUAAUAAUAUAAUAUUCAUACAGUAUAGACGAUACAAAACUUUAUUAGAUACCAACUAAAUUAUACAGUCGAAAUCUCCGACCCACUUGACCAAGCAAUUAAUCAUAAUACUUUGAUCAUAGCGGUUAUGUCCCAAAUGAUGAACACUCCAUUCCAUGUAUCAAAAGCACGUAUUCUUUAAUCAAAUAACUUUAUGAGUUACAACCGUAUGAACUUAUUAUAAGUUCAACUCAGAGUCCCACUUUAGUGCACAAUAAUAUUUUAAUGUACAAAAGAUAAUUUUAUGCGCAUAUGUGUAAAAACCAAAAUGUGUUCUUAUUCAAAUAAAAAGUCUUUAAAGUUUUAUACAAGAAAAAAAUACUUAGGUAUCGUUUGGUUCGAGGAUAAGCAAAAAGUGGGUAUUUCGGGGAUAGGUAUAAAUUAAAAUAUAAGCGAGAAUUAGGUCAAUUUUGCGUUUGGAUGAAAAUUGGAUUAUUACUGGAAAUAAGAAAAAUAACGUUUGGUUAGGUAAAAUGGAAUAAGAAUUAAAGUGAAUAGUUAUAAAUAAAAAAUAAUAAUAUUAUUCUUUUCUUUAUAUUAGAAUUAGAAUUUUUAUAUUUUAUAUUUGUAUUUUAAAAUUUAAAAUAUAAACUUUUAAAUUUUAAAAAUCAAAAUUAAAAUUUAAAAUUUUGAAAUCUCAAAUUUAUAAUUUUAAAAAAUUAAAAUUUUAAAUUUUAAACUUUAAAUUAAAGAUGAAAUUUUUAUUUAAAAAUACAAAAUAUCAAAUUCUAAAUAAAAAAAUUUAAAAUAUCAAAUUUUAAAAUUUAAAAUUAAACAUUUUAAAUUUUAAAUUUUAAAUUUUGUAAUUUUAAAAAUUAUAAAUUUUUAUUUUUAAACUUACGAAAUUUAAAAUUUAUAAUAAAUUAAAAAUUCUCUCUCUCUCUCUCUCUCUCUCUCUCUCUCUAUCUCUCUUUAUAGGUGGAACAAACUGGGUUAUCCCAGCUUGUUCCACCUUCCCACCCCUUAAACGGGCUAUUCUAGAAUAGUUCGUUAAGGAGAAAAUUAGUGUUCCCACCAUUUUUUAUUUAUGUUUAGAGGAUAAGGGUGGAAUAAACCCUUUAUUCUACUUUUAUCCCCCAACCAAACAUAGCCUUAAAUUAUAAAUGGACUCAAGAUUCCCAUAUGAUAAACAUGAUCCUUGAACUUAUUUACCGGCAAUUCUUUAGUCAUAUGAUCAGCAAUCAUCAUCUCGGUCCCAAUGUGUUGGAUAUCCACCUUCUUCUUGUCAUAUUCUUUCACAGCAAGAUACUUUAUAUCGAUAUAUUUGCUGCGAUCUGUAAUUCGACUAUUCUUGCCAAAGAAUACUGCAGCAGAGUUGUCGCAAUAAAUCUUAAUUGGCCUUAGGAUAGAGUCGACAACUCUUAAAUCUGAGAUAAAAUUUCUCAGCCAUAAAGCAUGUGACGAAGCCUCAUAGCAAGCAAUGAACUCUACCUCCAUAGUGGAUGUAGCAAUUGUAUCUUGCUUAGUGCUCCUCCAAGAUAUAGCACAUUGAGCAAGUAAGAAAAUAUACCCUGUGGACUUUUUAGAAUCCACACAUCCAGCAAAAUUAGAGUCCGAAUAUCCAACCAGCUCAAGAUGGUUAGAAUGUCUGUAAGUGAGCAUAUAAUCCUUUGUUCCUUAUAAAUAUCUUAUAACAUUUUUUGCAGCUUUCCAAUGAUCAAGGCCAGGAUUGCUUUGGUAUCUACCCAAUAUCCCCACUGCAUGAGCUAUAUCAGGUCUGAUACAGACCUGGGCAUACAUCAAGCUCCUUACUGCAGAGUCAUAGGGUAUGCUUUCAUAUAUUUUCAUUCUAAAUCAUUCUGAGAACACUGUUUCUGAUUGAACCUGUCACAUUUUAUAAUAGGCGCAACUGUAGAUGCAAAGUUUGAUGUAUUAAAUCUUUCUAUAACUCUUUCGAUGUAGGCUUUCUGAGACAAACUCAAAAUUUUUUGAGAUCUAUUUCUAUGAAUCUUUAUGCCAAUGACAUAAGAAACUUCACCCAUAUCCUUCAUCUCAAGAUUCUUAGAAAGAAAAUCUUUAGUUUCUUUAAGAAAACUUAAAUCACUAUUUGUAAGCAGAAUGCCAUCCACAUACAGGACUAAAAAAAUAUAUUCACUCCCACUAACCUUAAGGUAUAUGCACCGGUCCACUAUAUUUUCUACAAAACCGAAUGUAGUAAUUAUAUUAUGGAAUUUGAUAUACCACUGACAGGAAGCCUGUUUAAGUCCGUAUAUAGACUUUUUUAGUCUGCAAACAAGGUGGUUAUUUUCAUCUGUACUAAAACCUUCGGGCUGUUGCAUAUAAACUAUCUCCUCUAUAUCCCCAUUUAGAAAUGUCAUUUUCACAUCCAUCUGAUAUAACUCCAAAUCAAAAUGAGCUACCAAAGCAAUGAUAAUUCUCAAUGAAUCCUUCUUGGAUACCGGAGAGAAGGUUUCAUGAUAAUUAAUACCUUCUUUCUGAGUGAAACCUUUAGCAACAAAUCUGGCCUUAUAUCAUUUUAUUUUACCUAAAGAGUCCCUUUUGGUCUUGAAGACCCAUUUACAGCCAAUGACUUAGACUCCUUGUGGUAACUCAGCGAGAUCCCAAACUUUGUUAUCAGCCAUAGAUUUCAUCUCUUCCUUCAUGGCAUCAUAUCAUAAGGAAGAUUUAUCUCCCUACAUGGCCUCUAAAAACGUCCAUGAAUUUUUAUGCUGUCCGACAUCAAUGUCAGACUCCUGAAGAUAGACUACAUAAUCAUCAGGAAUUGCCGGUCUCUUUUGUCUUGAGGAUCUUCUUAAGCCAACCUCUUCCUGCAGAUUUUUAUUAUUCUGUGCAACUAGCUCUAUAAUUGUCUGUUCCUCAUGGGACAGCUCUUUAUGGGGAGGUUCAACUUGGUCAGCAUUUUCAUGCCCCAAGAUUAGUUAGUUUUUAUUAUGGUCAAAUUGACCUCCUGAAAGAGCAACUAAAUUAUUAUCUGUUGAUGGAUAACCAAUUGAAUCCCUUAUUUCCUCAAAAUUCAUCUUUUGAGAAAUAACACUCACACUAGCUUUAGAAUUCUCAAGAAAUUUGACAUUUUUGGCCUCAACUAUCUUGGAUGAGUGAUUUGGACACUAGAAUCUGAAUCCUUUGGAGUUUACGGCAUAGCCAAUGAAAUAUUUACUGACUGUUCGGAAAUUCAACUUUUUUAUAUGCAGAUUAUAAACCCUCACCUCAGCUGGACAUCCCUAUACAUGCAGAAGAUUUAAACUAUGUUUCCACCCUUUCCAUAACUCAAAAGGAGUUUUGGAAACAACCUUCGAUGGAAUUCUAUUUAAAACAUUGUCUUCAGUGCUUCACGCCAAAGAGAAGAUGGAACACAGUAGCUGCUAAUCAUCCUCCUUAUCAUAUCCAUGAGUGUUCUAUUCCUCCUUUCGGCAACGUCAUUUUGUUGGGGCGUGCCAGACAUAGUAUAAUGUGCAAUGAUGCCUUCACUUUCGAGGAAUUGAGCAAAUGGACUGACCAUUUGACCUUUAUUCAUAUGUCUUCCAUAGUACUCACCCCUUUUGUCGGACGGACCUCACAAUUUUGAUUUUCCUAUCCAAUUGUUUCUCUACCUCAACCUUAUAAGUUUUAAAAGUAUCAAGAGCCUCAGAUUUUUCAAAUAAGAGACAGAGAUAUAUAUAUCUUGAAUGGUCAUCAAUAAAUGAAAUAAAAUAUUUCUGACCAUUAAAACAAUGAGUAGAAAAAGGUCCACAGAUAUCUGUAUAUAUGAUCUCAAUUAUUUCAGAACUCCUUUUGGCACUUUUAGUGGUAUUUGUGUUGGUAUACUUUUCCUUUAGGCAUUUCACACAAGUACCAAAAUCGAUAAAGUCAAAAUUUUAUAAGAUCUUUUUUUUACCAAUCUCUUUAUUCUCUCUUAAGAAGAUAUGAACUAAACGCUUGUGCCAUAAAUAAGAGGAGUUUUCUUUAAAAAUAUUCUUUUUAACACCAAUACUAUGAUCAACAUUAUAAUUAUUCUCAAAGGAUUGACUUAAAUUAAAUUUGUACAAAUCAUCUACCAAACAACCAUUGCCAACAAUAAUAUUAUCAGAGAAAAUAGCAAAAGAUUCGUUAUCAAAUAAAAACUUGAAACCUUUAUUUCUCAAUUUAGAAACGGAAACUAAAUUUUUAAAAAAUUUAGGAAUAUAAAAAGUAUCAUCAAGUUCAACUACAAAACCAGUACUAAAUUCUAAAAUGAAGUUUCCUACCGCUUGAAUUUGAGAUUUAUUUUCUUCUCCGCUAAUUAAAAUUCUUUCAUUUGGCUUCAACAUGUUUAGGUUGCGAAAACCCUUUCUUCUCGAGUCAAGCUUUAGACUUCAAGCAGUUCUUUUCUAUUUGCCCUUUCUUUUUACAGAAGUAGCAUUGAUCUUUCUUGCCAGAAUUUUUUAUUGGCAACUGAGCUAACUUUUUGUAAUUAGAGGCACCCUUACUUUUUUUCCUUUUGUGCUAAGUUGCCAGAUUAACAGAUUCUUUAUAAUUUUCGGCUUCUCCUGCUUAAGUCUCUCUCCUCUUUUUGAACACAUAUAGUCAAUAAUUCAUUUAUUGACCAUUCAUUCUAAUGUGUGUUAUAGGAGAUCUUAAAAGGGUCAAACUCGGAAGGUAAUGAGUUUAAAAUUAGAUGGACUAAGAAGGUGUCGGAGAUCUCAAAUUUUAAAGUCUUUAGUUGAGCUGCUAGAUUCCGCAUCUCCAUUAUAUGCUCGCGCACACCCUUGACUCGAUUGUGCUUGAUGCCCGAAAGUCGCUUCAUCAGCGUGCUCGCCAAAGCUUUAUCGAAGCUGAAAAACUGCUCCUCAAUGGCCUUUAGGUAAUACUUGGUUUUAUCACAUUCUGAGAUUGAUCCCCUAAUGUUUUUUGAUACUCUAGACUUUAUGAGCAUCAAACUUAAGCGGUUGGAUCGCUCUCAUUUUUCCUACACGGAUUCCUGCUGUGCAGUCAUUGGCCCCACUAUUUUAGGCGAUUGGUCAAUGCGCAAAGCCAAAUCUAAAUUCAUAUAAGCCAAAGUAAAAGAAAUAAUUUUUUUACAAUCAGAAUAAUUGUCUCCAGUAAACAUAAUACGAGAAUAUCAUUAAGAAAUGUAGUAGGGAGAAAACUGCAAGAACAAAAAAAUAUAUAACUUUUAUUGCCUACUAUAAGAUAAUAAACUUUAAAUUAGAUAAAUUUUACCUUUCUGUGGGCAGAGGCGCUACACGUAUAUAAUUUAUCUACUUUAAUAAUAAAACUAGCAGAAAAUUAAUUUCUAAACAACGAGAUUUCUAUACUUAUGGGCAUAAGAAAACUCGCUAUCUAGAUAUUCAAUGGACUAUCCUAUUCCAGUCAAAAUUCAGAAAAUUAUUAUUUUAUUUGACUGCAAUAAAUAGUCAAACUUUAAUUCAAUAUCGGUAAAUCCUUAUAUAUUCUUCAUUAUCUAUGGGAUACUGCGGCUACUCCUGAGCAUAAUGAAAAAUACAAAUAAUCUUAUUUGACAUUGAAUGACUAUUAAAAAUAAAAUAAAAAUCUAUAUGAAUUUUCGGGUUAAUUUUAAUUCAAUAUCAUCUUUUAAAAAAUAUCAUAAGUGAUCAUAUAUCAUAACUAGGAUGCUGUGGCUACUCCUAAACAUAGUUGAUCUCACAAAUCUUUAUAUGAUAUUGAAUGAUCGAAAAUUUCAUGUUACUCUAAAACACAGCGAAAAAGAAAUAAAUAUCUCUAAUAAUUUUCUUAACAACUUUAUGUGACUCAAAAUCUAUAAAUUGUAUGAAGUCUAUAUAUCCUAUUCGAAAUAUUCAUGAUUAUUGUACGUGUGUUUAGAAUAAUAAUGCAAAAAAUAUGUUGUAAAAAUUAAACUAAACACACCAUUUAAUAAUCAUGAAUAAAUAAAUUAAUUAGUACAAAAACUAAAUGUCAUAUAUAGAUUUGAUAUAGACUUCUAGAACAAUGAGUCACGUAACAAAGAAAAAUUAUUAACCAAAACUAUAUACAUGUAUAUCCUUUUUAUUUUCAUUUUAUUAAAACAAAUAAAUAAAUAAAUAAACUCUAUUUUUUUGUGUUGACCUUUGUGUUGACCGUGCCAAAUGGGUGCUCCUAGCACUAGCAGCCCUUUUUGUUGACCGCAUCCAAGCAGGUGCUCUUGGCAGCCGCCCACGGGGUUGCCUUCGUAUGGAGGAAUUCUACACUGUGACACUUGCACUACGGCAUUAAUAACAAGCCAAUUACAUUUUUUUUUUUCAAAUAAAAGUACAAUAAAAAUAUUUUUUUAUAAUCAUGAUGGGAUAUGAACCCCUAAACGGAGACAUUUGAUUAGUUUGUUACGCCAGGCCACCAAUAUAUUCGUUGCAUUCUAGAAUUUUUCCUUCGUAUAGCCCCUAAUGGGGCCGUACACGUGGGCCCCGCCAAUCGCGGCGGAGCGAUGCCCGCACGUCGCUCCAGUAGAAACCAGUCAACACCCGAUUUUUUUUUUUUUUUUUUUNUUUCUUUUUUUUUUUUUUUUUUUUUUUUUUUUUUUUGUGAAAUCGCUUAAUGCCGUCGGCCCGGUUACAUCGUUCCUCCGAAUGUCAGUCUCGAUUGAGGCCGGCCGAUAUCACCAUUAAUACAAAUCGAUCAACAAAAUUUAUUUAUUUAUUUAUUCUUUAAUAAAAAAAAAUCAAAAGAAAUUCGAAAAGAAACGAAAAUUCGGUAUAAGAUACGGCUCUGAUACCACAUGUUAGGACUUUAUAAGAAACUAAGAUCGUACCUUUUAUUAUAAUUUCGAUUUCAAUACCCGGAUUGUAGACGGUAAUUCUUACUCGUGGUUCGGUCUCGUUCGUAAUAUGCAAAAAGAUAGGACGUUUCGAGUUUAAUUUCAUUAUUUCUGGAGAUAGAGCCGUUCACAGGAAUUAAGAUUAUGGUUAGACCGGGACUUCCGUAUGUUAUAUUUUUAUAUAACUUAAUAUAAGGAUAUUAAAUCACGUUCGUCCAUCAAAGACGUGUCCAGAUACAUCAUAACUGUUAGAUCGAUUUAUCUUUAUAUAUCAACUUAAAUAAACCGAUUGUUUCUUUAUAUAUCGUCUUAAAUAAAUCACGUGGGCCACGUCCAAUAAAGAAUACAUGUGGAGGCUCAACAACAGCAAUAGAAUUAUGCACAAAUUGACCACAGUUUCAUCCACGACUAUUGAAGCAAAUAAUUUUUAAGAAAAAAUAAUAAUAUUUAAAAAGUAGACUUUUUUUUUUAUACAAGGGAUGAUCACACCACCUCAUACAUAGAGUGAUAAAGUUUUAUAAAAACAAUUUUUAACCGGUACAUAUAGCCAAAAAAAUAUAAUUAUAACUAUUCUAUUUCAAAUUACAUGCAUAUUUAGUAAUACUGUAUUUAUAAUUACAUUAAAUCAAAUGCCCUUUUAUAUAAAAAUUAAUAAAAUACGUAUGUAAGCUGUUAAUCUAACCCAUCAGUCUCAAAUGUGGCAAUACGCCGAAACUGAGCAUACUUCACGGCACGCACCAGUCCCUCUCCUCCACCCAAACAACCGAUCGAGCAAUUUGAGCACUACGUACGUAAACCCAUAUAUGCCUCUCCCAUCUCUCUAUAUAAACCCAUGCAUAUAUGUAUGAUCCAAUAUCCCUUGCUUAAUUAAUUAAGUGUGCAUAUAUAUAUAGAUAUAUCAACUUCUUAGUUUAUUAAUUACUAUAUAUGGCUUUCCCCACGAUAUUAACCCAAGGCCUUUGCAUGGCUCUGCUUGUUCUAACUCUACGGGCUUCGUUCGCUUCGGCUUCUCGAGAGCUCGGCGAGAUGUCGAUGUUAGAGAGGCACGAGAGGUGGAUGGCUCAGCACGGCAAAGCGUACGAAGACGCUGCGGAGAAAGAGCGGCGGUUUGAGAUAUUCAAAUCGAACUUCGAGCUGAUUCAGACGUUCAACAAUGGAAACCACAAGUUCAGGCUCGGCUUGAACCGGUUUGCCGAUCUCACCAACGACGAGUUCAGGGCCACACACAACGGCUUCAGGCCGAAGUCGGGCGCGGCGGCGAGCACGGCGAAGCGGUUCAGGUACGAAAAUGUUACUGCAGUGCCCGCGAGCAUGGACUGGAGGGCUGAAGGCGCGGUUACUCCUGUGAAGGAUCAAGGACAGUGCGGUGAGAACAUAAUAGUUGUUAUAUUCGAGAUUUUAAGUUUGAAAUUUAGUUACUUUAUAUUUCUAACACGCAACAAAACUAGGAUGUUGCUGGGCGUUCUCCGCGGUAGCUGCAACAGAAGGGAUCGCUAAGCUUGCCACCGGCAAGCUAGUCUCCUUAUCGGAGCAAGAGCUCGUGGAUUGCGACGUCCACGGGCAAGACGAGGGCUGCGAUGGGGGGCUAAUGGACUCGGCUUUCGACUUCAUCGUCAAGAACCGGGGUCUAACCACGGAAGCCAACUACCCCUACAAGGGGGCAGACGGCAAGUGCAACACCCGCAAGGCAGAUGCGGCCGCCUCCAUCUCAGGCCACGAGGACGUGCCUGCGAACCAUGAGUCUGCCCUUCUCAAGGCAGUGGCCCACCAGCCGGUGUCGGUGGCCAUAGACGCCGGCGGGUUCGCCUUCCAGAUGUACGAGGGAGGCGUCUUUACUGGCGACUGCGGAACUGAUCUAGACCACGGGGUUACUGCGGUGGGAUAUGGCGUGGCGAGCGACGGGACCAAAUACUGGCUCAUUAAGAACUCGUGGGGCUCGUCGUGGGGCGAGAACGGAUACAUAAGGAUGGAAAGAGAUGUGAAUUCUAAAGAAGGACUCUGCGGCAUCGCCAUGGAAGCUUCCUAUCCUACUGCUUGAUGGGCAAAAUGGAAUACGCUUACUUAUAUAUGCAGAGUGCAUGUACGUAUACAAAUAAUAUAUACCGCACAAUGUAUAUAUAUAAAUAUGUGUUUGUGAUGGCUUUGCGGGUGGAGUAGUACUAUUAAGUGAAGUCAUUUAAGUAACUUUAAAAAUGCAUGUAUGAGAUGUUGCUGUGAUCGAAGCACUUCAUAAUGUAUGAAAUAUCAAGUUCAAUAAAAUUACUCGAAUGUAUUGUCUUUCCUAAAGCUCAGUUUCUUUCCUUCUUUAAAUAAUGACAAUUCAUAGCCUGAGCAGGUUCCAAUCCUACUAUCUGCUAUGUUGGGUUUGAUGCUAUCAAAUUCUUCCAUUAACCUAUUUGCUUUAUUUUGAAUUUGAUUAAAUAACUCAUGAAGUAGGCUAGAUUCUACUUGAUUUUUUAUUUUAGUUGAUCCAUUAACAAAUUAGGAUAUAGUAUGACGUGUUCUCGUUGUGUAAGAAAGAGUUCCAAAAUCGCUUUCUAAGAUUCUAUUUCCUGGUAUAGAGAAAUAAAAAUGGAGAGAAAGUUGAAGGAGAAACUCUUUUAUUAUUCUUGCUUGAUUUAAAACCUUCAAAGUUGAUUGAAGACAAUCCAAGAUGUACUAAUUAAUAUGGUGUUGGUCUAGUUCCAUGACAUGGUGACUAAUAAUAUUAUUUUUUGUACGAUAAAAAAUCUAAAAUUCUAAAAUAUUCUCAAUUUUAACAUUAUCGCAAUUUAAAAGAGUGUUUGAAGAAUAUUUUUUGUUUUUUUAUCAACGUGUAUCUAUCUCACUUUAAUCCAUAGUGCAUCUGUUUGUUUCUUCCAAUUUCACGCUUGAAAGUGUUGAAUGACAACAUAAGAAAAGUACCACCGCAAAUUCAUCAAACAACCUGUUUGAUUAGCAAAUCCACAAUUUGUUGACUGCCUAUUCCCUUCCACCCUCCUGCCUCAUCCUUCUUCCAGUUCGUAAUCCUUUAAGCCAUGACCCUCCACGACGCUUCUUCCACUUCUUCUCUGCAAACGGAAUGAUAGCCUGUCAGUGAUUGAAUAUACUGACAAGCUUUCAUGGAGAAGAGAGAGUGCUGGAUUAUACUUCCUACGCUUAUUGCGGUUUAGACACAAGACUGCCUUCCUUCUGAGAGGGUGGGAGGUUGCCCGGGUGAGGGAGAAGACUACACGCCAGUGUCGCUCAUCUUAGCGUUGGAGAUUGGACUGGUAUCGGCCGAGGAAUGCACUGUUAGAAGGAUUGUUGCACCAUUAGUCUUUGCGUUGCACUAUUAUCUCUGUUGCGGGCUGCACAGUUCUUGAUUUUUAGCUUCAGAAAUUUUAAAUUCUUAAAGCCGGACAGCAAACAACAGAGCUGGCGAAUAACGGGGCGGAUGUGAUCCGAGUUCCGAAAAAUAACAAGGUUGUGUAAAACGCAAGAGGUGCAUUUAAUGCCUAACAGGUCCGUACGUUAGGAUAUGCGUAUCUCAAAGAAUACGCGAAAGGCGUUAGUAUGCGAGAAGCAUUUUGAUCAGUUUACUGAAAAUUCGGCCCGAAUCUGCAAAACGAAAAAGAUGGCCCACAUUUGCAAAAGCGCAAAAUUAAUAAAUUUUUUUUGCAAAUUGGUCUUAUUUUUUAUACAAUAAAAAAUCUAUAAUAAAUUUUUUAUGCAAAUUAGUCUUAUUUUUUAUACAAUAAAAAAUCUAAAAUUCUAAAAUAUUUUCAAUUUUAACAUUAUCGCAAUUUAAAAGAGUGUUUGAUGAAUUUGCGGUGGUACUUUUCUUAUGUUGUCAUUCAACACUUUCAAGCGUGAAAUUGGAAGAAACAAACAGAUGCACUAUGGAUUAAAGUGAGAUAGAUACACGUUGAUAAAAAAAUACUUCCACAAAUUCAUCAAUAAUUUGUAACAAUUACAAUCUUACAUAGUGUUCGAUGGCCCCCCUAUUCCGCCUCCUCCUCCUGCAUCACUCCUUCUUCCAUUCGUAUCCUUAACCAGCCCUUCUAUGACAUUUUCUACUUCCUCUGCAAACGUAAUGUAGCUGUCAAUGAUUGAAUAUACUGACAACUUUCAUGGAGAAAGAGGAGUCUGAAUUUAUACUUCCAAUGCUUCUUGCGGUUUUAGCACAAGACUGCCUUCCUCCCCGGGUGGGAGGUUUGCGCGAUGUGCGAGAGAAGACAUACACGCCAAACGCGCAUCAUUGAAGCGUUGAGAUUCUGGAAUUGGUACCGGCCGAGGAAUGCCCUGUUAGAAAGCAUGUUGCACACAAUAAUAGUUUUUCGUUGCUCUCUGCGUUACACUAUUAUCUCUUUUCCGGCCGAACGCAUUCUGACUUUUCCUUUAAAAAUAUUAGAUAAGCAAACAACGAACUGGCGAAUAAACGACGAUGAUCCAGUCUGAAAGAAAAAUGAGGUUAAAUAAAACUGAAAGAACAUUUUAAAGUUGCGACAUGUCCGUACGUUAAAAUAUUAUGUAACUCAAAAAUUACCUGAAAUACGUUAAAUACGAAAGCAUUUUGAUUAGUUUUACAAACUUCAUCCGAAUCUACAAAACUAAAAAAUGGCCGCAUAAUUAUACAAAACGCACAAACUAAUAAAUCUUUUAAUAUCAAAUGUCUUAUUUUUAUUCAAUAAAAAAUCUUCUAGUAAUUUUUAUACAAAUGGUCUUAUUUUUUAUCAAUAAAAAUCUAAAAUCUCCAAAUUUUCAAUUAAACAUUACAGUAAUUUAAAAGAGUGGUUGAAAAUUUUUAUUUUUAUUUUUACUCAACGUGCAUUUGCUCACUUAAAUCACUGUGAUCUGUUGUUUUUGCCAAUCACGCUUGAGCUAUUUUAAUACAUACAUAAGAAUCAUUCCACAAAUGCAUCAAACAAAUGUACGGAUUCCAAAUCCACAGCAUUAACUCGUCGAAAGUUAUACAUUAAGAAAAAUUGAAAAAGGUUACAUGCUUCGGGCCGUUUUGCUUUGUUCUCCGUUCAUCGUCUCAUUGGUCCUUCUGGUUCUUUGAUAUUCAGGGGGGACGCAUCUCGGGGCCGCUACAAUUGUCUUCAUAGUCGUUAUCAAGAAAUAAAAUAUCACAAUAAAUCCCAAUAGCAAGUUCAAAUUAAACAAUAAGCAAUAAAAGAACAACCUUAUCGAAUAAAUCCCCCAUUUUUAAAAUUUCCACCAUUUUCCGGUCUUCACGAUCCCAAAACUUAUCUAUCCGAACCCUCACAACAACAACGACAACAAUCAACCAUCAAAGAGAAAAAACCAACACAACGGACACCCUAACCCUAGGGAACCAAAACCGAAACCCUAGCUCGAUCACCCGCCGAAGCCGUAGAGGGUGCGGCCCUGGCGCUUGAGGGCGUAGACGACGUCCAUGGCGGUGACGGUCUUGCGGCGGGCGUGCUCGGUGUAGGUGACGGCGUCGCGGAUGACGUUCUCGAGGAAGAUCUUGAGCACGCCGCGCGUCUCCUCGUAGAUGAGCCCGCUGAUGCGCUUCACGCCGCCGCGCCGCGCCAGGCGCCGGAUCGCGGGCUUCGUGAUCCCCUGGAUGUUGUCGCGGAGAACCUUCCGGUGCCGCUUCGCCCCGCCCUUCCCCAACCCCUUCCCCCCCUUCCCCCGCCCCGACAUCGCCCUCGCCCAAACCCUAGAAAAGUAGAAACCUAGAAAGUAGAAGCGCGUCGGAGAGUGGAAUUUGUGGAUUUCGCGACGAGGUCUUAUUAGGGUUUGGGGAAUCAAUCGGGGAUUUAUAGAGAGAGUGAGAGGAGGGACUAGGGCUUUUUUUUUUUUUUAUUGGAACUGGGGAUUUGGGGGGAAUCGGGGGAAUCGGAGAGGGAAGAGGAAAAUGGUGCGGUGGAUUCGUUGAUUGGUGGGUUUUGAGCCGUUGGAUUUGUAAACUUAUUGACGCUUGUGAUUGGAUGAGCUCUGUUGGUCCGGAUCGAUGACGUGGUCGGUUUUACACUUGCAGGUAGCUGCGUUAGCUUUUGGACUAUUUUCUGUGUGUGUGUGUGUGUGUGUGUGUGUGUGUUAGUGUUAGUGUCUUUCAUAUCCCCAAAAAAAAUAGUAAUAUUAUACAUAUUCUUAUAGAUUGAAAAAAAUAUUAUGAAUACUUUUGUAUAUAUAAGAGGAUUCAGAAGUUAAAAAAUAUUGGUGAUAAAAAGAUUUAGAAUUUAGGAGUAUAUUAAUAAUAAUUUUAUAUAUUUAAAAAGUUAAUGUGUUUACACAGUUUAUUGUCAUGUAAAUAAAUCAGUUUCAUAAAAAAAAAGUAAAAUAAAAUUUUUUCAUAUUUUUGCUUCCCUGAUGUCAGUGCGAUUAAGGUGCGUAUAAAGUAAUAACUUUAUUGAUUCUUCUUUCAUUAUUGUUAUAUGCAAUAUAUUUGAUGAAAUUAUAAGUUUUACUACAUCUAUACAUAAAUCUGUUUCAUCUCUUCUAUUGUAUAUAUAGUGAUAUAUAUUAUUUUUGUUUAUUAAUUUUUCAUAGCUAGCCAGUCAAAAAGUUUUAAAAUUUUUAUGUUAUUAAUUUUUUGUCUUCCACAGCAUCAGUCCACCGCAAUGUACGGAUAACUUCGCUAAUUAUUUAUAAUUAUAAAUAAGAACUAUGAUUUUUUUCUUCUUCAAUAGUCAUAUUAUUCAUGAUUUGAGAUAAUAACAUAUUUUACUUACAAGAUUUAUUUUUACUCAAAAAUUAACUUAAAAUUUAAAUAUAAUAUUUCAUUCUAAACAUUUGAUCAUGUUUGUUGGGCCCGUACGGUUUAGAAUAGAAACUGAGAUUGAAUACAAAAUGGUAAAACUCUUCAACGUCAACAAUCAUAAUCGAAAUAAUUGAUUUUUGUUUUCACUAUUUUGUCGAGAUAGAAAAAAUUUUAGUUAUAAAAACAUAACUAAAAUAAGAUUGAAAUUAAACAAAAACUAUGAUAUACCAAAUAAUAUGUUCAUACAUCCAAAUAAGAUAUAAAUUAAUUAAACAUUCAUGCAUUCAAAUAGACCUUGGGUCUGGACAAUGCCACACAAUGCGUAAGUUAAUUAUUGGACCUAAUUUGGGCUUGGAGUGGGUCGACUAGAAUCUAGCCUGGUGUAGUCGUUGUUUUGACUUCAAUGGAAUCGAGGUUAAGGGCCCGUUUGUUUUGGUGUAAGUGGAGUGAUGGAACUCGAGUUCGAUCACUUUCGUUAUUUAUUUUGAUAUAAGUGAAAAAUAUAAUGUAACUCAAGUUAUGUUAGAGCUCCACUUCACCUACUCUCGACUUCCUCCUCUAAAGUGCUAAACUCGACUUUCACUACACUCAACCUCUUCUAAAAAAUUUAUUAAACAGUAAAAUAUAAACUCUACUUCCUUUAUAAUGGGUUAGAAUUAUCUUAUUUAUAAUAAAUUAGGAUUAUUUUUAAAUAAUAAUAAAAAAUUAAUUAUAUAAUAGAUUAAAUUUUAUAAUGGUAAAUUUACUAUUAUAUUUAGGAGAUAAUGAGAUCCACUUACUUACAUCAAAACAAACAAUGAAACUCAAAAAAUUAAUUUUACCAGCACCAAGUUACAUCAAAACAAACAACAGAAAUAAUUAAAUUUAACUUUCAGGCGGUACGAGUUAUGUCAAAACAAAUAACAAAAAAAUAAUUACACUUCAGAAAAAUUCAAAUACUACUACACUUGACUUACGUUGAAUCUACAAAUACGUCUAUCCAAAACGCCCCCUAAUUGAAACAUGAAGUCGUCGCCGAAUAUCGCGGCAAGCGUAAAUCCCAGAGCGAUUUUUACGGCGAAGCUCACCGACUUCCUCCCCUAGUGGUAUUUAUUGGUCAUAUUUGCUUAUAUAUCCCUCUAAUAUUAUGAUAUUGCAAAACAUAUUCUUUCAAACUUUAAAUAUUAUAUAUAUUUUUUUAUAAACCCUUAAAUAUUGAUUUGUGGAACUCAUUCUAGCAUGUUUCAAUUUGAAUUAACAUAAGUAAUAUCUUUUUGUAUAAUAUGAAUUUUAAAUAUUUAUGAUCUAGCAAACUUGCACUCAAGCCAAAAGUACGAUUGAAUACUAGAUAUCUUUAUAUUUUACCAUACUACUUAUUUUGUCCUUACAAAAAUCAGUGAUGCUACUCAAAUCGGAGUGUCAAGAUUAAGCUCGGUAUUUUUUUUAUAAUGACAAUAAUAAUAUUUUUAGUCAUGUAAUUUGAGUGAUAAAUACGAUAAAAGCAAAAUAGUCUUUUGAAAUAGGACAUCGUGACUUUUGGCUGGAUGUAGUUAUAAUUUUUUAAAGGACUUUUUUUGUAUUUAGACCUUUGAUAAUUUUUUAUUUUAAUAAUAGUCCUGUCAAAAUUUAAUUUUCAAAAAUGGUCCUGGGCCUGCCACACAGGCGCCACGUCAGCGCCACGGGGGAAGGGCUGGGCCCGUGUGUUAAGUUGAACACGGUGAACCAUUCACCGUGUUCAAACAUGGUGAAUGGUUCACCCAUUUAAUACGUAUUUUUUGUUACGUAUUUUUUGUAUAUUGAAAAGUGGAAUAAGGAGUAGUGAUGUCAAUAGAUAUGGAUAUCAGAAAUAUUAUCCGAAUUCAAACCUGAAUAAAUUAUAUAUAUAUAUACAUAAUUUAUUUUUGUUUAUUUAUACAAUAUAUAAAAUAUUUAAUAAUUUUUAUUUCUUAGAUCUUCAUCAACCAGCGCGGUUUUUAAAUCUAUACCGUAAUGGAUGGAUCUAAGGAAUGAAAAAUUACUUAAUAAAACGAUGUUAGUAUAUGAUAAAUAAACAAAAAUAAUAUUAGUUAUAUAUCUAUAUAUAUAUAUAAUAUAUAUAUAAUAUUAUAUAUAUAGAUUUAUUCGGGUUGGAUUCGCGAUAAUAUUUCGGGUAUCCAUACCUAUUGACAUCCCUAUUCCUUAUCACUUUUCAAUAGACAAAAAAUACGUAAAGAAACACGGUGAACCAUUCACCGUGUUCAACCUUAGAUACCCUGGCUGCCAGCCCUGCCGUGUGGGCUGUCGUAGGCACCUGUGUUCACGCCCCGGCGAGACCGGCGGUAAGGCCCUCCCGUAGCGUGCACAGACCCGCCAUUAUGGUCAACACAUAUAAGGCGUCUACAAUAAAAAGCGGAAGUAAAAGUUAAGUAACUAAACAAGUAAAGAGUGAAAAUAACUGACUAAUGAUAUCAGGCAGCAAUAAGUUCUAUCGAUUCUUAUCACCAAGGUAAAGAAGUAAGCUAGAAGAUAAAGGAGUCUAUAAGAAGACAAUAUCCUGUCUCAAUGUACAAAAAUGGUUGCUCUCUAGUACUGUAAAAUACUCUAACCUCUCGCUCAGAAACAAAACAUGAAAUCGACGAUGGUGACCAUGCCUUAGCAACUCGUCUCUGAAGGAAGCUAGCUCGAAGCCAACUCCUUCCGCCGAUCCUGGCUCACCUGCCGUGGAAGGUCUGAAAAUAUCGAGAAAAUGAGGGCGUGAGAACUAAAUUUAUAGUUCCAGUGCGCAAUUACUGACGUUCAGUCUUGCACCACUAGGCCCCAAAAGAAAAGGGUAAGUACUAUAGCAUAAUGAGAGUAUUAGCAAAAAUACGAAAGCAUAUAUGAGGAGGCUAAACGCUCGGUAUUCAAAUAACAUGAUGUUCUGGUGAUGUAUCAUUUACGCUAUACACAAGUAAUUGGUCCAAUGCAUAAAGAGCUAAGCUUAACUAAGCAAAGCCGCAUUAUACAGCAACCAAUGAAAUAAAAGCGGUGUGUGCUAUAUGUACCAUAUGCUUAUAUCAUGAGCACGUCAAAGUAAUCAACUACUAACCCUAUUCUAGUAGUGAUUAUUCAUUAUCAACAACUGUGUCGAUUUCCGUGUCCAAUAAGAACCCAACAAGGUCAGUCCGCUUGUCGCCCUAAGUGCUGGUGGAUAGCCCGAUUCCUACUCUUGGGAAGUGUCUGUCCCACCGACCUGUAGGCUUUUCACAUCCGCACGAUUGCGACGUAUGUCGCGUAGCUAACUCCGGAGUACCGCGCUUGUAGGGAGCGAACCUCAGCAGAUGUGCGAAUGAGCCACAAAUGCAAGCAAGCAUUAGUUCCAAGUCUCAAGUAUCCAAUUUCAUGUCUCUAAACACCGUAUAGUCAUAGCAUUCCGAAGAUACUAGUUUCAUUCACAAAUAUGAGUUCCAUGUGCUUAAGUUCUUGUGGCCCCUUUAUGACACUUGGACAUUUUAAAUGACAAGUUAAUCCAACUCUUUCAAUGGCAUCCCUAGUAUUAACAUGACCUGAAGGCCAAUGCCCCUCCAUGACAUAAGCCCAACUAUUCACAAAUAACACAAGUCCCCGAGCCUCUUUAUGGCCUACCAAGAACCUUCAAGUUCAAUAUAGGAAUAGUCCUUAAAUGCAUGCAAGAGGUGCUCAUUUUCACAAUAGAAGUCAUGAUUCCAAGUCUAAAAAGGAUGCCAAAUAUGUGCAAGUACCACAUGCUAGUUCUCUACUAUAUAGAGGUCCGAAUUUCCUUACACAUAACAUAGGCAUAUUAAACAUUCUAAAAUUCACAAUAAAUAUAUCUAACAUGAUUACGCAUGCUUUUCAAUUUACGAAACAUAUUUCACCAUAUAUGAGUAUUUCUCAUAUAAAGGUUAGGUCAAACCCACCGAACCGUCGCGUGCUCCUUCGAAUGACCGAACGGAGUUGUCCACGAGUCUCACAAUACCCUAAGGGCUCGUUUGGUUCAAGUUAUGUAAUAUUACAAAGUAUCUCGACAUAUCCAGGUAUGUUGGAUUUCGGCGUGAGAUUACUACUAAUGCUGUAUUAGAGCGUUUGGUUUAAUACAGUAAUGUAAUACUAGAUUACAGUGUUUAUAGCAUUAAUAUGUUUGGUUCAGUUUAUAAAAUUUAGUAAUCCUGACAUAAAAGUAUAGUUUUUUCCAAAAUUGCCCAUGUUGUAGUCAUUUGAAUAUUGUUUUUUGCGGAAAUGACGAAUGGAGGGAAGGAGAUCGUGAUGAUUAUUUGGGAGGAUGACGCAAUAGAAGAUGAUAGGUGUUCGUGCGCGAGAGAGAGAAAGAGAGAGAGACGUCGAGNAGGAUGAUAUUAGUCGGUUAGAGUUGAAUGGUCCCCCUAGGGUUGAGUGGUCCCCACUGGGUUAUAGUAUUUAAUCUAAUGGUUAGAAAUAAUGAAAAGAGUUGAUCCAAAGGCUAAAAAACUGGUAGCAACAAUGGAAUUUUGCUACUAAUAGUAUCCCAGUCCAAAUAUAUAUAUAUAUAUAUACAAAUAAAAUACUAUAUAUAAUAAAUAAAUAAAUAUAUAUAUAUAAUAAAUAAAUAUGUAUUUAUAAAUAAAAUUAUAUAUAUAAUGAGAUUUGAGCUAGAAUACUAUCGAUAGCAAACCGACACUUUUGCCACCCAUUUGUUUUCGAUGAUGGAGCAUCCAAAUCAACGAUCGGCACCGUUGAACAUGAUCUAUACCACUUGAAUUGUUUAGAAAUUAAAUUUUAAAUCUUUUCGACAUCAUUUGCCUAAUGAUAAAAGUAUUUCAAAAUUUUUAAUUUUAAUGGUCGAUAUGAGACGUUUUCUUGUUUAACGGCAUAAAGAUAUCCAAAUCAAUUGAAUUUUUAUUAGAAAAUUCUUUAAACUAUUUAAAACAANGCCCCGCGCCCUAGCCCGCACUGCAGCCUCCUCGUGACACGUGUGCAGUUAUUGAGGAAUAAUAUAUAGUUAUUAUUAUUGAUAGAUUAUAGAUUAUAGAUUAUAGAUUAUAGAUACUGAAUUAAAUAUUCAUGAAUUCAAAUAGAGCCUUGGCCCCGAAAUUGCCACACAAUGACAAUGCGUAAGUUAAUUAUUGGGCCUGAUUUGGGCUUGGAGUGGGUCGACUAGAAUCUAGCCCGGUGUAGUCGUUGUUUUGACUUCAAUGGAAUCGAGGUUAAUUAAAACAUGAAGUCGUCGCCGAAUAUCGCGGCAAAAGUAAAUCCCGGAGCGAUUUUUACGGCGAAGCUCGCCGACUUUCCCCCCUAGUGGUAUUUAUUGGUCAUAUUUGCUUAUAUAUCCCUCCAAAAUUAGGAUAUUGCAAAAAGUGUUCUUUGAAACUUUAAAUAUUAUAUAUAUUUUUUAUUUUUUUAUAAAUCCUUAAAUAUUGAUUUGUGGAACUCUUUCCGGCUUGUUUCAAUUUGAAUUAACAAAAGCAAUCUCUUUUUGUAUAAUAUGAAUUUUAAAUAUUUAUAAUCUGGUAAGCUUUUACUCAAGCUAAAAGUACGAUCGAAUACUCGUAGAUACACAAAAUAAUCUUCCCACAAAUAUUAUUAUAUUUUAGUAUACUGCUUACUUUAUUUUUACAAAAAUCAAUGUUGCUAUUCAAAUCAAAGUGUCAAAAUUAAGCUCAGUAUCUUUUUAUAAUGACAAUAAUAAUAAUUUAAUCAUGUAAUUUGAGUAAUAAAUACGAUAAAAGCAAAAUAGUCUUUUUAAAUAAGACAUCGUAAUUUUUGGCUGAAUAUAGUUAUAAUUUUUUAAAACACUAGAAAAAUAGAUAAAAAUUUACAAAAUUUAUCUGAACUAUAAACUAUUUGAAAUUAUUGCCUUUAAAAGUUCAUUUCAAAGUAUCCACCCGAUCCUUCAAUUAUUUCUUUUUUUAAGAAGUAAAGGCUGUGGAUAAUUUAAAAAGUAGAACAUGGUUAAAAACGAACAGUUUAAAAAUAUAAACAAAAAUAUAUUUCUAUAAAAGAAAGAAGAAAAAAAAUUAAAACUACAUGGAAAAGAUGAAAAUAACGGUCACAUCAAAUCUAAAAAAUGAAAAAGAACCAAUAUGUAGAUCCGUGCCUGUAGUUCAUGUAAGUUUUAUAUAUUUUUUACCUAAAAAAUUAGUAUGCGAUUUUUUUUUUUGUAAAUUUGAAGGAACAAAAUGAAAUAUUUAAAUUUUACAGAUAUAUAUUUGCAAUUGUCCCUUAUAAUUACACCGAACAAGUAGCUUCUUCGUGGAGGAGAAGAGGAGGAAGAAGAAGAAGAAGAAGAGAGAGAGAGAGAGAAACCCUCGGUGAGAGAGAUAGAGGAGGGGAGGGAGAGGAGAGGAAGAGGAGAUGGAGAUGUGCUCGGACGAGGCUGUGAAGUACGUGUGGGAGGGGGCGAUCCCUCUCCAGAUCCAUCUCCAUGAAUCCGAGGUCACCACGCUACCUCCUCCUUCCCCGAUCUUGGUAUGAUCCUCGCUCUCUCUCUCUCUCUCUCUCUCUCUCUCUCUCUCUCUCUCUCUCUCCGAUUACUCUUUUUUUUAAACCUUUAGAUUAUCUACUUUGAUGCUUGCUUGAUGCGUUAAACGCGAUCUGAUGUGCUCCGAUCUAGAAUCGGAUUAAAAUGCUAUUCGGAUUGUUAAUUUAGUUGUUUGUUGUUGUUCGUUUGGUGGGAAUUUGAAAUUGGCGAUCCAUAGUUUGCGUAUUUUUUGGUUUGUGAAGUGUUCUUGCUGUGUGCUGUAGUGAAUCGCAAGUAGGAAAUUAGUGGAAUUUUGUGGCCUUAAAAGCUGCUGGGAUCAUUACUGCAGAUAAUGUCUUAGAUUUGUUAUCUUCGAUGUGGUUUUCUAAGUUGUUGAUCAUAAUAAUUAACCCUCUCCCAUGCUGUAUGAAAAUUUGAAUUGGUAAAUCUACUGCUCUUUUCUCUUUGUGUUGUGUCUCGUCUUUAUUCAAGCCUUCUUGAAUUAGGGCAUGUUUUGCCGUUCUGUAGGGGUAGUGCGGUUUAAUGAAGUGCUCUAACAACUUCUCUCGGCACUUGAAUUAGAAACUCUGAGUUGGAGGUUCUGAUUCUGGGGCUCAGAAUCUUGUUUCAGCUUCCCUAUGUAUCAGCAGGAAACUGUUUUAAUUCUGAAUUUUGUACUAGAAGUAAUUAUAAAUGAAAACGAAACAGAAGCAGCACAAAACAAGCAUUUAGUUUCCAAAACUUUUACUCAUGGUAAAACUUCUUUGUCCUCUUCUAUAUGCUUUGACCAUUUAUUUACCCUUGGCCCUUGCCCUUUUCUUGAGUGCUAUGUCAAUGCUAGAGUCUUGAAUUGGAGUUCGGACAUGAUGAAUGAUUUUAAUUGCUUUCACAACCUUAGGAAAGAGUAUUUAGUUUAUUAUAUUGUUGUGGGUAUAUUGACAUAUUAAAUGUUUAAAUUGAUGAUCGAAGUUAAUGGCAUACUUGGCUCCAUUGGAGAUUCAAUAGAUUUUUUUUUUUGAGAAAACCUAUCAGUUUUUCAAAUACAAAACAAGACACAAAAACCUAGUCCAAUAGCCUAUUUUGUACUGAUGAAAACGGGUCGGAUAUGUCAGAUAGUGCCCGAUCCAUAUCCAUAUCCCUGUACAUAAUUUUUACGUUGAAUUCGGAUACGGGUUCGGAUAUUAGUCAGAUGUUAAAAUUCAAAUCCAUAUCCAGUAAAAAAUAGAUUCAGAUAUGUGUCGGAAUGCAACAGAUAUGGAUAUGAAUUGGAUAUUUAAUGAAUAUUUAAAACAAAAAUAAAAAAUAUUUUCCAAUAUAUAUUUAAGCUACAUAAAAUUUAUAAAAUGUUAGAAACAUAAAGGAAAAAAUUAAGAAUUCUAAGAAAAUGUUAUUGAAUAUGAAGUAAAUAAAAAUGUUACAUAUUGAGAUUAUAUGUUUCUGAUUCUGAUAAUCCGGUAUCGGAAUCUUAAUCUGAAUAAGGAUGGUGAACCCAAACUGAUUCUGAAUCCAAAAAAUAUUUCUAUCUCGAGAUCCAAGUCUGAAUCUGAAUCCGAAUCGGAUAGUGAUAUCCCAACCCAUAUUUGAUAAUUUUUGGAUUCGGUGUUGGAUUCGGUCGGAUAAUAUCCUAUCCGUUUUCAUCUCUACUAUUUCAGAUCUGCUUUUAAUCUAGAACCUUGAAGUUUUGUUGCAAAUUGAUUAGCUUCUCCCUCUGAGUAGAUCGUUAGUAUGUUUAUUUUAGCAUUCUAACUUGAUUUAUGGUAUAUUUCUUGUUUUUUAUAUAGAUUUUAGGUCCACGGCUUGGGUAUCUGCCUCUAUUAGUACCGAUCAUAAAGGCUCAUUUCAGUAGCACACUUCCUCCGGGCACCGAUACUGUUUGGUUUGACUAUAAAGGACUGCCACUGAAGUGGUACAUAACUUUUUAUGAUUUUCGGGAUUUUUGUAAGCAACUUCACUUAAGCAAACUAAGUUUAGUUGAAUAUAGACCAAAAUUAAAAUUGCUACAGAAACCUUAAUAUUUACAGCUGUAUAUCAUUUCGUUUACCAUAAAAUCUUCAUUAUCUUUUCAUUUACAUUGAUAAAUUUGCCACGAUUUGUUACUUGUAGUUUUUAAUUCUUUUUAAUUGCUUUUACAGGUCUAUACCUACUGGAGUUCUUUUUGAUCUUUUAUGUGCAGAACCAGAAAGACCCUGGAACCUAACAGUGAGGACCUUAUAUCAUACAUAUUUAUUACUAAUUGCAUGUGCUUUAUUGUAUUGUUGUUUUGCUCUCUUUCAGUUUUCAAAAGAAAUGUCAAACUGUUUCCUUAUUUCUUUUUUCUUUUUUCGGGUGUUUUUUCACUUUAGGUCUUGAACGCUAACAAAAUGGAAGGGCUUAUUGUACAGUGCCUAUUGAUUUCUCACUUUAUCUGUUCUUUAGUUGUUAAUUUAAUUAAAAACUUUGGAAUAUGUUAAUUUAAUUAAAAACUUUGAAAUAUGUAAAGGCACUUCACUUUUGAGUCUAUCACAGGUUGGAGCUUAUUGCUAUGGCUGCCUUUUCUGUUACUGUAAUUAUUGCUUCUUCUGUUGUUGUUUUUGUUGUUUCUGCUGCUAUUGUUAUAAUUAUCAUCAUCAUCUUAAGUAUUUCCCUAUGAUUUAACUUCUCAAAUACUUGACUAGCGAAAUAAAGAAUAUAAAAGCAAAAGUAAUAGCUGGUUUUGGAUAGAUCCUUUUUAAAAGAGAUAGGUACUUUAUAUUAUUAUAUGCGGCAGUACCUUAUACAAUAUUUCGAGUCUGUUUACUCUAUUGGAACCAUACUAUGAUUUCCAAGAUGUGAGGCAUAUUAUGGUAUGUGAGAGUAAUAAAAAUUCAAAUGUGUCGAUAUGAGACGAGGGGUAUUAGAAUAUUAAAGGUUCUAUACUCCUUAGAAAUCAUAAGGAUUUCUAAUUAAUUACGCCUAUUCUCAUUUAGGCAACCUCCGAUUAAGCUGGUCAAUUAUGAUAAUUAGUAAAACAGAAUGUAUUUCUUUUAUUAUUCUUGUACAUCGGUGUACAAAAAUUAAUACAACUGAAAAAGAUAAAAAGCAACAAUUAUUAUCUCUCUCCUUCUCUCCUUUAAUGCAAUCAAUCGCAAACAUAUUAUUAGCGCCUCGUCAAGUCAUUUCUCAUGUGAGCCAUGCAUCAUGCAUAAACUGUCUUUGGUAUUUCAUCGAGCAUUUGACACGCACAUAAGUAAUACAUUAUGUGCAAACUGUCUUUGGCAUUUCAUCGAGUACUUGGCACGCGUACAUGAACAAUGCAUUAUGCUCAGGUUUUCUUUGACAUUUCAUUAUGUGCACACCGUCUUUGGCAUUUUAUCGAACGCUUAGCAUGCGCACAUAAGCUAUGCUUUAUGCACAAAUUCUUUUUGGCAUUUUGUUUAACACUUGGCACAUGCACAUAAGCUAUCCAUCAUGCACAAGUUGUUUUUGACAAAAAGCCAAUUAAAAAGAGCGGCAAUCAAUAAUUUGAUCAGCGCUUUCCGUCAACGACUAAGCGUCAAACGGAUGAUCGUCGUCGUAGUUGCCUUUCUCCACCGCUGACGGCUAAGCAUCAAGCGGAUCGUCGUUGCCGCCUUUACCGCCGAUGGCUAAGCAUCGAGCAGAUUGUCGUCAUUGUUGUUGUUGUCGUCGCUGUCUUUACCGCCGAUGGCUAAGCAUCGAGCGGAUCGUCGUCGUCGUUGUUGUUGUCGUCGUCGCCGUCUUUACCGCCGAUGGCUAAGCAUCGAGCAGAUCGUCAUCGUCGUCGUUGUUGUCGUCGUCGCCGUCUUUAUCGCCGAUGGCUAAGCGUCGAGCGGAUCGUCGUCGUCGUUGUCGUCGUCUACGCCGUCUUUACCACCGAUGGCUAAGCAUCGAGCGGAUCGUUGUCGUCGUUGUUGUUGUCGUCGUCGCCGUCUUUACCGCCGAUGGCUAAGCAUCGAGCGGAUCGUCGUCGUCGUUGUUGUCGUCGUCUACGCCGUCUUUACCGCCGACGGCUAAGCAUCGAGUGGAUUGUCGUUGCCGUUGUCGCCGUCUUUACAGCCGACGACGAAGAGUCAAGCGGAUCGUCGUCGCCGCCUUUACUGCCGACGGCUAAGCGUCAAGCGGAUCGUCGUCGCCGCCUUUACUGCCGACGGCUAAACGUCAAGCGGAUAGCCGUCGUCGUUGUCGUUAGCGCAGCAACAGCAGGCGGAUGGCCACCUCCUUAGUCGAUGAUGACGCCACAACAGCAAAAAGGAACAUGCACCACUCCGAAAUCAAUGACGACGGGGCAACGGCAGUCUGCAACGGUGUAGGAAUGGCGACGAGCGAUCGUCUUUUAUUGGUUGAUGAUGAUCCGGUGUAGUAGAGGUUGAUGACGGCAUGUGUAGCCCGGUGUGUAUAGAAAGCUCGAUGUAUGGAGUGCUUUGACUAGGAGAGAGGAGAGAGAAAAAUGAGAGUGAGAGAAUCUAAACCCACCUUUCUAUUGGGCUCUUUUUUUUUAUCCAAGUUUCCUUUCUCUUUUUUUUUGUGAGUAGAAUCCUCUUUUUUUUUGUUCACUUCUCUUUAUAUAGAGAGAGGGUGGUGGAGGUCUAUGGUGUAGAGAAGAGUAAAUAAUGGAGGAGUAGAGGGAAUGGUGGAGAAGUAGAGGGAAUUGUGGAGAAGUGUGGAGGAGUGGAGGGAAUAGUAGAGAAGUGGAGAAGUGAAGGGAAUGAUGGAGAAGUGUGGAGAAGUGGAGGGAAUAGUGGAAUGAUGGAGAAGUGGGACAAGUGGAGGGAAUGGUGGAGAAGUGGAGGAAAUAGUGGAAUGAUGGAGAAGUGGGAGAAAAUGGUGGAAAAGUAGAGGGAAUGAUGGAGAAGUAGGAGAGGAACGGGGAGAUGGUGGAAUGGGUUUAGUGAAGUGAUGGAGAUGUGGGUUUAGUGAUGUGAGAGAGAGAAGUGAUCUCUCUCUCUCUCUCUCUCUUUUUUGUGUUAACAUGGUAGAUAUCAAGUUUAAGUUGAUUCUAUCUUCUUGUUUAGUACCUUUCAAAAUGUAAUUUUGUGGUUUCUAUCAACACUCUAGUCGAGUUACUGUUCUUUUUUGGUGCAAAAUAGACAUUUUUCGUAUAUGCAGUAAAAGGUUUUCCAUUGUGAAAUGGUUGAAAAUACAGGUUUUUGUAUAUUUGUUUCUAUAAAAAUUUGAAGAUCAAUUUCUAUUUGGUUUUGGUUGGUUUAGGAGAGUUCAGACGAUUUAGGUUUGCACAUUAAAACAUCUUGAUGAAAAGAAAAAUCUACAGACGAAGACCUGGAGAACAUAAUUUCCCUAUAUCUGUUUUUCAAAUGGACUCUUAAACUCAAUAAAAAGUUUUUCUGCCUGUAGACAUCUAUUAAGAUAUAUACAAAAAUUAAGAAGCUAAACAAAUGGAGUAUUUAUAAGAUUUUCCUAACAGUUUUUAACACGCUAUAUGUGUGAUUUUGUGAAAAUUUGGAUUUAAAUAAAUGUUAACUAACAUACACUGCGUUAUAGUUAGUUUAUAUGUAAUAUAGAUUUUAGGACUCAAAUGCCCUAUAUUUCUCCAACAACUGAAAAAAAAGUUCUAAAUUCUUGAGCAUUGUCUCUUUUUCUAUAUUACCUAAAUUUUUUUAACCUCUUCUUUGUCUGAUUUAUUUUCCUGUAAUGCAACUGAUCCAUUUGAAAUACUCACAGGUUCAUUUUAGAGGAGGACAUCCUGGAGAUAUUUUGUCACCCUGUGAAGGUGAAGACAGUGUGAAAUGGAGUUAUAUUAAUUCAUUGAAAGAGGUGUGGGUAAUAAAGGCAUUUUACAUGAGAUUUUGGGCUCUAUGGCCUUUUCCAUUUCUUUUACUGCUUACCAACAAAUACAUUAUGUAGCAGCCAUCAUUUGUUGCUUCUUUUUUCUCCUGUUUUUGAAUCCUUUUCUUUUUUAUUUUGAGAUAUCUGUGCCAAAUGAAGUUGGCACCUGUAAUAUCAGAUGAUCUUCCUUUCCCUAUUGCCAAAAUUAAUUGCACAGUACCUGCACAAACAAGAAAUUACUUGCCAGAGCUGACUAUUAGACUCUAGUUCCAUAGGGACGUGAACUGUUGGAAUAUGGAAUUUGCAAUGACAUAGAAAUGAGCUAGAUUUUGAUGCAAUUAUUUUCCUGCAAACAUCUUUUGCUUCUUUUUCUCUUUACCUGAUAUAUCUUCUUACGUCAGUGGUUUCUUACAUAUAUGUUUUUGCAGGCUGCCUACAUUAUAAAUGGUAACUGUAAGAACGUCAUGAAUAUGUCCCAAGCUGAUCAAUAUGACCUAUGGCAAUCAGUGUUAAAAGGUAUAUAUGCACGGUAAUAACGGUGCAAAGUUUUUAAGUAUUCUAUGAAGAUGCCCUCUCUUUGCACUGCAUCGGCACUUAAAUGAUAAUUCCAAUGAAUAAUUUAGAAGUGAUUAUCUUAUAUACAUUAUUGUUAGUCUCAAUGUUGGGGAAUGUAAACAGAUUGGAAGGCCUAUCUCUCACUUACAUAAGCAUGAUGAUCAACAGAAACGUGGUCUAUUUCAGUGCAUUCAAAUAUAUUCUCUGACUUCUCACUCCUCUACCAACUUCAAUUUGUUUUUGAAAUUUGCACUAGGUAACUUGGAUGGGUAUAUUAAAAUCUCAUCGAGGCUUAAGCUUGGACCAUUCAGAGAUGAUUCCUUGGUGAGACCAGCUUCAUCCCCAGCACAACAUCAACAACAAGCUACUGCUGAACAUGAACCUACUGGAUCAGGCAAACCAUGUUAGUCCCUUUGCAUUUAAAUUGUAAUUUCAGUUUGCCAUUACAUAAAAUGCUAGAUAUGAAUAUCUAUAACUGGGAUUAUUGUGGUGUUCAACAUUCAAAAAAGUUUGCAUGUUCAGUGGCUUGACUUUUCUAUGUUGAUGCUAGCCUGUUUUACAAAAAAGAACUAUUUCUGGUGAAUCUGUAAUAUUAGAAACUGCUAAAUUAUCAAUAAACAGUAUAAGGGAUUUUGUCAAGAAAUAAGCUACAGAAAAAAAAACCUAAUAACUUUGUCCAUUCAUAAUUUGGUAAGGUGAUUAUGGCUGAAAAAGAACCCUUUAGAUGACAUAAAGUAAAACUCUUUUAUGCUUAUUCAAAUGUACAUAGUACACCAGAUUUUCCAGAUUAAUUAACAAGUAACAAUAGACCUUAAAGUCAGUUUUUCCAAAGGGAUCUUACUUAUUAUAACAGAGUGUAUUCUAUAAAUCUUCCUCUGUACGUGGUCAGCUAUUUCAAUUCUUUGUCCUUACAGUUAUUAUUACAACAGUUCAGGAAUUUCCCUCUCAACAAUUGUAUAUAGAAGGCUUCUACUUGUUACUUAUAUAUAGUGACAAGCGUACUUCUCUUUCUUACUUACUGUUGAUCUCUUUGGUCAGGCAGGAUUCCUGUGCGGUUAUAUGUGCGAAAUAUUGGUGAUGAUCUCGAUGACUUGGAAGAUGCACCUAUAAUUGAUAGUUGGGAAAGAAUAUCUUACAUAAACCGGCCAUUUGAGAUUCACAAGGAAGAAGGUAUACAUGAAUCUCUUUAAGCAUCGUAUGGCAAUUGUUUUCUCUCUCGUCUUUCUUGAUGUUGCAGCGUGUUGCCUUUCACAUUUUCUUCAAACUUAAGCUCCCCAUAACUUUUAACAGUUCUGCUAAUAUUGUUUAUUAACUUCUUUCUUGGUAUAGUUACCAAAUUGGCCCCUGAAGUUUUAUCUAGAUUUCAAUUGCAUCUUCAGAAUUGUAACAAUAAAUUACUUGCUAUUGUUCGUCUACUGUGGUCCAGAAAAUGAAUUGUAAUGUUAAAGCUGAUGCGGCAUCUUUGUUAGGCAGUAUACAAAUGGAAGAGCUUAAUUGUUCCUAUCAGACAAACUUCAUGGACUAAUUUGUUAAUAUUGGAAUGUGAGGACCCAGUUUGAAUGAAAUGGGGUUUGAAUGUUAACAACUAAGUUCAUAACUAACCAAUACUGUGGUUAAAAUGAAAAGUUUCCUGGUUUUCUUCAUCGCAUUCGUCACUCAAGCUAAAUGAAAAUUCAUAGCUAUAUUUUCUCACUUGUUCUGAUCCUUUCUCUAUUCCGACACUCUGAUCUCUUAUCAUUUUGUUGUCUCGGCAAUUUAGUGUUGCUUCAACGAAGUAUUCAUAUGAUGCUUUAGGUGGGUAUCUGACUUUGGAGCAAGCCGUGAAGUCUCUACUACCGGAGAUCUUCGAUUUCAAACCCCCGUUUGAAGACACUCGUGAAUUGAAAAGCAAGGAGAGUCCUGAUUCAAGUUUGACGGACGCGGAGAUCGUCGACACUUCGAAGAGCGUUGAAGAAGAGCAAGCGUCAUCGGUCGCAGAAUCCGAGGUGCAUCCUCCCAAUAGGUUGAAAAUAAAGCUGAUUCGAGUGCAGGGAAUCGAAUUGGAAUCAGAUAUUCCCUUCUAUUGGGUGGCUAACAACUUAAAGAGCACCGAAUUCUUCCUCCACAUGUGCGUAUUUCUCACAGGUCCAACGAAACAUGCGAAAAUGAGAUGAGAUUCGCAAGUCAUCAUCACCUUCAUUUCCUCUUCUUUUAGUAAAUCAAUUACUUUUCUUGUAUAGGUUUCAUAUUUCAUAAUUUCCGGUUUCGUAAUUCGGUUAUCAUUGUAAAGUGUAACAUAGCCUUGUGGGAGAUGCUGAAUGUUUUAACUUGGUGCAGUUGUUUUGUCUUGCAUAACCGAUAUACAGUAAACCAGAAAAUGGCUAAUUCUGCCUAUGCAGGAGCACCGAAAAAGUUGAUUCAACUUUCAGGGACUCGCAGAUUGUGACAUUUUGUGAUCCGGAGAAUCCAUUCGGUGCAUCAAAUUUGGCGAAAAGUAGCACUGUUUCCUGAAGCUAGUUUGGAGGGAGCUUCUGCAGAAAUCAUGCAACCCUAUUUGAGUAGAGCUCUUUCAUUUUAACACCACCAACUUGGUAAAUGUCUCUAACACCUUCUAACUGCGGCAUAUGGUUUUGGCUUCAUGCUUUUGGUUAGGGGUGUUUGGUUUGCGUGGUAGGAUUCUGGAAAACAAUUUUCUGGCCGGAAAAAGUAUUUUCUAUCUAUUUGGUUCACAGAAAGAGUAAUAUUUCUGAAAAAAAAGUUUUUUUUUUUCUAGACUUCAUGAAAAAUUAGUAUUUUCGUUUUUCAGAUCUUUAAUUCGGAAAACUUUUUUUUUUUUUUUAAAACAGUUUUUCACGCAUUUCAACUUUCUAUCAAAUUUAAAAUUUCGGAAGCCCAAAAGGCGCAAAAAAAAAGAAGAAAUAUUGUGGACCUUUGUUCUUUUGGAAAAAUUAGAACAAAGUUGAUUUUGAUACCAUCAAUUCGUCUUGUUUUCAUUGGCCUUUCGUUUUAGCUGCGUUCGGUACAAGCAAUGCAUAACACUUUUCUCUUUGCUAAGGCACAGGGAUCUUUGUGUAGAUCCACGUGGAUGAUUUUUUUCCUUUUUUAAGUUAUGUUAGUUUAUUUUAUUAUAUUUCUUUUUUUUGCCUUUGUGCGCAUCUUAAAAAGCAAUAGUAUAAAGCUCCCCUCGCUCGUAGAUAAUUUUGAAAUGAUUCUCCCCUUUUUCUUUUUUUUCUUUUUUUUCUUUUUUUUUUUUUUCUGUAUUGCACUGUGUCUUUCUGCCUGUCACUGCAUGUGUUUGUGUCUUUGGCCAAAUGAAUAAUAUCACUAGCAUAGUAGCCGGUGCGAUACAACAGUUAGAUAAUUAGAAAUAAAGUAGAAAUCAUCGAUAAAAAAAAAUGGCGAUAAAAAAAAAGCGAUGAUGAGGGGUGGGAUUCAUCUUGCCGAUGAACGAAAGUAACAGUCGAAGGAAGAGAAAAAAAAAAGGAUUUGAGCUAGUUCGGAGUGGAGCCCACAUUCAACUAUGAAGGAAAAGUUGUCAUAUGGCAAUUUUGGAAAAAAUAAUAUAUAGGUAAAGAUAAAGUUGUACUAAAUUGAAGAUUUACGAAAUUUAUGGGUAAUUUCAUUGAAUUUAACUCUUUCAAUCAUUUUUUUCAAAAAAUAUUAGAAUAAUUAAUACUUACUAGUUAAUAGAGCAUCAUUUUUUUUAAAAAAUAAUUUACUAAUUAAAAAAUUAAAUAAAAAAAAAAGUUAAGGCCUCGUUUGAUAUUGUUGUCAUUUUUUGUAUUUUUAAUAAAAUUUCUACAUUAAAUAGUAUAGGAGAGAAAGAUAGGUUCCUUACAAUCCUUAUAUUUAAAAUAUUUACUCGAUAAUAGUAAAAAAAAAAAAAAAGCUUUCAAAAUCUUUUAAAAUAAAUUGUCAUCUAUUGCUUAGAUAAGAAAUGUAUCACAAGUAUAAAACAUUAUAAUAAUAAGGAAAAAUUCUUUAUAUUUUAUAUUGAAUUAUAUAAAAUUAAUUUAUAAAAAAUAAAAAAAUGACAGAUGCCAAACGAGCCUGAGUGAGUUAAUUAUUUUUUUAAAAAAAAAUAAAAACAAAAACCCUAUGAAGUGUCGUGGAUAGUACGCGUGGAGAUAUCUUCUUGUUGGGCCGAAGAAGUGCAUUAGGUAUCCUCAUGGUGGCUUUUAGUGGUGGAAGCAAGAAUAAUUAAAAGUGUAAAGUGGAUUAGAUAUGAAUCGAAUAGUUGCUAAAUGACAUUCCUAUUUGCAUUGUUUUUAGUUUUACUUUUACAUACCACCUUGAGUAUCUUCCAUCAAACCCCUAACUAAUUGUACCGGAUAUAAUUGAUCAUUCAUAUUUAUACUUUGUUAGGAUAGUCACAUGUAUUCUUCUGAAAUAUCAUGUAAAGUUUUAUUUUAUUUUAUUUUUUUUCUGUAAAGCUUAUAAAUAUACAUAUGUAUUCCUGCAAGCUUACCGUCAUUUAGUUGCUCAUUAAAUUUUUACCAUUUGAUCUAUUAUGCCCUUACUAAAGAAAAAGAUUUCUAAAUAUUUUUUUUGUUAUGUAGAAUGAUACAAAAGUAAGGAUAAAAAAAUUAAAAAUGAUAUAUAAUAUUAAAUUUAAUUAAGAAGAUAGUAAUGUUAAAUUUAAAUAUUUUUUUAGUUAUAGUCACGUGAUUGUUGUACAUUUUUGUAAAGAUUAGGACCCUUUAAAGGGUGAGGUAAAUUCAAAGGUGUGCUAGUAAUUGCUCAUUUUCAAAAGAGAAAAUUGUACAGCAAUCAUGUGUACUUUAGCUCUUCUACAAAUAUGCCAUAAACAUCUAAUUUGGCCAAUUUGAUUUUCUAAAUUUUAUAAAAUAGCGUAAUAAGUAAUGCUACAGAUACACCUAAAAAUGGAUGUAGAAUUUACACCAAUUCCAUCCAAGGAUAGGGUUCCCUCGAUCUACUAGUCACAUCAAAUGACUAGCAGGCACUUUCUAGCCCUUGGAUGGAUAGAGAGUAGGAUGUAUAUUCGUCUUUGGGUGUAUAAAUAUCUUUUUUCUAAUUUAAUUGGUCUCUCUUGUAAUUCUCACCUUCGUCUCCACCGAGGCUACAUAGCGAUUCUUCUUUUUUCUCUCCGAACCUCCUCCACUGCCUCUGUGGCCCUUCGCAAUCCACCUCCACCUCCACCGCAAGAAAUUUUUCACCCACCAAACUCAUUUAUGGGAACUCGCUGUCCUCACCACCACCGACGACGACGAAAAGGAGGCGCUUCUCGGCACUAAGAAACUCGCUAGUAAGGGAGGGGGCACGCGACCCACUGCGCCCAUCCGACGCCGGCGACGAGCGAGGUGGAGACGAAGAGGAGUGUGACGACGUCGGAGAAGAGGGCGGGGUGGCGGUGAGCGUGGCGUCCUAGAGGGCAGCAGCGAGUGCGACCUAGGCAGGGUUGAAGGCAAAGAGGGCGGGGGUGCACGAGAGCAUUUUUGAUCAAGCAUUUUUGUUUACUUAAAACAAAAAAAAAACUUAAAAUUAAAAACUAAAAAAUAAGAAAGAAGAACUAGAGAAGAAGGAAGAAGAAGAUGAAGCUCUACAAUGUUAAAAUAAAGUUACAUUGUUUUACAAGAACGUUACACUAUUAUAGACGUAAAUUACACUCUUUGAGAUAUAAACUGCACCCUUUAAGAUGAAAAUUAUACUCUUUAAAUAAAAAUUACACUCUUUAGGAAACAGUUACACUAUUUCUCCUCCCAAAGAGUAUCCUUUAAGAUGAAAAAUAUAUUUUUUAAAUAAAAAUUGCACUAUUUGAAAGAUAGUUAUACUAUUUCUUCUCCCAAAGAGCACCCUUUGAGAUAAAAGUUAUAUUCUUUAAAUGAAAAUUGCACUAUUUGAAAAAUAGUUACACAGUUUCUUCUUUCAAAUAGUGUAAUUUUUAUUUAAAGAUUAUGACUUUCAUCUUAAACGGUGCAGUUUAUAUCUCAAAGAGUGCAACUUACAUAUAUAAUAGUGUAACGUUCUUCUAAAAUAGUGAAACUUUAUUUGAAUAAUGUAAUUUUAUCUUCUUUUUUCUUCUUCUCUAGUUUUUCUUAUUCUCUAAUUUUUGAUUUUUAGUUUUUUUUGGCUAAAUUACAGAAAACCUCAUUGUCAAAACCCGAUUUUUCACUUUCCCCCCUUGUCAUUUAAAACCUACACUUUGACCCCUUGUAAAAUAAAAAAUGUUCACAGGGGAUACGGUGUAAACUGUGAUGAUAAAAUGACCAUUUUACCCCUCAUCAUAUUCACAGGAGAGAAAGCUGAUGGCAUUUUUGGCAUAACAAAAAUAUAAUAAUAUUUUAUAAAUGGAAUCGAUUACUAACAGCAGGGGGCGAAUUGAACAUUUUUUAUUUUACAAGGGGGGAAAAUGUAGGUUUUUAAAUUAUAGAGGGGGAAGUGAAAAAUCGGGUUUUGACAGAGGGGGUUUUAUGUAAUUUAGUUUUUUUUUUAUAUUUUAAGCAAACAAAAAUGCUUGACUAGAAAUGCUCCCGUGCACUCAUUGCCUUCCUCGCCUCUGACCCCGUCGACACCGUACUCGUCGCUGCCCUCUAGGACGCUACGCUCGCCGUCGCCCCGCCCUUUUCUCCGGUGUUGUCACGCUCUCCCCCAUCUCCACCUUGCUCGUCGUUGGCGCCGGAUGGGCGCGGUGGACGGCGUGCCCCCUCCCUUGUCAGCGAGCUUCUUAGUGCCGAGAAGCGCUUUUUUUUCAUCGUCGUUAGCGGUGGUGAGGACUGCGAAUUCCUAGAAGCGGGUUUGGUGGGUGAAAAAUUUGCUGCGGCGAAGGUGGGUCGCGAAGUGUUGCGAAUACGGUGGAGGAGGUUCGGAGAAAAAAAAAAAGAAGAGGAUUGCGACACAGCCUCGGCGGGGUUGGAUGCGAGGAGGGUGGGGCGUGAGCGGGCGCUAGUGAGGGCGCAUAGGGCGGAGGUGAGGAGAGACGUCCCAAAGGGCGGCGGCGAGCGCAGCCUUCGUGGGAUUAGAGGCAAGGAUGGUGGGUGGUGCGCAGGUGAGGGCGAGGGCGCGGUGGGCAGAGGCGAGGCGAGCCCCCCUACGCCUCUCUCUUCAGAGAAGAAAAAAAAAAGAACGAAGAGAAAAAAAAAGAAGAGAGAUGAAGGAAUAAGGGUAUUUUGGUUAAUUUUUUGAAAAUUCAAUUCGAAUCUGUAAAAUUGAAAAAGACGGCUCAAUUUUGUAAAAGCUCAAAACUUAUGAAUUUUUAUACAAAUUGACCGUGCAACAAUUACUAUCAGUAAAAUAUUAUAACAAUUUUUAAUAUUAUAUUAUUUUAUAGUUUUUAAUACUUAUUAAAUAAUACGAUAUAUAGCCAAAUAUUGUAAUAUUUUUAUUUUUUUAAUAGGGAAAGAACAAAGAAAAAAAAAAAAAAGAAAAAGGAGAGGAUAUUGACGUCCCUUUCUGUCCCUCUUCCUCCUCCACUAUCCACACGUCGUCGUUGUCGCAACCUCAGCCUCUUCGACCUCUGCCUUACCAUCGUCAAGGGGAAUCCCUCCGAGAUCCCUCGUGUUUGUAUCCCCGUACCAAAUCCGCAACGACAUCCACAGAGGAGGAGAAAGAAGAGGAAGGCAGUGUACGAAAAGGAUAGAGAGGAUGGGAGUGAUGACGACGUCGAAGAAAAUGAGCGAGAUGAGACAAAAAAAAAAAGAGAAAGGAAUAAAAAUAUUUUUAUUAUAUUUUAAAAUUUUGGACAAAAUCUGUAAAAUUUUAAAAAAUAAUAUGGUUUUGUAAAAAAUGUAAAAUUAAUAAAUUUUUUUAUACAAAUUAAACUAAAAAACAUAAGAUGCCAAUAGAAAAAAGGUUAGGGCAAUUUUGUAAUUUCAAGCUUUUUCGUCUGAUGUGGGGAUCAUUGGAAGCUGUGGGCUGGCCCACGGUCCAUCCACGCACGUCGAACCAACGGUCACGCUUCCGACACCCUUGCCCGUGGAGCCCCCCUUAAUUUCGCGACACGUGUCCCCCCCAACGGUGGACCCCUCCACGGCGCCUUCAUCGUCCGCCUCGAAAAGCGUCAUAUCCCUCGGCACAUUCCGUUAUCUCUAACGGAGAUCGUCGCUCCUCCGUUUCCUAUAAAUACCAUACCCCCAACACACCACUCGUCGGUCGUCUCCUCUCCUCAGAUCCCAUCUCCACCACCAACACCUUUAAAGCUAUCUCCUCCGCGCUUUCGAGAAGCCUCUCGAUUCCUCUCCCUCUACCCUCUUCUCCCUCUCCUCUAGGGUUUCUCGAUCGCCGAUGGCGACCGUCGCUUUGAACCCUGUAGCCGCCGAGGAGAAGCUCGGGAAGCUACGCUCUGCUGUUGCUCAACUCGAUCAGAUCAGGUAUGUCGCCGUGAAACCCUCGCUGAUUUUCGUGCUUUUGCUUCUUGAUUUCGCCUUUGGAGCUUAUCGAUCUCUGAUCUCGUGCGAUUCUUGCGAUAUUUUUCCCUCUUUUUGCAGUGAAAAUGAGAAAAACGGGUUCAUCAGUCUCGUCGCUCGCUAUUUGAGGUAGGUCUGAUGCAAUUUGAGUAGUUUUUUUGAACUGAUCCGACGCUUCUUGCAUGAGUAGAUAUUCGAUUACUUUAUCUUCUUAAUUCUUGAUGUUUGAGAGUUUUUUCCCUUAAAUCUUUGGUGUUCUUGAUGUGAUUGAAGUGGAGAGGCGGAGCAGAUCGAGUGGAGCAAGAUCCAGACUCCGACUGAUGAAGUCGUGGUGCCUUAUGAGGCCCUCGCACCUCCUCCGGAAGGUUUGUUUUCAAUUUAAUUAUGAAUUUCGGAGCCACUUGUCCUAGUUCGGUGACCUUUAAUGGAUCUCGCUGAAUAGGAAGUUGCGUUUGUGUUUCGUAAAUUGCAGAUCUUGAAGCAACUAAGAAGCUUCUUGACAAGCUUGCCGUGCUGAAGCUCAAUGGAGGACUGGGGACGACAAUGGGAUGCACUGGACCGAAGUAAGUGAAAGAAUCUUAUUGAAUGAUAUGGAUCUUUCGUAAGAAUCAAAAAAUUUUCUUAAUUGCUCUUCUUUUCUAGAGAAAUAUGUUGCGUGGUUAGCUGAUCUAACAUUUCCUUGUGGAUAAACAGUGGAAUAUUAGGAAUGAGGAUCCUUGAUUUUACGACCUUUGUAUAACACUAUCAGUGAUGAAUAUAUUGAUUGGUUACUUCUAUUCCAACUCACUCCAACCAUUACUAGAUUUACAUUUUGCCUUUCAUAAGAAAGGCGGAUACUAUUUUUUUUGGUUUUAACUCUAACUAAUAACGAGGCUAAUGGAUAAAUCCAUCUUGGUAGGGGUGUAAAUUAAAGGAAUAGCAUAUGCUUUCAAAAUCCACAUUAAUCUUUUGUUUGUAUAAGAAAUCCUGUGUAAUGAUUUUAUAGGACUCUGCUUUUGCUUUUCCUUUUAUAUUGUACUGUUAAUGCAGACUGCUGAUGGAACUUCAUUGGGAAAGAUUUUGAAAACCUAAUUUACCUAUUUAUCAUUUGUUGUUUCUUAUUAAACACAAUGAGCUAAACUGUCGAUAAUUGACUGUUCAAUGCAUGGGUUUAUAAGUUUCUUCAAUUUGCAACAAUUGUCAUUGAGAUUCACCUAACAGAUGAUUUAAUGUUGCAGGUCUGUCAUCGAAGUUCGGAAUGGAUUCACAUUCCUUGACUUAAUUGUUAUUCAAAUAGAGGUACUUCUGGCAUCUAUUGUUUCACUCAGUGAGGCCAUGCGUGCGUGCGUGUGGGCGUGCGUAUGUUUAACUUCGAUCAUGAUCUUCAUGUUUUAGUUUCAUUAAUUGGUAACUUACUCUAUGUUAUACAGUCUCUCAACAAGAAGUAUGGGUGCAAUGUCCCUUUGCUUUUGAUGAAUUCGUUCAAUACUCAUGAUGACACAUUGAAGGUAACUUUCUAUGCUUCUACUUUUUGGAUAUAAAAAGUGACUCGUAAAUAUUAUUUCUGUUUGCUCACAAAUUGAAACAUUUAUGAAGAUUGUGGAGAAGUACACCAAUUCAAACAUCGAGAUUCAUACAUUCAAUCAGGUCAUGCAACCUGCGCUAUGUGUUCUACGUGAAUUUGAAAUUUUGGUCAUUUCGCUAAUAGUAUAGUCUAUAUUAAUGACUGUAGGUAAUACUAACACGGCUAUUCCUAACUUAUGCAGAGCCAGUACCCUCGUUUGGUUGUUGAGGACUUUAUUCCCUUGCCGAGCAAAGGGAAAGUCGGGAAGGAUGGCUGGUUAGUUGUGUUGAAUACUGAUUAUCCUGUAAGAUGUAUAGAGUUUCAUACAUUACUUUCAUGCAAUUUUUUCAGUUGUUAUUAAUGUAAUCCGAGUCCUAUCUUAGAAAUGAGUUGUAAGGAUACGAUAACCUCAAUCUGUCUCUCUCUUGCCCCUUUCCAUACGUACUUCUAUUGUUUUGUACACUCCAUAGUCACUAUAGUACUAUCUACAAAGCACUGCCAAGUAUCAAAUGAUUUUUUGCCCAUUUGAGUUAGGUCUACUACGGUUGACUAGACUUGGGUGCAUAAUUAAACAAGGAAGGAAAUAAUAACAGAUGUCACUCCAUGAAGUAUCUGAUAUUCUAUUAUUUGGAUAAGAGCUGAAACAUGUUGAGACAAGUAGAUAAAGUUUACGCUCAUUUUCUUGUGUUUCAACGUAUUGAGCUUAGAAACGUCGUUGAUUCGUUUGUACUAUCUCAUCUGAUGAUUGGAACUCUCAAGUGUGCUUGAUGUGGACUCUAAUAAUAUAGAUUGUUUGGUCUGUUAUGUAGUAGUCUGCCCUUGUUCUUUCCUCCAGUUUCUUCUACAUUCACUUAGUAAUUUCUUCUAGAAUUGCAGUUAGAUACAUUUGCAGUUUAUUUAUGGAAAAAAGCCAUUUAAUGUGGGAGGAGUUCAAUUGUAGAAAGAAAUCAAGUUAGACAAGGCCUCGUGUUGAAUUGUGUCAUUUUUUGUUCUGUUUUUUUAUUAAAUAGAAUUUAUGCAUGGAAUAGUGUUGGAGACAAUGACAAAUUGUUUGUAAUCCUUACAUCUGACAGUCUGUUUGGCAACAAAAUUAAAAGCUUGGAAGCAACUACUUAUUUACUGGAAAGAUCUUUUUUGAAGAUGUUGUCAUCCAUACUUCGCACGGGCGCAUUGCAAGCUAACCAAUCAUAACAAGAAGAGAAAACUCCUUUUGUUGAUAUAUCAAAUUAUAUAGAAUGUGUUGAAAAGAUAAAAAUGGCAAUGAUACCAAUAAAGGCCUAAGUUUUCUAAAUCAAAGAUAAUCUGGAAAAGGAAAUGAAAAAAUGAUUAGAAUUAGAAUGAUAUUAAAUGGGAUCCCAGCAAAGAGAAAUCUUAGGUGUACUUUACCGUUUGCUCACUAAUAUCCUUUGUAUGGUAUUGAAUCAUUUCAAAUGAGAGAUGGGCCGUAUGAGCCACUACAGUAAGAUUAGGUGCCAUCUUUGGUAAUUUUGGAAUUCAGGGCCAUGAUCCCUGCUAACCCGUCUCCAUUUCUGUUUAUAUAAGGAAGGUGAUUGAGCCAAAAGAACGCUAAAUUUUGUAUUAUUGAUGCACAAGUGCAUCAAAAAGAAGAGCUGCAUAAUGAAAAAAAGUCCACCCACAAUUGAUAGGCACAGUUUCCUUGCCCAGCGAUACUCUAUAUACCUAAUUUUGGGUUUUGUUUCCAACUUAUCAUAGAGUUGACUUUUUGGCUGAUUUCUAAGUUCAGCCAUAAUAAACAAAAAAAUGACAUAAUGUCCUUUUGCUUAUGUGAUAAUGGAAUUCAACACAGGAAAAGAAGGAAGUUGUUAUCUGUUUAUAUUAGGUUAUCAGGAAUUGGAAUAAGGUCAGUUUUUAGGACCGCCAAAUAUAUGAAGUCAAGUUAUCUUCCCAUUUGUAGCAAAGCUUAUAUACUUCCCCGUAAUUAUUUUUGAUUUUGGAAGGAAAUCAGUCUUCAGAAACCAAAUAAAGUCGUAAUACAAGCAACAAUUAGUAUGAUGAUAUCGGUCGACAUUGCCUUGUGAACGAAGUACUUACCUACAUUAUUCCACUUCGCCGCCAGGGUAAAAUAUCAUGCUCUGCAUGUUUGACCUUGUUAAGAAUUUAGCAUUUAGUAAAUAAUACAUUCAGGUAAAAUUUCUGUGGUAGGUGCUAAACUAGUAUCUGAUGGUUCAUUAUCAUUCUGUACCUGCAGAAAGGGCAACAAAGGGAACAUCGGACUGUCUCUGUCUUAAGUCAUAGGGGGACCAGACUUGUAUUGAUUAAAAUAUUCUGUAGAAAUGAGUAUUCAUGACAGCCAGCAUUGCUAAGUAAUAUACGAAUGUCUGUGGGCUGCUGUUUUGCAAGAGCUUAUUCAGAUGCUCCUGGAGGUCAACUUUGAUGUUGGUCUUUUGAUGGUAAUUAGCUGUUAUUUUAGUUAAUCCAAGCAACUUUGACGGGCUCUCUGUUUAAUUAAGCAGCUAAAGUAAUUCUGUCAACGAGAAGUCACCAUCAGGAAGAGAGAGCAUGGCAAUGAUAUGUGCCAUUAGCAAUUACUUUACUCUUUUAAAUAGUUUCCUUCAAUAGGAACUUCAAAUUUUAGAUGACCGAUUUGCCUUAUUUGAUUCUUAUCUUGAUCUGGUGCCUUAUGCUGCCAGGACUUUUUCAAUGAAUAUAGAAUUGACAUUCUGUGUUACAAGGAUUGACAUGUUUAUUUUACUUUGUUCUGUGAUGUAUUAAAAAUGCAUCUGAUUUCAGGUUUAGUAAAUCUUUGCCCAUGGACAUAAAAAUCAAUGUUUUGAUAAUUUGGAUCAGUAAAUUAAGAGGGAAAAAAAACUAAAAUAUAUGGACGAAGGCCGUUUUUCGUUUUCUAUUGCUGUAUUGACUAGUCCUGUUUUAAGAUCUGAAUCUUCACAUGUUCACUUUGAAAUUGAAGGUAUCCUCCUGGCCAUGGUGAUGUAUUCCCAUCAUUGAUGAAUAGUGGGAAGCUUGAAGCCUUACUAUCUAAGGUUAGAAUGAGAAAGCAGAAUAAACCAUGUAAAACUUAAUAUUGCUUCUUGUGUAGCCUGUACUUUCAAAUCAUAUAUUCUAUCCAGUAAUAUCUUUUAUAAGCUACCGUCUAUGUUCACUUAUUAAUAUAUUUAAUGUUUCUAUACAAACCUCUUUCAGGGUAAGGAGUAUGUCUUCAUUGCAAACUCUGACAACUUGGGUGCCAUUGUCGACUUAAGUAUCCUUAUAAUAAUUGUGGUUGUGCACUCAUGAUUAUUAAUCCGAGCUUGCCUGGUUUUUAACUUUUAGUAUGUUAUCUGGAUUGUUUAUUUUGUGUAUCAUCCUUGACCAACCAAAACAGAAAUCUUAAACCAUUUGAUUAAUAACCAGAAUGAAUAUUGUAUGGAGGUAUGUUCUGAUUCGUUUAAUUUAGUAAUAUAAUUUGUUAGUCCCAUAUUCAAUUCCUCUAGUGCUGCUCAGGUUACUCCAAAAACUUUGGCUGAUGUUAAAGGUGGUACACUGAUCUCAUAUGAAGGAAGACUUCAGGUAGUUGGGAAUGAAUUAUUCAUUUUGCUGACAUGGAUUCGCUAUUCAUCCUUUUAUAUUCCACUUUUAUUAUUGAAGCCGGCUUAGAUGUUUGAGUUGUUGCAGUAUGUCUUGUAAAUUUUAAUGAGGUUAUUACAUAUGCACCUGCAAAAUUAUCUUUUACAUCCCAGCAAUAUCUGAAUUUUCACGUAUGCUUUUCAAAACUUUAUUUGUCACACAUAUAUCCUUGUAAUUGUUAAAAUGCCCGGAUACAAAAGAGCUUUUAAUACAAAAACCAGCUUCCCACUAAUUGAAUGGCCUUCAACAUAAAAAAGUUAUUGCUGUAAAAAUUUCACUGCUGGGGGGUUAAGGGAAUAUUGACAUAAAUAGAUAAUUUUGCAGGGAUACGUAUAUAAGGGUCCUAAAUUUAAUUGAUGGUGAAUUAUUUUGCUAUUCUCAUUUAGCAGCCACGUAAUUUAUCUACCUACAAACUACUUGCUGAAACUUUUGCAAUUUGAUUCUGAAACUUCCCAAUCAUUGAUCUACAACAGUGUGAUUUCAGUAAUUAGUUACUUAAGCAAAAGAAAUUGUUACUAAUGUUCAAAACUGAGAACUGUCAAUGAAUGAAUUUCCGUGAAGUCAUUUGUCACUUCGACCAAUGAGUUAACAACUGGUUGAAGUAAUGAUAUCACAUGAUGUCAGAAUUGUAGUAAACUGCAUGUAAACUAAAAAUCGACUUGCAUUUAGACAAUGAGGAAAACCAGAAUAAAGGGGUGAAAAAAUUAUCCAAACCCCAAUUUAUGGUAUACUGAGUAGGUUUAUGCUUACCACUUGAGCAUCCAUAUGUUUAUGUCUGCAUUGUUGCAUGAUUAUAAGCAUGUAGUUCAGGCAAUUGCUGACCAACUAUACUGCCAUAUAUAUGUAGAAUUGGCGAGUUAAACCAUUUCAGCAGGAAUGAGAUACUCGAACUCUUAUUUUAUUUAAAGUCAUCAUGGCGUAUUGUUGUUUACAAUUCAACUUCUGUAUACACAAUGUUUACCUACUGUUGACCAAUUCUUCUCUGCAUAUGCUGAUUAGAGCUUCACUGCUUUCUGUUUGUUGCUUUUCUGACAUUUUCAUGUACAAAAUUUUUGCAGCUUUUGGAGAUUGCACAAGUUCCUGAUGCGCAUGUAAGUUCAGAUAUGAAAUUUAUGUUUUGCUUAUCAUUUAUAUAAUGUCUCAAUAAAGUUCUACAUGUCUAAAAUCUGCAUAUCUAUGAAUCAGAGCAAUAAUGACUAAUAUUGACAUGAAUAAUUUUCUGGUGAUGCAGGUGAAUGAAUUCAAAUCAAUUGAGAAGUUCAAGAUUUUCAACACCAACAACCUGUACGUUAAUUAAGAUUUCAUAGAAUUUUGGAUUUAAUCAUCUUGGUCUGAUCGAAACAAUUCUGGUUAACACAACAGAUGGGUGAACUUGAAGGCCAUCAAGAGGCUUGUUGAAGCUGAUGCUCUGAAAAUGGAGAUUAUUCCAAACCCCAAGGUAAUUAUCCAUUGUAGCUUAUCUUUAUCAUCAUGAGAAAAUGGGAACAAUGCUGACAAAAUAUUAUAUAUAGGAAGUGGAUGGCGUGAAAGUUCUUCAAUUGGAAACAGCAGCUGGAGCAGCCAUUCGGGUAUUUACCAGACAUCAUUUUUUUUCCUUUUAAAAUUUUUUUUUGCUAUAGUGAGAAAUUCUUACUUUUUAACACAUAAUCAGUUCUUCGACAAUGCAAUUGGUGUUAAUGUUCCUCGAUCCCGCUUCCUCCCAGUGAAGGCAACGUCAGAUUUGCUUCUUGUGCAGGUUUAGAUUCUCCUCCUGAAUAUGAUAAGCAAUUCGUUGUGAGCAUUCUUUGUCUUUCUAAGACGUGUCUUUAUGCAGUCCGAUCUUUAUACCUUGGUUGAUGGCUUUGUUAUCCGUAACAAAGCUAGGACAAACCCGUCAAAUCCCACAAUUGAACUGGGACCUGAGUUUAAGAAGGUAAACUCAAAUUUAACAAACUUUUUAUUUACUAGAUCAAGAGCACUGAAGUUUAUUCCAAUGCUGUAGGUUGGUGACUUCCUUAAACGCUUCAAGUCCAUCCCCAGCAUAGUUGAGCUCGAUAGUUUAAAGGUUUCUGGUGAUGUAUGGUUUGGUGCUCGCGUUGUCCUUAAGGUAACUAUGCACUCACCUGUUCUUGUGUUUUUACCAUCUCUUAUUGGUCAAAUGUCUUAUAUCCUUUUCCUUUUUUUACCGUUUCUUAUUGGUCAAUGUUUUAUACUUUUUUACAUUUUAUCGUCACUACUGCCUGACAAGACAUCAGAAUUCAUCCCAACAAGAUGUAAUCGUGUUACUGCAUCAGGCAUAUAUAUAUGUAUACACACACACACAUACACUUAGAAUUUGGUAGUCAUAUCAAAUAUAGAGGAAAAACUAUUACUUCAGAUCAAAUCUACACUGAUUGACAUGUGCAUUGUCGUUAGUCAAGGGCCCACAAAAGCUGUGUUUCUAUAUUAUUCCUUUUAUUUGUACGCCUCUUUAGCUUCGCCAGAGCAAAAUGAGGCAGUAUACUUCGUACUUGAUGUUCUGCCACAGGGGAACCUACAAUUCAUGUUUGUUAUCCCACCCAUAGUUAGUUAAUUCGGAUUCGGCAAAAAUUCGGUACGAGUAUAAUACGUAUAAAAUUCGUUUUCUAAUUUUUAAAUUCGUUGAAAAAUUCGGCUUAAAAACGGAUUCGGUAUAAAAUAUAAAAUAUAAGAUAUAAGAUAAUUUAUAUUUAAAUAUAAAAAUUAUAUGUUUUUUAUUCAUAUUUUUUAAUAAUUCGGGAAUAAUUCGCGAAUUAUUCGGCGAGCCCAAAAAUUCGCGAAUAAUUCUAUCUUUGGAAAAAAUUUGUAAACGAACCGUUUAAUUCGGAUUUUCAAUAAUUCGUGAAUAAUUCGCGAAUUAACUAACAUAGAUCCCACCUGCCGACACUCUUUAAUGUAUCCAAAUUAAUCCCUUUUUAAUCUCAUUUACUCACUGGUUGAAACAUAUAGCUUGGAGACUUUGGGAUAAUCGAUCAGCAAGGCUCAACCUAGUUUCCCGUCUGUCCUUCCUGAGGCACUUGCGUCGAUGCAAAAGGCAAACGCUAGAGUCAACGCANAAUGUAUCCAAAUUAAUCCCUCUUUAAUCUCAUUUACUCACUGGUUGAAACAUAUAGCUUGGAGACUUUGGGAUAAUCGAUCAGCAAGGCUCAACCUAGUUUCCCGUCUGUCCUUCCUGAGGCACUUGCGUCGAUGCAAAAGGCAAACGCUAGAGUCAACGCACCUUGUCUUAGGGCUAAAGUCACUGUCUGUUUUUCUUGCCUCACCCAAGCAUCUAUGCAGGCUAGGCACUAGAGAAACCUUUUGCUGUUAAAAAGAAAAAAAAAAAAAACUGCGGCCGUAAUACAACUUGUCAGCUUUCAUCUAUCUAUCUUGUACCAAAGAACAUGCUCUUUAUUUAUAGUUACUCAUUUAGUUUUAUAACCCUGCUAUCUGCCUAAUACUUACCAAUCUAUUCUUAUCUGUAGGGCAAGGUCGUCAUCGCUGCAAAACCCGGUGUGAAGCUCGAGAUCCCAGAUGGAGUCGUGCUUGAGAACAAGGUAUUAAAGGAGAAUAUGGCAAAUAUUCUUUUUUUCCUUUGUCGAUGCCCAUAGAAGUUUCAUGCUCCUUUAUUAAGGUAAAUCUGUUUUGUUUGCUUAUUUCAGGAGAUCAACAGCCCGGAGGACAUCUAAGCAUAUGCUUGACCUUCUCCAGUUUUGUUUCAGUCAUGUUUCGCCCAGGUCUGAGGGUUUGUGUUAUCUCAUCUAUGCUCCAGGUUUUAUAUAUAAACAUGCCUGAGUAACCAUAAUAAUAAUAAUAUAUGUACUCUGUGCUCGCGCACCAUUUUUGUUUUGAGGCAUAUUUUUUUCUCUUAGUAGGAUUAGAAUAUAUGUCGUUGUAUGAAUAAUGAGAAGCACCCUACUUUUUAAGGAUCUAUUGAAGCAUUCAGGAUCAUAGGAAGGAGAAAGUAAUAUUUCAAUGGACGAACGCGUGUUGGUGUUAACCUUUUUACUUGGGUUAAGAUUCUCUUUACAGCGACUUUGAUAGUUAGUUAAACAAGAUUGAGUUUAGUGUUGUAAACUAGUAAAUUAUUAUUAUAAGUUUAAGGUUUAUUUGGCCUGAGGGCUAUCACGUCACUGACACGUGGUAUGCUGGUGUGUUGGCAUGGUCAGCACGGGCGGCUCGCGUUCCGCUCGCGUCACUGACACGUAGGGCUGGCAAACGAGCGAGCCGGCUUGCAUUCGGCUCGUGUUCCGCUUGAUAUUCGGCUCACUCGAGCUCGACUCGAAAUUAAAUGAGCUGAGCUUGAACAAAAUAAAAGGCUCGAAAUUCAUUUCAAGCCGAGCUUGAGUAUUACUCGGCUCGUUCGAAUUAGGCUCGAAAAGCUCGAAUAUAUAUAUAAGUCCGGCUACUAUACUUUUAUGAGUAUUGGCUCUCUUAUACUCAUAAGUUUUCGGCCCUUAGAUUUAUUCCCUUGGUCAUUUUGAUCCGUUAGAUCAUACUAUUCAACCAAUUACCCACUCAACUCUAGGAGACCGCUAUCAUUUUAAGUGGAGACCACUAUCAUACUAACCACACAUCCCAUCAAUCAACGGUUAAAAAUUUAUGAGUACAAGGGUGUCUAUACUCAUAAAAGUAUAGAAGCCCCAUAUAUAUAUAUAUAUAUAGUUGGACUGGGCUACUAUUAGUAGCAAAAUUCCAUUGUUGCUACCAGUUUUUUAGCCUUUGGAUCAACUCUUUUCAUUAUUUCUAACCAUUGGAUUAAAUACUAUAACCCAGUGGGGACCACUCAACCCUAGGGGGACCACUCAACUCUAACUGACUAAUAUCAUCCUGACCCUAUAAUUUUUCAUCCAAGGGUUAAAAACUUGAUAGCAAAAAGAGCGUUUUACUAUUAAUAGUAUUCAACCUAAUAUAUAUAUAUAUAUAUAUAUAUAUAUAUUAUUAUAUAUAUAUAUAUUAUAUAUAUUAUAUAUAUAUAUAAUGUGAGGCUACUAUGCUAUCGAAGCAUGGACCUUCCGUGCUUCCAGCUUAUUUUCGAUGUUGCGACUUUGAAUCGUCGAUCGGCUCCUUUAACUUGAUCUAGAUUAUUUGAAGUAUCUAGAAAAUAAUUUUAUGAUUUACGAUAUCAUUUGCCUAGUAAUGAAGGGGCUCAAAAUCAACGGCUGAAAAUAAAAAUCUUACAAAAUGUAAUAAUAUGACAUUGAAAUUUUAAAUCAAAGAUAUUGAUCUUUUAUAUAGUAUAAAGAAUUUCUAUCAAAAUUUCACAUGAUUUGGAUAUUUCUGCACCGUUAAACUUGCAAACGGCUCACUACGGCCAUUGAAAUUUGUUGAUUUUGAGCGCCAUUCGAUCACUAGGCAAAUGAUAUCGAAAAAUAAUAAAAUUUAUUUUCUAGGUACUCCAAAUACUCUAGAUCAAGUUUAACGGAGCGAGAUCGACGAUUCGAAGUCGCAACAUCGAAAACGAGCUAGAAGCACGGAAGGCUCCAUGCUUCCGAUAGCAUAGUAGCCUAUAUAUUAUAUAUAAUAUAUAUAUAUAUAUAUAUAUAUUAUAUAUAUAUAUUAAUAUUUAUUAAAAAUAAUGUAUUUAAUUAUAUAUAGGCUUUAAUUUAAUUUGGGUCAUUAUUGUUGGCCAUAAAAUAAACCCAACAAGUACAACGUUGCAAUUGACCAAACUCUAAAUUUACAUAACACACUCUCUUUUUCAGACUUUCACUGUUGCACAUAACUCUAAAACAUGAUAACAUUCAAAUUUCUCAAAUUCUAAUUUUUUUCCCUCUUCUCUCUCUCUCUCUGACCUCACCCAGUCAGGCAGUCACCUAAGCUCACAUUUCUUACAAUUAUUUUGUUUUUGAACUAUUGGACAUGUUACAUCAAAUUAUAGGUAAUAUUCUAUAAAAAUUAAAUAUUGAUUAUAUAAUGUCGAGAAUUUUCAAUCGGCUCGUUUAGAGUCUCGAGCUCGCUCGUACUCGAAAUUAGGCUCGCUCGAGCCGCGGUCGAAUUAUUUCAAGCCGAGCUUGAGCCUAGAUUUAGGCUCGAAAUUAAUUUCAAGCCGAAUUUGAGCUGACAUAAGCUCGCUCGAGCUCGGCUCGUUUCCACCCCUAAAUAGCCGUCACUUACAUAUAAUAUUUUCAAAAUACACUUGCAUAUAAUAUUUUAGCUAUUCAAUCUUCUAAAUCUCCUCAUCCAUCUCCUGAUCCUUAUCCUAGAAAUAAUGCCAAAUACAACCGUUGAAUUAUAUUUGAUGGUGUUGAGAAAAAAUUUAAAUUCUAUGGUUGUAAGUAACUUAUUUUAAAAAAGAUAGAUAUUAAUUGAAAUAGAGUGGAAUUAACCUAGAUGUGAAUGACAUUUUUGAAAAAAAUAAAAAUAAAAAUAAAAACUCACUCUUUUAUAAAUAGUAUAAUUAAUAGAGUGUAAAUUUUUUUCAAUUUGUAUGAUUAUUGUAUUGUUCGAAUUUUCAAAUGCAAUGUUUUUCAAAUCUAUGAAAUUGUUUGUUGUUUCGAUUUUUAAUUUUAUUUUACAAACCAAGUAUACAUCAUUUUCUCAAUAUGUGUACUUUAAAUCAUAGAAAUUUUUUUUUUGAAUCUAUGCACUUUUUUUAAAUCUUCUCCUUUAUGUAUAGUAAUAUAUUUUGAUCAUAUUAAUUUUUAUGAUCUAUUUAAAAUUUAAAGGUUGUUAAUAUUUUUUUUAAAAAAAUUUUAGAAAAAAAUUUUAUUAUUUUUGAAUAAAUAAAUUGUGUAAUGCCUAUAUAUAUUUAAUCAUACGUGAUAUUUAAUCAUAUGUGAUGUAUGGCACAUUAAGCUAUUCCAUUUAUUUUGAUUUUGAAUUAUUAUAUUAUUUUGAAUUUUUUUUAAUAUCAUUUUAAAGAAUUUUUUAAUUUGUGAAAAUUUUUUAAUAUUGUUUGGUUUUUAAGUUUUCCUGGGAUUUAAUUUACGUCUAUUAGAAGUUUGAAAAAAUUAAAUUUCUUUAGAAAAUUAAAAGUUAUGUAUUUAGUUUUUCAAAAAUUUUAAACAAUAUAUUUUAUAUUUUUACUAUUUUAUGCAACGUGUAUUUCACGCGCACUUAGCAAGUAAAUCUAAGUUAGAAACUAAAAUGAAGAAUUAGAUAUAGAUUGAGAAUAUCGGGUAGAACCAAAAUAUCUUUUCAAUUGUCCGAUGAGUAGGAUGACAAUGAAGUACCGGCAAAGGUGACGAUGACGAUGUGCUAGCGAAUGCAACGAUGAUUGGUGAAGGUGACGACGAUAACAUGUUGCCACCGAUGAGGACAACAAUAAUUAAUGUGUCCGAAGAACGAUAGCUUGCGUAAUUAAUAUGAGAGAUAAAAGAUCACGAAGAUGCAAAUUUAUUAGUAUUUAAAAAUUUUUAAAAGUAAAAUAAAAUAUACGAAAGAAGAAUUAAGUGGGAAAUUAUAUUAUGACACUUUAAAAUGAAUUAGAUAUCUUUUUCAAUGAAGAAUUUAUAGAUUGAGAAUAUCGGGUAGAAUCAAAAUACCUUUUCAAUUGUCAGAAAAUUGAUUGUUUCGGUAAGUAGGAUGACAACGAAGUACUGGCAAAGCUGACGAUGACAAUGUGCUAGCGAAGGCAACGAUGAUCGGUGAAGGUGACGACGAUGACAUGUUGCCACCGAUGAGGACGGCAAUAAUGUGUCGAAAAAACGAUGACUUGCAUAAUUAAUAUGAGAGAUAAAAGAUAAUGAAGAUGCAAAUUUCUUCCGACUGACUUGCGCAAUUAAUAUGAGAGAUAAAAGAUUAUGAAGAUAAAAUUUAUUAGCAUUUAAAAAUCUUUAAAAGUAAAAUAAAGUAUACGAAAGAAUAAUUAGAUGGAAAAUUAUAUUAUGACACGUUAAAAUAAAUUAGCUGAGCCAAAAUACCUUUCUAACUGCAGCAAAGACGACCGGGGAUGACUAUGAUGAAUGAAUAAAAUAUUACUAAAAUAAUAUAUGUGAGAAAACAAAAUUAAUAUAUUUCAAAAAACGUAGUGGAAAUGGAAAAGAUAUAGAUAGAGAUGAGAAAUUAUUAAAAAAAAAUAUACUUUAUGCAUCGAUAAGUAUUAUGAUGAAAUAAAAUUGGGUAGGAGAGAAAAAUUUCAUAUGUGAGGGUAUUAAGAUAUUUUUUGUAUUAUGCGUAAAUGAUGGGCAGGUAUUACACAGAAGAAAUAUUUAUACAAUAUUUUUCAGUUUCUUACGAAUUCAAAAUUUAAAUAUAUAUAUUUUAAAGUAAAAAUAUUAAAAUUUUAAUUAUAUUUAAAGUUAAAAUUUAAUUUCAAUCCAAUUUAAGAUUUAAAUUCGAAAAAAUUAAAAUUUUAAAUUUUAAUUUUGAUUCAUUUUAAGAUUUAAAUUAAAAUGCAUGGUCGUGGAGAUAUUAUAUAUUUUUGAAAAAUUCAAAAUUUAACGAAUUAUUUGAAAUGAAUAGUUCAAAAUUUUUGAUUAUGAAAAAAUUAGUAGAAAAAGAUAGAAAUAUUUUCAGAAAGAAAUUCAUGUUUAAUUUAAAAUUCAAAUUUUAAUUUUGAUUCAUUUUAACAUUUAAAUUCAAAUACGAUGGCAGUGGAGAUAUUAUAUAUUUCUAACGAACAAUGAGAAAAAGUUAGAAUUCUAAUGAGAUGUUUGAGUUAGAAUUCUAUGAGAUGUUUGAGAAACGCGUAGAUAUUAUGUAGAUAGUGGACGUAUAUGAUAGGUGGAUUAAUGAGAUAUUUGAAAAAUUUACAGAUAUUACGUUAAGAAAGUAUUGGCUGGUACGAAUAUUACGCGUGAGAAAAAAAAUAUUUAAGAAAAAUAUUUGAGAAACUCGUAAAGAGAAGAUAUGAUAUAAAUGCAAAGGCAUUAUUGUUAUUUGAAAUGAUUAGUUGAAAAUUACUGAACAUGAAAAUAUUAGUAAAAAAAUAGAGUCAAUUUUAGAAAGAGAAAAAUUAUUAGUAUAGGUAAUACCAUCACAUAUAAUAUCUUCCAAUCUCUCCAAUCUUCCACUAUCUAUUAUUUCAUCAUAAUACUUAUCCUAUCUAUUAUUUCAUCAUAAUACUUAUCUUUUCUUACGCCAAAUACCAGAGCAUAUCUAUGAGCAUAUAUUGAUAGAUACCCUCGCAUCAUUGCAUCCGCUGUCCAAUCUUCUCAAAAUCUACUUAUCUUUAUCUCAAUCUGGCAUAUACUUAUUUUUUUUCUAAAACUAGUUAUAGUAGGCAUGCGAUACGCGUCACAUUUAAUUAAAUUAAAUUUAUAUUUAUAUUUUAAAUUUAAAUAAUUAUUGGUGAUAUAAAUUUAUUUAUCAAUUUUUUUUUCUAACUUUAAAUUUUUUUUAAUGUGUAUCCAAAUUUUUAAAAAUUUGAAGUAAUCUAAAUUUAAAAUAAUAAAUUACAUAUUAAAUAUAUGAACAAAACUCAAAUUUUAAAAUUAAUUUGAAUUAGUUAAAUAUAAAUAAUUAUUAGAAAUACGAUUUAUUUAAAUAUUUUACUUAUCUUUUUCAAAGUUUGAUAAUAUUUUAAAGUAAUUAAUUAUUUUCAAUUUGAAAUACUGUUUACCCACCGAAAUAUUAAAAUUUAAUUAAUUUCAAAUGUUGAAUUAAAUAUUAAUUUACAUUUGAAAUUUAUGAAAAUCAAAUUAAAAUUUAAAGCUGAUGAUAAGUUUAUUUAAAUCAUUUCUAUUUUCAAACAUAAUUUCUUUUAGUAGUUAAAUUGAGAAACAGUGAUACUAAAUAUUUUCAAUAUUUUUGCCUAGUGAUUUGAUGAGUAUGGAAUUUUUUUUAUAGGCGCUGUGAAAAAUAUUCUACAUCAAUAUUCUUUGAUUAACAGACAAUUUGAAUAAGUAUGAAUUUUUUUUUUUUUUGCUCUUGUAAAUAGAAUGCAGUUCUGUCAACAACUAUUUUUAAUAAUUAUCUCAAAUUAAUAUAAAUUUGUGAAUCGAUUUAUCUCUAAAUGAAAAUUUUAAAUUGUAAAUUCAUAUUUUAUAUUUUUAUGAAAAAUAUUUCAUAUUUAAAUAUGGCCAAUUUGCAUAAAAAAACUACAAAUUUUGAGCUUUUGCAAAAUUGGGCCCAACCUUUUUCAAUUUUGAAGAUCCGAGCCCGAAUUUUAGCCAUCGGAUGAAAAUACCUCUUUUCCUUUCUUUCUCUUCUUCUUUUUCUCUUUUUUUUCGUUCGUUAUUUUUUUUUGCUCGGCGCACCCUCUCUCCUGCACCCCCGCGCCGACGCUCAUAUUCGCCUAUCUCUAACUACCAGCCCGCCUCCCACAUUCUGCCUCUCUCGUCCGACCCCACCGCGCCCGGAUCUCCCCUUGACCCGCCACUCGUGCCGCUGCCACCACCGUGCCGUUGCCAGCUGCAGCAUUCACCUUCUCCGUUCCGCCGCGCCGCGCUCCACUGCCGCUUUGCCCCCGUCCGCGCUCCCGCCGCAGUCGCUGCGGUCCGCCGCCAGGGCCGCAUCCCACACGAUGCCGGCGCCACCACCCGCGCUGCUGCUGGCCACUCGCGCCUUUGCCGCUGCCUGCAUCCCACUUUCUCCAUCCGCCGCGCCAUGCUCCGCUGCCGGCCAGGGCCCGCAUCCUACCUUCUUCGUAAGGCAAGGAGGGGAAGAAAGAAAGAGGAAGAAGAGGAAGAAAAAAAAGUGUAAAUUGGAGAAGAAAAAACAUAGUGUAAAUUUCACCUUAGUGAUGCAAAAUUGGGCAAAAUUGUCCAAAAUUGGGCCAAUUUUGGUGAGAGUUGCACAAUUUUGCACCAUUUUACCCAAUUUUAUACCAUUUCAUCCAAAAUUGCACAUAUUUCACCUUCUCUUCCUCUUCUUUCUUCCUUUUUUACACCAUUACAUCAAGCCAUUUUUUAUACCUAAAAAUACAUUUUUUGGACACUCAUCUCCCUCGCCGGAGAGUAGUCCUUGAGGGAGACGACGGCGUCCUUGUCUCAACGCCAAUCUGUAGCAAAAAGAACGUCGCCGCGAGAAAUCGAAAGAUCAUCCCGAGCAUGAGGCCGAUGGUGACGAUGGUCUUGAGGUGCCUGCGGAGGCCGGAGGUGAGAAAUCGCCACCGGAGAGAGGAGGAGGAGGGCUUGGAGGAGGGCUUGGAGGAGGGGAGGGGAGGGAAAGAGGAGGCGAUGAUGAGGCGAGCAUGGGCGAAAGGGGAAGGGCGAGGCGCUCGAAGGCGAGGAACGAAGGAAGGAGGAGGCGAGCCAUCGCGGAGGAGGCGAGGGAAGGAGGGAGGGGCGGGAGGGCGGCAAGAGGAGGCGGCGGCGGCUCGCCGCCGUGAGGGUGGAGGGCAGGAUGGAGGCGGCGGAGGGAGGGCGGAGAAAAAUAACGAAGGAAAAAGAAAGCGAGAGAGAAAAAGAAAAGAGAAAGAAAAGGAAAAAAGAUAUUUUCGUCCAAUCGCGAAAAAUUCGGCCCUAAUCUACAAAAUUGAAAAAGGUUGUCCAGUUUUGCAAAAGCUCAAAACUUAUGAAUUUUUAUGCAAAUUGGCCUUAAAUAUUAGCAGAUAAAAUUGAGAUAAUCUUUAUAUAUUCACCUUUUAAAAAAAAUAUGAUUAAAUAUUAUAUAUGCGGAUUAGAUUAUUUUUAAAAAAUAAACUUAUUUAAAAUAAUAUGAUUAAAUAUUACGUAAUUGGAUAUUAUGUAGCUAUUAUGUAGAUGUGUAGAUAUUACGUUGACAAAAAAAAUAUUUAAGAAAGAGAUAGAUUGUGAAUAUUAUUUGUGAUAAAAUAUGAUAUUAUAUAGGCAGCAAUUAUUAGGAAUUAUAGUACCAUAUAAAAAUGAAAUUUAAUGCUUACUAUCUGAAGCAAUUUAGGUAAAAAAAAAUAAUUAUACUUCGCCGAUUAGAUCAAUGACUAAGAAUUAAUAUAUUUUAUAAUAAUUUAAAAUAAAAUAUAAAAUUAUACGACUGUGAUUAGAAAUAGACUUGAUCUACACUAUUAAAAAUAUUUGGAAACUAAAUUUCAUAAUUUUUGACGUCAUUUACCUAUAAUAAAAAUUAUGAAUUUAAUUUCCAAACAACUUGGUAGCACGGAGGCUUUCCACGAGGCUUUCGUGCUACCAAUAGUAAUACAAGCCUAGCCAAUAUAUAUAUAUAUAUAUAUUAUAAUAUAUAUAUUAUAUAUAUAUAUAUAUAAUAUAUAUAAAGAGAGAGAGAGAGAGAGAGAGAGAGAGAGAGAGCGCGAGUGCUAGGUUUAUAUAUAAUAUAUAUAUUAUUGGAGCUAGGCUGGUAUACUAUCGAUAGCAUGGAGACCUCCGUGCUACCAAGUUGUUUUCAAUGUUGCGGCUUCCAAAUCGACGAUCGGCUCCAUUAGACUUAAUCUACACUGAUUAAAUAUUGGAAACUAAAUUCAUAAUUUUUCGUCAUUAUUGACUAGUGAUCAAAAGUCUCAAAAUUGCGAAUUUUAAUGAUAAUGUUAUGGCGUUGUGAUUUAACGAUUAAAACAAUCAAAUCUCAGUAAAAUUUUUAUAGAAAAAUUCUUUUUAACUAUUUUAAGCCCCCUUCGAUCACUAGCCAAAUGAUAUCGAAAAAUCGCAAAUUUAUUUUCUAGGUACUUUAAAUACUCUAGAUCAACUCUAACGGAGGCCGAUCGCGAUUCGAAAAUCCGAACAUCGAAAACGACUUGAAGUACGGAGGCCUCCGUGCUUCCAUAACAUACCAGCACAACACUCUCUCUCUCUCAAUCUCUCAUCUCUCUCUCCGUCUCUAUAUAGAUAUAUAUAUAUAUAUAUAUAUAUAUAUUAUAUAUAAGAGAGAGAAGAGAGAGGAGAGAAGCAGGGUUGCUGUGCUCUCAGGAGCACGGAGGCCUCCGUGCUCUGAGCCGUUUCGAUGAUGAAAUUUUCGAAUCGACUAUCGCCUCCAUUAGACUUGAAUCUAGGGUAUUUGAAGUUUCUAGAAAAUAAUUUUUGCGAUCUUUUGAUAUCAUUUACCUAGUGAUCGAAAGAAUUCAAAAUUAAUAAUUUUUAAUGGUUGAUAUCUGCCGUUUUCAAGUUUAACAAUGUAAAGCAUUCAAAUCAGAUAAAUUUUGAUACAAAAUUCUUAUACUAUCUACAACAAGAUCAAUAUUUCUGAUCUAAAAUUUUAAGUGCUAUAUCACCAUUUUUUAUAGAAUUUUUUUAUUUUCAGGCCGUUAAAAUUAUUGAUUUUGAAUUCUCUCGAUUGCUAGGUAAUGAUAUCGAAAAUUGCAAAAAUAUUUUUCUAGAAACUUCAAAUACGCUAGAUCAAGUCUAACGGAGCCGAUCGUCGAUUCGGAAAUUCCAUCAUCGAAAACGGCUCAGGAGCACUUAGCCUCCUGCUCCUGAGAGCACAGCAGUCCUGAUAUAUAUAUAUAUAUAUAUAAGAAGAGAGAGAAGAGAGAGAGAGAGAGAGUAGGAGCAAUACUUGUAAAAGUAUCACCCAAGUGAACUUUUGUGUUUUUAGCCCUUGAUGAAGAAUGUGAGGUUGAGAUGAUGGUGGUAGGUAGUGUAGUGGAAUAGUGUAUGAUCCAAGGACUAUAGUAAUCAAACAAAUAGAUCCAAUGGCUAAAAACACACAAGUAUCACUGGUGAUACUUGUAAAAGUAUUCUAGCCGCUACUCUCUCUCUCUCUCUCUCUCUCUAUAUAUAUAUAUAUAUAUUAUAUAGAGUCCGACUACUAUGCUAUUAAUAGCACGAAGCACUUAGUGCUACCAAGUUUUCGCGGUUAGAUCAACCCUUUUGAUCAUUUUCACACCGUUAAAUAUCAUAUUAUUCAAUCAACCACCCACUUAACCCUGGGGGUCACAUUAUCCUAACCAUACUUUCUUAACCAAUGGCCAAAAACUUAGUAGCACCAAUGACUUGGUGCAAUUAAUAGUAUAUUAGCCUAUAUAUAUAUAAUUAUAUAUAUAUAGAGAGAGAAGAGAGAGAGAGAGAGAGAGAGAAGCGCGAGUGCUAGGUUUAUAUAUAUAUAUAUAUAUAUUGAAGCUAGCUGGUAUACUAAUCGAUAGCAUGGAGGCCUCCGUGCUACCAAGUUGUUUUCAAUGUGCGGUUCCAAAUCGACGAUCGGCUCCAUUAACUUAAUUCACAUAUAAAGUAUUGGAAACUAAAUUUCAUAAUUUUUCGUCAUUAUUGACUAGUGAUCAAAAGUCUCAAAAUUGGCAAUUUUAAUGAUAGAUGUUAUGCGUUUGUGAAUUUAACGAUGUAAAACAAUCCAAAUCAGAUAAAAUUUUAAUAGAAAAUUCUUUCACUAUUUAAGCCCCUUCGAUCACUAGGCAAAUGAUAUCGAAAAAUCGGCAAAAUUUAUUUUCUAGUACUUUAAAUACUCUAGAUCAACUCUAACGGAGCCGAUCGUCAAUUCGAAAUCCGAACAUACGAAAACGACUUGAGCACGGAGCCUCCGUGCUUCAUAAGCAUACCAGCACAACACUCCUCUCUCUCUCUCUCUCUCUCUCUCUCUCUCUCUAUAUAUAUUAUAUAUAUAUAUAUAUAGAGAGAGAGAGAGAGAGAGAGAGAGAGAGCAGGUUGCUGUCUCUCAGGAGCACGGAGGCCUCCGUGCUCCUGAGCCGUUUUCGAUGAUUGAAAAUUUCGAAUCGACAUCGGCUCCAUUAGACUUGAUCUAGGGUAUUUGAAGUUCUAGAAAAUAAUUUUGGCGAUCUUUGAUAUCACUUACCUAGUGAUCGAAAGAAUUCAAAUUAAUAAUUUUAAUGGUUGAUAUCUGCCGUUUUCAAGUUUUAACAAUGUAGAAGCAUUCAAAUCAAUGAAAUUUUGAUACAAAAUUCUUUAUACUAUCUACACAAAUCAAUAUUUCUGAUCUAAAAUUUUAGUGCUAUAUCACCAUUUUUAUAGAAUUUUUUAUUUCAGCCGUUAAAAAUUAUUGAUUUUGAAUUCUCUGCGAUUGCUAGUAAAUGAAUGAUAUCGAAAAAUUGCAAAAAUUAUUUUCUAGAAACUUCAAAUACGCUAGAUCAAGUCUAACGGAGCCGAUCGUCGAUUCGGAAAUUCCAUCAUCGAAAACGGCUCAGGAGCACAUUAAGGCCUCCGUGCUCCUGAGAGCACAGCAGUCCUGAUAUAUAUAUAUAUAUAUAUAUAUAUAUAUAUAUAUAUAUAAUAUAUAUAUAUAGAGAGAGAAAGAAGAGAGAAGAGAGAGAGAGUAAGCUAGAAUACUUGUAAAAGUAUCACCGAAGUGAUACUUUUGUGUUUUAGCCGCUUGGAUGGAGAGAUGUAGGUUGAGAUGAUGGUGGUAGGUAGUGGAGGUGGAAAUAGUGUAUGAUCCAAGGACUAUUAUAAUCAAAAAGUAGAUCCAAUGCUAAAAACACACAAUAUCACUUGGGUGAUACUUGUAAAAAAUAUUCUAGCCAUACUCUCUCUCUUCUCUCUCUCUCUCUCUAUAUAUAUAUAUAUUAUAUAUAUUAUAUAUAUAUAUAUAUAUAGAGUCUGACUACUAUGCUAUAAUAGCACGAAGCACUUAGUGCUACCAAGUUUUCCGCCGUUAGAUCAACCCUUUUGAUCAUUUUCACCCGUUAAAUCAUAUUAUUCAAUCAACCACCCACUUAACCCUAGGGGGCUCACAUUAUCCUAACCAUACUUCCUUAAUCCAAUGGCCAAAAACUUAGUAGCACCAAUGACUUGGUGCAAUUAAUAGUAUAUUAGCCUAUAUAUAUAUAUAUAUUAUAUAUAUAUAUAUAUAUAUAUAUAUAAAGAGAAGAGAGAGAGAGAGAGAGAAGAGAGAGAAAGAGAGAGAGUGGGCUGGUAUCUUCUGGAAGCAUGAGCCCAACCGUGCCUUCCAAGUUGCUUUCGAGUUCAACUUUCGAAUCGACGAUCAGCUCCGUUAGACUUGAUCUAGAUUAUUUGAAGUACCUAGAAAAAUAAAUUUAGAGAAUGGGUUGGUAUGCUUCUGGAAGCACGGAGCCCACCGUGCUUCCAAGUUGCUUUCGAGUUCGACUUUCGAAUGACGAUCGCUCCGUUAGACUUGAUCUAGAGUAUUUGAAGUACCUAGAAAAUAAAUUUUGUGAUUUUUCGAUAUCAUUUGCCUAGUGAUUGAAGGACUCAAAAUCAAUAAUUUUAAAGGCCGUUGUGAGCCGUUUGCAAGUUUAACGUAUAGAAAUAUCCAAUCACAUGAAAUUUUGAUAGAAAAUUCUUUAUAACCAUAUAAAACAAGAUCAAUAACUUUGAUCUAAAAUUUAAUGUCAUAUCAUUCAUAUUUGUAAAAUUUUUAUUUUCAGCCGUUGAAUUUUGAGCCACUUCGAUCACUAGCAAAUGAUAUCGAAAAAUCGCUAAUUUAUUUUCUAGAUACUUCAAAAUACACUAGAUCAAUUCUAACAGAGCCGAUCGUCGAUUCGAAGUCCGAACAUCAAAAACAACUUGGAAGCACGGAGCGCUCCGUGCUUCCAGAAGCAUACCAGAGCGCGCGCUCUCUCUCUCUCUUCUCCUCUCUCUCUCUCUCCUCUCUCAUCUCUCUCUCUCUCUCUCUAUAAUAUAUAUAUAAUAUAUAUAUAGAUAGAAUUAGGCUACUAUACUAUUUAUAGUAUAGUAUAAAAUAUAUAUAUAUAUAUAUUAUAUAAUAUAUAUAAUAUUAAUAUAUAUAUAAGAAUUAGGCUAGCAUACGAUUUAUAGUACUGGAGCUCUGAUAUUAUAGUCUUGUUUUCAAUCUUAGGGUGUUCAAAUUAACGAUCUACACCGUUAAAUAUGAUCUAGGGUAUAUGAAGUUCUUAGGAAUAAAAUUUUAGUUUUUUUCAAUAUCGUUUACUUAGUAAAUAAAUUAUGUCAAAAUAGACGGCGGAAAUUAAAUAAUCUUUAAAAUUUGAGCAUAGGACUUUUAAAUUCAAGAUUAAGAAUGUUAACCUUAAUCUAAAUAGUUUAAAAGUAUUUUCUAUCAAAAUUUGAAGAAAUUUAGAUUCUUCUGCACCGUUAAACUCCAAACUCACCAUAGUAGCCGUUGAAAAUUGACAAUUUUGAAAUGGUUUGAGCAUAAAGUAAACUAUGUCGAAAAAAUAUAAAAUUUUAUUUCUAAAAACUUUAAAUAUCCUAGAUCAGUUUUAACGGUGUGGACCGUUGAUUUGAACACCCUAAGAUCGAAAACGAAACUAUAGUACUGGAGCCCCGGUACUAUAGAUAGUAUAGGAGACUAGCUAUAUAUAUAUAUAUAUUGGAACUAGGCUGGUAUGUUAUCGGUAGUACGGAGACCUCAGUGCUACCAAAUUGUUUUCGAUGAUGCGGCUUCCAAAUCGACAAUCGACUCAGUUAGACUUCAUCUACACUAUUGAAAAUAUUUGAAAACUAAAUUUCAUAAUUUUUCGAUAUUAUUUACACCUUACGAAAUAAGUAAGAAAAAUGCUCGGUCUCAUCUUACUACAUCUGCUAAGAUGACGAGCUAUCAACAAAUAUCUUUGAAUGAAAAAAGGGAGCCUUCAUCUAAUACAUAUUCUUAAUUUUAAUUUAGAAGGUAAGUAGCUUAGGAUAAGUAGGUAAAUAGAUAACGUGGUUAGUACGUAAGUGAGAAACACGUUGGGUCUCACCUAGCACAUUUGCAAAUAUAAUAGUGAGCUAUGAACAACUUUAAGCGAGUGAAAAGAGCCUAACUCUAUUACCUCUUCUAAAGUAAACAAAAACCGCUACAUGAACACACCCCAAUAUACUGGGGUGUAUUUGUUACGAUCCAAGAGUUUUACAUAACCCUUUCAGACUUUAGUGGAAAAAAAAAUACAAGGUAUAUAGGUAAUAUGGGCCACAUGCAGCCUAACGUUUUAAGUUUUAUGCCUAUAUGAUAGGUAUACAGGUAGCAUUGCUCUUAAGAAAAUUAGCAGAUAAGUAAAAGGUAGAUAAAUAGGCACAUAAAGAAGCAGGUAGGUAAGUAGAUAAGCAAGAAAAUGUUGAGUCUCAUCUCUUACAUCUACUAACAUAGUGAGGUAUUAGACAAGGUAUUGACAGAUAUCUUUAAAUGAAUAUAAAAAAGUUUUCAUCUAUUACAUCUUCUGGAAUAAGUUGGUAAGCAGGUAAGUAGGUUUGAAAAGUAGGCAUGCAAUAUGUUGGUUAGUAACUAAGGUAAGAAAGGAGGUAGGUAACUAAGAAAAAUGUUCGGUCUAAUUUAGCGCAUGUCCUAACAUGAUGAGCUAUGAACAUUUCUAAAUAAAUAAAAGGGUAAACUUCAAUUUGCUCAUUGUGGUUUACUUCAUUUUUACUUUGUUACCUUAUAAUUCAAAAAGUUGCACUUAGCUGCCCUUUGAUUUUAUUUCUAUUUGUACAUAAAAAAAUCUACUAUCAAAUAGGAUAGCACAACAAAUUUUUUUAAAAAAUGACAAGAUAAUUAAGUGUAACUUUUUGAACCGCACGGUGGUAAAAUAAAAAUGAGCUCAAUUAUAGUGCAGUCAAAUACAACUUUUUGAAUCAUAAGAUGACAAAGUGAAAAUGAGUUAAGCUAAAGUUUACCCUAAAUAAAAAGAGCCUCCAUUCAUAAAAUCUUUUGAGCUAAGUAGUUUAGUAGGUAGGUUAAGUAGACCUUAACAUAAAAGGUAACCAAAGUACUAACAAUACCUAGAGAGCUAGGUGCUGCUUCGACACUCUGCUAGAAAUUCCAAACCCUUGCACUUGCACUAUGGCUCUAAAUAGUCUGUAACAAUUUGAUAAACACUUACUAAACUUGUCUCACUACUACAGACUGCUAAAUUUCAAGGCAAAAUAAAUUGGUGUUGCUGCAGUUCAAGAUUUACCAAAAAUUAGGCACUAAUCUCCAGUCACAUGUUUUCAGAUAGCGGAAAGCAGUGCUUGUGUAAUAAGAUUUAAUGGCCAUUUCUAGCAGACGCACGUGCAGUAUGGCAGUUGAAGCUACAUUUUGCGUCUAUCCCCUAGUGUAUAACCUAAUUCAAGCAUCAAACAUCUUCCAGAUUAUAAAGAUGAGAAAAGACAAAACAAAACCAUAUGAAUAAUGCAGCAAUAUCCUUCAUAACUAACAAACAUUAGUUGAAUAUACAUCCACAAUUCAACAACAGGAGUAUUAAAGCUCGACAAAUAUCUGGUGAAAGAGAAAGCACAAUUGCAAGAAAAAGAAUCAAACAUUUGCAUAUCUGGUAAAAGCGAAAGCACCAUCAGUGAUUGCAUGAAAAAGAAUCAGUUAUUCGCUUAAGGUAGGCAAUAGGACGAGCAAAUAAUCAUUGAUGGACAACAAUGCACAUUUAUGCAAACAAUUCAAAUUGCAGUCCGGAUAGGAGAUCGAACUCACCAGUUUGAUACUCAGAUCAGAAGCAAUGAUAAUUUUCUUCUCUGAUUCCAUUCACCAGCCGGCCAUCAAUAUUCGAGAAAUCUCUCAGCGGCUUCAAUUUUAUUUCUCGGAAGGAAACUAAUGCAUAACAAUCACGAGUGCAAAUGAUGGUCCACAUCAAAGCUAUGCAGAUCGGAUGGGCUGGCACCUGGCCUGUUGAACAAAGCAAAGAUCGAUUAGGGCUUCCGAACAAACAUAAAAGGGCAAGAAAAUACACAUUUCUUGGGGAUCAUACGAAUCUCUCUUCCAAAUAGUCAUUAUAUUUUCAAUUUCAAAAGGAAAUCAAAUUACUAGCUACUUCUAACUCAGCAAGGAUGUUAUCCAGGUGAAUCACUACUUUGACCUGGCAAGAGGUUCAACAUAAGCAGGAAGAUUUUUUUCUUUUGCAAAGCAUACCAGAUUAUCAGUUGCUGCAGUUAGAAAGUUUCUAUAUAUAAAACCUGUAAUCAAAAUCCCUAUUUCACCAGGUGAAAAUAAUUUUCACAGUUUUCAGUUUUCAGGCUGGGGCCAACUUGGAUAGCUCCUAACAAUUAAUGAAUGGCAAGUGUUGAAAAUUUUUUUUUUUCCCUUGUAUUUUAUCCCGCUUCCACUUACCUUUUGUUUAUGGUGCAAUAGUGAAACUUGAUAUUUCCAGAUUUCAUAUCUUCCAUGUACUGCAACCACAAUACAAAAAUUAUAGCUCAUAUUCGCAACGUAUGAUGACACACACACACAUACACACACGAGAGAGAGAGAGAGAGAGAGAGAGAGAGAGAGAGACUAUGUACCAUCUUCAAGGUAACAACAAUUGAUGAGAACGCCAAUGAGUGAAAUGGUACUUCAUCCAGUGCAAAAAGUGCACACUCUAGUGACUCAGGGCCGGGUGAAAAUUUGGGCGUCUUUAGUUUCGCUCGGAAAAUGAUGUAACUCUGUACUGCAAAUCAGAUUGGAAACCACAUAAAGAGCUUAUAUAAGGUGAAGAUUUAAAGUAAGGUAGCACAAAUUUAACAUUUUCAAAAGUAGACCUUUUGGGUAUCAGCAAAUGUCCCAUGAAAUGUUAUUAAUGUGUAAACAUUGUUUAACAUGGCAGUUAGUUACUAGUUUAGCUUUCUAAAUUUCAAAGACAAUACCUGACUAGACAUCAAGUCUGAAAAAUUAAACCACCCACUAGCUGCCAUAGGCACCAGCUUUGUCAUCAUCAAGAGAUUCUUAGGUGAAGAUUUAAAGCAAGGUAAAACAAGUACAGUAAUUUAAAGAGUAACCCUUCAUGUACCUCCAAAUAUAUCACUAGUUGUUGAUGAGGAAACAAUGUACAUGGCAGUUGGUAACUAAAUUAGCCACCACAUGACAGAGUUGACUCAUUAACAGUCAUCCUGAGAUAUAUUCCGAGUUAAAUGAAGCAUUACACUUUUUCUCAUCUAUAACUAUGCAUUUUCCUCACUUGGCCAAUCCGUGGAAUAUCUAACUGAGCAAAAGGUGAAAGUAUUUCAACUUCUGCACAUGCUUCUUCCAAGGUUUCUCGAGUGGCCCCCUCAGCAGCAGACUCCCCAACCUCCAGAUAACCAGCAGGAAGAGUCCUGCAGAGAGAUAGCUGGUUAUUAUGUAGCCCUACUAGAGUAUAUUUUUCGAAGAUAAUGAAUAGAAGAGUUUUUUCUUUUCUUUUCUUUUUUUUUGGGUUUACAUCUAACGUGACGCAGUACAUCAAGUCAUUGUUUUGCUUAUUUGUUGACUCGUCAUUUAGACUUUUAUUAGUGUACUUACUUAUGGGUUGUUUGCUUCAAUACAAGCAUAGUUUGUUAGAGGAGGUAGAUUGGCCCAAACCCUAAUCUAACCCAAACAUACCUAAAUCUGAACCUAAAAAUCCAAUAAAACCAGCCCAUAAUAAACCCCAAUAGACUCAAACCCUAAUCUAAUGUAAAUAGGCUUAAACCUGAAACUAAAAAUCCAACAAAACCAGCCCAUAAAAACCAAACUUGAACCUAAAACCCAACAAAAUUCGGCCCAAAACUAAACCAAACCUGAACGGAAUCUUUUUUUUUUUAUUUUCUGCCAAUAGGUGUGGCCAAACAAGAUCGGUGGAGCCCACAACCUUCUCCAACAUCUUAUUCUUAUGUAGGAGGCAUCUUUAACAAUUCAGAAGCCACCAUAUGGCGAAGGAAAGAGAAGAAGGAAGCCCAAAAGCCACCAGCCCCUCUUUUGUUGUGGGUGGCUCCUAAGGAGCCACAAGCAAUGUUUUUUCCCCCAAGGCAGAAACAAAAAAAGAGAGAGAAAAAGAAAACAAAAAGAAAUACAUACUCUUGGGGUCUUUUGGGGGACAUUUUGGGGAACUAUCUGACACUACAUACCCUCCUCUUUCUCUCUUUCCCCUAUAGAUUAGACAACAAUUCUCCCUCAUGCCGGACCAAUCUCUUCUUCCCCUCCAUUUCUUCGGGAUCCUCCCUGUCUUAUUCCUUCUCCUGCUGGAGAUCGCCGAGCAGCGAUGCCGUAUGCCUUUCUACAUACCCCACAAUUCGUAAAUUGCUUCACCAUCCUUCCUUCAUCCGCCAAGGUAUAGGAAUUAACCCAUUACCAUCUCUAGCCUUCCAGUUUAUUAGCCUAUCCAAAACUCAUCUGCCCUUUUCUAAUAUCUAAGCUCGGAAAAAAUCAAUCCCUUCAGUGUGGAACUAUUAUAUCUACUUGACUGUGGUUCACUAAAUUUCAGUGUUGAAUUACGCUACAAGUUGUUUUGGUUGAAGUUAUGAGUUCUUAGCUCCUUUACUGCUGGAAUUAUAUUCUAUCUCCUGGAUUGUGCAUUGAAGGUAUCUUCAUAAGUCCUUGAUCUAAACUUUCAAAUUUGGAAUUGUAUUCAAGUCCUCAAACUGAAAUUUCAGCACUUUGGAUUGCAUCAAAAUGCCCAUGCAAAAUCAUUCAUUUACAUAAAUACCCAUGUAAAAACUAAAUAUUAAUAUAUACCCCUUGAAAGUGCAGUUUCUUCCAAAACUACUCUAAAGUUGAGGAUUCACCCAAUUCAUGAAGGAAAGUUGAUCUUGUAUAAAAAUGUUUGUCUUAAAACCAGAUUAAUAAGUUAAAAACAGAAAAACCAAAUAGAGCAGUUUCUUUUUUUGAAUUGCGCUACCAUAACACACAAAAGAAGCAGCAUCGAGAAACCAACAUAAGGAAAAAAGGACAUGAAUGAAAGAUAUUUACCAAAGCCCAUAAGACGGUUCAAUCUUCCUUUUGCAUAGUAAGACCUUGUUAUCAUGCUCCACGAGGCAUCCAACGACCUGUCAAAAUGGAAUCCCAGAAAAACCAGUUAGUGAUGAAAACAGAAGUGGGGAAAGAGAGUAACAAGAAAACUUUAAACUUCCUGAGCUAACUUAGUUAAAGUUUCCCAAUAUAUAUCAAAGCACAAGGAUUCAUAAUCAUUGCCUCAUCUCAAAUAGGGCAUAAUAAAUGUAAACAGAAAGGCAAUAGGCAUGAAAUAAAAUUUAAAAAAAACUGUAUGCUUCCAGACUCACAUAACAAAUAAAGAGGCAUAUACAGAGUAGAAUCAUUGUUAGAAAUAAUAAAUAACAAAACAAUUAGAGGAUCUGUGAUACAGUAACAUAGUGUAAGCAUAAAGUAGUAAAGAAGUACGUUAGAAGAAUAUCUUGCAAUAGAUUGGAUAACAUGAAAGAAUUAUUCAACUUUUUUCAUCUUGACAGUUCAGAGGGUAGACACAUUCACAGUUGUUUAGGGUAUAGAACUUAGACAUCAAAAUUCUUGUACUAGAAAAGAUAAGCUUAGAACAGGAUCCAUAUCAGGGCCAUCAUACUAUAUUCAAGCAUUUGUGCCUGAAUUUGCACUGUACAUAUCUCCGCCACAACAACAGUUGAGUCAUAUCAGACUUAAAUUUGUUAAUUGCUUAAAUAAGCUUGGUAAAUGCGAAGAUCAAGCUUAGUUUAUUAAAGAGUCAAUCAAGCUUUAUGCCGAUAUCAAGCUGAACAUCAAUGCAAGCUGCUCAAAUCAUUUGUUAUCCUAUAAUUUUCCCCAUAUGUUAAUAAACCAUACUUGUAGGAAACACCAUUUGGAGAGCAUGGUAUCAGUAUCAUGUGCUUAUAAAGCAACUCCGAAAACAUGAUUUGUCAGAAUAACAAGCACUUAGAAUCAACAGAAUUAAUGGUUGUCAAGCUCCAAUCAUUGGAGAACCAUGUUAUUUAUGAAAACAGAACUAAGAUUACACAGAAUCACUAUAGAGAGAAUUAAAUUAUCAAGAGAGUCGAAAAAAGGCACCGCAAAUAUUACAAAUGUCAAACAUUAAAACCCAAGAAACACAUAAAUGAUGCCAAAUGUAGCAUCAUAUAAGCAAAAUAUUUCAUUGGCACUAUCAAGAUUAGAUACAACGAAUAGAAAGCAAAGUAGUACCAUUUUGGGAUUUUCAUAGUGGAUUUUCCCACAAACUGUACAAACAGCCCUGAGUUUUUCCUCUCCCUCUGGUACAACUUGUUUCGUUGGACUUCCACAAGCUUGGCAAAAUCGAAUUUUGCUCUUAUGUACCUGCAACAUUUAAAUACUUAGCAAUCAAGAAUAAAGGCUAGAAGGUAACUUGAAUUCUGCUAAAGUCAAGUAAUAUUCUUUUGCUUAAUUUUCACUAACGACCUCUAGUAAUUGGUAUAUAUAAUUUCAACUCUCAAAAAAUGCAGAAAUAACGUCCUAACAGAUUGUACUUGAUAGCAAUCAACAAAUUGAUUAUAUGCAAGGAUUUAAGUGCCGUGGCACGGGGUCGUGCCGGAAACUUGCCGGCACGGUACGGCACGGUGCGUGCCGAGCCGUACCUUUGUAUGUCGGUCAAAAAAGUUCUUGUGUGCCGACACAUAAUACACGAAAUAUUUAUUUUCUUUAGCAACAAAAUAUUCUAACUAUUUAUUAUGUCUUUUUAUCACAUCUUUUGAACUUUAUUGAGAAAAUUACUUACUAAUUUAAAGAAUAGAGGGUUUUGAGCUGUGCCAUCGGCACGGGGUCUAUAUCGUGCCGGUAUCUUAUUGGCACGGUACGGCACGGUGGAUACGGCCCGUGUCGACGGGCACUUAAAACCUUGAUUACAUGGAUAUACUUCCUUUGGAGCAAAUAAAUUGAUUAACACAAUUAAGUCAACAAAAGCAAAAUCUGCAAAGUACAUAUCUAGUUCCAUCCAACAAUACAUUUUCACCAACUUUGUCAUCCUUUAUCAAUCUAAUCUUUAGGGGNNNNNNNNNNNNGGGGGGAAUUCCAUUACUUUAGACACCUAAAUCUAAUCUAAUACAUGUACUAUGCAUUAGAGAAGAAUCAUUAACACCCAAGAAGUUGUUUAACUUUCAUAAGUGUCCCAUGGCACAGCAUUCUUUGAUCAGCCCUUAUCUUCUAUAUCUGAUAUUAGUAUAUAAUUAGAGAUAAGACAUGAAUAAGGAUAAGCAAAAAUUAUCUUGAACAAUAAUUCUUAGGAUAAAAUGCAAAAAGAAGACAAUAACUACACAUCGAAGUUUAAAACGAUGCGCUCUGUAACAAAUUUGUUAUCAGUUACAGUAUUAUUAUAACUCGAUAUUUAAAGGAAACUAAUCAAUUGGAAUUAUAUGUGUACUGCAAGUUACAAUAUUACCAAACCAAAAUUGUUGAGGGAAAUAUAACACUGCGUCUUUUUUAACAUUUAUAAUCUUUUAUCUUUUUGUAAGUUAAAAUUAUACCUUGAUAUCUCUAAAAUUAUCUCAAUUAUUUAAAUCAUUCUUUUACAUUCAUAUACCUCAGGUCAAUCAAUGUCACCUGCAUGAGGGUUUUGGUUAUUUUCCAAGAAAUCAAAUACCUAGUUUCUAAUUAGUCAUCCCAAAAAAUAAGAAAAAAAAAAACCAUUGAACGACCAAGAACAGAUCACGAAGGACUACCUAUACAUACAAUUUCAAGAACUACUUUCAUCAUGCAGAGUUCAUAAACCUGCCGCAUACAAUUCCAAGCACAUAGCAUCAAAAUACAUAAUAAUUAAACAAAACAAGAAAAUAUAUAAUGCUUAAACAAAACAAGAACGAUGAACUAAUCAUACACGGUCAAGAAUCUUCCUAACAUAUACAUGCCUUUACGUCCAAUCAGCUCUAUUCAUACCAAUCCUCCCCAAAGCUCGGGCUAAUUCCGUCGAUUCCCCUCGCAACCUAAACGCCUAGCUUUUAAAAACCUAAUUUCCCCUGAUCUCUAACCAGUAACACCGAUUGGAAGAGGAAAAAAAAAAAGAAAUAAAGAAUCGAUCGAGGAUCAGAGAAGCCCUCACCGGAGGCGGCGCCACUUCAGCGGCGGCGGAGGCGGAGGCGACGUCCGCGUCGGGGCUCAUCUCCGAGCCCCCCGAAGCCAUCCGGAACGCGCCGAGAACGCGGCGGGGGGGCCGCAAACGCCAGGCGAGGAGGACGACGAGCUGCGGCGGCGGAGCGGCGGCGGCGGCGACGGCGGCUGAGGAGGAGGAGAUGGAGGCGAUGGAGGAGGGGAAGCGGGGGCGGCGGUGGGGGAGGGGGGAGAGGCCGAAUCCGAGGAGGAGGAGGUGGUGGUGGAAGGAUCGGAGCAUCGCUCCGUGGGGUUCGCUUUAUAACGUCUAGGGUUUUAGAGGUGGCUGGGGUGAGAGUAGGGGGGAGGACGACGAGGAGAGAAGGGAGAGGUGGCGGUGCUUCGGCCACAUCGCCGCCGCGUGAAUUCGUGGCUGAGAAAUAGCGAGAGGAUACGCGAGUGAGAGAGAGAGAGAGAGAAAAAAACAUAAUAGAGAGGGGAGAAAGAGAAUCGGAUUGGAUAAUUUUAGGGAAAACUUCAAAACCCCGUUUUGAUUUCGCACUUUAUCACUUGAGUGCCCUGUAGUUUGAACCAUAUCAAUUUGGUGCUAUGUGAUUUUAUUUUUAUCUUUUCUAUAGCUUUUUUAUUAAUAUUUUAUUAAAUUAUACAUAAAAAAACUUUAAAUAUCUACUUAGGUUUAUCGAAUAUUCGCUUUAGUAUUUUUUAAUUUUAGCUUUGUCGCUGAUUUAAGGGAAAAAAUAGUAAAAUUGAUAAUAAAAAACUAAAAGUAAAACCACAGGAUAUCAAAUUGAUACACUUUAAACCACAGGGCACUCAAGUGAGAAAGUGAGAAACCACAAGGGGUUUAUUUUUUUUUUGAAGAUUUCCCAUAAUUUUAGGUAAAAAUGCAUGGAGACCCUCAACUACAGUCUAUUUUGAAAUGAACCUCCCUCAUUUUAUUUUUAUUUUUUAAUUAAGAUCUCUCAAUUUUUUUAUUUUUUAUUUGAAUUAUUUGAAUUUUUGUAUUUAGUUUAAGUUAAAUUUUUUUAGUAAAUUUAAUAACUUUAAUAGUUAUUAAACAUUAAUUGGUCUAAUUUUAUUUACUAAGAAUACUUAAAAAUAUUAAAUUUGAACAAAUUAUUAAUUAAUUUGAUUAUUUUUUAUUUUCUUUUUACUAUAACUAAUGAAUUCUAAAUAAUCAAAAAUUAAAGAGGGUUCAAUAAAAUUAAAAGUUAAAAGGGUAAUUUUAAAUUGGCCAAUAGGUGGUGAAUCCAUAUAUUUUUAUCUAAUUUUGUACUAUUAAUGUCACUAAGAUUGAAAUCUCUCUCACAAUUAUUCCAUAUAAAAUUUACAACAUUCAAUCAAAUCUUUUCAUAACAUAUAAAAGAUUAAAAUAAAUUAAAAAUUAUUAUUUUAAUGCGUAAAUAUUAUAUUAUACCUAAAAAAAUGAAAUGAUUAAUUUAAAAUAUCUCGUGUUACAGCUCCUGCAAGGAAGAUUUUUAUUUUUAUUUUUUUUUACAACCUCGCGACACUCGAUCAUUAUUAUAUGUCGGGGCAAUAAAGAAGCAACGCGGACAACAUAAGAGAAGUUACAAAAAUGGAAGGUGAAAAUGCAUGGAGGCCCCCUCACUAUAUACUAUUUUCAAAUAGCCCGUCAACAUCUAUUUUUUUCAUUUUUUCAGUUGAGACCUCUUCAGUUUAAUUUUUUUAAAAAAAAAUUAAGUAAUUUUAUCAAAAUAUUUAGUAAUGUUAUCAAAUUCAUCAAUAAUUUUACCAAAGUAUACAUGCAGUGCCCGUGUAAUGCAUGGGGAUCGAACAAAAGCAGCAGCUGAGAAGGUUCUCAUGGCCCUUUAAGAAUUUCAAACUCAACAAAAUAAAGCUAGUGUCUUUUACACUUGUACAGUGUUAAUCAAUGAAACAACCUAAAUAAGAAUAAGAAGGGCAAAUGAUAAUUAUCCUAACCUUGAGAACAGGAUAGUUCAGCUAAACUUACUAGUCUUGAAGUUUAACUAUUGGCCGCGGCAACUUCAACUAGAUGUGUUAAUCUUUAUAAAUCUUUGGUUUAAAACAUUAUAAAUUUUUAAUAAUAGUUCAAGUAGAAUUCUCAACUUUUUACUUGCCAGUAUUUACUUAUUGGAAAAAUUUUAUCUACAAUCUGAAAGAGUCAAACAUUAGUCUCAAUAGUUUGUAAUAGAUUUAUCAUAUUUCUUAAAAGAUAGUUUUUAAGUUCGUUAAACCUAACGAGAUAUGGCAAUUUGUUCAUUUGCCGAGUAUAUCCGGCAGUUUUUAACAGCUAAAAUGCUGUGAAACUAGUGAUACAUUUAGUAAUAAUUUUAAAUACUUUAAAUCAAAGAUCUAUAAAGUUUAUGAGAUCUAGUUGAAGUUGCCGAGGCUAGUAGCUAAGCCUUAAAGCUAGUAGUUUUUAUUAAACUAUCCUGUUCAUGAGGAUAGGAUAAUUAAUCGUAUAUAUAUAUAUAUAUAUAUAUAUAUAAUAUUGUACGCCUUCACUUGACUAGAAAAGAGACCUGCUCCUUGUUAGUGUUCUAGUCCUACAAGGGAACGACAAAAAAAAAAAAAACAANNNNNNNNNNNNNNNNNNNNNNNNNAGAGAGAGAGAGAGAGAGAGAGAGAGAGAGAGAGAGAGAGUUGAGCUAGAAUACUAUCGAUAGCAAAUGGGCUCCGUUGCCACCCAUUUGUUUUCUUCGAUGGAGCCUCCAAAUUGACGAUCGGUACCGUUGAACAUGAUCUAUACCACUUGAAGUGUUUAGAAAUCAAAUUUCAUAAAUUUUCGUUAUUGUUCUCUUAUCCAUCGAGUGGACACAAAAAUGAACGGCUGAAAAUGAAUAUUCUUAAAAAAAUGAUGAUAGAAGUCUUGUAAUCAAGAUCAAGAGUAUAGAUCUUGUUUUAAAUAGUUUAAAGAAUUUUCUAAUAAAAAUUCAAUUGAUUUAGAUAUCUUUACGCCGUUAAACGAAAAAACGCCUCAUAUCGACCAUUAAAAUUACAAAAUUUGAAACCCUUUGAUCAUUAGGCAAAUGAUGUCGAAAAGAUUUAAAAUUUAAUUUCUAAACACUUCAAGUGGUAUAGAUCAUGUUCAACGGUGCCGAUCGUCAAUUUGGAAGCUCUAUCAUCGAAAACAAAUGGGUGGCCACGGAGCCCGUUUGCUAUCGCUAGUAUUCUAGCUCAACUCUAUAUAUAUAUAUAUAUAUAUUACUAUACUAUCGAUACUACCAAACGCUUGGUGUUAUUGAAUUUUCGGCCGUUAGAUGAAAAAAUAUACAGUUAGGAUAAUAAUGAUACCCUAAAAUUGAGUGGUGGUUGAUUGAAUAGUAUAAUCUAACGAGUUUAAAUGAUCAAAGGUAGAUCUAACGACAGAAACUUCGACAGUAUCAAGAGCUUGCUAAUAUCGAUAGUAUAGUAGCCGGACUCUCUCUCUCUCUCUCUCUCUCUCUAUAUAUAUAUAUAUAGUGGGCAAAUGCGAAUCAUGUCUCAUCUCCUAGCCGGAGGUGUCACUUGCAGAAGCUCAAUAUUGAGUUGGAAUUCAGCUCCAGGCUGCAAACCAGGAUAGAAUACAUUGAGUUAGAUUCUUACCGGACAUCAUUAUAGGAUCAUCUGAAAAAUAAUUACGAUAAUAUUGAUAGAUGAAUAUGCUCAGUCCAGGUAGAAUACUUUUGAAAGCACAGACACGGAUACCUCCGUGCUUCUAAGUUGUAUUCGAUAAUGAAAUAUCUGAAUCAACAAUUGACUCCAUUAGACAUGAUUUAUACUAUUGGAAAUCUGGAAACUAAAUUUUAUAAUUUUAUCAGCAUCAUUUGUCCAAUGAAUAAAUAAUCUCAAAGUGAAUGUCUAAAAAUGAAAAUCUCAUAAAAAAAUAAUGAUAGAAGACCAAAAUUUCAGAUUAGACGUGCUGAUCAUGACGAGACACUCGAAUCGACGAUCGGCUCGUUAAACAUAAUCUACACUGUUGGAAGUAUUUAGGAACCAAAUUUUAUGCUUUUUUGAUAUUAUUUGCUUCGCCAACAAAUAAACUAAUUUUCAUUAAAAAAAUAAGGGAAAACUUCAAAAACCCCCCUGUGGUUUCACACUUUUUCAUUUUAGUACCCUGUGAUUUAAAGUGUAUCAAGUUAGUACCCUAUGGUUUCUCACUUUAUCACUUUAGUACCCUAUGGUUUAAAGUGUAUCAAGUUAGUACUCUAUAAUUUUAUUUUUGUAUCAAGUUAGUACCCUAUGGUUUUAUUUUUGUAUCAAGUUAGUACCCUGUGGUUUUAUUUUUGUAUCAAGUUAGUACCCUGUGGUUUUUAAACCAGAGGGUGCUAAAGUGAUAAAGUGCGAAACCACAGGGUACUAACUUGAUACACUUUAAACCACAUGGUACUAAAGUGAAAAAGUGCAAAAACACAGGGUACUAACUUGAUACACUUUAAACCACAGGGUACUAAAGUGAAAAAGUGAAACCACAAGGAAGGUAUUUGAAGUUUUUCCAAAACAUAAUGAUAGAUGACUUAAAUUUUAGAUAGUGUAAAAAAAAUAUAUUAUCAAAAUUUUCACCUAAUUUGCACCGUUCUGCACCAUUAAAAUUAAGAAAGUAUCACAUUGGCCCUUAAAAUUUAUAAUUUUUAGACAUUUUGAUCACUCGACAAAUGAUGUCAAAAAAUUAUAAAUUUUAGUUUUUAGAUGCUUCCAAUAAUGUAGAACAUGUCUAAUGGAGCUANCAAACACACCAUAUCGGCCAUUAAAAUUAUAGAUUUUGUGACUCUUUGAUCGUUCAGUUAGUGAUGCCAAAAAAUCAUGAAAUUUGAUUUUUACACAAUUUAAAUGGUCUAGAUCAUGUUCAACGGUGCCGAUCGUCGAUUUGAAAACACUAUCAUAAAAAAUAAAUCGGUAGUAAACUGAGCAGUUUACUACCAAUAGUAGCCUAGUCAAACUCUAUAUAUAUAUAUAUUACUAUACUAUCGAUAGUACCAAACGCUCGGUAUUAUUAAAUUUUCGGCCGUUAGAUGAAAAAAUAUACAGUUAGAAUAAUAAUGAUACCCUAAGAUUGAGUGGUGGUUGGUUGAAUAGUAUAAUCUAAUGAGUAUAAAUGAUCAAAGGUAGAUCUAACGCCAGAAAACUCGACAAUAUCAAGAACUUGCUACUAUCGAUAGUAUAGUAGCUGGACUCUCUCUCUAUAUAUAUAUAUCGGGCAAAUGCGAAUCAUGUCUGUCUCAUCUCCUACCCGGAGGUGUCACUUGCAGAAGCUCAAUAUUGAGUUGGAAUUCAGCUCCAGGCUGCAAACCAGGAUAGAAUACAUUGAGUAAGAUUCCAACCGGACAUCAUUAUAGGAUCAUCUGAAAAAUAAUUACGAUAAUAUUGAUAGAUGAAUAUGCUCAGUCAGGUAGAAUACUUUUGGAAGCACGGACACGGAUACCUCCGUGCUUCUAAGUUGUAUUCGAUAAUGAAAUAUCUGAAUCAACAAUUGACUCCAUUAAACAUGAUUUAUACUAUUGGAAACAUCUGGAAACUAAAUUUUAUAAUUUUAUCACAUCAUUUGUCCAAUGAAUAAAUAAUCUCAAAAGUGAAUGUCUAAAAAUGAAAAUCUCAUAAAAAAAUAAUGAUAGAAGACCUAAAUUUCAAAUUAGACGUGCUGAUCAUGAUGAGACACUCGAAUCGACGAUCGGCUCGUUAAACAUAAUCUACACUGUUGGAAGUAUCUAGAAACCAAAUUUUAUGCUUUUUUGAUAUUAUUUGCUUCGUCAACAAAUAAACUAAUUUUCAUUGAAAAAAUAAGGGAAAACUUCAAAAACCCCCCUGUGGUUUCGCACUUUUUUAUUUUAGUACCCUGUGGUUUAAAGUGUAUCAAGUUAGUACCCUGUGGUUUCUCACUUUAUCACUUUAGUACCCUGUGGUUUAAAGUGUAUCAAGUUAGUACUCUGUGAUUUUAUUUUUGUAUCAAGUUAGUACCCUGUGAUUUUAUUUUUGUAUCAAGUUAGUACCCUGUGGUGUGGUUUUUAAGCCACAGGAUACUAAAGUGAUAAAGUGCGAAACCACAGGGUACUAACUUGAUACACUUUAAACCACAGGAUACUAAAGUAAAAAAGUGCAAAACCACAUGGUAGUAACUUGAUACACUUUAAACCACAGGGUACUAAAGUGAAAAAGUGCAAAACCACAGGGUAGUAACUUGAUACACUUUAAACCACAGGGUACUAAAGUGAGAAAAAGUGAAACCACAAGGGAGGUACUUGAAGUAUUCCUAAAAAAUAAUGAUAGAUGACUUAAAUUUUAGAUAGUGUAAAAAAAAAUAUUAUCAAAAUUUUCACCUAAUUUGCACCGUUCUGCACCAUUAAAAUUAAGAAAGUAUCACAUUGGCCCUUAAAAUUUAUAAUUUUUAGACAUUUUGAUCACUCGACAAAUGAUGUCAAAAAAUUAUAAAUUUUAGUUUUUAGAUGCUUCCAAUAAUGUAGAACAUGUCUAAUGGAGCUAACCUUCAAUUUGGACAUCCCAUUACCGAAAACAACUUGAAAGCUCGGAGGCAUUCGUGCUUCUAAAAGUAUUCAAGCUUCGACUCUUUUUUUUCAAUAGCUCAUACUACGAUCUAAUCAUUACCGGAAUUUCAUUCAUUCCCUUUUUCCCAUAGCCAAGCUCCGGCGGGACGAUCACCGUUCUCUGCGCAAAAAAAGACAAAUCGACCCAGUUAAUUAAGGAGAGAUUAACUGCAGAAACUCUCACAUAACUUGCAAGUUAGAUAAGAGUCGCAAAGUUCAGAAAAGAUGCAGAUCCUUUUGCAAAAUGGCCAAAAGAUCUCUAGCAUAGUGAAUUGUUUCGAAAAAAGGUGAAAAAAGCAGAAGAUUAGAGAAUACCACAUAUAUUUACCUUUCCUCCAACCUUCAUUCCUUCAGUUAUUGUGUACAUAGCGGGCGGCGGUUUAGGCGCAGACUGCGCUGAAUAAAGUCCAUUUGCAUUAUCUACGAAGUCGCGCUUCCUCUCUUUGCCUGGUGGCGACCCGACAGUGAAUUCAUAAGGCUACAAUAACAUAGAGAGAGGAGCUUUGUCAAAGAACAAUAAGCUUCUUUCUUGUUUUUACAAUAUCAAACAAAAACAGCAGUUUCAAUCCAUAAGAGGGUGUAUGGUUUCCCAGAAAUAGACCAGAAAAUAGUUUUCUGGUUGGAAAACUGUUUUCCGUCCGUUUGGUUCCUAGACAAGCAGUUUUUCUCGAAAAUGUUUUUCUAGAUUUUAUGGAAAACUAGUGUUUUCAUUUUCCGAAUUUUUAAUCUAAAAAACAAAACUGUAGGAAAACCAUUUUCUAGAAAAACAGUUUCCCCACUUUUCUGCACAACCAAACACCCUAUAAGUGAGAGCAAAAAAUCUUUCUUGAUGCUAAUAGAGAGAUAUCUGAGAGAAGCAUGUGCUUCAGCCGAGAAAUUUUGAUUUCAGUUUUUUUUUUUUUCCAAUUACUUUAUACCCAUAAAGUCUGUUGUAUGCGCACACCGAUACAAGUAAAAAUACUGCAAUUACGUAAUGACAUAAAGAGAAGCUUUUAGAAAUAAAAGAAGAAUCUGUAAACUCAUGAAAGAUAAUUACCCUACAUUCUCUGCAUAUUGGUUUGCUUUUAGAAAAGAAUGAUAGCAAGCAAGAGAAUACAUUCUCCAGUAGAUUAGUUGGCUGAACUUCAUAAAGGAAAAUAUUUGGUAAUACUCUUCAUGUGAGACACAAAAUAUUGAAUAAAUUAUAUAAAUGGACUUCCAGGAUAUCCUUCGGAUUUUUAUAAACAAAACUAUCCUCAUUUUAGUUAUGUGAGUCAGGUUCACAAAAAUAACCUGUGCAAUGCUGCGAUUGCCUGCUAGGAGUUUAGAUUCCCUACUUGAUACAGCGGUAAUGCCGCGAUAGAUGCAGUCGAAAUGUACCUACAAGAAGUUAGCACAAAAAUGUGAAGUAAUUUCCAUAAUUUGAAACUGCCUCUACGCAAGCUCCUCUUAAUGCCCCGGUUAGGCUUGCCUACUGGAGCAGCUUAUUCGCUCCAAUGAGUAGAUGAUGCAAAGUUUGGAGCUUUAACUCCAGCCCGAAUCUAAGAUGAGCUCGUGAGCCACAAAAAUAGAAGCUAAAAUUCAUAACCACUGUUUCUGCUGUAACAUGAAGCCCUUUUUUUUCAUCCGGGGGGAGGAGGCAGUUAACGAAAAGGUUACUAUUUCAAACAACUCUAUUAAUAACUUUCUUCAAAAGCUCUAGCUGAGCCACAAAGGCCCUCAAUACCAAAAAACAAAAAAAAGAAGAAAAAAGAGGCUACUAAACUAACCUGCACAACUGCACCCCUCUCAGCUGUUGGGCCCCUACCAUCGAUAAUAUCGUAGUACUUUAACCCAUCAGCUGUUCACAAUAUUUACAUUUCAGAUCGUCUGAAGAAAAAAUGGCAGGAGUAAUUUGUUCAUAACAAAUUGCAUGAGAACAAGAGAGAGUCUGUUCACCUGGAAGUCAAAUUUACUACUAAUAGUUCAGAAGUAUCAAUGCAAUGAAUGUGUUGAUUCACUAAGAUCCCUCUUAAGGGGGCAAAAAUAAGGCAUUAUCUAGGCCAUCGAAAAUAAAACUACAACAAAAAUAUGAUCAAUUUUUGUAACUCAUCAUAUUUACUGUAAAUCCUACUAUGUUAGCACUUACACUAUGGAUUGUCGGUUUAGCUGCUUGAAUCUAGAAAUCAAACCAAAUAAAAAGAAAUAGUUAUACGUACAGGGAACAAGAGGUCGAUGACAACGACUUCAAUAGAACUCGUAUCUAAGGAUGAAAGUGUGGUGGGUCACAAGCAAAGUAUAGUGUUUAACAAGUAGGUGUUACUGUUGAGUUCUACGAUGGCAAACUUAAUGGAGUAAGUUAUUCUGAUUCUGCUAUAUCUAUAGACUGGUACGGCAGUCGAAUCCUACCUCGACCAAGAUCAGUCAAGUACAGAUAUGGCUAUCUGACUCAGGUUCCUAUCCAUGUCUGAAUAUAUUUAUCCAUAUAAAGAGAUGGGUUGAAGUAUUUUAUCCAAAUAUGCAUCUCUAUAUUCAUACACAAGAGUCCGGCUACUAUACUAUCAAUAGCACCAAGCAGUUGGUGCUAUCAAGUUUUUCGCCGUUAGAUCUACCCCGUUGACCAUUUUCACCUGUUAGAUCAUACUAUUCAACUAACUACCCACUCAACCCUAGGGGGACCACUAUUCAACUAACUACCCACUCAACCCUAGGGGGACCACUAUCAUCCUAACAUCACAUCUCUUCAUCCAAGGGUUGAAAACUUAAUAGCACUAAUGACUUGGUGUUAUUAAUAGUAUAGUAGCCUAGUUCCCAUACACAAAAUAUCGCUAAAAUAUAACAUGAAUCUUCAACAAUAUGUAUAAAUAUUAUAUUUCAUUAUUUUAUGGUAAGCUUGUAAGCUUUUUAUCCUCUUAAAACAAAUGCGGAUACAUGCGAAAUCUACCUCUAUUUGAAUAUGUAUUAAGUAUAUAUGAUUUUUUUUUUAAGUAUCCUUUGAAUAUCGGUAUCCGCAUCAUAUGUGGGAAACAACAAGGAUUGUCCCUGUUCAAAUGCCAAGCACUGUAUGUUCAAUUCUUCAUAUAACUCCCCCUCAAGUCAAGAACUUACUAACCAAAAUUCAUGGCUGCUUUAAUUUACUUGAUGGAACUUCAAACACAAAUGCUGGAUUAAAUAAUAACAAUAAUAAUAAUAAUAAUAAUAACAAAUUGCAUAAAUAUUUUAGCCCCAAAAUGCCAAUUUUACCAAAUGAGCCCCAAAACAAAAGGAACAUUUCAUAAAACAAGGAUAAAGAUUUUCCCUUGAACCCUCCCUCAAUUCAUAAACUUUAGGGAAAACCAUAAACUUCAAUUUACCCCCUCAAAAAAGUGCAAUUUUUUAAACUACGGGAUGAGAAAGGUAAAAUGCAGUAAACCACAGGGGGGCGUAUUGAAAUUUACCCUCUCAAACUUUAUAGCCAAAAAUUUUCUACAGCAAUUCAGAUCAAAUCUGAGCAUAAAAAGCUAAAUGUAAAAGCACCCGAAUCCAAUUUUACCAAAAAUAAACACACAAACUUUGAUGGAACAUGGACGACGAGGAAGAUGAAUAGGGCAAACGCGAGGAUAAAUUAGGGUUUGGGGAGAAGGGAAACUCACGGCUAGUUGAAUACUCCUCAGGAGCGAUGGUUUUACGCGCCCUCCUCUCCCUAGCAUGGGAGGGGAGUGCGAGAGCGCUCCAAUUGAGGGGGAGAAUAGAGAUCAAAAGCGCUUCUCGUCGUAAAAUGGGGAGCGGAAGGAGACGAGGAAGAGAACAACUCGGGCGAUUGGCUCCAGCUGCUUCUGCUUCUCUGGGAAGCACUUUUGGGGCGCUUCUUGAAGAAGCCAUAGCCGUUGGGGUGCGAAGGCUCUGCAGAGAAGCCAUAGCCGUUGGAAUGGAGAGGAGAGAGAUGAAAGAGAUAUAACGUGGGAACUUUUUCUUUCUUUCUUUUUUUUCUUUUUUUUUUUUUUUGAGAGAGAUAUAGGUGGAUUUUUUUUAUAAAACAACCCUCUAACAUUUUAUAAUUUGCGAAAUAAUCCUGCCAAAUUUAUAUUUGGCAAACUAACACUCUUUUCGCCACGUAAGAGUCACGUGAGAGUUUUUUUUGAAAAUUUCACCAUCAAAUUUGAUUUGGGUGAAUUUGGAGAUAAUAAAAUUUUAAAAAUUAUUGGGUGGAAAUUUGAUGGUGAAAUAAUAAAAUUUUAAAAAUUGGAUUUGGGUGCUUUUACAUUUAGCUUUUUGUGCUCAAAUUUGAUCUGAAUUGCUGUAGAAAAUUUUUGGCUAUAAAGUUUGAGAGGGCAAAUUUCAAUACGCCCCCCUGUGGUUUACUGCAUUUUACCUUCUCAUCCCGUAGUUUACAAAAUUACACUUUUUUGAGGGGAUAAAUUGAAGUUUAUGGUUUUAAAAUUAGGUGAAUUUGGAGAUAGUAAAAUUUUAAAAAUUAUUGGAGAUAAUAAAAUUUCACCAUCAGAUUUGGGUGAAUUUGGAGAUAGUAAAAUUUUAAAAAUUAUUGGAGAUAAUAAAAUUUCACUAUCAAAUUUCCAUAUAUUGGAGAUAAUUUCACCAUCGUAUAUAUAAAAUAAUAAAAUUUUAAAAACUAUUUCUCAACUGCAUAUAACCAAACAAAUUAUUUAUAGUUACAGCGCUUUCUACUACAUCCAACUAAAUAGGAUGCAUGUAGUUGCAAUUGCUGCAUUUUUAACCGUAUGCAUUUUUAAUUACAAUGCAUUUAUAAUUACAUCUAACCAAACGGCCCCUAUGUGAUGUUACCUCUCGCUUUUAAAUAGGCAACUUUCACCGAAACAAACAACUAAAAGAAGUUGACUUUAAAAAGAAACUUAAACUGAAUAAAGGGAUAAUUAUAAGCUGCUGUGUUGUUAAAUUUUCUCAACAGUUGAUAAAAACAUAAUCAUAUCUUUUUUCAGUCCUAUAAAAAAAACAUUAAAAAGGUGAUUGCACAAGAUUACACAAGACCACAAAGGAUGCUUCAAUAAGAUGGAGGGGUCUCGACAAUUUGUGACUAAAAUGAAAAAAAGUAGUAGGGCAUAUGAUUUAUAGCUAUCAAACCCAUCUUGAGUUCCCUCAAUAAAGAAUCUAGUAAUUUGCUCACUUCGUUGUCACAAUUCUCCAUAUCGAUCUCGGAGGAGUCUCUGCAAUUAAUGAAGAGAAAUCACUUAUGAAACUUUUGAAAUAAAAGAAAAGAUAGUGAAAAAGAUAUCUGAAAGAAGAAUCAGAAUAGUAAAAUAUCCGCUAAAAUUUUCAGCUCAAGAAACACAAUCUUAGGUGUAAGGACAUUUUCAGCUCAUUUAGAAAACAAAAGAUAUUUGUUAGUAUUAGAAACAAAUAGAGCUGAAUAUACCUUGUAAAUCAACAAUGCUUGCUAAGAUCUUUGCAAAGAGCCUUGCUAACACCGCCUGCUUCUAUAGAUCCCUUUUUGAUCCACUCAACCAGCUGCAAAAGGUAAUGAAAAUGACUCCAAAUGAAAAUCAAAAAGAGUUUUAUUGAACAGCUUCAACUGCUAAGGUUCUACAGAAACCAUAGAUUGCUAAAUUUGAUUUAACAAUGUGUAGAGCUGGUGUUUGUAUACUUUAUUCGACGACACAAUCGUAUUGUGAGAUCUUUGCAUAUGCAUUGGUACUAGAAUUUAUGAAUAAAAUAAUCUGACUCACCUCAUCCACAGUUUCCUCCAACAACCUGCAGCCGUGAACAUACCAAGCCAGAGUCUCUCAAGAGUUUAGGACAACAAAUUUAGAACCCAGAGAAAAACGCAAUGAGCUUUACUGACCUUCAGUUAAAGUGAAACUUCUUAGACAUCACUGUAGACCUCUAGGCUCUUCUUUCAAAGCCAGAAGUUUAUAUUUGCUCUAGACAAAGUAGAUAAUAAGAAAGAACAGUAAACUAAUUGCAUCAGUGAAAGGUAUUGAUAAAAUAAAGAAAAGGUUUCAGUAUGGCAUUCAUGAAGUCUAGGAUGUAAGAGAUGAAACCAAUAUUGCUUAUACUUGUGAAACACUCGAGUUACAACUAAUUGACGUUCUCUGUAAUCUAGAUGAUAUUGAAAAGGUACUACAUAGUGCAUAUAGAGGCAUUCAGAUCAACACGAGAAAUCGUGCCCUAAAAAGGGAAAGUGAUUAAAGGAAAAUAAACAAAAAGGCGAAAAAAAGGCAAAGAAAAAAGAAAACAGAAAAGGAGUUGUGGUUAACAAAACACAAUAGUUAACAAAAAAAGAACAGAAAAGGACUCGUGUUUAGUCAUCCUCUGAAUGAUGACAAAUAAUAAAAAGAACUAAAAGUCCAAAACAAUAGUUAACAAAAAACAGAAAAAGGACAAUGCAUCACCAGUUAACGAGUAUAAAUGAACAGAUAUCCCAGCUAUUGUUAAUUAGAAAUUGUGGUUUAAUAGCAAAACAGCAAACCAGUCAUUAUACAACAAACCAAGUGAAUUUAACCUUCCACAAAAUGUGGAUAAAUCCUUUGAGUAGGCACAAGCUUCCUGCUUAUCUACAAAACAAAACAAAUAUUUUUGAAGAGACAUAAUCUUAACUAAUCAUGGCUAGAAGUAAGUUGAUAAAUGCUGCUAUAUUCACUGAUAUAAACUAUAGAUCAAUAAAAGCAAAGAAAAUCAUCUCAAUCAUCUUUGAAUCACUAGACUGAAAGACCUACUUACUCAUUUCUUUAUCAUACAUCAGCAAUGUUAUGAUUGAUAAAUGUCAUUCAUUACCCCUAGCUUUAAAGGACUUAUCAUUUGUGUGUGCUAUUCUUUCCGAUUGAAUAGGUGUCAAAUAUCCAGGGGGCAAAAUCACAGUUUACCACUAAAAGUAAAUACUUCGAAUUAUUGUCCGAAAUGAAUGGCCAAUAAUAUUCUGAAAAGUUUAAAACGUUUCACUACGAAAAUAUAUCAGCAAUUAAAGUUUAAAAGAGUUCCGGCAAAAUAUCUUGAGAGAUAAAGACCAAGAGUUGCUUAUCAAAAGUCAAGAUAUAGCAACAUUGUUGAUUACAGCUUACCAGUUUAAGACUGUCCCAGUCUCUUACUUUGACCCAUGCUCGCUCGCCUGAUUCCACCUGCAAAACAGCCAGGAAUCAACCGCUCAAAAUUUAGUCGUGCAGCUACAUGGCUAAGCCCGAAAUUGUAGCUUAAGACAUUAAGAAUUUAAAGUCAGGUGCAUAUUUAUAGCAAAAUGCAAGUAAUGCAGAAAUACCAAAAGGAUCAGACGGUAAAGUGGGAUGAUGUUUACUAGAACAAUUCCACAACUAAAAUUCUUAAUUAAUUCAAUUGUAUUUAUAUACCUUGUCUAGAGUAUAAUCCUGCAUUUUUUCGCAGAGACCAUCAAGUAACUCAACAACUCUUAGUUCACUGACUCUGACGAAAAGAAACGAAGACACAAUAUAGGCAUCAGAGUAAAAAUAAAAGGCAAAACACUAAGACGAUAUACUGAAAAAGAAUCAAAUUACUCAACUACAGUAAACCUCUUUUAAACAUGAAAUAGUUCAUGCUAAAAACCAGCAAAAAUAGCUCAUUUUUGGGACUAAACAGCCAUCACUCUCAACAGGUAUUAUAGUAAGUCAGAAACAACUUAAAUAAAAGUAUGGAGAAGUUAUCAGGAAAGAUGCAGCAUUUAGCAGUUAGGUAAGACAAUAAAAUAUUAUGGUUACAGAAUUUUCAAAUGAUUUCAAAGAUUUGUGAAAUCUAACUUCACAGCAAUGAAGACAUCCAGGUUGUAGGGAGUAUUUCCACCAAUUCUAGUGUUAGUAGUUUAGAGUUUUUCAUACACCAUAUCACAAAAGUAGAUUCCAAUUUUAUAGAUAAAAGAAUCAAAAGCAUAUGAUUAGCAUGUAUCAACAGACAAUACUGCAGUAUUAUGAUCUAAUAUCAGUACUUUCGGCUUACAGUAGCUCACUCCAUUAAGCAUCAGAUAUGAAAAGUCUGAUGCUGAAUUGAUUUGAGAAACUUCGCAACCGAAUUUAUAUGUGAUACCGGAAAACUAGAAGGAAAAAAAGAUGAUUAUUAUUUGUUCUUCAUGCCACAAUUUGAUAAACAAGUUCGUUUGAGGGAUUAACAUAAGAAUUUAAUAGUAGCAAGGACAGAGGUAGAUUCGUCCUUCUCUGAGUCUCUUUUCCACAAAGACAGAUGAUCCUGAUACGAAGUUUAACUCAGAUGGACCACCCACAACAUAAUUUAGAAGCUAUGACAUGUAGGUCCAAUACUUUGUAUUGAAAUUCUACUUCUAAGAUUGCAAAAAGUAAAGCUCUUCGUUUUGUCAGUGAACCAAAAUUUUUGAUAUUGUGGACAAUAAAUAGUACUGGCUAGUGAUAAGUCUCAAAGACUCCAAAUUCGAACAUACAAGACAUGAAAAUAAAUCUAAGGAAUGUUAAUUGACAGCAGGUGUCAUUGGAGACAUCAAGGUGAUCCGAAUAGACACUGAUAAUACAAAUACCCGUAAUCAAGUACUUUACCCUCAUGCUGCCCUUUGGAAUCCAAACGGUGGCGCAUGUCUAAGUGGUUUCUUGGCUUCUCCUGCAUCAAAAUUAAAGAAGAAGAUGCCAAACUUUACAAUUUCAUGGAGUGAUUCCGAUUAUAAGCUCAUAAUGAAGAAGAAACAGACAUUAGACAGCUGUUAGUCUAUGCAGGAUACUACACUAAACUUAGAAAUUUCUUUCUGAAGCACUGAGAAUAUAAAGCAAAUGCCUUUAUUAAUUCAUUGAUGACAAUAACUGGCAUAGUAUUAUAGGGAAAAGAGCAUGUAGAAAACUUUCACUAGAGAGUCCAAGUUCUAUUUCGGCCUGCAAAUCAUUCAGCAAAAUAAUCAGAUCUAAUAUAGUUGACGGGCCAGAAUAAAAAAAAAAAGGUAAACAUGUAUAGAACUUAACUGAACCUUCAUCCAUUUUGACUCAACAAAAUUUUGAUUUUGGUAGCCAACCUUUUAUUUGAUUUAAGCCAUUUGAUGGUUCUUCAAGUACAAACUCGAAGCUCAUUAAUUGCUUUAAUGAAAUUGUAUUUGCAUAAAUUACGGAAAAUAUGCUAAUUAAGCCCGCAAAAACAAACAAUGCAGUCAAAAUUUUGAGGUGUGAAGGUCCUUAAAUGGCUGAAAUCCAGAUGAAUCAAAAGGUUAUGUAGAAAAAAAAAAUUGAAGCUAAAAUAAUUAGAUCAAAAUGGUCAUAGUUCACUAAGUUCCAUACAUUUUUACUAAAAAAACAAACGAAAAAAAGACAUUACACGGGGGCGCAAUGUGAUCUUAUUGUAUCGAUCCCUUUCCAAGUCAGACUUUGCUUCACCUCCUGUUCUAAGUUUCUGCUAAUUGCAAGGUGUUCCCUUUGAAAAUUUCUUUUUAAGAGGUCACUUGGCUUUUUUUUUUCUCUUCCAUAUUUUUGACGCAUGUAGUGUUUACUUUUACAUAGUGAAAUUUUGAAGAAAAAGAAAAUUUCACUUUAUUGUCAUAGAUUAGCUGAAAUCGACCUCUAUCCCUGCAGUCUUUGUUAUUAUCACCAAAGCCACUGCCAAGACGGUAACAAGCUUCCACCUGUUCUAGUCUUAAGACCACGAAUCUCAAAGGCUCUGAACGUUUCUCAACUGCAUCUCUUCAAAGUAACACAGUUUGAAGGCUGCCUUUUGUGACGUUUGGUCUUUAUUUACUUUUGGGCAAUUCUGCUUUCUUGAUAUUUUGGGUUUAAGCUUGAUUUCUGCCCAAUUGCAGUAUGAGGACAUAUAUCAGGGACAUUGUGAAAAGCCCGGCUGACAUACAAGUAAUUUUCCCUCACUUCUCUACAUCCAAAAGUUCUUCUGGUGAAACUGUACAAUGCUCUACAGAUAUCAAAUGAUCUGCUAACUGGCAUAGAACAAAGUAUAUAUCAGUAGAGCUUUCAUGUCUCAUGUCUUCUACUAAAAACUCAUGUAGAAUACUAUUUAUCUCAAUUGAACUAACUCCUGCAUCCUUCUUUAUCCCCUUUUCUCUCAUGACUCUCCUUAGUGUCUUCAUCUUCUCCCACCUGUGGUUCUCACAAUACAUAUUUGAAAUCAAAACAUGUAGUCCUCCACCACUCAUUUCCAAACUUAGUAGGUGUUUCAUCACCUGCUCCCCAAUCCUUGCAUAUCCGUGAAUUCUACAAGCCCCAAGUAAUGCACCCCAUAUCACAAUAUCCGGCUUCAUAGGCAUACUUUUAAUUAACUCCACGGCUCUUUGAAUCAAGCCUCCCCUCCCAAGAAGAUCAACCAUGCAAGCAUAAUGUUCAAUUUCAUAUGGAACAUUAUAAACAACAUUCAUAGUUUCAAAAUAAGAUUGUCCAAUUUCCACUAAACCACAAUGACUACAUGCAGAUAACAAACCGACGAAAGUGACCCCAUCCGGUAAAAAGCCCUCUUCAAUCAUUUGGUUAAAGAAAUCAACAGCAUCAAAUGCCCGGCCGUGAAUUGCUAAGGCCCAAAUUAUCACAUUCCAUGAGAUUGCGCUUUUACUAGGCAUCGUACUAAAGAGAUCUAAAGCAAUUUCUAUUGGACCACAUUUUGCAUACAUGUCGAUAAGGGAGUUAAAUAGAGCAAUAGAGGGUUGUUCAAUAUUAUCUCUAAUUUGAUAGUGAAUAUUCUUCCCAAAUACCAAAUUGCCAUUUUGGGCGCAAGCCAUAAGAACAAAGAUAAGAGUUACCUCAUCCGGCGUUACCUUUGAAGCAUGCAUCUGGUCGUAAAGAUCUAGGGCUUCAUGAGAAAGCCCAUUUUGGACGUAGCAAGAGAUCAUGGCAUUCCACGACACUAUGUUCCUUUCCGGCAUUCGAUCGAACAGAUCCCUAGCCACUUCAAUCAAACCAUGUUUCGCAUGAGCGCAUACCAUCGAUGUCCACGAAACCACAUUCUUCACAUCCAUCGUAUCGAAACAUCUCUGCGCCAUAAGCAAUCUGCCACACUUCCCAUACAUAUCUACCAAUGCAUUCCUCACAAUCAGAUCAAAUUUAGCCCCAGAAACCUCUAUAUAUUGAUGUACGAGCCUACCCAACUCAAAAUUUUCUGCUUGCGAGCAUGCAGAUAAAAGAAUAACCAGUGUGAACUCAUCAGCCACCAAACCACUUUCUCUCAUCAUUUUAAAUAGGGAAAAUGCUUCUUUGCAAUCACCCAAUUGAGAAUACCCACCAAUCAUAGAGUUCCAAGACACAGCAUUUCUACUGGGAAUUUCGUCGAACACCCUGCGGGCAAACCAAAUUGGCCCACAAGACGAGUAAACAUGGAGGAGAGCAUUCAUAACAAAGAUUUGCGACUCGAAUCCGAGCUUUAUGAUCAGACCAUGAAUCACUAAUGUUUCUUCUAAUGCUGAAGCUUCGGCACAUGACUUGAGAACGAAGGGAAGGGUGAACUGGUUGGGCAAGAGGCCAUGGCGAAGCAUUCGGCGACAAAGAAAGAGGGCUUCUUUAGGGCUAUGUUGAUUGGUGUAGCCUCUGAUUAAGCUAUUGUACAUGAAUUUAUUGGGGUUGGGAGCGUGUUCGAGGAGUUUGCGGCCGUAGCAGAGGUUGCCAGCGGGGGAGAGGGAGCAAAAGGAGAUGAGCUGGGCUAGGGUUAGGGUUUCGUCGAGGAGGGCGGCGGCGAUGAGGUGCGCGUGGAGCUGCUUGAGGUGGUUCAUGGAGCGGCAUCUUGGGAGGAGGGAGUGGAGGAGUUGGUGCGCGGGAAAUUUGAAUCCGGGGAGGGGAAUGUGGUGGGGUCGGGGUUUUGGCGCGAAGCUAACGGCUAUGCGUUUGAACAUAGCAUGCACUCGUUGGGGUAGAGCUUGAAUCUAGAAACCACACCCAAAAAAUAAUAAUAAUAAUAAAUAAAAAUUGUUAGACGUCCAGUAAAUGAGAGGCCGAUGACAACUACUUCAAUAGAACUCAUCAUAUAGUGUUGAAUAAUAGAGUGUUUGGGAAUGACAUUCUGAAAAUCUGAUACUUCGUUUUAGAAUCAAAAAAUUGAUUUUGAAGACUCCAGAAUCAGAAACAGAAAAAAACUGUUUUUUCAAAACUGAUUCUGAUUUUGAACUCAAACUUCUAAUUUUUAUUUUUAUUUUAGAUUCAAAAUAUAAAUUUAACAUUAAAUUUAAAUUUUUAAUUUUUAAAUUCAUAUUUGAAUUUUUAAAUCUCAACUUUUCAAAUUUAAAAUUUAAAAUUUACAUUUAAAAUUUUAAAUUUAAGUUUCAAAUCUCAAAUUUUUAAAUUUUAAAAUUCAAAUUUUAAAUUUUAAAUUUUAAAAUUUUAAAUUUUGAUUUUGAAUUUCAAUUUUCAAUUAUUCAAUUUUCAAUUUUCAAUUUUCAAUUUUCAAAUUUUAAAUUUUAAAUUUUAAAUUAAUUUAAAUUUAAUUUUAAUUUUUAAUUUCAAUUUCAAAAUUAAAAUUUAAAAUUUGAAUUUGAAUUUUAAUUUUUAAUUUGAAAUUUUAAAUUUUAAAUUUAGAUUUUAAAUUUAAAUUUUUGAAAUUUCAAAUUUAUUUUUGUAAAAGUUUGAAACUUAAAAAUUAUACUUUUAAUUAAAUUUAAGAUUUUAAUUUAAAUUCAAAUUUUAAAUUAUUUUAAAAAUAAAAUUUAGUAAAAAUAUUAAUAUAUGCAAAUAUCAAAAAAUUUUUGCCAAACUACCUUAGAAAAUCACUUCAGAAAAAUCACUUUUUUCUAAAUUCAACUAAACGCUCUACAGCUUUUCACCAAAAUCAAUUCUCCAAAUCAAAAUCACUUUUACAGAAAUCACUUCUUCAGAAGCUAGGCCAAACAGGCCCUAAGUAGGUAUUAUGUUGAAUUCUGUAGUGGUAAACUUAUUAAUGGAGUAAGUUAGACCCAGUUUGGCCUAGCUUUCUGAAAGUGAUUUUGGACUCAAAAUUAUUUUUUGGGCUCGGUAGGCGCUUGUCAACGAAAGUUGAAACUUUGGAUUUUGCUUUUCAGAAUCUGAAAACUGAUUUUGAAGGCUCCAAACUUAGAAGUAGAAAAUAGCUGGUUCUUGAAAUAUGAUUUUGAUUUUGAACUCAAACUUUAAAUUUUUAAUUUAAUUUUAGAUUCAAUGUUUAAAUUUAAAUUUAAUUCUAAUUUUUAAAUUUUAAAUUCAUAUUUAAAUUUUUAAAUUUCAACUUUUUAAAUCUAAAAUUUAAAAUUUAGAUUUUAAACUUUAAAUUUUAAAUUCUAAUUUUAAAUUUCAAAUCUCAAAUUUUAGAUUUUAAAAUUUUAAAUUUCAAAUUUCAAAUUUAAGAUAAAAUUUAAAAUUUGACAUUUUAGAUUUUAAAUUUUAAACCCAUCGUCUAUAUUCAUACACAAGGAGUCCGGCCUACUAUACUAUCAAUAGCACCAAGCAGGGUUGGUGCCUAUCAAGUUUUUCGCCGGUUUUUUUUUAGAUCUUACCCGUUGGACCAUUUCACCUGUUAGAUCGCAACUAUUUCAACUAACGUCAACCCACUCAACCCUGCGGGGGACCACUAUUUCAAGUAACUACCCACUCCAUACCCUAGGGGGACCACUAUCAUCCUAACAUCACAACUCUUCAUCCAAGGCCGUUGGCAAAACUUAAAGCACUAUAUGAGCUUGUGUUAGUAAUAGCUAUAGUAGGCUAGCUUCCCAUAACAAAAUAUCGCUAAAAAUAUAACAUGACUUUCAACAAUUAUGGUAUAAAUAUUAUAUUUUCAUUAUUUUAUUGCGGUAAGCUUUGUAACGCUUUUUAUCCUUCUUAAACAAAUGCGAUACAUGCGAAUCACACCUGCUAUUUGGAAGUAUGAUUAAAGUAUAUAUUGAUUUUUUUUUUAAGGUAUCCUUUGAAUAUCGGUAUCCGCUUAUCAUAUGUUGGGAAACAAUCAAGGAUUGUCCCUGUUUCAAAUGCCAAGCACCUGUAGUUCCAAUUUCUUCAAUUAACUACCCCCUUCAAGUCAAGGAACUUACUAACCAAAAUUUCAGGUGCUUUAAUUUAGCUGAUGGAACUUCAAACACAAAUGCUGGAUUAAUAAUAACAAUAAUAAUAAUAAUAAUAAUAACAAAUGCAUAAAUAUUUUAAGGCCCCAAAAUGCUCAAUUUACCAAAUGAGCCCCAAAACAUAAAGCGAACAUUUCAUAAAACAAGGAUAAAGAUUUUCCCGUUGAACCCUCCCUCAAUUCAUAAACUUUUAGGAAAACCAUAAACUUCAAUUUACCCCCUCAAAAAAGUGCAAUUUUUUAAACUACGGGAUGAGAAGGUAAAAUGCAGUUAAACCACAGGGGGGCGUAUUGAAAAUUUACCCUCUCAAACUUUUAGUAGCCAAAAAUUUUCUACAGCAAUCAGACAAAUCUGAGCUAAAAAGGCUAAAUGUAAAAGCACCCGGAAUCCAAUUUUACCAAAAUAAACACACAAACUUGAUGGAACAUGGACGACGAGGAGAUGAAUUAGGAAACGCGGGAGGAGUAAUUAGGGUUUGGGGAGAAGGGAAACUCACGGGCUAUUGAAUACUCCUUCAGAGCGAUGGUUUUACGCGCCCUCCUCUCCCUAGCCAUGGAGGGGAGUGCGAGAGCGCUCCAUUUCGAGGGGGAGAAUAGAGAUCAAAAGCGGCUUCUCGUCGUAAAAUGGGGAGCGGAAGGGAGACGGAGAAGAGGAACUAAACUCGGGUCGAUUGGCCCAGCUGCUUCUGCUUCUCUGGGAAGCACUUUUUGGGGCGCCCUUGAAGAAAGCCAUAAAGCCGUGCUGGGGUGCGAAGGCUCUGCAGAGAAGCCAAGCCGUUGGAAUUUGGAGAGCGAGAGAGAUGAAAGAGAUUAUAACGUGGGAACUUUUCUUUCUUCUUUUUUUUUCUUUUUUUUUUUUUUUGAGAGAGAUAUAGGUGGGAUCUUUUUUUUAUAAAACAACCCUCUAACAUUUAUAUAAUUUGCCGAAAUAAUCCUGCCAAAAUUUAUAUUGGAAACUAACACUCUUUUCGCCACGUUAAGGAGUCACGUGAGAGUUUUUUUUGAAAAAUUUCACCAAUCAAAUUUGAUUUGGGUGGAAUUUGGAAGAUACAUUAAAAUUUUAAAAAUGUAUUGGGUGGAAAUUUGAUUGUGAAAUAAUAAAAUUUUAAAAAUUGGAUUUGGGGUGCUUUUACAUUAUAGCUUUUUGUGCUCAACAUUUGAUCUGAAUUGCUGUAGAAAAUUUAGUGGCUAUAAAGUUGAGAGGUGCAAAUUUCAAUACGGCCCCCCUGUGGUUUACUGUUAUUUUACCCCUUCUCAUCCCGAGUUAAUAAAUACACUUGAGGGGAUAAAUGAUAUAGUUUUAAAAUUAGGUGAAUUGGGAGAUAGUAAAAUAAAAAUUAUUGGAGAUAAUUAAAUUUCACCACAGAUUUUGGUGAAUUGGAGAUGUUAAAUUUAAAAAUUGGAGAUUAAUAAAUUUCACUAUCAAAUUUCCAUAUAUUGGAGAUAAUUUCACCAUCGUAUAUAUAUAAAUAAAAAAUUUUAAAAAUAUUUCUCAACUGGCAUAUAACAAACAAAUUAUUUAUAGUUACAGCGCUUUUACUAUCAACUAUAAUAGUAGUCAGUAGUUGCAAUUCCUGGCAUUUUUUAACCGUAUGAUUUUUAAUGUACAAUGCAUUUAUUAAUUACAUCUAACCAAACGGCCCCAGUUGAUGUUACCUCUCGCUUUUAAAUAGGCAACCUUCUCACCAAAACAAACAACUAAAGAAGUUGACUUUAAAAAGAACUUAAACUGAAUAAAGGGAUAAUUAUAAGCUGCUUGUUGUAAAUUUUCUCAACAGUUGUAAAAAACAUAAUUCAUUAUCUUUUUUCAGUCCUAUAAAAAAAACAUUAAAAAGGUGAUUGCACAAAUUACACAAGGACCACAAAGGAUGCCUUCAAUAGAUGGAGGGGUCUCGACCAAUGUGACUAAAUGAAUUAAAAAAGUAGUAGGGUCAUAUGAUUUAUAGUAUCAAACCCAUCUUGAGUUCCCUCAAUAAAGAAUCUAGUAAUUUGCUCACUUCGUUGUCACAAAUUCUCCAUAUCGAUCUCGGGAGGAGUCUCUGCAAUUAAUGAAGAGAUAUUCACUUAUUAUAUAUUUUUGAUUAUAUAAAAGAAAUAGAUACGUGAAACAAGAUAUGAAAGGAAGGAUAUUUAUGUUAUGUAUAUAUAUCUGUUAAAAUUUUUCAGGCUCUAUGGAAACACAACUUAGGUUGUAAGGACAUUUUCCAGCUCAUUAGAAAACAUAAAGUAUAUUGUAGUAUAGAAUACAAAUAGCUGAAUAGUACCUGUAGAAGUCAACAAUCUUGCUAAAUUCUUCAAAACUCUACACCGCCUGCUCUGAUAGAUCCCUUUUAUCGCACUGCGAGAGCCGAAGAGGGUAAUGAAAAUGACCCAAAUGAAAAUCAAAAAGAGUUUUAUGAACAGCUUCAACUGCUAAGGUUCUACAGAAACCAUUAGAUUGCUAAAUUUGAUUUAACAAUGGUGUAGAGCUGGGUUGUACUUUAUUCGACGACACAAUCGUAUUGUGAGAUCUUUGCAUAUGCAUUGGUACUAGAAUUUAUGAAUAAAUAACGACUCACCCUCUCCACAGUUUCCUCCAACAACCUUGCAGCCGUGAACAUACCAAGCCAGAGUCUUCUCAAGAGUUUAGGACAAAAAUUUUAGAACCCAGAGAAAAAACGCAAUGAGCUUUACUACCUUCAGUAAAGUGGAAACUUCCUUAGACAUUCACUGUAGACCUCUAGGCUCUUCUUUCAAAGCCCCAGAAGUUUAUAUUGCUCUAGACAAAGCUAGUAAUAAGAAAGAACAGUAAACUAAUUGCAUCAGUGAAAGGUAUUUGAUAAAAAUUAAAGAAAGGUUUUCAGUAUGGCAUUCAUGGAAGUCUAGGAUCGUAAGAGAUGAAACCAAUAUUGCUUACUUGUGAAACACUCGGAGUUACAACUAAUUGACGUUCCUCUGUAAUCUAGAUGAUUAUUGAAAAGGUACUACAUAAGUGUCAUAUAGAGGCAUUCAGAUCAACACGAGAAAUCGUGGCCCUAAAAACGGGGAAAUUGCAUUUAAAGGAAAAUAAACAAAAAGGCGAAAAAAAGGCAAAGAAAAAAAGAAACAGGAAAGGAGUUGUGGUUAACAAACACAAUAGUUAACAAAAAAAAAGAACAGAAAAGGACUCGUGUUUAGUCAUCCUCUGAAUCGGAUGACAAAUAUAAAAAGAACAAAAGUCCAAAACAAUUAAGUUAACAAAAAACAGAAAAGGACGAAUGCAUCACCAGGUUAACGGAGUAUAAAUGAACAGGUACCCCAGCUUAUUGUUAAUUAGAAAUUGUGGUUUAAUAGCAAAACAGCAAACCAGUCAUUAUACCAACAAACCAAAGUUGAAUUUUAACCUUCCACAAAAUUGUGGCAUAAAAUCCUUUGAGUAGGCACAAGCUUCCUGCUUAUUACAAACAAAACCAAAUUAUUUUUGGAAGAGACAUAAUCUUAACUAAUCAUGGCUAGAAGUAAGUUGAUAAAUGCUGCUAUAUUCACUGAUAUAAACUAUAGACUCAAUAAAAGGCAAAUGAAAAUCAUCUCAAUCAUCUUUGAAUCACUAGACUGAAAGACCUAUCCUUACUCAUUUCUUAUCAUUACAUCAGAAUGUAUGAUUAUAGAAUGUCAUUCAUUACCCCAGCUUUAAAGGGACUUAUCAUUUUGUGUGUGCUAUUCUUUCCCGUUGAAUAGGUGUCAAAUAUCCAUGGGGGCAAAAUCACAGUUUACCACUAAAAAGUAAAUACUUCGAAGUUAUGUCCGAAAUAAUUGGCCAAUAAUAUCUUGAAAAGUUUAAAAAGCGGUUUCACUUACGAAAAUAUAUCCAGCAAUUAAAGUUUAAAAGAGUUCCGGCCAACAAUAUCUUGUAGAAUAAAGACUCAAGAGUUGCUUAUAAAAGUCGAAGAAUAGUAGCAACCAUUGUUGAUUACAGCUACGCCCACUUAAGUUAUAAGGACUGUCCCAGUUUAGAACUGGCUGCUAGCUCUUGAACCCAAGUGUCAGUUGUUCGUUUUCUUUUCUACAUAGUUUUGGGAGAUCAUUUCAUAGAUGAAUGCAAUGUCGCUGCACCUGCAAAACAGCCAGGAAUCACCCCUUUCAAAAUUUAGUCUGCAGUGCUACAUGGCUAAGCCCGAAAUUGUAGCUUAAUGAAUUAAGAUUAUAAAGUCAGGUGGCAUAUUUAUAGCAAAAUGCAAGUAAUGCAUGAAAUCAAAAUGAUCAGGACGGUAAAGUGGGAAUGAUGUUUACUUAGAACAAUUCCACAACUAAAAUUCUUAAUUAAUUCAAUUGUAUUUAUAUUACCUUGUCUAGAGUAUAAUCCUGCAUUUUUUCGCUAGAGACCAUCAAGUAACUCAACGAACUCUUAGUUCACGUAGCUCUGACGAAAAGAAACGAAGGACAUCAAUUAUAGGCAUCAGAGUAAAAAUAAAGCAAAACACUAAGACGAUAUACUGAAAAAAAUCAAAUACUCAACUACAGUAAAACCUCUUUUAAACAUGAAAUAGUUCAUGCUUAAUAAAACAGCAAAAAUAGCUCAUUUUUGGGACUAACAGCCAUCACUCUCAAGGUAUUAUAGUAAGUCAGAAACAACUUAAAUAAAGAUGGAAAGUUAUCAGGAAAAGAUGCGAGCAUUUAGCAGGUGGUAGGUAAGACAAUAAAAUAUUAUGGUUACAGAUUUCAAUGAAUUUCAAAGAGUUGUGAAAUCUAACUUCCACAGCAAUGAAGAAUCCGAGAUUGUGUAGGGAGUCCAAUCCACCAAUUCUAAGUGUAGUAGUUUACGCAGUUUUUCAUUAACACCAUAUCACAAAGUAGAUUCACAUUUGUAUAGAUAAUAAAGAUCCAAAGCAUAUGAUUAGCUGUAUCAACAGACAAUACUGCAGUUAUUAUGAUUAAUAUCAGUACUUUCGGCUUUUACAGUAGUCAACCUCCAUUAACAUCAGAUAAUGAAAAGUCUGAUGCUGAAUGGAUUUGAGAAACUUCGCAACGCGAAUUUAUAUGUGAUACGAAACUAGAAGGGAAAAAUAGAUGAUUAUUAUUUGUUCAUUCAUGCCACAAUUUGAUAACGAAGUUUCGUUUGAGGAUAUUAACAUAAGAAUUUAAUAGUAGCAAGGACAGAGGUAGGAUUCGUCCUUCCUCUGAGUUCUUUUCACAAGACCAGAUGAUCCUGAUACGACAGUUUAACUUCAGAUGGACCACCCACAACAUUAAUUAGAAGCUAAUGAGCAAUUAGGCAUACUUUGUAUUAGAAAAUUCUUACUUCUAAGAUUGCGCAAAAAGUAAAGCUCUUCGUUUGUCAGUGAAACCAAAAUUUUUGAUAUUGUGGACAAUUAAAUAGUACUGGCUAGGAUAAGUCUCAAAGACUCCAAUUCCGAACAUAACAAGACAUGAAAAUAAAUCUAAGGAAUGUUAAUUGACAGCAGUGUGUCAUUGGAGAAUCAGGGUGAAUGCCGAAUAACACUGAUAAUACAAAUACCCGUAAUCAAGUACUUUACCCUCAUGCUGCCCUUUGGGAAUCCAAACGGUUGCGCCAUGUCUUUAAGUGGUUUCUUGGCUUCUUCCUGCAUCAAAAUUAAAGAAGAGAGCCAACUUUACAUUUCAUGAGUGAUUCCGAUUAUAGCUCAUAAUGAAAAAGAACAGACUUAGACAGCUGUCUGAGUCUAUUGCAGGAUACUACACUGAAACUUAGACAAAUUUCUUUCUGAAAGCACUGAAAUUAUAGAAGCAAAUGGCCUUUAUUAUUCAUAUGAGCAAUAACUGGCAUAGUAUAUAGGGAAAAGAGCAUGUAGAAACGUUUCACUAGGAGUCCAAGUUCUAUUUCCGCGCGCAAAUCAUCAGCAAAUAAUCAGAUCUAAUACUAAGUUGGGGCCAGAAUAAAAAAAAAAGGUAAACAUGUAUUAGAACUUAACUGAACCUUCAUCCAUUUUGACUCAACAAAAUUUUGAUUUUGGUAGCCAACCUUUUUUGAUUUAAGCCAUUUGAUGGUUCUUCAAGUACAACUCGAAGCUCAUUAAUUGCUUUAAUGAAAUUGUAUUUGCAUAAAUUACGGGAAAUAUGCUAAUUAAGCCCGCAAAAACAACAAUAGUAAAAUUUUGAGGUUGUGAAGGUCUUAUAAUGGGCUGAAUGCCAGAUAAUCAAAAAGGGGUGGUAUGGGGGUAUUAGUAAAAAAAAAAUUGAACUUAAAAUAUUAGAUCAAAAAUGGUCAUAGUUCACUAAGUUCCAUACAUUUUACUAAAAAAAAAACGAAGAAAAAGACAUUACACGGGGCGAUCAAUGUGAUAUCUUAUUGUAUCGACCCUUUCAAGUCAGACUUUUGCUUCACCUCCUGUUCUAAGUUUCUGCUAAUGGCAGAGCGUGUUCCCUUUGAAAAUUUCUUUUUAAGAGGUCACUGGCUUUUUUUUCUUCUCUUCCAAUUUUUGACGCCUGUAGUGUUUUACUUUUACAAGUGAAAUUUUGAAGAAAAAGAAAAUCAUUAUUGUCAUAGAUUUAGCUGAAAUCGACCUUCUAUCCCUGCAGUCUUUGUUAUUAUCACCAAAGCCACGCCAAGACGGUAACAAGCUUUCCACCUGUUCUAGUCUUAAACCGACGAAUCUCAAAGCUCUGAACGUUUCUCAACUGCAUCUCUCUUCAAAGUAACACAGUUGAAGGCUGGCCUUUUGUGACGUUUGGUCUUUAUGUUAUUCUUGGGGCAAUUCUCUUUCUUGAUAUUUUGGGUUUAAGCUUGAUUUCUGCCAAUUGCAGUAUGAGACAUAUAUCAGUGGACAUGUGAAAGCCGGCUGAACAUACAAGUAAUUCCUUCCUCACUUCUCUACAUCCAAAAGUUCUUCUGGUGAAACUGUACAAUGCUGUACAGAAUCAAGAUGACUUGCUAACUGGCAUAGGAACAAAGUAUAUUAUCAAAGUUAAAGAGCUUUCAUGUCUCAUGUCUUCUAAGCUAAAAACUUCAAUUAGAAUACUAUUUUCUCAAUUGAACUAACUCCGCAUCCUUCUUUAUCCCUUUUCUUCCAUGGACUCUCUCUAAGUUCAUUCAUCUUCUCCCACCUGUGGUUCCACAAUACAUAUUUGAAUCAAAACAUGUAGUCCUCACCACUCAUUUCCAAACUUAGUAGGUGUUUCAUCACCUGCUCCCCAAUCCUUCGCAUAUCGUGGAAUUCUACAAGCCCCAAAUAAUGACACACCCAUAUCACAUAACCGGCUUCAUAGGCAUACUUUUAACUAACUUCCAGGGGGGGGCCGCUCUUUUGAUCAAGGCUCCCUCCCAAGAAGAUCAACCAUGCAAGCAUAAUGUUCAAUUCAUAUGGAACAUUAUAAACAACAUUCAUAGUUUCAAAAUACAGAUUGUCCAAUCCACUAAACCACACAAUUGACUACUGCAGAUAACAAACCGGACGAAAAGUGACCCCACUCCGGUAAAAGCCCCUCUUCAUCAUUUGGUUAAAGAAAUCACGAGCAUCAAAUGCCCGGCCGUGAAUUGGCUAAGGCGCCAAAUUAUCACAUUCCAUUGAGAUUGCGCUUUACUAGCAUCGUACUAAAGAGAUUAAAGCAAUUUCUAUUGGACCACAUUUUGCAUACAUUGUCGAUAGGAGUUAAAAUAGAGCAAUUAGAGGUGUUUCAAUAUUAUCUCUAAUUUGAUAGUGAAUAUCUUCCCAACAUACCAAAAUUGCUAUUUUGGGCGGAAGCCAAUAAGAACAAAGAUAAGAGUUACACAAUCAUCCGCGCUUACGCCUUUGAAGCAUGCAUCUGGUCGUAAAGAUCUUAGGGCUUCAUGAGAAAGCCCCAUUUUUGGGACGUAAGCAAGAGAUCAUGGCAUUCCACGACCCUAUGUUCCUUUCCGGCAUUCGAUCGAACAGGAUUCCCUAGGCCACUUCAUCAAACCAUGUUUCCAUGAGCGCAUACCUACUGGUAUGGUAGUUGAAUCCUACCACGACCAAGAUCAGUCAGGUUCGGAUAUGCCUAUCUGGCUCGGAUUCCUAUCCGUUUCUGAAUAGCUUUUUCCAUAUAAAGAGAUGGGUUGUAUUUUAUCCAAAUAUGCAUCUCGAUACCCAUAUAUCAAAAUAUCAAAGUAUAACAUGAAUACUAGUUAGAGACCGCGCGAUGCUGCGGGUAGUUAUUUUAAAAUUUAAUUUUAAAAAUUAGCUAUAAAAAUCAAUUUCGGAAUUUAAAUGGUGCAAUAAGUACAUCAAAAAAUUUUAAUAAGCAUAGUAGUCCCCCAUUAGCUAGUGAAAUAAUUUUAGUAGGUAUCGUAGGCCCCAGUAGUUAGUGAAUAAGAAGAGAAAUCAUUAUUUGUGAUUCUCGCAAUUAAUUUUUAUCAAAUAUAAAAUUAACUUAAGCUGCAUCAAUUUUUUUUAUUUUUUAAUGUAUAAUUUAUAUGUGAAUGCUCAAUAUUACAAAAUUAAUAUUUAUAUUUAAUACCAGUAAUCUAAAUUAUUUAACAUUUAUUUAUAUAUUUUAUAUUUUAUAAAAAUAAAUAGUAAAUUAUAUAAUAAAUUAUUAUAUAAUAAUUACUAUAUAUAAUAAAUAAAUAAAUAUUUAUAAAUAAAAUUUUAUAUAUCUAUACUAUAUAUAAAAGCGCGUAUUUCAAAUUUCGGUCUGUCGACGGACCUAUUUUUUGGCGGGAAAAAAAUUGAUUUCUCUUUCCUUACGUAAAAUAAAUAACAGAAUUAAACAAAUUUUAAUCUCUAUAACAGAAAAAAAAAAUUAUGCUUAUCCAAAUUUUUGCCAACCGAAAAAUAUUUACUAUGAAUCUAUAUUUUAAUUCAAAAUUUAUUUAAUUCUUCGUUAUCUCUAUCUAUAAUAUUCUAUAAUAUAUAUAUAUAUAAUUGUUGUUGACAACAGCUAUUUAAAUUUAAAUUAGAAUAUGACGGAUAUUUUCUAAUAUUNNNNNNNNNNNNNNNNNNNNNNNNNNNNNNNNNNNNNNNNNNNNNNNNNNNNNNNNNNNNNNNNNNNNNNNNNNNNNNNNNNNNNNNNNNNNNNNNNNNNNNNNNNNNNNNNNNNNNNNNNNNNNNNNNNNNNNNNNNNNNNNNNNNNNNNNNNNNNNNNNNNNNNNNNNNNNNNNNNNNNNNNNNNNNNNNNNNNNNNNNNNNNNNNNNNNNNNNNNNNNNNNNNNNNNNNNNNNNNNNNNNNNNNNNNNNNNNNNNNNNNNNNNNNNNNNNNNNNNNNNNNNNNNNNNNNNNNNNNNNNNNNNNNNNNNNNNNNNNNNNNNNNNNNNNNNNNNNNNNNNNNNNNNNNNNNNNNNNNNNNNNNNNNNNNNNNNNNNNNNNNNNNNNNNNNNNNNNNNNNNNNNNNNNNNNNNNNNNNNNNNNNNNNNNNNNNNNNNNNNNNNNNNNNNNNNNNNNNNNNNNNNNNNNNNNNNNNNNNNNNNNNNNNNNNNNNNNNNNNNNNNNNNNNNNNNNNNNNNNNNNNNNNNNNNNNNNNNNNNNNNNNNNNNNNNNNNNNNNNNNNNNNNNNNNNNCGCGCCGCGCCAGCGCCCCGCACGGCGCCCGCUCCCGCUCGCGGCUUCGCCCAUGCCAACGCCCGCGGCCGCCCGCGCGCCGCGCCCUCGCCCCCGCCUCGGCCUCCUCGCGACACGUGUGCAGUUAUUGAGGAAUAAUAUAUAGUUAUAGAUUAUAGACUAGUGUAAUGGCCCGCGCUUCGCGGCGGGAUCGAGGUAAUAACGCGGAAAGGAGAUGAUUAUUUUAUUAUAUAUAUUUAUUAAGAAAUACAGAGAUACAUAUAAUAUUCACAUUAUAUAAGAUAACUAAAUACAUAAUACAGAUAAUCUAAUAUGAUAUAAUGUCAUUUAUAAUACAAAUAUAAUUGGUAAAACAGUUUCUAGAUUAUGACCUAUCUGUUUCAUUUGAUUUCUUGUGGGUAUUAAUUUUGCCUACUAGGAGCCGGGUGAAAUAUUCUCUUAAAGGCUGUGAACAUUUCAUUGCCUAUCAUUUGCUGUCUUUCCCUUACUACAAAUUAUUUUUUUUUAUUUUUUAUAUAUAAUUCUAACAAAAAGUGAGGCCAAUUAUUGAACUUGAUUGCUAAACCCGUGAACUUUGAUCCUCCUCUUCCUUGUGUUUGCCUACAGGUUCAGUAGCUUCCCAGAAGAGAGAAAAAUCCAAAACAAAUCAAAAGCAAAGAAGAGUAGCUUCCCAGAAGAGACAGAAAAAUCCAAAACAAAUCAAAAGCAAAGAAGGGAACAACCAAACCGUAUCAAAAGCAAAGAAGGGAACAACCAAACCGUUUCUGCAUCCUUUCUCGCUCUUUUUCCCUCGUCCUUUGCUGCAGCCGCUGUCCCCGUCCCCAUCCCCGCCCCGAUGUAUUUUCCCUCUUCAUCAUUCUCAAUUCCCGUAGCACACUCGUCGCUGUCCGUAGUCAUGCUCUCCGUUGUAGCCUCACCUUCACGAUCUGUGUCAUAUCUAAGCCACCAUCGCCGUCAUGGAUGUCGGUGGUAUGCGCGAGGUAGGAGAGAAGAGGGCGGGGUCAACAUGAGGUCGGUGAUGGAGGAGGGUGAUGAAAAGCGAGGAGAAAAACUAAAGGAGAGAGAGAGAGAGGGAGAGAGAGAAAGGAAAGAAAAAGAGAAAUAAUAUUAAUUUGAUCAAUUUACUAAAAAUUCACAUCUCAAAAUUAAAUAAAAGUCUAUUUUGUUAUAAAAAUUUACUAAAAAUUCACAUCUCAAAAUUUUAAAAAAAGUCUAUUUUUUAUAAAAAUAUAAAAUUAGGAAUUGUUUUUUUUGCAAAUUGGUAAAAAAAAAAACCUAAGAAAAUUAUUUCAGAAUGGACAAAUUUAGUUAAUUGAUUGUCGAUGUGCCGAGGAUGUGUCGAUGCCAUGUCAUUUUUAUUGUUGACGCAUUACUUUUAUAUUAAUAAUAUGUUAUCAUUAAGUCAACUAAUUAUUUUAGGAAACUUAAUUUGAAUGAUUCAUAAAGUUCAAACUAAAAUUUAUAACAAAUUAAAGUUAAAGGAUGAAAGUGUUACAUUCCCUAAUAGUUUGAGAAUCCUGCGUGCAAUUUAGCCAAAAAUAUUAUCCCAUGGUAGAAUAAUUAUUUUGUAGAAAGAUAGUUAAUUUUUAGCCUGUUAAUAAAUGAGACGUACAAAUGUAUUUUACGAAUUAUACAACUUUGGCGAAAUAUUUUUAUUUGCUAAGCCCCAUUUGGUUCGGAGAUAAAGCGGUAUAUUAUCCUCGCUAUUCCGUCAAAUAAAGUAUUUUUUACUCGGAAUAAAAUAUUUCAGUCAAAUAUUACUAUUUUCAGUUAUCUCGAGAUAGCUCGAGAUCAACUAUUCCAUCCUUUUAAUAGAAUAAUGUUAUUUUAAAAUUUAAUUUUAAACUUUGUUAAUAUUAUAAAUUAAAUUAAAGUAAUUAUUUGGACAAAAUAUAUUACAAAUUGUAAUAAAUUAAACUAAAUUAUUAUAAUAAUUUGUUUAUUAAAUUUAAGUUUAAGUGAAAUUUGAAAAAUAGCAUGACAUUUCAAAUAUUUUUCUAUAUAAUAUAAUUUUAUAUCUAAUUUAUUACGAAAUAUUAAUCAUAUCUUAUAUCAAAUUCAGCCAUUAUAUUUUUUUAACUAUUCUAUGUUAUUACAUAAGAUUAACCAAAUACAAAAAUAAUUCUUUCCGAAAAUAAUAAUAUUGUAAAUUAAAAAUAAUCUAGUUUUAUUUUUGACUAUUUCAGAAUAGUAAACCAUUCUGAGAAAAAAAAUUUUUCCAAUGUUCAUUGCUCUUAAACCUGUUGGUUUAAACAGGCUAACAUCUUGCCUUGUGGUUGGAGGCCAGAUUAGCCUGAGUCAUGCUCGAAAUGGCAGAAAAUUAGAUUGGACCAAGUCAUAUUCAAAGUGGCAAGAGUCUUGCUGGGCCAAGUCACAAUCGUGAGCCAUGGAUUCUGUGUCAAUACAUUUAAAUAAAUUGAUUGUAUCUUUUUAAAACGUGAAUUUUUAGGAUUAAUAUAUAAUUAAUGCCAACGAUCCAAUAGAAAGCUUGGCCUAGGACUGUAAUUUUAUUAUCUUGUAAGGAUAAAUUUAUAAUGGGUUAAUUGUAUACAGUUUUCUGUAAACAUAUCGAAUAUUAAAUAUAUUCCUAAAAAGUUCAAAUUUUGUUUUUUAUCCAUGCAAAAGUUCGGUGAUAUUCAUAUUUGCCACUUUGAUUCAUUAUCGCUAGCGUACUAUUUAAUUUUUAAUAGCAACAAGUAAAAUGUUAUUUUUAUCCUUACAAAUAUAUUUCUUCAAAAGCUCCAAUUGUUACAAUUAUGUAGAAAUGUUCUCUCAAAAAAGUAUUUUAUCGAAUAAUAAUAAGAGAGUGAAAAGGUUAAUUUAACUCAUUUACUAAUCAGGUUAACUAUAUUUUUCUAACGAAUUCUAACAGCAAAAAUAUAUUUAAAAAUAUUAAAAAUUUUAUAUAAAUAAAAGUAAAAAAUUAAACUUUAUAAGAAUAUAUCAGUUACUCGAUAUAUUCACUGGAAGCUAUGUGUGUGCAAUUAACCUAUUUGUAAUUAACCCAAAAAAUUGAUUCACAGAGACCUCUCAGUCCGAGUCUGAAGCCACAACAACAGGCAAAGCCCGGGAAACUCCUCUUUCUCUCUCUACUCUCCUCUCUCAUUUUUCUCUCUCUACUCUCUCUCUCUAUACUACUAUAACAAAACAGCGGCUCAGAAGCGAAAAAUUCUAGAAUGCAACGGAUAUAUUAGUGACGUGGCGUAACAAACCAAUCAAAUUAAUCCUUUUAAAAAUAUAUGUCCCAUCAUGAUUGUAAAAAAGUAUUUUUAUUGUAUUUUUGUUUGAAAAGAAGAAAUGUGAUUGGCUUGUUACUGAUGACGUGGUGCAAGUGUGACAGUGUAGAAUUCCUCCUCAGAAGCAGACGAGCAUCGGUACGAUCGAAAAACCAGGGUUUCAGAAAAUAGGAACAAAAAAACCCCCUACAAAUAGAACCAAAAUCGAAGUAACCAGUAAGAAAUUACUCUUUCUCUCUCUCUCUCUCUCUCUCUCUCCGAUUCUAUUCUCUUCGCUAGUGUAUGAUUCUGCGUCGUUUCUUUCCCGCAUUGGAUUCUGCUUUUCUUUUUUCUUAAUUUUUUUCUUUUUUUUCGGUUUUUUUUUUUAUAUAUAGUAGGAUUUGAAGUGGAAUGAGUAGGAUUGGCCCGAUUGGGUGUUUGGGAGGUCGCCGUUAUUAUUUUUUUAUUUUAUUAAUAUGAAAGGUCUGAUUUUUGUGGAGUUUUUUUUUACUAGGCAUUUCGUCUAGCGUUUGGCAUUUAUUUCUUUCUCUAUUUUUAUCCUUGGAUUUGCAAUUUUUUUCUAAUUAUUUGGUUGAAUCUUCUAAUUAUGGAGAAAAAGGAGGCCUUUUCCUUCACAAUUUUGUUUUGGUUCUUAUUAUUUUGUGCAAGUAAAGCCACUCAAUUAUAUAUAUAUAUAUAUAUAUAUAUAUAUAUAUAUAUAUAUAUAUAUAUAUAUAUAUCAUCACAUACGGCUGCUGGUGGUCCUGGGGCCCAUCUGCUUGGCCAUGUAAUGCGGCAUCCGCUCCCUGCACCACGUGAUCACCUCCUUUGCUGUCGGCCGUUCUUGCUUCUUCUCCUGCUUCUCCUGUUUCUUGAGGCUGACGAAGGCGCAGGGGGUCUCCCCCCAGAACUCGUAGGGGGAGCACACGCUGUCCACUGCAAGGGUGAUCGCCACAGCCGAUCACCUCCAGCUGCGAUUUUCUCCCUGUUACUUACUACUCAGAAUAUUUAUUUCUUGUAGCACGGAGAUUAUGCAUUUCUUCUUAGUGUAUACCUUAGUAUUAGUUUUUCUUACCAAUCUAGCACUCACCGAAUGUAUUAAGCUUGGAUUUUCUCUGUUAUAAUAAAGAGAGCGUAUUGUUGUAAUUUAUCAAUUAGAAAGAAAUAUAUUUUCUUCAUCCAAUUGAUUUUGUUUCAUGGUAUCAGAGGCAGACUACUUUAAAUCGCAGAAAGCUCGUCCGUCACAAGCUAGCGUCGUGAUCUCUCAGACUAAUUCUGUAUCGACAUUCCGCACCUCCAUCAGUGCACGCAUGUCAAGGUUCGUAUCACGAUACCGCUCGCAAUAUCGCGCCGCCUGAUACAGAUUCCGCACCGGGCUAUUGCCAGCGUUCGAUGUUUAAACUCUGCGAAGGCAUAAUUUAUCGUGAAUGUCGGUGUCCACUCUACCUUGUGUUGAUGCCUCGAUGUUACUGACAUAAUUGAUGGUGCUUCUGGUCCACCGCCACUAUGACCGAUUGUGGUCUCUUCUUUGGUUCAUGAUUGUAUGAAGCAGUAUAGUUAUUGCUCAUCAUAUCUUAGUUUUCUAUACGAGAUCUCUCAUAGUCUUCAUCUCAUAUGGUGAGCGUUAGUAUCUCUAAGAGGUUUUAACAGUUUUAUCAAGGCUCUAGUCCGUCAGUGGAUCCAUUUGUAUAAACCUUUGGUGCACUUGCUCAGUCUUGUCAGUGUAUCUGUCAACCAAAAGUUAGGUCGUGAUCAACAGACAAUGUCCUGUUUUAUGCGCCUACAGAUUGAGUUUGAAGCUUGUACGUGGCACUACUCCAUCGACUCCUUGCGCCUACUUAACUGAUGUGGCUCUCGCGGAAUUGAUUGCUGAGGAGACACGUCUUCGAGUUUUGAGUUCCUCUUCUUCCGCAAUGCCUAACGUUCUUGCUGCUCAUGGUCCUGCAAGUCCACCUCCCGUGCCAGCGCCUACUUAUCAUCAACCGCCUUCUAGUUACAUUCCAAAUCCUGGUACUAGAAAAGACAAACGAAGCAUUCAAUGUCGUUACUGUCAUCUUUGGGGUCACUCAAUUCAAGAUUGCCGGAAAAAGAAAUGGGCAGAUCAGCAUUUACGAUCCUCUCGUAAUAUGCCUACUGUUGCAUCUGCUCCUUCUGUUCCUCCGGUCAACAACGCGUCAUCUACAGAGCAGCAACCUUCAACUAUUCAAUUGAGUCUUCCUCAACUACUGCAGAUGUUUCAGCAACACCAAUUGAUUCCAUCCACUUCGUCAAGGCAGUCCUCCUCUAUCUUUUCAUCUACGCCAUCAGGUUUUGGUAUGACUGGUCCUGGAGGUACUUCGGAACAUUCCUGGAUUUCAAACUCAGGCGCAUCAUUUCAUAUAACACCACAUGCUUCUUUACUUUCUUCACCUUCACAUAUUUUUACUGCUGAUGGUACCUCUCUUUCUGUCAAUAAUAGUGGCGUUGUUUCACCUAAAUCUGAUACUUCAGGACGCUUUACUAUUCCCUCUGUCCUACAUAUACCUCGACUCUCUCUUAACUUACUAUCUGUCAGCCAAAUUACUGAUCAUGAUUGCACAGUGACCUUUGAUUCUUCUUCUUGUCUUGUGCAGGAUCGUCGGACCGGGACUUUGAUUGGACAGGGCCAUAGACGUGACUGCCUGUACUACAUGGACUAUCUGCAUCUUCCUCCUAAAAUUAAUUCAGCAAAUAUUGCUACAACUUCAAAUUCUGAUCUCUGGCAUCGUCGUCUCGGUCAUCUUUCUUCUGAUAAGUUUACUGUUUUAGUUCGUAGUGGUGUAUUAGGUCCUGUUUUUAAUUCCGAAUCUGUUUCUUGCAUUGGAUGCAAACUUGCUAAACAUUCCAUUAAACCUUUUCCUGUUAGCAAUUCUAUUUCAAGUGCACCAUUUGAUCUUAUUCACUCUGAUGUUUGGGGACCAGCACCUAUAUCAACUCGUGUUGGAAAUAAAUAUUAUGUUAUUUUCAUUGACGAUUACUCACGCUUUACCUGGGUUUAUUUUAUGCAUAACAAAUCUGAACUUUUUCAAUUGUAUCAAAAUUUCGCUGCCAUGGUUCAAACUCAAUUUGGUGCCACUAUUAAAACUUUCCGCUCUGAUUCUGGUGGCGAGUAUCUUUCAAAUGAAUUUCGCCAACUUCUCGCUAAGCAUGGUACUUUGCCGCAACUCUCUUGUCCUUAUACUCCUCAACAGAAUGGUGUUGCUGAGCGUAAACACCGACAUAUCCUUGAAACCGCUCGAUCUCUUCUAAUUGAUGGGUCAGUGCCUAAACAAUUUUGGAUAGAUGCGGUUUCUACCGCAGUUUAUCUGAUUAAUAUUAUGCCCUCCAGUCUUUUCUCUGGCGUUUCUCCUAGUGAGCGAUUGUAUGCUAAAUCACCAUCUUAUACUCAUUUGCGUGUUUUUGGAUGUACUUGUCUUGUUCUUUUGCCUCCGCAUGAACGAACCAAAUUAACUCCAAAAUCGUCAAUCUGUGUUUUCUUAGGAUAUAGUCUUGAGCAUAAAGGGUACAGAUAUUAUGAUCCUACUGCUCGCCGCAUGCGAAUUUCUCGAGAUGUCAUUUUUCUUGAACAUGUAUCAUAUUAUGCUCAAUCUAAGUUAAGCGUUGAUACUUCUGCCGUUUCUUCACCUUCUGUUAUUGAUCUUUCAUUUCUUGUUAAUUCUUCGUCGACCACCACAUCUUCUCCCAAAGAGCCCCAACGAAUUGUCUCUCAGCCCACUGAAUCUUCGUCUUCUGCAGAAGUUUCUAUAGUACCGGCACCACAUGACGACCCACCAAUUACUGUUCCUUCCAACGAUCAGACGACUGCUGAGCGCCGCUAUCCACUGCGUACUCGCCGCCCGACACAAUUUUUUGGUUGUCUUGCCUCUCUUUCUUUUUCUCCACGAUAUCAUGCUUUCUUUGCAGCCAUUUCUAAUAUCCAGGAACCCCGUACAUAUCGCCAGGCCGUUUCCAUUCCUGAAUGGCGAGAUCCAAGGACCACAGAACUUACUGCCCUUCAUCGUACUGGUACUUGGGAACUAGUUCCUCUCCCGCCGGGCAAGACUCCAAUAAGUUGUAAGUGGAUUUAUAAAGUCAAGACAAAUUCUGAUGGCUCAAUUGAUCGCUAUAAAGCCCGUUUAGUUGCUCGAGGGUUCUCUCAAGAAUAUGGCAUUGAUUAUGAGGAAACAUUUGCCCCUGUUGCUAAGAUGACCUCUGUUCGCAUCCUUAUUGCUCUUGCUGCCUCUCGUAGCUGGCCUCUUUAUCAACUUGAUGUCAAAAAUGCCUUCUUACAUGGGGAUCUUCAUGAAGAAGUUUAUAUGCAACCACCUCCUGGUCUUUCCCAUUCAUCCGGUCAUGUUUGUCGGCUACGGAAGGCUUUAUAUGGCCUUAAACAAGCUCUCCGAGCUUGGUUUGAAAAAUUUCAGUCUGCUAUUCUUUCUUUUGGAUUUCAUCAAAGCAAAAAUGAUAAUGCCUUAUUUAUUCAUACAUCUUCUCGCGGGCUCACUGCCUUACUUUUGUAUGUUGAUGAUAUGAUAAUUACUGGUGAUGAUCCUGAUUAUAUUCGUUCCGUUAAAUCCUAUCUUCAGCAACAAUUUGACAUGAAGAAUCUUGGUCCUCUUCGAUAUUUUUUGGGGAUUGAAGUGGCAUAUAGUCCUCGAGGAUAUAUAUUGUCUCAACAAAAAUACAAUGCUGACUUGCUAUCUCGUGCUGAGCUCACUGAUACUGACACUGUGAGUACUCCUUUUCUUACCAAUUCACAACUCACCAUGUAUUAGCUUGAUCUCUGUUUAUAUAAAGAGGUCUUUUGUAAUUUAUCAAAUUAGAAAGAAAUAUAUUUUCUUCUCCAAUUAUUCUUUGUUUCACUCCCCGCCGCUGAUGAUCACGUUUUGGACCGAUCCUUGAUCUCCAGGUACCCGUCCGGGUGCAUCACCCCGACGUCGCCCGUGUAGAACCACUCGUCCCUGCAGAUUGCCUGCGCCGUCGCUGCCGCGUCUUUUAGGUAGCCGAGCAUGACGCAGCCGCCGCGGAGGACGAUCUCGCCCAUGGUGGCGCCUCGCAGGGGACGGGCCGGCCCGUGAUGGGGUCGACAACGUCCACGGCCUCGAUGGCCGGCUUGAUACACUUUAAACCACAAGGUACUAAAGUGAGAAAGUACGAACCACAGGAUACUAACUUGAUACACUUUAAACCACAGGGGUACUAAAAUUAGAAAGUGCGAAACCACAUGGUACUAACUUGAUAUACUUUAAACCACAGAAUACUAAAGUGAGAAAGUGUGAAACCACAGAGUACUAACUUUGUACAUUUUAAACUACAGAGUACUAAAAUAAAAAAGUACAAAUCCACAGUGUACUUCUCUCUCUUUAUCUCACUCUCUCUCUCUCACAUCCCCAUCCGCCGACGCCGUUGUUGCACAUGCCUUGGAGACUAGUUCUCAUUUUCCCUCUCUAAUUCUCCCAUCGUCCUUCCAUCUCUCUCUUUUAUCUUAUCCUCUCUCACACUCCAUUCGCUGGCAUUGCAAGCGGUGAAUGAUUUAUCAUUUUUAAAAGCGAUAAAUUAUUCACUGCUUUCAUAGCAGCGUACAAAUUUGUGUGAAUAGCGUAAACCAUGUACCACUUUAGGGUGCAUGGUUCGCCGCAUUUUUUUUCUCUCUCUCAUACUAGCUCCCGCAUGAUGCAAUGAAAAUUAUAUUUACAAAUAAAAUUUUGAUGAGUUAAAUUUUAGAAUAAACUUUUGGAGAGGUCUAGUGCACUAAAAUCUCUAGCCAUAGAAGAUCAGAAAGAGAUGAAGGGAAUAUAAAAUAUGUAAUUUCCAGAAGAUUUAAAAUUCCACAGGCAUCCCCAUAUUCAAAAAUAAAUAAAUAAUAGUGACUCAUUUUGCAUGGACCGCGUCUACCACAUCUUUCCUCAUACCUCAGAAAUUAAAAUGCCACGAACGGUGGUCUAUGAGUACAUUUUGUAUACCGCACCCUUUAGAAAAUCAAAAUUUAAGUGGACAUGAAUUAAAUUAUUAAUUUAAUGUAUGCGUGCAUCGCGCCGCUUAGAAAACAUAAAUUAAAUUAUUGAUCUUUCUCUAUCAUUUUUUAUUAAGACCACUCAUAUAUUUUAAUAAUAAACUAGUAUAGUGGCCCGCGCGAUGCAAGAAAUAAAUAUAUUAUAAUUUUAUAAAAUUUAAAAUUUAAAAUUUAGAUCUUUAUAUUUCUAUAAAUUAUUUUGUAGAGAGUAAAACACAUUUACUUUAAAAGUUUUAGUAAUUCUAAAGUAUAUUGAAAAGUAUGCAGAUUUUUUUUUUAAUAUUUUAAUUUUUUACACUAUCACGAUAGGUAUCAAACCACAUCUAUUUCCGACAACUUUAUAUAGAUGUCAGCAAACAAAUUCCAACAUAUCGAUUAGAUUGCACUAAAUAUGGUGUUAGGUUGCGUAAUAAUUAAUCAUUUUAAAAAUUUUAAACCCUAAUAUAAAUAAAUUCAUCAAAAUUCUCAACACAAUUAAAUCAUUAUAUAAUGGAGACAUUAUGAUUUGUAAAUAAAAAUAAAUAUAAAAAUUUAUAACAUAGUAAUCAAAAUACUGAAAAUAAAUAUUAAAAAAAUAUAGAAAUUCUAAAAAAAAUUUAUCUUAAAUUGGAAGAGUCGAAUCCCACGUAAUUUAAAAUAUACUAUAUGCUAAAAAAAAAUCUGAGUAAACAAAUAAAACAUCAAAUUCAAAUAAAAAAAGAACCUUUCAAAUAUAGUCAAUCGUUACAGGUAAGAUGCGGUCAAUUUUUUUGAGCCAAAAUAAAUAGUAUUUAGUAUAUCAUUUCUUAUUCAUCCAAAAUGAGCAUGAGUACAACCCUUUAUAUAGACUCUAAUAAAUUGACCUUUCAUAUUUUAAGAUGACUUUUCAUUUUAUUCUAUUAAAAUAUAUGAUUUUUCAUAUUUUCUAACUUUUUAAAUUCUUAGAUAUAUUAAAUUAUCAAACCUUUCAACUUCUAAUUAAUUUUAAAAAAAUAAUAAAAAAAUUGGUGAGACCCACGUCCUUAAUUUAAAGGGUAGUGGAGCCGCAUCUCCAUAUUAAAGGGAUAAUAAUCUAUCCAUAGAAAAAAAAAAUGAUGAAAGAAAAAAUUUAAUUAAUUUGAAAAAAUAAAAAAAUUGAUGAGACCCACACCCCUAAAUUAAGGAGGUUGGGCCACAUCAACUUUAAUGAUUGAGGAUUCAUAGUUUUGCAUAGAUUUUUAAACCUUGUAAAUUUUUGCCUAUACUUUCUAAAUGGCAUAAAUUGGGCACGGUGCUGAGAAGUAAUGCUUCAGUAUAAGCAACAACUAUCUACAUAAAGUUAUUUUUCUAUAAGUUAUCUGUACAUAUGAAAAUUUUAGUAUUAAAUGAUUUUUCAUAAAAAGAAAUACUAACAGUACCCUGAAAAACCCUAUAACAAAAUAGUAAAGUUUUAGUAUAACAAAUACAUGAAGCGACGCUACCUCACUUACAAGCUAGCAACUUUCAUGGAAACAAACAACUAAAAGAAGUUGACUUUUAGUCUUCGUUUGGUGGGAUAUAAAUAAGACUGUUUAUUUCCGAAAUAGAUAUAAGUUUAAUUAUAUGCAGAAACUAAAGUAAAUUUUUAUUUGGAUAAAAAUUAGACUGUUUCGGUGAAUAAAAUAAAUAAUAUUUGAAUGGUUAGAUUGAAAUAGCAGGAAUAAAAGCAAUUAUAAUUUUAAAUUAAUAAUACUUAUCUAAUUAAUUAAUAUCAAAAUAUUAAUUAAAAAUAAUUUAAUAAUUAAAAAUUUUAUUAGCUAUAAAUAUUGAAUAAGAAUAAAAAAUUUAUUAACUAAUUAAUUAUUUAAUUAAUUAUAAAAUAUGACUUAACUUUUUAAUUAAUUAGUAAAUUAUUUAAUUAGUUAAAUGAUUCGUUAAGAAAUUAAUUUAGUUAGCGGCCAGUACAAAUAUUAGUUGUUAGAUAAACAUAUUAAAUAAUUAAUUCUUAAUGAGCUAAUUAACCAUAAAUAAUAAGUUAAUUAAUUACUUGACUAUUUAAGCAAUAGAUAAUGACUUAAAUACAUUAAUUUGAUUAAUUCACAAGUUAAUAUAAUAAUUAAAAUUAAAUUUAAAAUUUAAUUAAGCUUGUUCCCACUAGAGAACAUGCUUGUUUGAGGGAGAGAAUGGAACAGCUGUUGCACCCAUAUUCCCCCUUAUUCCUAAUCAAGGAGAACUACAAUUUUCAAAUGCAAAAAAUAGCGUUAGCGUACAAGGAGGGGAAUAAGGCUUAUUCCCAUCCUCAUACCCAAACCAAACGCUACGUACCAAAGAAACUUAAACUUAGUAUAAGGAUAAUCAUAAGCUGUUGUGUUGUUUAACUUUCACAACAGUUGAUAAAAACAUGAUUAUAUCUUUUUAGUCCUAUAAAAUAAAAGGGUCAUUGCACAAGAUUGCACAGGACCAGAAAGGAUGUUUCAAUAAGAUCCAGGAGUUUCAACAAUUUGUGACAAAACAAAAAAAAGGGGGCAUAAUUUAUAGCCGCCAAACCCAUCUUGAGUUCCUUCAAUAAAGAAUCUAGCAAUUUGCUCAAUUUAUUGUCACAAUUCUCCAUCACCGAUCUCGUUGGAAUCUCUGCAAUUUGACAAAGAGAAAUCACUUAAAACCUUUUGAAAGAAAAAAGAAAAGAAACACUAAAAUUUUCAGCUCAAGAAACACAAUCUUAGGUACUAGGACAUUUUCAGCUCAUUUAAAAAACUAAAGAGAUUUGAUAGUUUUAGAAAAAAAUAGAGCUGAAUAUACCUUGGAAAUUGACAAUGCUUGCUAAGAUCUUUGCAAAGAGCGUUGCUAACACUGCCUGCUUCUAUAGAUCCCUUUUUGAUCCACUCAGCCAGCUGCAAAAGGUAAUGAAAAGGACUUCAAAAUGAAAAUCAACGAGUUUAUUGAACAGAUUUCGGCUGUUAAGGUUCUACAGAAACCAUAGAUUGCUAACUUUGAUUUAACAAUGUGUAGAGCCAGUUUUUUGUAUACUUUAUUUGACAUAGUCAUAUUGUGAGAUCUUUGUAUACGCACUAGUACUAGAAUUUAUGAAUAGAAAAAUCUGACUCACCUCAUCCUCAGUUUCCUCCAACAAUCUGCAAAGUGAACAUACCAAGUCAGAGUCUCUAAAGAGCUUAGGACAAUAAAUUUAGAAGCCAGAAAAACGCAAUCAGUUUUAUUGACCCUCAGUUACAGUUAAACUGAUUAUUGACUGAAUAGUGAGCUGAUCCAUCAGAUAUAGCAUAUUAACUGUAGAAUAAAUAAAAUUUCCGGAUCCAAAAUUAGUGCAGCACUAGCAAUGCAUAUAAACUGUAGAUAUAAAUAGAUUUUCGAGAAGCAAAUUAGGGAUAAUUUCAGCAGUAGCAGGGUUCUGUAUAUCAUGACUUUAUCAUAUUUAGAUAUUUUCACAAAAAUCCAGCAAACCAGAAUGCAAUAUGACAAGCUGACAAAACUGUCUAAUAUAUUAGGUCAGAAAUUUAAAUGUUCACAAAUAAACAACAUUAGAUCCUAUAAGGAUAUUAGGAUCCUGCAAUAUAUAGAAUCCAGUUUAAAGUAGAUACACGGCUUUAGACACAUUACAGCUGCUAAUUCAGGGCUUGCAUUAAAUUUCUUGCGGGUUGAGCUAAGAGAAAUUAAAAGAAAGGAUGAUAAGCCUAGUAUAGGUCAGAAACGUUCUCCUUUAUGUGGUCAAUAGCUAAAAAUCAUUGCUUAGGAUUAAAGGAGCUUCAACUUUUUAGACAUCACCAUAGACCUCUAGACUCUUCUUUCAAAGCCAGAAGUUAAUAAAUAGAUAAUAAGAAAGAACAGCAAACUAUUUAUAUAGGUGAAAGGUCUUGAUAAAUAUAGAAAAAGUUGGUGUGGCAUUCAAAGUCUAGGAUGUAAGAGAUGAAACCAAUAUCGCUAAUACUUGUAAAACACUCGAGUUACAACUAAUUGCCAUUCCCUAGUCUAGGUCCGUCCAUCUCUGUCCAUAUUGAAAGAAGCCUACGAAAGCAAAUGACUCUAUUACCACAAUCUGGGAUUCAUAGAACUAGAUGAUAUUGAAAAGGUAGCAACAGCAUAAAUUUUGUCCUAGAAAGAGUUGGUGAUUAAAAGAAAAUAAACAAAAACAAGAAAAAGCAAAAAAAAAAAAAAAGGAAAAAAGAAAAGGAGGGUCUGAGAGGACUACAAAAAAUAUGGGUUUAGUCAACCUUCGCAUGAUAACAGAUAACUAAAGGAACCCAAACAAUAGUUAACAAGCAAGACAAAAAGACAAUCCAUCACCAGUUAAACAAGUGUAAAUGUGAAUAGAUAUCUCAACUAUUAUUACAUAGAAAUUGCGAUUAAAUAAACAAAACAAUAAACCCUUCACCAUACAACAAACUAAGUGAAUUUUACCUUCCACAAAAUGUGGAUAAAUCCUUUGAGUAGGCACGAGCUUCCUGCUUAUCUGCAAAACAAAACAAAUAUUUUUGAAAAUUAUUUAAGGUACCUAAAACAAAAGGAGACAUAAUCCUACCUAAUCAUCAGUUCAUAAUUGAAGUAAGUUGAUAAAUGCUGCUAUAUUUAUUGACAUAAACCAUGGAUCGAUAAAAGCAAAAUGAAAAUCAAAUGGAUUCCCUCUAAUCAUCUCAAUCAUCUUUUAGUCACUAGACUGAGAGACCUACUUAUUUAUUUCUAUGUCAUUCAUCAGCAAUGUCAUGACCGAUAAAUGUCAUUCAUUAUCACUAGAUAAAAAGCACUUAUAAUUUUUAAGUGCUAUUCUUUUCUGAUUGAAUAAGUAUUAAAAUAUCCCAGGAGGCGAAAUUGCAGAUUAGCAUUAAACAAAAAAUAACUUUCAAAUUAUUGCCCAAAAUGAAUGGCCAAUAAUAUUCUGAAAAGCUAGUAAAACAUUUCACUACCGAAAUAUAUCAGCAAUUAAAGUUUAAUAGAGUUUCAGCAAAAUAUUUUGAGAGGUAAAGACCAAGAGUUGCCUGUUGGAAGUCAAGAUAUAGCAACAAUGUUCUAUAAAGCUUACCAGUUUUAAGACUGUCCCAGUUUCUCACUUUGACCCACGCUCGCUCACCUGAUUCCAACUGCAAAAAAAAAAAGAAAAAAAAAAGAAGCCCAGAGAUCAACAGCUAAAAGUUUAGGUCGUGCACCUACAUGCCUGGACCCGAAAUUCUACAGUAAGAAAUUAAGAAUUAAAAUCAGGUGCAUUUUAAGAGCUAAAUGCACAUUAGUGCAGAAAAUACCAAAAGCAUUAGAUGGUAUAGUCAGAUAAUAUUCACCAGAACAAUCGUGCAACAAAAAAUCGUAAUUAAUUCACGGGUAUUUAUAUACCUUCUCUAAAGUAUAAUCCUGCAUUUUUUCACAGAGACCAUCCAGUAGCUCAACAACUCUUAGUUCGCUAACUCUGAAGGAAAAAAACACAGAUUCAAUGCAGACAUUGGAACAUAAAUAAAAGACCAAAGUCUAAGACGAUCUGCUGAAAGGAAUUGAAUUAUUUAGUUACAGUAUACCUCCUUUAAACUUAGAACAAUUCACGCUAAAAGGCAGCAAAAAUAGCUCAUUUUUCAGAUCAAACAGCCAUCACUCCCGGCAGGUAAUAUAGUUGGUCAGAAACAACUUACAUAGAAGUACAGAGAAGUUAUCAGGAAAGACGCAGCAGCAUUUAGCAGGUAGUUAAGCUGAUAAAAUAUUGUGGUUACAGAAUUUUCAGAUGAUUGCAAAGAAUUGUCACAUCUGACUUCACAACAAUGAAGAAAUCCAGGAUGUUGGGCAUAUUUCCACCAAUUAUAGUGUUAGCAGAGUUUUUCAUUCACCACAUCACAAAAGUAGAUUCCAAGUUUAUAGAUUAGAUAAAAAGAUCAAAAGCAUAUGAUUAGCCAGUAUAAAGAGGCAAUACUGCAGUAUCAUGAUCUAAUAACAGUACUUUUGGCUUAUAAUAGCUCCCUUCAUUAAGAAUCAGAUAUGGAAAGUCUGAUUCUGAAUUGAUUGACAAAACUUCUCAACUGACUUUACAUGUGAUAUUGGAUAACUGGAAGGACACAAGAUGGCUACUAUCUUUUCUUCAUGCCACAAUUUGAUGCAUUGAAGAAAAACAAGUCUGUUUAAGGGCUUUACUAAGCAUUUAAAAAUAGCAAGGACAGAGGUAGAUUUGUCAUUCUCUGAAGUCUCUUUUCCACAGAGAUGAUAUCUAUUAACUGAUACAAAGUUUAACUCAGAUGGACCAUCCACAACAUAAUUCACAAGAUUUGACAUGUAGGUCUUAUCCUCUCUAUGGAAGUUCUGCUUCUAAGAUUGCAAAAAGCUAGGCUCUUCAUUUUGUUAAUGAAACAAAUUUUUUGAUAAUGCAGACAUUAAAUAACAAUUGUAAGUGAUAAGUCCCAAAGAACAUACAAGACAUGAAAAUAAAUCGAAGGAAUGUUCAUUGAUAGCAGGUGCCAUUGGAGACAUCGAGGUAAUCCAAAUAGACUCUGAUAAUACAAAUACCUGUAAUCAAUUACUUUACCCUCACGCUGACCUUUGGAAUCCAAACGGUGGCGCAUGUCUAAGUGAUUUCUUGGCUUCUCCUGCAUCAAAAGUAAAGAAGAAGAUGCCAAACUUCACAAUUUCAUAGAGUGAUUCUGACAAUAAGCUCAUAAUGAAGAAGAAACAGACAUUAAGAUAGGUGUAAGUCAAUGCAGCAUGCUAGACAAAACUUAGAAAUUUCUUUCUGAAAUGCUGAGACCAUAAAGCAAAUGCCAUUAUUAAUUCAUUCAUGACAGUAACUGGCAUAAUAUUACAGGGAAAGGAGAAUGUAGGAAACUUACACUAGAGAGUCCAAGUUCUAUUUCGGCCUGCAAAUCAUUCAGCAAAAUAAUCAGCUAUUUAUCUUACCAAAGUUGGGAUAUCACUCAAAAGAAAAUAGUCUAGUGAUCUAUUUUAAAAUAAUUUAAUAUAGUUGACGGACCAAAAUUAAAAAAAAGAAGGUAAACAUGUAUAGAAUUUAACUGAACUUUCAUCCAUUUUGACUCAAUUUUUUUUUAUUUUGGUACCCCAACCUUUCUAUUUAUUUGAUUACGGUUCUUCCAGUACAAAAUUUAGGCUCAUUACUUACUUUAAUGAAAUUGUAUUUGCAUAAAUUACAUAAAAUAUGCUAAUUAAGCCCAUAAAAACAAAAAAUGCAGUCAAAAUUUUGAAGUGUGAAAGUCCUUUAAAUGGCUCUAAUUCAAAUGAAUCAAAAAUUUUAAAGGUAAAAUAGUUAGAUCAAAAUGGUCAUAGUUCACUAAGUUCCAUACAUUUUUACCCAAAAAAAAAAGAAAAACGAAAAAAUAAUUGCGUUCUCAUAUUUUUAGCUUUCACAAACUAAACCAGUACUAGUACACUAAAAACUAGGGUAAAUUAAGCUGAUUCUACAAUUAAAGAAAAACCUAUUUUUCAGAUCAAAACAAGCAAAAUUCACCAAGCUUCAUUUCCCCAUGGUAACGACCAUUUCUGCGGUCGAAUUAAAGGAAAAAAGAAAAGAAAAAGAAAAAGAGCUCGAUUCAUCGAAUCAAAAGGUAUUAAAUGGGAUAGUGAUCCAACAAUUAGCGAUCGGAGAUUGUGAGCAGGAGAGAGGGGAGGAGGAAGGCGCACCGCGACGGCGUAGCAAGCGGCGCAUUUGUCGUCGAUGGAGGAGGUGAGGGGGGCGAGGGCGACAACAAUGGCGACGACGAUCCACAUCGCGUAUCUAGGGUUUCCGCUUCGUCCCUUUGUCGUCUUCGUCUCCAUUUCUUCGCCACUCGCGCUUCCCAAACUCUCUCUCUCUCUCUCUCUCUCUCUCGCUCUUGCGUGUCGCACAGUUCCCUUCUCGGAGUAAAUUGCUCUAGUGGUCCCUGAUGUUUUCAAUUUUCAUUUUGGUCCUUUUAAAAAGGUCAAAAUGCACGAAACCCCCUCUCUAUAAGCCAUUUUUAAAUAACCGCCCUCAUGUUUAACUCUCUUUUAUUGAAACUACUUUAACUAUCCAUUUUUUUGCGAUCGAGUUAUUCUAGUCAGUUUUGUAGAAACUUUUGUUAAACUUAAAAUGUUAGAGCAAUGGUAUCUAAGUGCCCAAAAGUGAGUGUAAUUCUUAAAUUUUUUAUACUUAAAGGUCAAUUUUUUACACUAGUCUUAUCACACUCUUAUUUUUACAGUACUAAAACCUAAAGAUGUGUCUAAACUCUUAGGCGGAUUAGAUAUAUAUAAUUUAUGCCGAACUUUUGACUUUACAAAUAGUAUGAGGCUACUAUGCUAUCGGAAGCACGGAGCCUUUCGUGCUUCCAGUUCGUUUUCGAUGUUGCGACUUUCGAAUCGUCGAUCGGCUCCGUUAAACUUGAUCUAGAGUAUUUGGAGUACCUAGAAAAUAAAUUUUAUGAUUUUACGAUAUCAUUUGCCUGGUGAUGGAAUAGGCUCAAAAUCAACAAAUUUCAAUGGCCGCAGUGAGCCGUUUGCAAGUUUAACGGUGUAGAAAUAUCCAAAUCAUGUGAAAUUUUGAUAGAAAAUUCUUUAUACUAUAUAAAACAAGAUCAAUAUCUUUGAUUUAAAAUUUUAAUGUCGUAUUAUUACAUUUUGUAAGAUUUUUAUUUUCAGCCAUUGAUUUUGAGCCCCUUCGUUCACUAAGCAAAUGAUAUCGUACAAUCAUAAAAUUUAUUUUCUAAGUACUUCAAAUACUCUAAAUCAAGUUUAACGGAGCCGAUCGACGAUUCGAAAGUCGCAACGUCGAAAACGAGCUGGAAGCACGGAAGGCUCCGUGCUUCCGAUAGCAUAGUAGCCUCACUCUUUCUUAAAAUAUAGUUGAUACAUUGACAUUCAUGAUACGGUGGACUCACUAUUUAUUGUUACUUCAAUUGCGACUCAUGGCAUUAACGCAAAAAAACUACAAUAAAUCAGUAGACGAUCACCAAAGAAAACUUGUGUAGGCCAUAAUUAUUUUACCUUCAUGUCCCGUUUGGUUUAUGUUAUGUAGUAUUAUAUCGGUUAUUUCAACAUAACUGGUAAUCUGACAUAUAUUUUACGCUGGACUUACCAUUUAUGCCUAAUGUUGUAUUGCUCUAUUAGGUUUAGUACAGUAACCUAAUAUUGGAUUACUAUGUGUAUGUAAUAUUGUUUAAAUUUUGAAUUCAAACUUAAAUAUUUUAAGUAAAUAAGAAAUAAAAAGUGAAAUUUAUUUUACAUAUAAAUUCGAAGUAAUUGGGGAUGGAGAGGGGUAAUUUUAUAAGUUUACAUAAGUUGCGGGAAAACCCGCAGUCAGUGAUGCAAGAUACUCACCCCCUCCCAAGUAAUAUAUUGGAAGUUAUCUAAUGCUAUUAAUAAUGUCACAUUAGCAAUCUGAUUACUUGCGAAUGAACCAAAUAUAGUAAUCUGAAAAGAUUCUUACAGGAUACUCAGUAAUCCUGUCAGAAUAAUGCGAACCAAACGUGGCGUUAAGGGCAUGUAUUAAAGUGCUAAUAAAAGGAAGUAUUUGAAGAAAGUUUAGACGGAGAUUAGUAACAGUUAAAGAGUGUAAAAGAGUCUAACAUAAGACUUGUCGACAAUGACUAGUUAGAUUUAUCCAGCAAAAUUGUGUGGGAAAUUGAAUACCAGAUCUGGUGAGCUCGGCCGAAGAUGUGUUUGUUUCCUUUCCAAGUUAUCAAGCUAUGUGCUAUCAGAUCUGAAACACAACCAUACAAAAGUGAAGAAAUGAACUGAUUUAAAGAAAGAGCUUUAAUUAUUUGGUCUUUUUUAAUAUACAUUCAGGAACUUACCUACUUUCGUUUUAGCCUCCCUUGUCCAAUUUUUAGUACCUGUACAGCAUCAGCUGAAACAUAGCAGAACCGUCGAAGAAAAUUGAAAUUUUUGAUGCCCAUUAACUGCUAGUUUGCAACCAACUAACAAAAGAAAUACAAAUACCGAAGUAGCAAGGGUGAAAUGUAUGGGUAGCUCUGUGCUGUUCCGAUAUUGCCACUUAGAUUUUAACUUAAACACUUAGUCUCUAAAUUUUCUUAUAUUUUGCUUUCAAUUCUGGCACGUCAGAAUAAUUUAGCUUUUCCGGUAAAAUAACCAUUUCGCCCCUCCUGAAAGAUGACUUCCUUGUGUCAUAUUUCAUGAGGCAAGAUUUAAAAGUUAUUUUACAGCAAAAGUCAAUGGAUUUCAAAGUUUUUUUGAGUACUGCAAUAUAUGAGAAAGUUCAGGAAUAGAAGUGUUUAAGCAGAAAGUCACAGACCAACUCCAAAUAUCAAAACAAUGCAGCAAGUAUCUGUAGUGGAUUGCUUUGGUUAUGAUACAGAUCUUACCUAUAAGACCACUGCCACUUUUAUAUAUUAAGGCCUGCUGGAGAACAGAGUACCGUGAAGGCCUGAAGAUAGGCUUCGUGGUAGUAGCCACCUCUUUGAUAAGAGACUUGCGAGAGCAGCUAAAACAGUUAGUUAUCUUAAUGCAUCUUUAUGUGGCAGCUACAGUAUAAAGAAACAUUACAUAAGGACUCAAUGUGAUCUUAUUGUACCGAUCCCUUUCCAGUUCAGACUUUGCUUCACCUCCUAUUCUGAGUUUCUGCCAAUUGCAAGGUGUUCCUCAUGAAAAAAAAAAUUUUGAACGUCGCUUGGCUUUGUUUUUCUCUUCCAUUUAUUUGACGAAGUAGUGUUUACUUUUACAUAGUGAAAUUUUGAAUAAAACGACUGGAAAAGAGAAGUUUUCACUCUCAUUGUCAUGGAUGAGAUGAAAUCGACCUCUAUCCCUGUAGUCUUUGGUGUUAUCACCAAAGUCACUGCCAAUAAAGUACCAUGCUUCCACCUAUUCUAGCCUUAGGAACACAAAACAAGCUUCGACCGAUUCUAGUCUUAGGACCACGAAUCUUGAAGACUCUGAAGGUUUCUCAACUGCAUCUCUUCAAAGUAAACAUAGUUCGAUGGCUCCAUUUUAUGACAUUUGGUCUUCAUUUACUUUUGGGCCGUUCUGCUUUCUUGAUAUUUUGUGUUUAAGCUUAAUUUCUGCCCAAGUGCAGUAUGAGGACAUAUACCAGGAACAUUGCGAAAAGCCCAGCUGACAUAUAAGUGAUUUUCCCUCACUAUCCGACAUCCAAAAGUGCUUCUGGUGAAACUGUAAGAUGCUCUACAAACAGCAAAUGAUCUAUUAACUGGGAUAGAACAAAGUAUAUAUCACUUGAGCUUUCAUGUCUCAUGUCUUCUACUAAAAACUCAUAUAGAAUGUUAUUUAUCUCAAUGGAACUAACUCUUGCAUCUUUCUUUAUCCCCUUCUCUCUCAUGAAUCUCCUUAGUGUCUUCAUCUUCUCCCACCUGUGGGUCUCACAAUACAUAUUUGAAAUCAAAACAUGUAAUCCUCCACCAUUCAAUUCCAAACUCAGUAGAUCUUUCAUCACCUGCUCCCCAAUCCUCGUAUAUCUAUGAAUUCUACAAGCCCCAAGCAAUGCACCCCAUAUCACAUAUCGGGCUUCAUUGGCAUACUUUUAAUUAACUCCACGGCUCGUUGAAUCAGGCCUCCCCUCCCAAGAAGAUUAACCAUGCAAGUAUAAUGUUCAAUUUCAUAUGGAACAUUAUAAACAAUGUUCAUAGUUUCAAAAUAAGAUUGUCCAAUUUCCACUAAACCACAAUGACUACAACAAACUAAUGAAAGUGAUCCCAUCCGGUAAAAAGCCCUCUUCGAUCAUUUGGUUAAAGAAAUCAACAGCAUCAAAUGCCCGGCCAUGAAUUGCUAAGGCCCACAUUAUCACAUUCAGUGAGACUGCGCUUUUACUAGGCAUCAAGAUCUAAAGCAAUUUCUAUUGGACCACAUUUCGCAUACAUGUCUAUAAGCAAGUUAAAUAGAGCAAUAGAGGGUUGUUCAAUAUUAUCUCUAAUUUGAUUGUGAAUAUUCUUUCCAAAUACCAAAUUGCCAUUUUGGGCGCAAGCCAUAAGAACAGAGAUAAGAGUUACCUGAUCCAGCAUUAUCUUUGAAGCACGCAUCUGGUUGUAAAGAUCCAAGGCUUCAUGAGAAAGCCCAUUUUGGACAUAGCAAGAGAUCAUGGCAUUUCACGAUACUUUGUUCCUUUCCGCCAUUCGAUCGAACAGAUACCUAGCCACUUCAAUCGAACCAUGUUUCGCAUGUGCACAUACCAUCGAUGUCCACAAAACCACAUUCUUCAAACCAUCAUGUCGAAACAUCUUUGCGCCAUAAGCAAUGCACCACACUUUCCAUACAUAUCUACCAAUGCAUUCCCCACAAUCAGAUCAAAUUUAGCCUGGGAAACCUCUAUAUAGUGAUGUACAAACCUACCCAAUUCAAAAUUAUCUGCUUGCAAGCACGCAGAUAAAAGAACAACCAAUGUGAAUUCAUCAGCUACCAAACCACCUUCUCUCAUCAUUUUAAAUAGGGAAAAUACUUCUUCACAAUCACCCAAUUGAGAAUACCCACUAAUCAUAGAGUUCCAAGACACUACGUUUUUACUGGGAAUUUCGUCGAACACCUUGCGGGCAAACCAAAUUGGCCCACAAGAUGAGUAAACAUGGAGGAGAGCAUUCAUAACGAAGAUUUGCGACUCGAAUCCGAGUUUUACAAUCAUACCAUGAAUCACUAGUACUCCUUCUAAUGCCAAAGCUUCGGCACAUGACUUGAGAACGAAGGGAAGGGUGAAUUGAUUGAGCGAGAGGCCCCGACUAAGCAUUCGAUGUCACAAAAAGAGGGCUUCUUUAGGGCUAUGUUGAUUGGUGUAGCCUCUGAUUAAGCUAUUGCUCAUGAAUUUAUUGGGGUUGGGUGCGUGUUCGAGGCGUUUGCAGCUGUAGCGGAGGUCGCCGGUGGGGGAGAGGGAGCAAAAGGAGAUGAGCUGGGCUAGGGUUAGGGUUUCGUCGAGGAUGGCGGCGACGAUGAGGUGCGCGUGGAGCUGCUUGAGGUGGUUCAUGGAGUGGCAUCGUUGGAGGAGGGAGUGGAGGAGUUGGUGCGCGAGAAAUUUGAACCCCGGGAAGGAGAGGUUGUGGGGUCGGAGUUUUGGCGCGAAGAUAACGGCUACUCGUUUGAACAUAGCUUGCGUUCGGCCGUUCGCUAGGGUAGAGGUUUAGGCUUAGUUGGGUAUUGCGGGAAGUUUGUAUUACAUGCGAUAAAAAAGUACAAUAUAAAAAUAUUUUAUUUAUUUUUGUAUGUAAUAUUGUGUUUCAUAUAUCAAGUCGAUUACGAUAUAUUUUUUACGAUCCCACAUGAGAACGCAGAAACAUAUCUUAUAUACUUUUACCCUAAUUCCAUUUUAUCUAAUAGCGUCAGAUAAAUCUCAAUAUCAAACUAAACCUUAACGCACAGGAUAUUCAUUAUAUGAACAAACAUUUGGUGAGAAAGGCGAUCACAUCCACCGUUCAUCUAUUUUGAGAUUUGUAUCCGUUUUUGUUAUGAACGGUAGAUAUGAUGGCCUUCCAUUAAAAACUAUCUCCACCAAAUAUUUGUCCCACAUUAUACAGCUCCAAGAUUUCUUUUUUUUUUGUGUGAUGCGUUUAUUUUCACACCUUUUAUGAAAUCAUUUGGAAUCGACAAUUUUUACAGAAUUUGAAAUCAUUUUACGUCAAUAAGUUUUUAAAUAUCUAGUCGGAAAAAAAUUAUUUAAUGUGAUUUUUUAAAAAAUUUGCAAUGAUUGUAAUAAGUGCAAACAAAUCUAGUAAUUUAGGAUCUCACAUGCAAUGAAAUCGACUAUAUGACUUUCUAAAAGUAAAUCUAUUACUUUAUCUAAAAAGUACUUUUUUGAGAGAAAGCUAAUUAACCUAUUAUUUGUUUCGUUUAUUUUUUUAAAAUUAAAUUUUAUUAAAAAUAUGAAGUAACUAGAUUUCAAAUUUAAAACCUCAAAUAUCAAUCAUUAAAUUUUUUAUCACUUACGCAAAGGACAAUUUGCAGGGUAGUUGGAUAGUUAAGUUUUGUACUUGUAUAGCAUUGCUCUUUUCAAAUAUUGUAGCCAGUGCUAGAGUACCUAAGGCCAAUUGGAACAGUUGUUGAUGUUAAUACAUAUAACUAAACAGUGAAUUUGAAUUUGCAUAUUAUUAUUCUAUUAAAUUUACAGUAAAACAACAACUACAUGCAACCAAACUGUCCCUGAAAUGUAUAAAUUACACAGUAUUAUAUGUUUGGAUGCACAGUGAACCUGGUCUAGACAGUAAGUACUCCUAUUUUAGUCCUUCUUGUGGGUGUUAAGUAUCAACUAACAACAGCUAUUGUGUUGUGACUUGAAAUUGUUGCAUGUACCCGGUUCAUCCAUACAUCUGUGCACCGCUCAUCUAUCAGCCAUUCAUCUCACCCCACACUUGAUCUAUACCAUCCACUAGUAUCAUCUUCUCUUUUGUUCAAUAUUGGACGGUCCGAUCAAAAGUAAGUAAAUUGUGUACAGAGGCCGAUAGGUUGGCGGUGUACAUAUGUUACAACGCACAUGGUGCACGCAAUAAUUUCUCGUCUAAUUUGGUAUACUUUCCACAAUUGGUAGGUGAACCCCAACGUGCUUACUUAACCCCCCUUUUUUUUUUUUUUUUGGGUUCCCUUUUCCCACCUCUAAAAUUAAAACAUUCAAAUGUUUUCUAGUGCUAGUAUAAGAAGAGAGGUAACAUACUUGUUUAGGCAUUUGUGUCAUUGAUAGCAAAACAGAGAGAGAGGAAAAACUAAAAAAAAAAAGAAGUGUAAGAAUGGUGGUAAAGAUCUACGGAACAGGCACAGCCGUGUGCUCGCAAAGGGUUAUGCACUGCCUGGUCGAGUUAGGGGUUGAGUUCGAGCUCGUGGAGGUCAAUCUCGAAAAAAUGGAACACAAAAAGCCUGAGUAUAUGGCUAAACAAGUAGAUCAUCCAUCGAUCUAAUUUCUUUGUUUUUUUCAUAUUUGUUUUUUGACUAAACAUAAAAAUCUCUUUUCUAGAUUUUUACUUUACCUUGUUGUCUUGUUUACUCUUAGGCGCUUAAAAUUACAUUUAUUUUGACUUGCGCUAUCUGAAAUUGCUUUCAAAACCCGGGUUGAAUGUUGGAAUUUAGAAGAAGAACUUUAGUAGAAUUCAUUGAAAUAUCAUGUUUUAUAUCUAAAUAUUUAUACAAAUUAUAUCUUAUUAGAUAGAAAUAACACUAGAAAAAGAGAUUUUUUGCUUGUUAUACCAUAAUCAAUAAAUUAUUUAACCAACUAAUUUUGAUAACGAUGACUGCUAAAUUAAUUUAAUAAUUAUCUUAAAUUUUUUACCUCUAUUUGAGACAAUUUUAAAAUGUAGGGUUAGAAUAAAUGCAAAAUUUUUUAUAUAGGAGAUUAUUAAGAAAUAAAUUUCUUUUAUAAAGCUUUUUUUUUAGCCAGAUCUAUGUUCAACUGGAUUCUAAUAUGUGUUUUCUUUUUCUUUUCCUUUUUUCUUUUUUUUUUCCUUUUUGGUAUCUUAUUUCUUCUGCUUGUAGCCAUUUGGACAAGUUCCUUACAUUGUUGAUGGAGACUUCGAACUCUUUGGUAAGUUCAUUUAAUUGUUUAGAUUGAAAAUAUGAUUAUCCAAAAUUUUCAAUUUACAAAUUGCCAAUUUCAAUUUCAACUUACAACUAAUAAUUAUCUUAUAUUAGCUUGAUUGUACAAAACAAGAAUUAGCUAAGACAAAUUCGUACUACUUACUUUAUAGCCACUACUCGCUAUUAUUACUUAGAACAUAUAAAAAGAUACGCAGACAAAAUAAUAAAAAUUGAAAGUUAAUUUAGUUUCUAUUGUUCAUCCUUUAUUUUAUUCUUUGGAAACUAAGAUUAGAUAGUUGAUUAUAUUUUGGGAAAACUUCAAAAACCCCCCUUGUGGUUUGGUAGUUUCUCACUUUGCCCCCCUGUGGUUUAAAGUGUAUCAAUUUGCCUCCUGUGGUUUCGUUUUUAUCUUUUCGGUAGCUUUUUCGUUAAUAUUUCAUUAAAUUAUAUACAAAAAAACUUCAGAUAUCCACCUAGAUUUAUCAAAUAUUCACUUUAGUACCCUUUAAUUUUAACUUUAUUACUGAUUUAAAGAAAAAAAAUAAUAAUGAAAUUGAUAAGAAAAAGAGAAAAAAGAAACCACAGGGGGGCAAAGUGAGAAACUACGAAACCACAGGGGGGUUUUUGAAGUUUUUCCUUAUAUUUUGUUAGCACGCUCUUCAUAUAAGCCAGACUCUUUAAUACCGAGUUAAUUUGUGAAAUUGUUUGUAGAAUCAAGAGCAAUCGUGAGGUACUAUGGUGCCAAGUACGUAGGGAAAGGACCGAACCUAUUAGGUCGAACACUCGAGGAGAAGGCUCGGGUCGAUCAAUGGCUCGAUGCGGAGGCCAUCAACUACAAUCCCUUGGUGUUCCCUAUAGUCUUCAACCUUUUCGUGCUUCCCCGCAGUGGUGUUCCCGGAAAUAAGGCCGAGGCCGAGGCUGCCGUCGAGAAGCUCGACAAGGUGCUCGAGAUUUACGAGCGACAGCUAUCGAAGACCAAGUACUUAGCUGGAAAUGAAUUUACUCUAGCCGAUCUAACUCACAUUCCAGCCACACGGUACAUUAUUGAAAACUUGAAGAGCGCAUAACUUUAUAAUUUGAUUAGACUAGGAUAGGCGACUAACCUCUUUCUAUUUGCAAUUUGACCUACGAACUUUAAUUGAUGCAAAAUUGCGCAUAACUUGCUUUUAGUUUCAAAUUGAUCAACAAAGUUGGAGUCGAUAAGAAAGAAAUCAGUAGUUAUCUAAUUAAUGUCGCAUAUUAGUUACGGUGCAUAAAAUUCUUCUUGCAUCAAAAUAGAUUUUAGUGGCUAAGUUAUUAAUUUCCAGUUUCCGCCAAUCCAAAUCUAGUAAACUAAGAAAAAUAGUGAGUUCUCUUGGCACCAAAUUAGAGAUUGUUGGGUCAAAAUGCAAUGUGAGAUAAAAUAAGUGGAUUUUUAAAAAAAAGUUUCACCUCCUAUUAUAUUAUGUGUAGUAUUCUUUCUUGCAUGUUAGAAUUAUAAGAGGGGGAGUUAAAAUCCUUGCUAUGAUAUCAAGUAAAUUUGAGUACAAGGCCUUAAAAUUUUACUUUAAAUAUUUUUAUAUUUAACACUUUUCUUCAUAUCUGGACUUGUGACUUUUUGCUCAGCCCAUGACAUGGACUUAAAUUAAAUAAUAAUGCUAAGAGUCUGGCGUGACUUGAACUUAGAAUUUUCUGCUCUAAUAUCACGUUAAAUAAUACGAAACAAUCAUUGUACUUUAAAAACUUAAGUUGAUAGAGAACUGUGUUUAAAUAUUUUUAUAUUUAACAUUUUAUAGGUAUCUAGUCGAGAACUGCAAUAUGGAUCACCUAAUUACUGGGAAGAAGCAUGUAAAGGCGUGGUGGGAGGACAUCACCAGCCGACCGGCGUGGAAGAAGACAAUGAGCUUUGUGGAAUCCAGGGUUUCACACUUUUAUCCAUGAGGAUUAGUACAACAAAAAAUUAUAGAUUAAUAAAUUUAAGUUUGAUCAUCGUCAUCUAAUAAAAUUAUGUGUAUGGAGGAGAUCUAUGCAAGAUGCAUAAUUUCACAAUAUAAUGAUGCGUUUAAAUGUUUAUGAAUGUACGAUUCCCCACUGGUUUUUUAUUUAGUUUUUGUUUGAAGUGUCAAAUGAGUUUUUUUUUUUUUUACGGCUUUGAUAGUGUGUCAAAUAGAUUCGUAAAUUUUUAAUUUUGAUAACUAAAUUUUUGGAACUUCGUCAAAUAAUCCGACAAAUCCUUCUUCUCAGGCAAAAUCAUUAAUUAAACAGCCACUCUCGACACAAUCUUAUACGUAGAAUUGUCAAAUAGAAUUACUAAAUAUAUGAUUCUCUAACAACUUAAGUUUUUGAUUAAAAAUAAAUAUUUCAUAUAAUUAAACAUGAUAUCAAAAUAGGGGUAUGAGUUCGAGUCGCACCAAAUGUUUCAUAUAAUUUAACAAAAUUUUUGUAUAAUUUUUAAAGCAUGUUGAAAUAUGUCUUUUAUAUUCUAACACUUAAAAGCCAUUUAUCUUAGGAAAAACUUCAAAAACCCCCCCUGUGGUUUCGUGCAUUCUCACUUUGCUACCCUGUGGUUUAAAACGUAUCAAUUUGCCCCCAUGUGGUUUCGUUUUUAUCUUUUUGUUAUCAAUUUUAUUAUUAUUAUUUUUUUAAAUCAGUGACAAAGUUAAAAUUAAAGGAUACUAAAGUGACUAUUCGAUAAAUAUAGAUGGUUAUCUGAAGUUUUUUGUAUAUAAUUUAACGAAAUAUUAACGAAAAAGCUUUCGAAAAGAUAAAAAUGAAACCACAGGGGGGUAAAUUAAUACGUUUUAAACCACAGGGUAGCAAAGUAAGAAUGCACGAAACCACGGGGGGUUUUGAAGUUUUCCCUUUAUUUAUUUUUUCAUCAUGAUAAAUUUAUUUCUUCUGUGACAAGAGAAGAACCAUUAGGGCUCCUACCCAAGUCCAUUGUCCGAGGGUCUAGCAACCCUUGGACAGCGGCCCAACGGCUCAAUUAGCCGUUGGUUGAGUCCUUUUUUUUUUUUUUUUUUUGUCUUUCCUGAAAAAAAAAAUAUUUUAUUAUUACUUUUUUAAAAAAUGGGUUCAAAAAUUAAAAAAAGAUGUUUUUUUUAAUUAAAAUGACCACAAUGCCCUCACUAAUAUUAAAAAAUUUGACCGUUAGAGAUGGCAUUUUGGUCAAAAACUAAAAAAUAUUUUUUUAUAUUUUUUUAAAACUAUUUUUUAUAUCUAUAAAUACUACUACAAACAUCAAAAUUCAUCACAACAAAUAACUCUUCAUUCAUUUUCUUCUACAAACACUAAUUCCUCCCACUCUUAAACUUUCAAUCUAAAAUUUUUUCUCUCUCAAUUCUCAAGUUUACUUUGCAAAUAUUUUUAAUUUUUUCCAACAAUUUUUUUUUACAAAGUCUCUCCACAAUUUCACAAUACAAAAUUUUAUUUUCAACACAUAAUUAAUCUCUUUUUAAAAAAAAAUUUAUUUAAUUAUUUUUAGUAUUAUUGUGUUUAUUUUUUAUAAUAAUAUUCGAUGAAUUUUUUCAUAUACAUUUUUCUUGCACUGAUUAUACUCCUGAGUAUUAUAUUAGUAAUCAAUCAGAAACUGGAGUCGGUGGUUCUACACAAGGUGGCGACAGCUCGCAACCUAAACCAAAUUUAGACACAAGUUCUAACAAAGCGUCUAAACGAAGAACAAGUGUAAUAUGGAAGUACUUCAAAAUCAAAGAAGUUGAAGGACAAGACAGGUGAGCUGUUUGUACUAUAUGUAGGCAUUAUUAUUCUUGUGAUAAUUCUGGUAGAACAGAUCAUCUUAACAGACAUAUACAGAAACAUCAGAUAAGAGAAGGUAAAGAGACAAAAUAAUCAGAAUUUGCUUUUACUUCUAGUAAAGUUAAUACAUUUCAAUAUUCUCAUAAACGUAAUAGAAGAGAACUUACAUUAUACAUUAUAGGAGCUGAACAAUCAUAUAUACAUUUGUCGAAUGUCCAUAUUUUGAACACUAUAUGAAAACAGUUUUAAAUCCUGCAUAUAAAAAAACUUCUCGAAAUACUAGUCGCAAAGAUUCAAUAAAAGCAUUUCUUGAAUAUAUACAAAAUUUGAUUUCAAUUUUAGAAAAUUUAAAUUCAAAAAUUUCACUCACUUUCGAUAUUUGGAUAUCAAGAAAUGAACAUAGUUUUAUAUGUGUUAUGUACAGGAUUGAUUCUAAUUGGAUAUUACAAAAAUGAAUUAUUGGUUUUCAAAAACUUGAGUUUCUAUAUAAUGGUAUUCAUAUUGCUCAGGUAAUUAAAAUGUUUUGCAAAUUUAUAACAUUAGCCAAAAAAAACUUUUAAUUAGUUUCGAUAAUGCUAGCAAUAAUAGAACCGCAGUUCAAAUUUUGAAAAAUAAUUUGCAUUCUGAAAUGAAAAAUUAUUGUAUAAUAAAUGUGCAUGUCAUAUUAUAAAUUUGUAUGUUUAUGAGGGAUUAAAAAUAAUUAUUCCACAAAUUAAAAAAUUAAAAGAUUAUAUUAUAUUUAUUCAUAGUUUUUGUUCAAGAAAUAAGAUUUUAAAAGUUUAUGUAAACAGUUUGGCCAAAAAUAUAAAAAAUUUAUUUUUGAUGUUCAACAUCGAUAGAAUUCCACAUAUAAAAUGUUGCAAUAUUAUUAUGAGUAUAGAAAUAUUUUAUUUAUUUUUUGUAAUGAGAAAAUACAGCAUAACUUCUAUAAUGAAGAAUGAAACAUUAAACAAAUUCUUAUGAUUUUUUUUGCAACCAUUUUAUAAGUCAACCAAACCAAGUAUUUGAAAUAGGAUUAUGCUGCAUAACAAUAUGAGUCAAAAAAAUUAUAAGAAUUUGUUUAAUGUCUUAUUCUUCAUUAGUUAUGAAAUUAUUCUGCAUUUUCUCAUUACAAAAAAUAGAUAAAGUAUUUCUAUACUCAUAACAAUAUUGCAAUAUUUUAUAUGUAGAAUUCUAUCGAUGUUGAACAGCAAAAAUAAAUUUUUUAUAUUUUUGGCCUAACUGUCUACAUAAACUUUUAAAAUCUUAUUUUUUUGGACAAAAACUAUGAAUAAAUAUAAUAUAAUCUUUUAAUUUUUUAAUUUGUGGAAUAAUUAUUUUUAAUCCCUCGUGAACACACAAAUUUAUAAUAUGACAUACACAUUUAUUAUAUAAUAAUUUUUCAUUACAGAAUGCAAAUUAUUUUUCAAAAUUUGAACUGCGGUUCUAUUAUUGCUAGCAUUAUCGAAACUAAUUGAAAUUUUUUUUUUGGCUAAUGUUAUAAAUUUGCAAAAUAUUUUCAAUCACCUGAGCAAUAUGAAUACCAUUAUAUAGAAACUCAAGUUCUUGAAAACCAAUAAUUCAAUUUUGUAAUAUCCAAUUAAAAUCAAUCCAAUGUACAUAACACAUAUAAAACUAUGUUCAUUUCUUGAUGUCCAAAUAUCGAAAGUGAGUGAAAUUUUUGAAUUCAAAUUUUUUAAAAUUGAAAUCAAAUUUUGUCUAUAUUCAAGAAAUGCUUUUAUUGAAUCUUUGCGACUAGUAUUUCGAGAAGUUUUUUUAUAUGCAGGAUUUAAAACUGUUUUCAUAUAGUGUUCAAAAUAUGGACAUUCGGCAAAUGUAUAUAUAAUUGUUCAGCUCCUAUAAUGUAUAAUGUAAGUUCUCUUCUAUUACGUUUAUGAGACUAUUGAAAUGUAUUAACUUCACUAGAAGUAAAAGCAAAUUCUGAUUAUUUUGUCUCUUUACCUUCUUUUACCUGAUGUUUCUGUAUAUGUCUGUUAAGAUGACCUGUUCUACCAUAACUAUCACAAAAAUAAUGAAGCCUACAUAUAGUACAAACAGCUCACCUGUCUUGGCCUUCAACUUCUUUGAUUUUGAAGUACUUCCAUACUGCACUUGUUCUUCGUUUAGACGCUUUGUUAGAAUUUGUGUCUAAAUUUGGUUUAGGUUGCGAGCUGUCGCCACCUUGUGUAGAACCACUGACUCCAGUUUCUGAUUGAUUACUAAUAUAAUACUCAGGAGUAUAAUCAGUGCAAGAAAAAUCUAUAUGAAAAAAUUCAUCCAAUAUUAUUAAAAAAUAAACACAAUAAUACUAAAAAUAAUUAAAUAAAUUUUUUUUUUAAAAAAAGAGAUUAAUUAUGUGUUGAAAAUAAAAUUUUGUGUUGUGAAAUUGUGGAGAGACUUUGUAAAAAAAAAUUGUUGGAAAAAAUUAAAAAUAUUUGCAAAGUAAACUUGAGAAUUGAGAGAGAAAAAAUUUUAGAUUGAAAGUUUAAGAGUGGGAGGAAUUAGUGUUUGUAGAAGAAAAUGAAUGAAGAGUUAUUUGUUGUGAUGAAUUUUGAUGUUUGUAGUAGUAUUUAUAGAUAUAAAAAAUAGUUUUAAAAAAAUAUAAAAAANNNNNNNNNNNNNNNNNNNNNNNNNUGGGCCCGCCGUCCAAGGGUCUGGCGGUCUGCCAGAACCUUGGACAGUGGACUUGGGUGGGAGCCCUAAAGGCUAGGCCUACCUACCCUACCCUUUUAUAGGCCUGGCUAAGUCAAGCCAUAUAGGCCUGGCAUUGCCAGGCCUAACUUUGAACUUGAAAUUAGCGGAUCGUGCCGGCCCGGCAGGCACGGCCCAUACGGGUCGUGUCGUGCCGGGCUGCGGGUCGAACCCUCGGCCCGACACGGUCAAGACCCAACACGUGCCGUGCCGAGCCGGGGCGACGGGCCGCAAAAUUUCGGCCCGACUCGUCACGACCCGCAUAUCCGGGCCGGGCCGGACCGGUACGGUUGCUACAAUAACCAUUCCAGGUCAUUACUGUAGCAAUCGCGACGGUGGGCAACCCGACCCGUUUUACACCCUUGCAUUCGAGUCUGCUUUUAGUACAGGUGAUAGAAUAUUGGAUGAUUAUAAAAUCCGAUUUAACGAGAAUGCGAUCGAGAUUUUAGUCUGCUUAAACUAUUGGCGAGCUGCAGAUGAAACAGAAUCAAAUACCUAAAAAUAUACCAACACUUGCGACAUGCUAGAGUACAAUCGUCCUGAUCUCUUCACUAUUGUCUAUUAGUCAUUGCGGCUCUUCUUUUUUAUUUAGUACCACUCUUUACUAGGUGUCUUUUUUUUAAGUGAAAAAUGAUGUAAUGAAGAAAAAAAAUUAUAUUUGAUUUUUUUUUCUCUACUGUUUGCUAAUUGAUUGUAUAAAUAAUAUUAUAUUAUUUUAAAUAUAUUUUAAAUUUUUUAAAAUUUUGUACUUUUUUCUAUGUAAUUAUAUAAUAUGAUUAAUUCAAAUCUUUAUAUAUUUUUUGUAAUUAUUUUUUUAAAUAUCAAUUUCUCUUCAAAUAAUAAAAAAUUAUUAAAAAUAUUUAAUAAAAGAGUUUUUAAAAGGUUGGGUAUAAUUGUGUAAAUUAAACACUAUAAGUCAAAAAUUUAUAAUUUAAACUCUUUUUUAAAAAAAUUUUAAAAAUACAUAUUUUAUGUAAUAUGGUUAAUACAAACUUUAUAUAUUUUUUGUAAUUAUUUUUUUAAAUAUCAAUUUCUCUUCAAAUAAUAAAAAAUUAUUAAAAAUAUUUAAUAAAAGAGUUUUUAAAAGGUUGGGUAUAAUUGUGUAAAAUAAAAACUAUAAGUCAAAUUUAUAAUUUAAAAAAAUCUAUCUCUUUUUCUGAAAAAAAAAAUAUUUCUUGAAAAAACUGAGUGAAGGAAUUUUUGUGAAAAAUCUGGCGGCACGGCACGGCACGGCCCGUGCUAGGCGUGCCGGGGGGCCGCGCUGGAUUAAUAGACGCGUCAGACAGUGCCGAUCCUUGACCCGAAGUGGCCUGAAAAAUGUGGGUCGUGCCGCCAGUCGCGGUCCACAUUACAUCCCUAGUCCAACUCCAACAUCUCCAAAACAACAAAAAAAAAUUGCUGGUGUGGUAAGCUGGGUUCACUUAAGAUAAAAACGUAUGGAAUAUGAAUCAGAGAGCCCUCAAUUUAUAUUUAUAUCAUUAUUAUCCACUGAGCCCUCAAUCCAUAUCAUUAUCCACAUUUUUAUAUCAAAUCCUGACACGGAUUUAGAUAUUGAUCCCAUAUUUAAAUUAAUAUUUAAAUUCAGUUAUUAAAUUGGCACAAAUAUGAAUAAAAUAUUUUUAAAAUAUAUAAAGGUAAAAGAAAAAAAAGAGAAAACUUAAAAAAAACCCCUGUGGUUUCGUAGUUUCUCACUUUGCCCUCCUGUGAUUUAAAAUGUAUCAAUUUGCCUCCAUGUGGUUUCGUUUUUAUCUUUUGCGGUAGCUUUUUCGUUAAUAUUUCAUUAAAUUAUAGACAAAAAACUUCAGAUACCCAUCUAGAUUUAUUAAAUAUUUAUUUUAGUACCCUUUAAUUUUAACUUUAUCACUGAUUUAAGAAAAAAAAAUAAUGAAAUUGAUAAGAAAAAGAGAAAAAAAAAAACCACAAGGGGGCAAAUUGAUACAUUUUAAACCACAGGGGGCAAAGUGAGAAACUACGAAACCACGGGGGGUUUCUUGAAGUUUUUUCAAAAAAACAGUGAUAUAUAUACGUAAGCUUCUUAAAUUUUAAAAAAUAUUUAAAAAUUAAAAAACUUACAAAUUUUGAAAAAGUAAUAUUUAUUUAAAAUGUUAAUUGCAUAUAGAUUUCUACAAAUAUAGUGAAUUACGAAUGUAUUCAUACAAAGUUCAACUUUCAUGUAUUGUUCCUGUUCUGAUAUUUUCAAAUAUGUUCCUACUGUUAGAUUUUGUUAGAAAAAUUUAAUUAAUUAUAGGUUAAAUACUUAAUCCUGAUUAGUUAACGAGGGGAAUUGGCUUUUUUACCCCUUUUCAAUUAACCGUUGAAAUUUUUAAGAAAAAAUAUUUGUGAUGGUAAAAAGGUAAUUUCACUAAUAAAAUAGAUAUUGUAACAAACUAGAAUGACAUAUUUGAAAAUAUUAAAAUUUCUGUAGGGACAAUAGAGAUAUAUUUAUAAUUUACUAUAUUUGUAGGGGCCUGUAUGAAAUUAAUACUUAUUUAAAAUAAAUAAAAGUAUAAAAUAUUUUGAAAAUAUAUAAAAACUUAUGUCAAAUUUAGAUACUUUGAAUAUAUAGUAAAUUUAAAUUUGAAUUCAAAUCUAAAAAAUAUUUCAGUUCGAAAUCCAAAUCCAAAUCCAAAUCCAAGUUCGGGUGGGAUAGUAAAACUUCAACUUAUAUCCAAAAGAUUUUAAAUUUCGAGUCGGGUCGGAUCAGAUAUAUUAUCCGACCCGUUUUAAACCCCACUUUCACUUCACCCGGUAAUUUCUCAAAUUUCCGAGUCCAAUACUCCUACUCUCAAAAAAAAAAAAAAAAAAAAAAAAUCCGAUUCGUACUAUUACUCUAUUAGGGGUGAGAUUUUUUUUUUUUUUUUACGAUUUUGCGAGCUCCGGAGCCUCGGAUUACUAAAACUAUAUAAAUAAAAGCAUAGAGUAAUAAUGAGAGAAAUUGUUUCUUCUUCUCUAAUCUCUCUCUCUCCCUCCUCUCUCUCUCCCUCUAUGCCCUCUCUCUUCUCCUCCUAGGGUUUCGCAUCCUCGUACCCAACCCCUCGAAACCCUAGGUCUUCGGAUCGAUCGAAGAGAGAGAGAGAGAGAGAACGAGCGAUUCUUGGCGAUCAAAUGAUCGAAAACAGAAAAGGGAGAGAUCGAAACAUCGUUGUUAAAUGUGUGUGUGCGAGAGAGAGAGAGAGGCAUGGAGACCCUCCCCUCCGCGGCGGAGAAGCAGCGGCUGAUCUCGUCCUUCCGCGAGAUCGCCGCCGACGAAUCCGUGGAAACCGCCGCCCAAUUCCUCCAGGUUCGGAUUCUCAUCGAUUCUAUUCGAAAAGCGCGAUUUCGAUCUUUUAUUUUUUGGGUGCCUUUUCUUGUUCGUGUCGUUCGGUCGAUUGAUCUAGGGUUUCCGUGUUCUGUAGGCGACGAGUUGGAAGCUGGAGGAAGCGCUUCAGCUGUUCUUCGUCGGGAACGAUGGUGGUGCUCUGGCGUCGUCCUCCUCGGCUCCGGCGGGGGUCGAUGAAAGCCCUAGGUCAGUUCAAGUGGAGGGAUUGUUGAGUGAUUGGUUUCAGGAUAGGUUUCAAUCCUUAACGUACCUUGAUUGUAGUGGAACGGUGAAUGAUGUUGCGCCUGAGAGCAGUAUUAAGCAAGAUGGUGGAGACGACGAAGUGCGUGCUCCAUUGCCGAUCAAAAGAGAUACUUUAUAUGGCGACGCCUCCUUUUCAGGGUAGGUUUUUGGUUGUCUUUUGGCAGAUUAUAAUAAUUUAGUACAAUGCCAUACCUAUCAAUUAUAGGUUUGUAUUAUUUUGUUACUUCAAAGUAAAAAAAAUAGUUGAAAAAACCGCAGGAAACAGCAACCUCUGUGAAGUUAUCAUCAAUGAUUUUAGUACACCUGAAUUCUACUUUGUAAGUGAUUUUGAUCUAUUUUUUGAAGAAGGACCUUUGAUGAGUGCUUCCUUCUAAUAAAAUUGGAAGAACGAUUGUAAUAAAAAAGGGGGUAAAAAAGGAGUUGGAACACUCAUUAGUUGAAAUUUUAUUAUUUUUAGUAGGUACAUUACAACUUGAUGUUGUAAAUAGAGUUUAACUAAAUACCUAUAUAGCCAAGAAGUUCGCGAAUCAAAUGAUAUGGCCUUUUAUACAAUUGAAAUUGGCAAAAGCACCAAUCAUAACGAGUAAUUAAUCUCCAAUGUCUUUUGAGUUAAGACUUAUCCGGACAGCUAUGUAAGUUAAGUACUAAAAGAAGGUUAAGUUUAAUUUUCACUUGAGUGGAAUCAAUUUAGACUCAAAUGAAGUUAAUUGAACCAAUCUUUCUGCCAAAUUGGGCUGGUGUUUCACUUCUGCCUAAAUAUCUCCCUUGGGAUUGCUUCAUGGUUGAAAUGAAAACCAUAUGAACAUGUGGAUAUUUAAAUUAAGUAAAUUGGAAAGUUCCAUUCUCGGUGGAGGGUGGAGCUUUAUUCUUUAUCCUAACUUUCUUUGUAUUUCCCUGUUUGUAACUAGCUUUAUAUUGAAGUUUGGAGCUGUUGGUAAGCACUAUAUUCCAUAUCAAUGUAAGGUGCUUUGGGUACAAAAUAAUAUUCCCCAUAAAUUUUAGGGUUUUGGAUACUGUUCCUCAUAAAGUGUGCAUUAAUUUAUUUUUGACAAUGAAUACUGUCUAAGCAAUGAUGUUGUUUAUUGUAUAAUUGACAGACCUUAUUCUUUAACUGGAAAAUGGCGGUGAUCCUGUUUUUUAUAAUUUGAUUCUUCUUAAGAACUUAAUUUUACAUUUUUUUGCAAAAUAAGUUAACUAUAUUUCUCGAUAUUACAAGAUCCUUUUACACAUGAAAUCUUAGUUCCUUCGUGUUGGUUUAUGGUAAAGUCAUGUACUUGUAAUUUACCACCAGCAAACUUUUGGUUGGUUUUAUUCCGAUUAGUAUUACUCUUUAUUGCUAUCACCAUGGAAGUGUGUCUCUUGUUGUUGACCCUAUUUUAUUCUGCAUCCAGACUACAACCUAGUUCGGUGGUGGCAUUUCGCAAUUUCGAAGAGGAAUCAAGACGGCCUGUUGUUUGGGAAUCUAAUCAAAAUGCUGCAUCAACAACAAAUGGCUCCCGCGAUAACCUUGCUUCUUUAUAUCGUCCACCUUUUGCCUUGAUGUACAACGGGCCCUUCGACAAGGUAUAUGUUUAUUUUAUCAUUAUUUUAUUCCUUUCUAUGCUCUGAGGUACAUGUUUAAAAUCCCUGGAACUUGAUUUGUUGGCAUGAUAUUAGAUGAUUUAGGUAAAGAAAGAAAAUAUUUUAUAUGACAUGUUAGUGUUGUUGUUUGCAAAGGUCCUUUGAGCAGCAUAUUUUCCACCUUCCAUUUCUUCAGCCUUUAAUUUACCAUUUGCAUAUGGUUACACUGACGGAAUAGAUUUUGACAAUCACUUCUUACCGCCGACUUUUUAUUUUGCUGUUUUUUUAAGGCCUUUUGCGGUUGACUUUUGAGAAAUCACAUGCAUGAUAUGCAAGGGCUUAGCAUAGGACAAUAUAUUUUAUUCUCCUUCUUUAUUCUUUGACAAUUUUAUCGCAGAUCCUAAUACACAAGUUCAUAAAAUUCUAACGUAAACUGACUGAAAUGAUGGAUGUUGUGUAUGUCUAGGCCAAGGUGGAGGCUGCUCUCCAGGGUAAGUGGUUAAUAAUCAACUUGCAGUCAAGAGAAGAGUUCAGCUCACACAUGGUAUGACUUUCUGCAAUCAUCUAUUAUCAAUUAUUCGAUCAUUAAAUUUCUGAACUAAAUUUUAACUUCUGAACUUGUUUAUUAUCUUUUGAAGCUCAAUCGAGAUACAUGGGCAAACGAAACCUUGGCAGAAACAAUUCGUACUAAUUUCAUUUUCUGGCAGGUUAGUCUUCUGAUUAUUUAUGAAUAUUUUUAUCGUGCACUGAUUUCCGGUUAUACUUUAUUUGCUUCUAAUCCUCGUGUCUUUACAUUUUUGAGAAUCUGUUUUUCUUGUCUCUUUAUGCUAUUUGUCUUCUUUUUUUUGCUUUUCUCUAUUGCCUAUUUAGUUUCUUCCCAAAUGCUUGUAAAAAUUAUUAAAAGCAGUGCCUCCCACACCACCACUCCUAAUUGAUUUCCCAUUCAGGUUUUAAUAUGAUUUGAUUGAUUAUUUCAGGUGUAUCAUGACUCCACUGAGGGAAAGAAGGUCUGCACAUACUACAACUUGGUCUCUGUUCCUGCAAUUCUUGUCAUUGAUCCCAUCACCGGUCAAAAGAUGCGUGCUUGGAGUGGGAUGGUACAACCAGAUCGUUUGCUUGAGGUACUAAAUGCUGUGAACUUGACCUUUCAUUUGGUGUUUCUUAUCUUAUAUAUCGUAGCUAAAACAUCUAUAGUGUCGAUAGUUCUGUAAAAAGUAAAAAUCUGGACUUCUAUGUAUACCCCUUGAAAAUUGCAGCUUCUUACAAACGUGGCCAUAUUUUAAGUUGGGGAGUCCAUCCACUUCAUCGCUGGAAUUUGUUUUUGCAUUAGAAACAGUUCUUAAAAAAAGAAGAAGAAAAGAGUAGAUCAUAUUUGUAAAUUCCAGGUUAUGUGAAAUUAAGUUUUGAAAGUACAGCUUUUGCAGGUUUAUAUAUAAAUAAAUGAUUCAAGUGUAUAUAUGUCAAUAUAUCUUUUUUCUUUUGCCUUUUAAGCACGUUGUAUGCAACACUUCAAGUUGGGCCCACAUGAAAAUCCUUGGAGAUCAUAGUCUUUUGUGGUAUGUUAUUUGGAUCUUUCUGUUAACCUUUUUUUAUAAAUUUUUUUGUAGGAUUUGCUUCCAUAUCUGGAUAAAGGUCCCAAGGAGCACCAUGCUGUUCUACCUCAGAAACGACCGAGAGAGCUUGCUCAAUGUUCUACACAGACUGUAAAUGGUAUGUGGUAGAUUUCCUGUUUGGUUCAUAUGAUUUGUUUUUUUGUCUUGGCAGCAGGUCAUGUGGAAGCUGAAUGUCUUUGGGUCUUAUCUCUAAAAUAAUGCCCCUUCCUGACAUGAACCUUAUUGAGAACCCAAUCAAAAAAUUUCGGAUGGUUUUGUUCAAUUAUGUUUUUUUGGCUAACAUCUUAACAUCUGAUAUUAAUCCAUUGAUUAUGAUUAAUCAUUAUGACUCCUAUGUUGCCAUCUAUUGACUUUAGAUUAUACAUAAACAUCAAGAUUCAAAGUGUAUAAAAUUUAUGAUGUACAAUUCGGUUUUUAUUUACACUUUUCAAAACCAAGCCAGAAUUGAAAAUACUGGGCCAAAUUAAAGCACUCACUAAACCAAACCAAAAUUGACCAAAUCACAGCAGCCCUGUUUGGCGAUUUUAAAAUAAAUAGAAAGACUGCAUGUAAACCAGACCAAAUAUCUACUUCUACAUGUAUUUCUAGAAAGACUGCAUAUAUGCUCGUAAAUCAUAUCAAUAUGAUCUCUUUGAGCUGCUGUAUUUUUAUUUUUUCGUUCUUUUCCUUUUCAGAUAAAGCAGUCGAAGAAGAAGAUGAAGAGGUUUCUCGUGCAAUUGCAGCUUCCUUGGCAGAUGCAAAAAGUGUUGGAGAACCAGAUGCUACCGAAGACGAAGCUGAACCUGAGAAAGAUGCUGAGGCUAGCUUGAAAGAAAAGCCUAUUUAUCCUCCCCUUCCUGGAGAACCUAAAGGAAGCAGGGAAAUUCUAUGUAGAGUGGCAGUUCGACUACCUGACGGUCGGAGAGUCCAAAGGAAUUUCCUAAAAUCCGAUCCAAUAAAGGUUAGAUAAUAUCAUCGAAAAGCUCGUACAACGUUUGGUUGUUUACAAAUUUAGUCCUGAAGUUUGACACUUGUCUCAUUCUGGUUCUUGUUGUUUCUGUUUGUAAAAUUAGUCCCUACAGUUUGUUUAGUCCUGUUACUCUCUAGUCUGGAAAAGACUAUUCCCACAUCACCUCUAUUUUUAGGGUUUGCUCUGUUUAAACCCACACGGUUGCGGACAAUUGAACUCUGGUGCUAACCUUAGGGGCCAAAUUUUAAAUUGAAACUUUGCAACAAAGUUUAUUCACUGAAGUAGUAAUUAAACCUAGAAUGGUUUCAUAUAUCUCCAUACAGAAGACUUACAUUGUACUUGUUGCCUUUCUACAGCUUUUGUGGUCUUUCUGCUGCUCUCAAGUGGAGGAUGCGGACAAACAGCUGUUCCACUUCACACAGGCAAUUCCCGGUGCAUCGAAGAGCCUAGAGUUUGACAGCAGUCUAACAUUCGGAGAAGCAGGAUUGUCGAAUUCGAUCGUUUCCUUGGCGUGGGACUGAGAAGUCCACUGAUUAAUCUCAAAUAGGGGCUUAAAAUAUGAGUUAUUAAAAAAAAAAAAAGAAAAGGACCUCAUAGUUCAUCAUCCUUUUGGUGUAAAGUCAAAAAUGGACUUUCGAGUUGCUGCUUGUAAACAAAUACGUAAGUUAUAGUCGAAUUAGUUUUUCUCGGUUUUUUGUUUGUGUAAUAGUGCAUUAGUUUGUUGUUAUUAAUCUAUCAGUAUUUUGCUUUGAUGAAAUUGGGCUCAGCUUUUUUUUACUUAAAAACCUUCUCCAGGAGCAGUUGAAAAUACUGUUCUCUCCUAUUUGGUAAUCUAGUUAAGAUAUUUUUAUAAUGUACAAAUCCCAUUUAGUUGAGCAGAUCGAUGCCUCUUGUAGAUCGAUUUACCUUGUGUGAUUAGAUUGGUCUUGUAGAUCGAUUUACCAUGUGUGAUUAGAUUGGAUAAAAUAAGAUUGAAGAUGAAGAUUCUUGCAUAGUUGUUGAAUUCCUACCUAGGAGUAAACAAGAUAGGGAUUCCAAACUGUGUCCACUCUUUGCCGGUUUUAAUCUCUUGAUGCAUCUGAGUAGUUAAAAUCUCUUUGCCUAGUACUGUAUGUAGAAAUUUAUGUAGAGCUGUUUGAAUUAGUUCUAACGAGCUUUUCUUUCAAUUCAUCCGGUCGGGGUGGUGCUACUUUUCUUUACUUUCUCACAUUGUAUCAUAUAAUUACUAUGAAAGUUUCCUAAAAGCCAAAGAAAAGAUAUGUGGAAACCCCCUAAGUUUAGCUUUUUUGUAGAAGUUCGUCUGAAUUUUAAGUGUGGGCGAUUGUACUUUCUAAACUUUAUUAAGAUCCCUCUUCUCACUUGCAUUUAUUAUGUUCAUAUUUAUUUUGCUGAUACGUCAUGUACAUAAUCUUGCAAAAUUUUAAAAUAUAAAAAAUUUAUUUUUUCUCUUUCAAAUUAAUAAUUUAGUAUACAAAUUUUAAAAUAAUCUGAACCGACUUCUGUUAUCUAUUUUGUUUAUUAGAAUAUAAAAAGUAAUUUUUUCUACGUUUGAAAGUUUUAUAAAAUUAUAUGCAAAAUAUCAAUCAAAGUAAUUAUAUAACUAGUUAUUUCUUUCAAAGCGUGAUAAAGCUGUAACCGGCAAAAUCAAAAGUUCUAAAGUCACGCUAAAGUUCAAGAUUCUCUUUUUUUUCUUUUUUUUUUCCUGAAAAAAAUGAUAACGAUUUUUUUUUAAAAAAAACUUCAUUUCAUUCUAAAAAAUUUUAUCAAACCCUACGUUUUGGAAACAACUACCGGCCACGACCAAAUUAAAGCAAAUCAAAUUAUUUAUUUAUUUUAUUAGCUCCGAUGCUUCACUCUUAAAAAACAAGUCUCCUUCCUCUUCCUCCUCUCUCUCUCUCUCUCUCUCUCUCUUCCUACGUCGUCGUCGUCGUUGUCUUCUUCUUCUCCUUCUUCUCCCUCUCUCAGCGCCUCCUAUGGCGUCCGCUGGUAAGAACAACAGCAUCAACGCCAAGCUCGUGAGUUCUCUCCCCUUCUCCUCCUCUUCGCGAUCCAACUCUCGAUCUUGCCGAUCCUUGAUCCCUUUCGAUGAUCGCAGGUGCUCCUCGGCGACAUGGGCGCGGGCAAAUCCAGCCUCGUCCUCCGCUUCGUCAAGGGCCAGUUCCUCGAAUUUCAGGUCUUUGAUCCCUCCUCUCGCUCAUCUAUUGGUUUCGAUCGUGUAUAUCGAUCCGUAUCUAGGGCGAAUUGUGGGGGGUCUGAAAUGGGGUUGUUAUUGGUGGUGAUCGCAGGAGUCGACGAUCGGGGCGGCGUUCUUCUCCCAAACCCUAGCUCUGAGCGAUGCCACGGUGAAGUUCGAGAUCUGGGACACGGCGGGGCAGGAGAGGUACCAUAGCCUGGCGCCGAUGUACUAUCGGGGAGCCGCUGCGGCGAUUAUCGUGUACGAUAUCACUAGCACGGUGCGAUUACUGCAGCGUCAUCGUUGUUUCUGCUCAUUAUUCUGGUUUAUGAUUCCGAUAGAGAGACUAGAAAACAAAAUUCUACUUGUAUAUUUCCUCUAAAAUUGAUGUUUGCAUAUAUAUUGUGUGACAACUUUCAAUCUUUCAUCUCCCUAAUACCUUGUUUUCUGCUUAAUAUCCCCCUUGAAAUAUUAUAUUAAAAAGGAAUGACCGCCAAUGAUCUCUGCAAAUAACUGUCAAUCUAAAGAUCAACUGAUGUCACUCAAAAGAGACAGAUAAUUCUCAUAAUUUGAGGGGAUGAAUGUGCUUGUAUCAACUUUAGAAUUGUAGAUGUGCAAACUUUUAACUUUUGCAAUAUGUGUCUAAUCCCCUAUCUUGCUUUCAAUUAUUGUUCUCUUUAUCUUCUUCUCUGAUUUGAAUUCUGUUAUUUAGGAGUCGUUUGAGCGAGCUAAGAAAUGGGUGCAAGAACUACAAAAACAAGGUGGCUAUCAUUCAGGCCCCGUUAUCUCUCUUUAUGUUUUAUUACUAUGUUUCAAACCUUGUGACAGCGUAGGGUUUAAUUGCUGCUUUUUCUUCGUACGUUGAGUUUGUAAGCGCGAAUGGGUUUUUGGUCCAGGUAAUCCAAACAUGGUGAUGGCUCUAGCCGGUAAUAAAGCUGAUUUGGAAGAGAAAAGGAAGGUUGCUACUGAGGCAAGUUUCAUGAAUCCAUUGCAAAAUUAUGAAUACAAUCUUGUAUGAAAAUUGAGGCUCUUAAUGUUUAUAUUUUUUGUUAGUAAUGAGUUUAUGUUUGGGUUUUUGGGGCAGCCAUGUAAUUGGGUAGUCAUGUUUGCUUAUUUAAAAAGUUCUUGGAUAAAUUAGGAUGUCUUAGAUAAUUCCUAUUACUCCAAAUAGAUAGGGAAAACUAAAGGUUGGUAUUUUAUAUAUUUUUGGGUAAUUUGGCUACAUUUUCUUCUGAUUAAUAAUACAGAUUCCUCCACUGUUUGGUGGUAGGUUUGCAUUUUUUUUUAAUGCUUUUUUGACCAUUUUAUGCUAUAUAGUUUGUUGACUUCCAGAUUUAAUUGGAAAGCUGUUUUCCCGUCAAUAGACUAGUCUGUCUAGCAUUGAACGGAUAUUAAGCAAAUUAUGGUUACUAAGGGUGCAUGCAGCCUUUUUAAAUCUUAGAUGUGUUGCUUGCUAAUUUGGGCUUUGUAAUGGUUGAUUAUUGAUCUUUUAUGCUGUUUUAAUUCUUAUCACAACUUCAGCUCUAGCGCAAUAAGAGUUGUAAUUCUUAAAACUUUGGCAUCUUGUAACUGUGCAAUAAGACUUGUAAUCAACCUAGGAUGAUAUGUCUUUAAAUUCUUCCAAUUAAAUUUAUCAUCUACAGUACCUGUGUUGCACUUUGUAGUGUGUUAUAGUGUUUCUUAGUUCAUGUUGAAUGUGAACGGUUAUGCUUGGCUUUCGGUGCUUAGGCCUCACAACUUUUAUUAGUCUCUGAAGUCGCUUUCCAUUUCAUGCAUGAGAUGAAAGUCAUUGGAAUGCAUAGAAUAAAUUACUUUUCACUCUUUAGCAGUUGAGUAAAAUUUGGGUGCCAUCAACUAAAAUGUUUAGGUAUACCACAGUUUCGCAAAAAUUGCCUUUCUAGCAUGGAAAGCUCGCAAAGAAAGUGGGGCAUGCACACAAGAUGGGCUAUUCCUAAUGAGAUAGCUGUAAAUGUAACCUUUGAGGGCUAGAAUGCAAAUAUAGGCUAUUUUAAGGGCAUACGCCAAUUUGUACUUUUGAGAGUUAUACAUGCAAUACUCUAUUUUGAGGGGUAUAUAUGCCAAAAUUCCAUUUCUUUAUUUUAUUAGGAGAUUCAUCGACUCUUGUUUGUGCAUUUCCUGGUCAUAUUCAUUGCCAUUGAAUUAAGGUUUGAAUUUUGGAUAUGUCGUGGAGGACACUAGAAUAAUUGAUUUAUAUUCGUAGUUGUGCCCUACUAUGGAAUGUCCCUUUGUUUUGAUGGCAUAGUUAUGAACUUGUCGAGCUGGUAACUGCAUCCUGUCUUGCCCUGCUCUUCUAAUAGUGCUAUAUGCUAAGCGAAUUGCAUGAAAUACUAGUUUUUGCCAUAGAUGAUGCGAAAGCAUGUAUAAAAUGUCCUUUUUAGUUAGGUCAAAUUUUCAUUUACUUCAUUUAUGCUAGUUGAUGAUGUCUGAUAUUGCAGGAAGCUUGCACCUAUGCUGAGGAAAAUGGCCUUUUCUUUAUUGAAACCUCUGCAAAAACUGCUAUUAAUGUGAACGACAUAUUUUAUGAGAUAGGUGAGUAUGACAAUCUCCAUCAAUUUGAAGCUUUCUUCAAUUUGAUUUUGAUGUUCGGCAUAAUACGCAGACUAGAGGUGGUUACUUUGGCAACCAUAUCAUAAUUGGUGGCUCGUUUUAUUGUACUGGUUUGCAUGAUUAACGGCCUUGUGGCGAGGUUGGAGCUUCUGCAGAAUGCUCUUUGAGUUGAGCUGCUUGAAAAGCACCAGCAGUCCAACAGUUUCUCUUUUCUGAAUCAUCCUAACAGCUCCUUCGGCAGUGGAGGUAGAAACUUCAAAUUGGACCUUUUGCUUUGGAGCCUAGAGAAGCUCAUUUCAGCUUUUUUGCGCAUCAAAAGCUCUAAGCCUCUAACCAUCUUAUAUGCCAAAAGCAUGGCUGCUGCCCUUUUAAAAAAAAAUACUUCUAGUUGUCAGCAUUAUUAAAGUGCAGUGGACUUAAAACAGCAAGUGAGAAGUUAGAUUACUUGUCCUUCCAACUGGUCUUUUAGUUCUGCCUCCUUUUUCAAACAAUAUUUUUGGGAAAUUUUGCAUACCUAAGCUAAAUUUAGUUCAAUAUCACAAUAUGAUCCGCUGGUUUGAACUGUAAAACUAUCCCGAGUUAUGCUGUUUCUGCUGCCGAUCAGCAAUUGUCAAUAAAUGUUGUUCAAAUUUAGUGUGUGAUCAUAACACGGCUCAUUGAAAAUAAAAACACUAUAACAAGGAUUUAGGGCACAUUUACCUGAUUUAAGGCACAUUUACCUGAUCAAUCUCCUAUGCACUAGAUAUCAGAACAUUGCCACAGGUGGUCUGGUAUUGUAGUUUUUAUUAUGGCAACCACAGGUGUUGUAAUGUUGCAGUUUAAAUUGUGGUCAUCAAGUAAAAGCUCAGGCUAUACCACGAGUGGUGUCUAUAGUCUUUCCUGUUCUUUAAUCUUUCAUUGCUUGCCCAAUUUAGCAUUUCUCUUAGCAGCUUUAUUCCUUUCCUAAUUGUAAACCAUUUGCCCACAAUAUGUUUCUUUGCAUGCAGCGAGACGGUUACCCCGUGCUCAGCCAGCUCAGAAUCCUGCAGGCAUGGUUCUCUCAGACAGACCUGCUGAGCGGCUGCAAACUUCGUCAUGCUGUUCUUAGGUUGGUACAAAAUUUAAAUAUAGCAGGUUUAAGUAUUUAUUGUAAAUACAAAAUGAGUCUUCUAGGAUUUAAAUUAGAUUGAAACAGUACUGUGUUAGAUGGAUGCAUGAAGUCCUCCUGAUGCAUACUUAAGAAUCUGGUGCAGGAGAAUUUCUCUAUUUUGGUAAAGAAACAAAAAGUUUACUGCAUUUUAAUGAAGACAAAAUCCAUCGAGAGAAGAUCAAAUGUGGAGAAUAGAACUCUGAGAUUUGAAAACUGUAUAAACACAUAUUUUGACCAUUAGAGUGUAUGUGGUGCUUACUAUAUCAUAAAUGCUGCUUGAUUUGGCUUCCCCAAAGCAUUUGAAUGUCUUUUCACCUCAUUGUUUAGAACCUAAGUCGUUGGUUAGUUUGCAAGUACAUUUUCUUAACAUUGUUCCAAACGGUGAAGCAAACAAACAGUCUCCAGUAUUUAGUACAAUUUUGUGUUGUCCCCAACCUUUCAACUCUUUGGCUUCAUAUUUCCAUUGCAUUCUUACACUUUCCAUAAAGCUUCUCGGUUAAAUUGGAUAGAAAGCGCAAUCCAAUUGCAAUAGUAAAAGUCCCAACAGUUGCUUCUAUGAUAGUUAGAUGAUUCCCGCAUGGAUGCCUCCGUCCAAUUUGAUGGAGAAUCUUCAGCCAAGAGUGUAAAAUUGCAAUAAAGUUCACAAAGGGUUUUUUUUGAGAAAAAAAAAAAAGGGGGGGACCAAACUUUACAAAGGUCACAAAGUUCACAAAGGUUAGUAACCUAAGAUUCAACAAUAAAGUUCACAAAGUUCACAAAGGUUAGUAACCUAAGAUUCAACAAUGGAAAAGUUGGGGACCAAACUUAAAAAGGGGUAAUAAGUAUAAGUACUUUCGAUCGAUAUAACCCUAUUUUCUAGUUUGGUUUAUCUUUUUAUUUGCGUUCUUAAAGUACGACUGUAAACUAAUUACUGAAAAAAUGCAGUGCAUCAAAAGUCAUGGCAAAGGCGGGGGACGGUAGAAAUUUCUGCAGGAUUCUUCUUCGGCGUUUCUAUCUUGAUGCUGUAAAUGGGCAAUAGAGUAUGCCAUCUAUGCGCAUGUUCAGUACAUUCCGAAUACAUUUACUCAGUGAUAAUUCCAUAAGUUCUUAAUCUUUGUUUGUAUUUAAUGUCAGAUCCUUACUCCAUUUCCGGACAAUUAUCGAAAGUUCCUGUACAUUUAUCAAAAUAUGAGACCUCAUCCCAUCAGUGAUUGAGUGCAAUUGUAAAUGCACUUUUCGAAACUCUUGGGCCAUAAAAUUAUUCUAUUGAUGGUUUUGCAAUUUUACAAACUUAGACUUUUCUUUCAAUUUUGUAGAUUCUGAGUUGAAUUUUUGAAAAAUUGAUGUAAAUACUCCCAUCUUCUCUCUCCCUUCUCUCUCUUUUCUCUCUUUCUCCUCUUCUUUCGCUCCCACGUCGCUGUUCUCCUAAUCCCUACCUCACGUCUCUACCGCCAAUGUCGUGCUUCCAUCUUUUACCUUGUUCCCGUAGGCAGCAAUGAGGCUGUUUGAGACGGAAAACUCGACGACGAGACUGCAGGAGGACAGCGUCUCAGAGCAGGACUGUGUUUGCAAAGCGGGCGAUGGAAGAGGCAAAGAGCGAGGAAGGGGGUGUCGUAGCGGGAGAGGAUGCAGAAGACGGAAGAAAAAUAAGAAGAGAAGAGCGAGGAAAGGGGUGUUGUAGCGGGAGAGGAUGCAGAAGACGGAAGAAAAAUAAGAAGAAAAGAAGGAAAAGAAAGAAGGAAGCAAAAAUAUAGUUUUUAUCAUGCGCCACGGCCCCUUCGGAAAAGACUAAGAAGUAGAAAAGAUGAAAAAGUUAUACGAUUUAAAACCAAAUUAUACUAUUUGUGCAAUUUCUCAAAUAGUACAACUUAAUUUUAAAUAGUAUAAUUUUUAUUUUUUUGAUAUAAUUUAGUUUGAAAUAAUUUUAAAUUAUGCAAUUUAGUCUCAAAUAAUAUAACUUAGUCUCAAACUGUGCAACAUAAUCAUUGUCGUCGUCGUUAUUGAAUAGGUCAUCUCCUCCACCACUAUAGUGAAGGUUGAGGCUAUCGAACACAUCCCGCACCUCCUUCCCUCGGCGGAGGCUGAGGAGUGACCCCAGGGUAAGGUGUUGUAGUGAUGGGGCACCUCCGCAAUCCGUAUCGUAUUCGAGCCCACGUCGUCACCAAAGGCGCUGGCGAAAGUAUGGGCGAGGUGUGAGGGAGGAGUGCGACAGCAACGUGAUGAUGGUGGAAGAGGAGAGAGAGAAAGCGGGAAGAGAAAGAGAAGAAGCAGCAAGAAAGGAUAGAAGGCCAAGGGAGACGAACGCAAGAGGAAAGAGAGAACGAAAGGAAAAUACGGAUAAUUUAAUAAGUAUACUAAAAAUUACGAUUGAACCUGUAAAAAUAAAAAAAAAAUAAUAUAUUUUUACAAAAAAUGCAAAGUCAAUAAAUUUUUAUACAAAUUGACCAAAUAUAAAACUAAGCCAAAACAAUAGUCCAAAUCCUCCUUUUUGAGGUCCAUUUUCUUAGAGGGGCCUGGCCCAAACAUCAUGGUAGGCCCAAGGCCAGGCCUUUUUCUUAUGUUUUAUUUCAAUUUUUUAUUUUUUAAAAUAUUACUAUAUAUUCCAUACAGGUCGUUAAAAAUUGUUAAAUUUGUGACCUCUUGAUCGUAAGGUAAAUAAUGUCGAAAAAUUAUAAAAUUUGAUUUCUAGAAGUUUUAAAUGCUAUAAAUAAUGUUUAAUGAUGUGGAUCGUCGAUUCGGAAGCUCUGUCAUCGAAAACAACUUAUGAGUACGGGGGCGAUCGUACUCAUAAUAGUAUAGUAGCCGGACCCUAUAUAUAUAUAUAUAUAUAUAUAUAUAUAUAUGAGGUAGGUAGUGAUAUAUAGGUUAGUAGGAUAUGAGGUAGUAGAUGAUGGGGUAGUGAGUAUAUAUCCUAAUAGUUUUAAUAAUUUUUAGAUAUUUAUUUUCAAAAUUCACUUAAAAUUUCAAGUUUUCACCAGUAAUUUUCUUAUUUUUGACAAAAAAAAAAAAAAAAAAAGGAGAAAGGAAUUGCAAAGUAUAUAAAUAAGUCUUAUCCUGGGCAAAAUCAAUCAAACCAUUCACAAAUUAUUUUUUUUUAAAAAAAAAGCCGAUUCGAACCGGCCUGGUCGGUUGAACCGGUUCGAUUGUCUUGGACCGGACCAUCUACUCCCUAUAAAAGGCGAAAGCGCCCUACAGAAAACAAUCCCCACUUCGAUCACAUCGCGCUUCCUCACACACGGUGUAUGCUUCGAUCCGUUCUCUUCCUCUUCCUCUCUGUUCUCUUCCUCUUCCUCUCUUUACUUUCUACAACAGAAACCCUAAUUUUCCCCCUCUUUUCCCCUUUUUUCUUAAAUUUCAGAAGCAUCUAGAAAGGAUUAACUUUGAAAUGUUUUUUGCUAUAAUCGUGGACUCAAUUUAGAAUUGAUUUAUUUUUUUUCUGGAGGGAUUUAAUCCCACUUUAAUAGCUCGAUUUUUUUUUUCUAAUAUUUGGAUUCUUGUUGUGAUCUACUCGUUGUAGAUUCUAAAAUCAGUGAACUAACAUUUAUUUUGGGGAAUAAAUGAGAAAUUUGAGUUUCGGAUUUAAUCGUAUUUUAAUAACUCGAAAAAUUUUCUAAUAAUUGGGCUCUUGUUGUGGAUUAUUUCGUUGUUUUGAUAUCCUUAUUUUUCUAUUUAAAAAUCGAUUAAUUAACAUCAAUUUUGGAAUUUAUUGGGCUAUAAUUAUGGAAUAAAUCAUAUAUUUUAGUUUCGGAUUUAGUCCUGCUUUAAUAAGUCGAGAAAAUUUUUCUAAUAUUUGAAUUCGUGUUGCAAUCUACUUGUUGUAGCUUCUUUUGUUGUUUUGAAAAAUGUCCGGAGAGGAGGAGGAAAAUGCUGCCGAACUCAAGAUCGGAGAGGGUAAGUGUUGCUUCUGCAUCCAAAUUAGGGUUUCUUUUUUUUUUUUGUUUCUAGAUUGUUUUUCAAUUCUAUCCUGGAGAAUCUUUGUGUAAUAUUGUUUACUUGAGAGUAAAUUGGACUUAUAACUAUUCAAAUCAAAAGAAAAAGGAAAAGGAAAGAAAAGAAAUAAGAAAACAUAAGAAGUUUUGUGUCACAAUGACAGCAGAAUCUUGCUCAUAAAGAUGUGAUCUCCGCAAAGAAGUGGGUUUCUUGAUCAUUUUUGUGUGAUUCUUUGCCAUGUUAGGCUAAAAUUAGUUGUGUGUAUAUCGAGCCUUUUGGGCCUCAGUUUUGAGUUGAAAUCCAUGAGUUGUUAAUUGGUUUCUUCAUAUAUUGGUUGUCGGCACUUAUAGAGCAACUAAGUGUGGAAAAAGAGAAGGCGCGCAUAGGCACGAAAAGUUGUUUUUUUAUCCUCCGCUUCUAAUGAGUGCUUCAUAUGCAUCUACUUAGCCAUCCCAAACAUCUAGUUUUUCGCUAUUCGACAAAGCAAGUCCAAGUUAUUUUAAAUGUGGAUAAUUACAUCUUUCGCUAAUAGCACUUUGCUGCUGUCUCAUACUUUCCUAAGCCCACGUCGAACGCAUACAUGGAACCUAUAUCCCUUUAACUGCUCUUGGAUUGAAGGAUUUGGAGAUUAAUUUCCUAUAGCGAAUGGAUCUACUACGGAGUAUGGAAGAGACCAAGGGUUCUAGAGCUUGCCAUUGGAAAGUAAUCUAUUAUGAAUUGGCCUUAAUACAUCGUGGAGCUAAACUUAUGGACCAAAAACUUGUCAAUUUAGUAUAUUCUUGAUAACAAUCUUUUUUAACGUAGUAUUUUCUUGCUAACAAUCUUUUUUAGCGUAUUGUGUAAUAUUAAUAUGUCAUGGUGCCAAGUUGAUUUUUCUAUUCUGCUUUGCCAUUUCAUGCUCAUGUAUGUAUUAGUGCCAUUUUUUGAAAAAAAUGAUCAUAUAGCUCACUUUUAUAUGUUUUCGGAGAUAAUUUCAUGUUCAGAAACACUUCAAGAUUCUUUAUCUGCUACAGAGCAGAUUUAGAAGAAACUGUGAUAGACGCACUUCUUAAUUUGGUUAUAUUUGAGUUUCACGACAUCAUAUAGAAAUUAUCAUCGGGAUGGAAUGAUCAAUAGUUCUGCUGCUGGGCAGGAAUUGUUAUUUCAUUCAUUCAUGACUGAAAUUUUCAGGGAAUAAGAGUUCUAUACGGGCAUACUGUUUAUCAAACUUCUGUAAUUAUAAUUUGAUAUGCCGCUUUUCAUUUUCCUUUUUGGAUUUUUCUCUUUCUCCAAAACAAUGUUUGCUUUUUGUCAUCCUUUAAUUGCCCUCACAGCUGUUUAAAGUUGUCUGUUGUCUUUUAUAGAGUUCUUGAAGGCAAAGUGUCUUAUGAACUGUGAAGUUGCAAUCAUCCUUGACCACAAGUACGAGCAGCUUCAGCAGAUGUCUGAUGAUCCCACGAACCAAAUUUCUCAGUGGGUGCUAACACUGUUUGAUGCCAUCUUUUCGUUGUGAUAUCCCUUUACCUCAGAAAAUGUUUUUUUUUUAAAACCCUUUUUUUGCCCUUUCUUAUUCAGGGUAUUUGAGAAGUCGCUGCAGUACGUGAAGCGCUUUAGUCGCUACAAGAACCCUGAUGCGGUGCGACAAGUUCGAGAGUAUCCUUACAUUUUAAAAAUUUUUGAACCUUAUACUUUAAAAGCUUGAACCUCGUCCUUCCUCUUGAAAUUUCUUAUUUAGAACCUUAAUUCAAUUAUCAGAGUCCUAAGCAGAUACAAGCUUGCUGAAUUUGAGGUAUGGGUGUGGUUUAUUGUUGAUUAAACUGUUUAUCUGGUUAAAAGAUGAAACUAAUAUAAAAUAUUUAUGUUUUGAGGUAUGGGUGUGGUUUAUUGUUGAUUAAACUGUUUAUCUGGUUAAAAGAUAAACUAAUAUAAAAUAUUUAUGUGGGAUGCAGCUUUGCGUGCUCGGUAACCUUUGCCCUGAAACAGUUGAGGAAGCUAUUGCUAUGGUCCCAUCAAUCAAGGUAAAUUAUAUUAAUAUACUUAUACAAGCUCCUGUCAUCUUCAUGGUUUAUACAUGCUUAAUAUCCUGAACUAGUCCUUUGACACUCUUGGGCACAUUUGGGAUAAGAAUAAUUUAUGCGAGGACCCUCUUUUUCCCCCUCCUAUAGAAUUACCUGGUCUGAAUAGUAUGGAGUACUUUUUGGGUUAUCAACCCUUUCCUCCCGACCAAACAACACCUUUAUCCCGUAUAGCACAUAGGAAGAAUAAGAUGUUGUAUCACUUUUAGUUACAACCCUGCACUCUAGGAAAUGUUGGUCGGUGGGCUCGCGGCUAAUGCAUGUUUCGCCAUGGUUCAUGAUACCCAGGUAAAAGUGUAUGGAGAUCCCCUAAACUAUAAGCCAUAUUUAAGUGGACUUCUCGACUUUACAUUGUUUGUUUUAUAUAAGUUGUUUUAUCAAUUAAAUUGGAAAUAACGCCUCAGUUAACUGCUUCGGCCCCCUUUUCUGCUGACGGACUAUAGCAGGCGAAGCCAUUAACUUCAACAGAAUGCCCAAUUCGGCUGACGAAUUAUGUUAUAAUCGAAACGGGCAAAUGGUGAGGGACAAUUAAGCAAACGAACAAACAACAAGAAAAAGUUCAGAAGUCUAUCUCAAACUGCCUAUAGUUACGGGGUGCUCCAUACAUUUUUCCCUAAUCAAAGCUGAGCUGAAGUGUUUCUUAACUCCCUAUAUGUUCUCACUAUGUAAAUUUGCCCACACUUUUCUAAACGUGCUGCUCUUUUGUGCUUCCUACGACAGAAUAAAGGGCGGAUUCAGGAAGAUGAUCAAAUUGAGAAGCUAUUGAACGACCUUUCCCUAAUAAAGAAGUUCGAGUAGCUCGUCUGUGUAUUCGAGCCCUUGAGGUGCUCUCUCGAUAAAUUAUGCAACUUAGUGCUAUACCAAUUUAGGUCUGUUUUUGUAUGUUCGCGAACACCAGCAAAGUAAUUAUCCAUCAUCUGAAUGAACUUGUGCUUGAUGUUUUGAAUGUUUUUUUUGUUAACGCUUGAAUUUAAUAAUAGCAAUUGAGUUGGUUGGGAUAAUUUAAUAAUAGCAAUUGAGUUGGUUGGGAUGAGAUAGUUGAUGCAUUAAUUACUAUGAAAUUGAUUUGUAUGAAAAACUUAAGCCUUCAUCAGUACAUGGGCUGUGCUGAGCCAACUGAAUCUUACUGUGUCAUCAAAUUAUCUAUGCCACCUCCAUGGAGACGGUGUGGCUAAAAAUCGUCUGUUUUUUUUAGAUUGUCUUUUAUCAGUGGCAAACACUUCCUUUACUAUCAAUAGAAUUCUAGUUUUUCUCUGCUCAUAGAAUGUUUUUCUUUAAAAACAUAAGCAGUGAACCCCCCACCCGUGUAAUGUUUGCUGCAGCACAAAAUAAAAGAUAAUAAAUCAAAUAACUCAGACAUUUAAAUCCGCUGCUGCAUGCAACUUGUUUUCUGUGUAUUACAUUCUGUAAAAAUUGGAGAGCGAGGGAGGAAAGAAAGCUCAAACUACCACAAUCAUGGAAAACGGAACAAAAACAGCUUUAAAGUAUUGUAUACUUUAUAUCCUGCUGCAACUCGAUGAAAUAGAGCCCACCUGGAUCGAGAGAGAAGAAUCAAUCUUCCACUUAACUGGAGCUACCAUCACAACAUAAUUAAUGGCGAAGGAAUUUGUUCGUCUUGAAUGCAUACAAAAAUUCCAUCAAUUGCCAAAAUCUGCAAUAGAAAGAAUAACUAAAUAAAUAAUAGAUAGAAUACUGAAAAAGGUAACUUUAAGUGCUGUACAACAACCAAAUAUGGAAUUUUAACUGAUUACUAGGAGUGGAUCAAACCAUUCAAUCCUCUUCCAUCGGAACUUCUGGGUAGUCCCAUCGAUCUUCCUCGAUCGGUUUGUUGACCACAGAAAUAGAAGGUAAGGCUCGUCAAGGAAAGAAACGUUGGAGAUUAUUCAUUUGACAACAAUUGUUUUAAAUGCCAAGGAAAGAAACAAAUUUAAGUAUCAAAUGGCAGUCAACAUAAAUGACUGUGACAAGCACAACUAGAGAACAUGCUAUCGAGAAUUAUAACUUAAAACUAAGCUGAAAUAAUAAGGUUGCCUUAAAAGUAGCUGUUUUUCCGACCCAUUAGAAGAUGGGAGCAUCAUCUUUAACUGAUAUAGGUAAUAUAGGGAGGAGGAAAAAACACUAAAGUAUAAAUUAUAAAAAAAAAAACACUUUGUUCAAGGAUAUAAAUUGACAUGAGAUCAUCCUCUUUUUCGCCUCGGUUGCGGCUGUUUUUAAGUUCUCGGCGGAUUUCAGGAGUAACCUAUCAAGACAAUAAGAUAAAAGGUAUCAUUAGAUAACUCAGAUAACUUUUCUCGACAGUCAAUUCAAGAAAGUAUUUUCAAAUAAAGCACAAUCACUCUACCAAAUAAUGUUUCUGAUGUUGCAUUAAACGUUCGAGAUUUUCCUUAUCCUUCUUUUCCAGUUCAUUCUUAUACCUGCAAAAGGUAAGUUAGCCACAAAUACGCCUAGACUAUGAGGAUUGUAAACAUUCCCAACAUGCCCUACCAAAAAAAAGAAAUUGCUCUUUAUCUCCAAGAGAUGAUGUUGCGUCUUACAUUAGGAAUAUUAUGGGACUCAACAAUUGUUAUAGAAUCUACAAACUGAUCAUACUUGCUUCAAGUAAAAUAGUUAGAUAAUUGGGAAGAACCAAAUGCAACACAAUAGAAAAUACAACAUACAAACCUUUGUACAAAUGCGAGAAGAGAUUGAUGCCAUAUGACAGGCAUGACCCUUUCGUCCGCGAGGAACCUCAUGAAAUGUGCAACUACAGCAUCAAGCACUCGGUAAGGUAAUGCAUACUUUUUGUCCAGAAAUAGUUUGAUGAAAUAACUGAAAUAAGAUACAGCAUGAAAAAGAAAAGUUAUGUUAGAUACAAAUCAUAAAAUUACUACAAGGUUUAUAGCCAACAAUUAGAAAGUUACAAUUGAACUAAUAAAAGCAAGAUUGAUAAUAGUAUAACAAACAUAAAAAUGGUGGACAUCCAAAUAGAACAAAUAGAUUUGAAAGGUGUUGAUCAUGAAUCAACAAAUAGUUAAGCACAGACGGUUAGAACAUGUCAAUACAAGAUGUCGUCAGCUUCAGGUUUAGCUGCCCAACAAGUUAAGAGCAUACAAAGCUUAGGACAAAGUUUAAAAUGUUAAUUUUAGAACAAGGGGUAUCCUGGCUGCAAAGGAGACAACAGAAGAGUUCUUCAAGGAAAGCUAUUUUUGAAAUUGUAAUUUUCUGAAGUUCGGUUAUCAAAAACAAAGAGUAAUUGACUUCUCAAUAUUUGGUUUACAGGAAAAGGAAAUAGAAAGCAAGAGAACAUAGCAAAAAAGGAAAUGCCCAUUGCUUUAUAAUCUUUAUCAUAAAGUUUAUCUGGAGCAAAAACCUGUUUUCUGUAGAAUCACAAUGACAACUUUCCAUGAAAAUGAAGAUAACGCCCAAAAAACGCUUGAAAGAUGAUUUUGAGAGAGGGAAGCUGUGAUGAGACCUACUUAAGAUGUAAACAAAUGAACUCUAGCUCCUAGACUUACGGUUUCCCAAUUUCAGCAGCUUUAGAGGUUUCUGUUUAGAUCUUAAUUCAUAUCAAACAAACUAAGAAUAUUUUUAAUAAAAGAAAUCUUUUAAAAAAAUAAAGAACCUGACACUCCCAUUUUAUAUUCCAAUUUCCAAUACUACAAUUUAGACUACUAUAUGAGUAAGGCAGCAGUACCUCAUGUUCAGGUACAGUGAUAAAGGAAAUAAAAUAUAUGACUUCAAAAUCAUCAACCCCAAUAGCCUAGUUUGCGCCAACCGAUACUCCAAAAUAUGAAGCAGGUUCUCUUUCAAACUCUAUUCAAAGAGCCAACCACUCACUCAACUAGUACACAAGCCUACAAGAACUGAAAAUGCCAUGCUCAUAAGGAUGGAAACGCAUUAGAAGGAUUCCAUUCAGAAACUGCAGUGCAGGUUGAAGACCAUCUCUAAAUAUGCACAAACAUAAGCAGUUCUUUCAGAACAUAGUAAAUUCAAUUAACACGAGCAUAAAUCAUAAUAAUUGACUAUUGGACCCUCAUAAGACUAAUUAGAUCUAGCUAGAUAAAAUACCAAAUGUGCACAGAAAAUAAACAAAUUUUCUACUGCAUUAGGCUCGUCGCAUUUAGAUUUGUAUUAAUAGCACUGCUCGGGUAAGCUGCUGGAAUAGCUUAACAUAUUCCAGCUGAAUCUACUGAGCAGGCUGAACUAAUUAAAUUGGGCCAAUUUAAGCAUGCUGUCCAAAGCCUAGUUAUAAUUAACUUCUCUGUGAUGCUUACGCUGGCUUCAAAUAUAUGGUUGAACAUACAAACAAGGCUAGCGCUCAACUUUGUCGACCAUCAUACUGAGCUCAAGCCAAGCUCCUUUUCUAAACAACCUUUAUAGUUACAACAUGACUUCCAACUAUAAUAGAUGUAUGAGACGUAGAACAUGAGUUUUGAAAGAUGAAUAUACGUUGAGACUAACAAAACUGUUAUCACAACGAUCAAUGACCUUGAUACCAUACAUAAUUAGUCAACAAUUUCACUUAUAGCCAAUGCUCAUAAAAGUUACAAGACAACAAAGAAAUUGAAAUGGAGACAAUUAUCACAAACUCCAAGUCAAACUACCUACCUUGUGGUGCCACAGUAGUCCAUCUCUGCCAAUUUCAUCAGUGCUGCACUGCGCAUCAAUGGAACAAUGAUGGAAAUUAAUUAUUUAUUUGGUAAACUUAGCUACUCUAAUUCAAUUACAAUAUAUAAAGAAUCUUAGAAUAUCUUUACAGGCACAUUACCUUGAGUGAAGGGAAGGAAUGGUGACUUUUUCGAUUAUGCUUCCAAUUAUAACUGCUUCUCUGAGAGUGCAAGUUCCUGACUGGGAAAGGAAAAUUUAAUGUUACAACGGCAAAUAUCUAUGAAUAGAAAAUACCCUGCUUCUCUCCUACAAGUAAAGCAUUGAGGAACUACUCAGCUGAAAAAAAUCAUAGCACAAAAGAUUUAUUGGCAGAAAAGAGUGCACAAUACAUGAUUAGAAAGUUAGAGAUGAAAGUUUCGUUGAAAAUACAAUAACUGUUAUAAAAAUUUGCUAUAAGCACUAUAAGAGACCUAAAUAAGCACAGCCAAUUAAUUUAAGUGCGCAUAUACAUGAAGGGAGAUUGUAUCAAACACUGGGCUCCAAUAAAGAGCUAGGCACAUGAUGAGAGAAGAAAGCUAACAAAAGAUGCCUGCAUAAAUUAUUAUAACUGAAAAUUUGCUAGCUUGCAUAAACAUUUUUAUUUUUAUUCAAAUGAAACCAACAAAAUAACAAGAGAAAAGUCUAAUAAAAUAAAUAAAAUAAAAUUAGAUAAAUGUUCUGACACUUCUUGAAUUUUUCAUGCUUUCCAAGAACACUGACAAGUAAGCGCCUAAUUUUAAUAUCUGCCUCCUUUUGUUUUAAACAACUAUCCUGCUAACUUGACCUAAAAAUGUAAACCACUUCUAUCUAAACAAAACUUGCCAAUUGCUUCUUGUCCCAUGUCUAUCAACUCUGCCUCAGCAGCUAAAUGGUUCAGCUCCAUAUUGAUGGCAAUUCACUAUUUUUAUUGAUAACGGAGGUGGGAAAAACAUGAAGUCAAGAGAACAUAACACCAAGCCCUAAUAAAGCUCUGACGCUAUUACUGCAUUAACAAAGAUCUCAUUGAUGUUCAUGUUAACUAGUGUUGAACAAGAGUUUGCACCAGUUAUUAAGUUUAAUAACCCGAUAAUCAUUCAUCUCAAUUAUUAUCAAAACCAAUAAGAGUGAUGUUCUUGUUUAAUGUUAUUAUUGCUAUUGUUGUUGAUAUUAUUGCUGUCAAGGGGUAUGUUCUGAUAAUAAGUGCCUAGAGAUCUAUAAGCAAAGAAGUGUUAAGUUAAAUGAUGUCGAUACAUCUAAACACAACUCAAAUUUUGACCGCACAAAAAAUGAGAUAUUAGGUAGCAUAAAUUUGAGAAAACCUCAGGCAUUUGAUACAGCUGGAUAAACAGUACGACGAUCAUAAUAUUUAGUUACACAAGUGUAUAUAUUGAUUUUUCCUUUUUCAGCGUAAUCAAUCUUUGCUAAAAAAUUCCAAAGUAUGUGAUACUAAAUGCUGCACGUGCAUCAAUAUGCAUAGAAAUACACAAACACACAGAGAUACACAUGAGAGAGAGAGAGAGAGAGAGAGAGAGAGAGAGAGAGAGGAGGCAGUAUACAAUUCAAAUUUCACAUAUAUUAGCAACAUAAGAAGCUCAAACAAGAACAAAAAUCUUCCAAAGUAGUGCAAUAACUUUCUUAAGAACAAGACUAGUACCUGACACAGUGGAAAAAGAAUUCCCUUGAAAAAUGCAGCUGGUUUAUACAGGGACUUCUUUAGUGCUUGGUAAAGAGCAAAGUGAAGUCUCUUAUUCUUUCUGAUAUCCUCUCUAACACGUGGGAGUAGCACAAGAUUGUAGAAACGCCGUGCCUUCUUGGAAUUCAUAUUUGAAGAGAAAAUUCGUGUUGCUUGGUACAUUGCAUUGGGGGACCAAUUUUCAGGCUCAGUUAAAUACAAUACAUCCUCCCAAAGUUCUAGCGCUGGAAUGUGUUUGAAUGCUUUGGGAACUUUCCCGGAUGUAUAUCGACUUAACAACUUGCCAACCCUGCAUAAACACGAUACAACAAACCCCUAUAUUAGCAUGAUUGAAGAUGUAAGGAUGCAGAGAACAUAGAAAAGAGGUAGCUCACAUACCCCUUAUAAAGGUCGAUGAUACUACUGUCCAAUUUAGGAACUGGCCGUGCUUCUGGGAACAUACAAAAGGCAAUUAGAGAAGGUACAGCCAUUUAGCAACUAAAUCAGCUUUGCAGCAAGCAGUAAGUCUUAGAAAAUUUCAUUUUCCCAAGUGUGUGACAAUUCUUACUAUAACUAAAUGUAAUUCCGGCUAGCACUUAAGCACGCACCAACUCACAAGAAAAAUUAAAUGGAUGUUGCCAAUAUCAACAACUUCUAUGGAGAAGCUCAAAGUCCUUGUAAAGUACUCAAAUAUCCUGUGACUUUAGAAGACUUUAAAUCAAAAUUUAAGUUUUCAAACAUUGCUAACCAAUUCAAUUCCCAUAAAAAGAUCUCAUGAGAUUUUGCUCAUUGGCACAAUUCAACGGAUGGGGCCAGACGGAAGAAAACAAUGCGGCAAAUUUAAAAGACGUAUUCGCACUCCAAUAGCUUUUGGAUGAACAAGAGAAAAGGGGGAAAAAAAAGGAUACAUUUUUAGCAUGAAAUUAAUGUAAUAACAAAAGAUCCUGCGAGAAAAGAUCCACGAAUCCAAUCUAAAUGGGCUAAAACAACACCAAUUACUCCAUUUCUUUAAUACUGGUUUUUAAUCAACAAACUUAAUAUACCAAGAAAUAAUUAAAUCAGUGGCAAAUAUCCACAAACAAAACCUACCGGAGGUAACAUCAGCAUCCUUCUCUUUGAUUUUCUGAAUGAUUAGAUCCGCCAAUGUGAGCUGCGGCGCGGCACCAUCCUGCAUGAAGGCCGCCAAAACCCUCUCGUCCUCCUCAUCGAUCUCCGGCUAAAAAAACACAUUACACCCCCCAAAAGAUCUUUUUUUUUUAACUAAUACUCGAAUAUCAUAAGACAAUUGAGCAUUGAAAGAGGGGAGGAAACGCACCACUGCAUCAUCGCACCGGCUCUGGGUAUCGGAGAACCCAUCGAAGCCAUCAACGUCGUCGUCGUCAUCGUCAUCCUCCUCCAAUCGGGGAGGAGGGGCGGAGGAGACGGCGGAGAAGGGAGUGGGGUGGUCAUCCUCCUCUUCUUGAAGGAUCUCCUUCUGCUGCUUUAGGGCUUCCCUCAAAAUCUUCGCGCUAAGGUCGGAAGACACCAUCUGAGAGAUCAAAGAUGCAUCUUGAGAUCGUUGCCAUGUAAACCCUACAGAGAGAGAGAGAGAGAGAGAGAGAGAGAGAGAGAGAGAGAGAGAGAGAGUUCGCGUGCCUUUUGUUCGCUUUGGUGCUGCUUCAGGGGGCGCGAGCGCUUCUUGGAGGAGACGACGCUGACGUCGUCGUCGAGGGCGGCGCGGCGCGGCGGCGGCGCCGCAGCCGUCGCCGGAGUCCCCUUCCUCUUCUUUCCCGCCAUCGCCACUCCAACGGUAAAAGGGGCGGAAAGAGCGAAAACGAGAGAGAGAGAGAGAGAGAGAGAGAGAGAGAGAGAGAGAAACCCUAGUUUACCGAGCGCGAGAGAGAGAGAGAGCGAGCAAAACCCUUGAACGUUACACAACGCUUCGAUUCGUUAAAAAGGCCGAACCGAAACUAGACUAAACACGGACCGGCCCAAUUAGAUGAAAAUGGGCGGGUUUUAAAAUUAGACCCAACAAGAAGGUUUUCUCAGCUAACUUUUUUUUUUUCAACUUAAAUUGUUUAUUUUUCCAAGUUUUAUUUGCUAAAUAAAAUUUAAAUAUAAUAAAAUCACAUAUGAAUUUGAUAAAAUUUUUAAUUUAAUUGAUAAAAAUCACUCAACUAAAAAAAUUAAAAGUUAAAAAAAUGUCAAUAAAAAAAAUAAAGUUAAGACGGCGGAUCUUGGUACAAUUUUCAACCACCAUUAUCAAUAAUUUAGAGUUAAUUCGGUGGAUAAAAAUGGAGAUUAAUGAAAGGAAGAGAUUAAUCUAUGUAUUUAUCUAAUUUCUCGCAGUACCAUUCCUACGGGCACUACAGUAUGCAAAAGGUCAAAAUAAUUCUUUUUCUUCUAACUUAAAGUAUAUAUUUAAAAAAACAAAUAAUUUUAUAAAGAUAAAAGCUGUUGCGAAUAGUUCACUAACAGAUAGUUCACUAACAGAUCAGAUAGUUCACUAACAGAAUUUCUCUCUAAGAGUAUAUUUGAAAUAACUUAGAACAUUAAAAAAAUAUUUUUAAUAUUAAUCUUCUAAAAAGAAUAAAUAAAAAAGUCGGAAACAUUUUAGAUAUAUAAGCAAUAACCCCUAAAUUAAAUGCAAUAAGUACAUAGAAUAGGUUCUCUGGUAUAGUAUAUUACAAGUCAAUUCCAAGAGCAAGUGAAAUCAAAUGCACUCACUGCUCCCAUACUAUCAAAUUCAAGCUUCUAAAGUUUGGGAACCACUAACACACAAUCUCCCAAAAUACAUCCAACAGAGCAGAGUAGAGCAGAGCAGUGCAGUUAUUUUUCUGUAAAUAGUUUCCACCAUCAUUCAAUAAUAAUAUAUGCUCAAAAGAGAUGGAAGAAGUGGGGCCGAAAACACUUCUGAGCACCUCAGUGGGUAGUAAAUAGGAGUAGCUGCCUCUCGCUGUGCUUCUGCGAUGGAAUCGUCGAGAAAAGCAAGUGGAGAAAUUAAUACUGCCGAAAGUUUACAGCUGUUAAGCUCCGCCUCGUCGAUUUAUGGCGAGCGUGAAAUAUAUGAGGAUCAUUGUCCCCAUGCUCGACCUGCAAAAAGUUGUUGCACCGAUAAAUCUACUUACGAGGACAGAAUAUAGGCAGAAAAUUAAAAAGGAAAGGAGAAUUUGCUAAAAUUUGCUAAAUUGUUAGUUAUUCCAAGAAUAAAUCCAUUAACUAGACAGUAAAGUCGUCGACAGGUAAAAAUAAAGGUUGAUGGUGUUCAUCAAAAACCUUAAUAAAAGCCCUACAACAAAACAUGCUGUAGUUAGAAUAAUAACCCAUGGUUUUACUUGCAAAAGUAGUGAAAAUUAGGGUUGUUUCCUCCUACAUUAUUAAAAGAGAUAUGCUGCAGUAGAAAUAACUCAAGUAAACCUCACUCAAUUGGAAACACAAAAGACUCGAAAGCGGUGCUCUAUGUAGGUACCGAAAUGAAGUGGUUAGAUCAUAAACGAUAAACGAUUCAAAUUAUCGUAUACAUCAGGCAUCAAAUCAACUCUAGGAUGAAUCAUGAUGAAUGAUAUGCCACUCUCCCUGCUAGUACAUAAUAGUGUUACUUUGGCCCAGUUCUCAAACAGCUUCUCUACUCGAAGAAGCAAAAGACAAGCGUUUGCCGUUUGGUGAGCAAAAAAAUCUAAAUUUUCUCACUUUGGCAAGAAGCUUAAAAGCUGAAGCUUCCAAUUGACACAUCUACUUUUAGCUACAGCAUAAAGCUGUUGGAUUGAUUUUAAUGAAACAACUGCUAGGGUUUUUUCAAAUAGCAUUUCUGCACAAACUCCAGCAAGACGCUUGAAAGGCCCUUAGCCUAUAGCUUGUUGCAUCCAUCAAAAGUGGCGCUUAUGACGGUGAUCGCAAAAUUUGUAUUGCUUAAAAGGUCAAGGUGCAAAUAAAAUGAUGCCAAUCAAAAGUAACAAAGUUCGCCAAGCUUUUGUGGUCAGGUUGCUCAAAAGACACAAUCAUUGUAGUUGGCAAGUGCUGGAAAGUGUCAUGAGCCUCCGAUGAAUCUACCAACUUAAAAAGACUGAUUGCUGAACAUGUACUGACAUCCCGACUGUUAUAUUCUACUUUCCCUUCACUAAUUUUGCUAAAAGGAUGCGAACUGGAGUGGUUGUAAUUUGCAUGCUUCAUGGAAAUCUCGAUCAAAGAUGUAAUCUGCAUAAUCCAGUAGGAUCGGCAAUUCAAUGAGACGGGCGUUCGGCCAUAGACCAAAAAGCUUUAACCCAAGUUGCUAUCACUAAUAGAACACUGUUGACCAAGCUGUAGGAACAGCUUCUCUCUACUAUGGAACACAGAAACAGUGCUCCAAAAAAAAAAGUGUUUGGCUAAGAAAAAGUCUAGAGAAUUUCAUGUGGGAAGAAGCUAGAAUAAGCUUUUGGGCCACAAAAACAGAAGUUCUCUAAUUUGAAGCUACUGUAUCUGCUACAGUAAAAAGUUGUUGAGGAGGUUUCAAAGAGAAAGUUGUUAGCAUUGCUCAGACAAUACUUCUGCCCUCUCAAGCGCCGGACCCAAACAGCUCCUAAGUUGAUAAUACUGCAAAAUCAGCUAUCCUUCAUAAACUCGAUAAAUACUGUAAAAGGAAGGUUCACAAGACUUACACAGUUGCAAACAGAAGAAGUAUUUUCCGGGGGUGGAUUGCUGUUAAACGAUGAAAUCUCUUGUUCCUUGCCUCUCCAGAAUCAGUUAUUACUGGGCUGCCUGCUGCUGGUUGUGCUGCUACGAGAGCUUUAUUUGGCACCAGCGGCAGCUUCAGCUGAUCCAGCUGAGAUGGCACGACUGCACAAAGAAUGACAAUCAAGACAAAAAAUGGCUGUAACGUACCAUAUUUACAGCAGAUCAUUUAAUGGUUUCAAUAUUACAUUUUUGGAUGUGAUCAGCGAGGUCUAGCCAGUACUAAAAACUCAAGAAUCUUAAAUUAACACAAGGAGUAGUUUUACAUUAUUGGUCUUUUAGUACAAAACUGCAUUGGUUUAGGACUAUUUAAUUCGGUAGUGGUCCAAAUAUAUACUUACUGUAUGUAAACAGUACAGAAGCUGAAUACCACUCUUUCCAUUCCUUUUCUUCCUUACGUUUUUUUUUUUUUGAGAAAAAAUGUGAUUCAUUUAUUAAAACCAAAAUAAUAAUACAAUGUGAUCAAUAAGGUCAAAAGUACAGUUAAAACAAAACAAAAUUAAGCCAAAUCAACAAAAGGAGCAGUUUCUAAUUAAUGGCCUUUCAAUACAAUAAACUGCGUUACAUAAGAAUGAACUUAUGGUUGGCAAAUAUCAAUAGCAAAUAGUUCUAAAAUGACACAAGCUUUUUCGCUGAAGAAAAUCAAGUAGCUAAUACCUUUAACUACAAGCUUCUUGGAUGCAUCAUCUGUUUCUUGCUCCUCCCCACUUCGUCUCUCCAUGCGAUUUGAACCCUUACGAGAAAGGGCUCUCUGCCAAUUGAAAGCUAUAGAUUAUCCACAGAUAGAAAACUUUAAGAAGAUUGAGAGCCAAAGAAAGCUAACAAAGAAGCCGAGACAAAAAAGGGUAAAAAUCAAACUCACGCUCAUUUUUGGGCUCCCAGUGCAACAUUUAUCCGGUGGUUGUGUGAGACUUUCAAUAUCCAAAACCACAUUGCCUGCUUUCUCCAUCAAUCCAAUUGGGCCCUGUGUGAAUUUAACAGCAAAUCAGAUGAUGAACAGCAGUAAGUAAAGGUUCGGCCUAGCUCUUGGAACAGGUUCUCCACUCCAAGAAGCAGCAGCCAUGCGUUUGGCAAACAAAGCUGAGUUUGUGCUUUGGCGGGACGCUGAAAAAAGUUAUUGGAACCCAGAGACAGAAGCUAUGAUUAGAAGCUUGUAUUCUUGCUACAAAAUGAACCUAUUGCGAAGACUUCAAAAAAGCUGUUAUUGCUUCUUCACACAGCUCUACUCAAACACUCCAGCUGGGCUGGACUAAAUCUGAUCUAUGAACCACACUAGCUCCGCUGAAAUAUCUCCACCCAUCUGUUCUUGUGACAAAUAAAGUUUCCCUUUGUCUAGACACCCAAAGUGAAUUACAAUCAACUUUAACAACCACCAUGCAUCAUCUAAUAAUUAGCCUUUUCUACAAAUAUCAUAUAAUCCAACUUCCCUUCUAUUACAAUGAAAAAGGGCAUCCCUUGUAAUAGCAAACUUCUUUCUUGCCAAAUCUACGAUAUGACCAAGCUAUGAAAUACUUCUAAUUUUACAUCCCAUUAAUACAAACCAUGGAACCAUCACAAGUGGUAAUUUCUCAUUAUAUUUCUUUCCCCUCAUAAUGUACUUUAUGGAAGUACUACCCUCACUGAUUUCAAUACCCAACCUCAAUGGCAUAUUUACAGUCAAUAAAUCUUGUAGGGACAUCUAACAUUUAAUUCCUAACAGAGAGCCAGGUCCAUUGCUAUAUAAACCAACAAACAGUGAGUGAGUUGCAGAUCCAAAAGCUAAGGAAAGAUCACAAAAUCAGAAUCUUACUAAUAUAAAAUUCUACCUACCUGCAGUAAAGCCUCCUCCAUUUCCAAUGGUUACUGAGUAAAAGAUCCCAAUAGUAAAGCAGUCGACGCCAACUACCAACCAACAAAAACAAUAUUGAUCAGAAGUAUUCAGAUGGGAGUAAAAUCUGGACGGUAGAAGCUAUAUUAUCAUAACAUUUACACAAAUCACGGAGUAGAGGGUUCUACACUCCACACUGAGGAACCAAUCACAUCAACCCGGAUCCUACUCUCAUCUACUCCAAAGAGCGUGCAUAGCAUUAUUCCACUGCUAAAACUCAACUAACUUAUACAAAUUAAAACCGACCGUCGCUAGAGCAAGUGGCAAAGGGCUUGGUGGUUGGUACCCGAGACCCAAGUUCGAAUCCUAGUUGAUUCACAUUUCCAGUUAAGUUUAUUUCUAAAUGAAAUAAACGAAGCGGAUAACGUGCUACCUAUCUCUCAAAAAAAAAAAAAAAAACUUAUACAAAUUAAAUAAAAGUGACAAAUAUAUCACUGAGCCAAUCUUCUAUAAAUUUAUUAACUUUUGUGAAACCCACAUUGCUUUUCUAAAACUGUAGCAGGUAGGACAAAAAUAUCAAUAAAUAGGAAAUGUUGUAGGGCUCAUUAGUUAGUUAGCAUGAUUUUUAAAUGCAUUACAGCUGGACUUACUAAAAUGUUGGUUCCUAAAUUAUCUUUUAAUUAAUCUCUCUCUCUUAUUUUUUAGGGUUCUUUUGAUCUUUUCUGAUGAGGGUGAUACCACCUAAAAUUGUUAUGAUAGAUGGAUCUGAUCUAAAGUACCUUCCAAUGCCUUUCUCUCUAAAAAAAAUUAUCGAUUUUUAGAAAUUGGUGGUUGAGACUCCUCCAUUCCCCAUAUUUCCAUCUUUUAGCACCAAAAUCCUGCAAUUGUGGCAAAAAAAAAAGAGAGUAAAAAUACACACAAAAAAGCAAAUUUAGAAAAUAACACAAAAUACUCCACAUUGGUUUUCUAUAGUUCCAAAAACGCUAAAAAAUUGUUGAAAAAAAAAAAAAAAACAAAAACAAAACUCUCUAGUCUAAAAUUCCAUGGCUUAAAUUCCUAGAACAUUAAAAAAAAAUUUGUGAAGGAAAAGGCCUCCAUUUUCUCCAUAAUUAGAAGAUUCAACCAAAUAAUUAGAAAAAAAAAUUGCAAAUCCAAGGAUAAAAAUAGAGAAAGAAAUAAAUGCCAAAUGCUAGACGAAAUGCCUAGUAAAAAAAAAAAAAACUCCACAUAAAUCAGACCUUUCAUAUUAAUAAAAUUUAAAAAAAUAACGGCGACCUCACAAACACCCAAUCCUACUCAUUCCACUUCAAAUCCUACUAUAUAAAACAAAAAAAAACAAAAAAAAACAAAAAAAAAUUAAGAAAAAAGAAAAGCAGAAUCCAAUGCGGGAAAGAAGCGAAACAGAAUCAUACACUAGCGAAGAGAAUAUAAUCGGAGAGAGAAAGAGAGAGAGAGAAAUUUCUUACUAGUUCUUUUUUGCCCUAUUUUCUGAAACCCUGGUUUUUCGAUCGUACCGAUGCUUCGUCCGCUUCGGAGCCGCUGUUUUUUUUAUAGCAGUAUAGAGAGAGAGAGAGUAGAGAGAGAAAAAUGAGAGCGGAGAGUAGAGAGAGAAAGAGGAGUUUCCCGGGCUGUGGCUGUUGUUGUGGUGGCUUCAGACUCGGACCGAGAGGUCACUGUGAAUCAAUUUUUUGGGUUAAUUACACAUGGCUUAAUAUUUUAGCAAAUUUAAAUAUUUUAAUUCAUAUAAAUUUUAAUAAAUAAUUUGUAGCAUUUCAGUAACUUUAAAAAUUUUAAUUUAUACAAAUUUUAAUAAAUAUUUUGUUUAAUUAACUAUAAUUAAUCAUAAUUAAAAAAUNAAAUUUUAAUAUUUUUAAAUAUAUUUUUACUAUUAAGAUUCUUUAAAAAAAUAUAAUUAACCUGAUUAGUAAAUAAGUUAAAUUAACCUUUUUACCCCUUCUAUUAUUAUUCGGUAAAAUACCUUUUUGAUAGAAUAUUUUUUAUAUUAUUAUAACAGUUAGGGCUUUUGAAUGGAUAUAUUUAUAAGGAUAAAAAUAUCAUUUUAUUUGUCUGCUGUUAAAAAAUAAUAGUACACUAGCGAUAACAAAUCAGAGGGAGAAAUUAUGAAUAUUACUGAACUUUUACAUGAAUAAAAAACAAAAAUUGAACUUUUUAGAAAUAUAUUUAAUAUUCGAUAUGUUUAUAUGAAACUGUAUACAAUUAACCCAUUACAAAUUUAUCCUUACAAUAUAAUAAAAUUAUAUAGUCCUAGGCCAAGCUUUUUUAUUGGAUCGUUGGCGUUAACUAUUAAUCCCAAAAAUUCAUGUUUUAAAAAUAUACAAUUAGUUUAUUUAAAAUGUAUUGAUACAGAACCUAUGGGUCACAUUUGUGAUUUGGCCCAACAAGAUUCUUGCCACUUCAAAUAUGACUUGGUCCAAUCCGAUUUUCUGCCAUUUCGAACGUUACUCGGACUAACCCGACCUCCAGCCACAAGGCAAGAUAUUAAUCCCUUUAAACAGACAGGUUUAAAAGCAAUGAACAUCGGAAAAUUAAAAAAAAAAUCAGAAUGGCUUACUAUUCCAAAAUAGUCAAAAAUAAAACUAAAUUAUUUUUUAUUUACAAUAUUGUUAUUUCCGGAAAGAACUAUUUUUGUAUUUGGUUAAUCUUAUAUAAUAAUAGACAAUGGUAAAAAAAAAAAAAAAAUAGCUGAAUUUGAUAUAAGAUAUGAUUAAUAUUUUGUAAUAAAAUAGAUAUAAAAUUAUAUUAUAUAGAAAAAUAUUUGAAAUAUAAUGCUAUGUUUCAAAUUUCACUUAAACUUAAAUUUAAUAAAAAUUUAUUAUACUAAUUGAGUUUAAUUUAUUACAAUAUGUAAUAUAUUUUGUCCAUAUAAUUACCUUAAUUUAAUUUAUAAUCUUAACAAAGCUUAAAAUUAAAUCUUAAAAUAACAUUAUUCCAUCAAAAGAGUGAAAUAGUUGAUCUGGAGCUAUCCCAAGACAGGACAACCGAAAAUAGCAAUAUUUGACUGGAAUAUUUUAUUCCGACUAAAAAAUACUUUAUUUGACGGAUAGCGAGGAUAACGUACCGAUUUAUCUCUGAACCAAAUGGGGCUUAGCAAUUAAAAAUAUUCCGCUCAAGUUGUAUAAUUUGUAAAAUACAUUUGUCUCAUUUACUAACAGGUUAAAAAUUGACUAUCUUUCUACAUAAUAUUUAUUCUACUAUGGUCCUCAAACUAUAGGGAAUGUGACACUUUCAUCCUUUAACUUUAAUUUGCUAUAAAUUUUAGUUUGAACUUUAUGAACCGUUCAAAUUAAGUUUUGUAAAAUAAUUAGUUGACUUAAUGGUAACGUAUUACUAAUAUAAAAUAAUGUGUCAACUAUAAAAAUGACAUGGCAUUGACACAUCAGUGGCAUACGGACAAUCAAUUAAUUAAAUUUGUCCAUUCUGAAAUAAUUUCCUUGCUUUUUUUUUUUUGCCAUUGAUCAAAUUAAUAUUAUUCCGUUUUUUCUUUCCUUUCUCUCUCUCUCCUUAGUUUUUCUCCUCGCUCUUCAUCUCCCUCCUCCAUAGCCGUCCUCAUGUCGACACCGCUCUCUUCUCUCCUACCUUGCGCAUACGGCUGACAUCCAUAUCGGUGAUGGUGGCUUGGAUAUGGCAUAGAUCGCGAAGGUGAGGCUACAGCGGAGAGCAUGAUUACAGAUAGCGACGAGUGUGCUACGAAAAUUGAGAAUGAUGAAGAGGGAAAACACAUUGGGACGGGGACGGCGACUGCAGCAAAGGACGAGGGAAAAAGAGCGAAAAAGGAUGCAGAAACGGUUGGUAAGAACAGAUGUAAAUCAUUAGGCAAAUUCUAUAGAGGUGGAUUUGGUUUGGUUGUUUCCUUCUUUGCUUUUGAUUUGUUUUGGAUUUUUCUGUCUCUUCCGGGAAGCUACUGAACCUGUGGGGAAACACGAGGAAGAGGAUCAAAGUUCACGGGUUUACAAUCAAGUUCAAUAAUUGGCCUCACUUUUAGCUAGACCGGUAUACUAUCGGUAGUAUGGAGCCCUUCGUAUCAUACUAUCAAGUUGUUUUUAAUGAUGCGGCUUCCAAAUCGACUAUUGACUUCGUUAGCCUUGAUUUACACCAUUAAAAGUAUUUGAAAACUAAAUUUUAUAAUUUUUCGUUAUUAUUUGGCUAGCAAUCAAAAAAUCUCAAAUUUGAUAAUUUUAAUAGUAGAUGUGUUAUGUUUGUGAAUUUAACGAUGUAAAAUAAUCCAAAUCUGAUGAAAUUUUUAUAGAAUUUAGUUUUCAAAUACUUUCAAUAGUGUAGAUCAAGUUUAACGAAGCCGAUCGUCGAUUUGAAACCUACAUCAUUGAAAACAAAUGNCUAAAUACUUUCAAUAGUGUAGAUCAAGUCUAACGAAGACGAUCGUCGAUUUCGAAACCGCAUCAUUGAGAACAAUUUGAUAGUACGGAGGCCUCCGUACUACCGAUUGUAUACCAACCUAGCGCUCUCUCUCUCUCUAUAUAUAUAUAUAUAUAUUUUUUCAACUAUUUGACACCAAAUUUAAAUAAAAUUGAAUAGAAUUUAAAUAAAAAAAAAUUCAGUUCGGUUUGUUCUACCAAAAGUUUUCAAUCUUUUCUCCAAGUUUUGAAACCUUUCAUAAGAUUAUAAUAUUUUAUUUAUUUUAUUUAGCAUUUUAAAUAUCCAACUCGUUAUAUUCAGCUCCUUGCAAGAAUAUCUUAUUACCGAAGUAUAGGAGGUAUUUGGUUGCCCGAAAAAUAUCAAGAAAAUAGUUUUUUUAAGUUGAAAAAAUGUUUUUCGUUUGUUUAGUUUUUCCAAAAAGUAAUUUUUCUAUUAAAAUAUUUUUUCUGAUUUUAUAAAACAGUGGCAUUUGAUUCCUUAAAAAUAAAUAAAUAAAUAAAUAAAUUCGUAGAAAGCUAUUUUCUGAAAAAAAAAAUCAUGAAAAAUAUAUGAGAUAUUUUUUUAAAAAACCCAGCCACCCCCGUCGGCCCGACGGCUUAAUGUGUUAUACUCUUUAUUACUCUAUCUGAUUACUACAGUCAUAAUUACAACCAAUUUACGCAUAGUGACAACUCUUGCUGUUGAAUUUUCUUAUAUAGUUUCAAUUAUAGUAAUUAAAUUCAAAUACAUCAAAUCAAACACCAUAUCAAUAUUGUAUUUAGUUACAAUAACAGUGCAAUUACAAUUAUAUGCAACCAAACAGUCUUUACAUCAAGCCUUAAAAAAGCUAUUUAAUCGGCCCAAGAUGAACAUCAGAAUAGGCCCAGACUCCAAAUGGACACGGAGGAGAGAAUGGGCCAAAAGUCCGAUAAAAAAUGAAACCGAAAGAUUAGAGACUUUUGAGAGGAUGUUGAUACGCUUAUUCAUCUGAUACUUUAUAAAGAACUCGGUAGCAAAGCCCCCACAAAAGCCGACUUUGAUUAUUACUCUGCAAAAUGAAUUCGGCGGGCGACGGAGCCCCUAAACUGCCCGAUUUCUAUUGUAGUCGGCAACGAGGAGCCUCCGCACGCCGACUACAAGAGAUCGAUUUGUGUAAAUGCGAAAAAAAAAAUGGGAGUGAGAAUAUCAGUUCUCGGUCAAACGGUCAGCAUUUUGGCGCCUCCUUUCGGAAAGCGCUCGCUCGCUGCCACGUCAUAGGGCGGUGCAAAAAGCCAAAACCAACCGCCAAAGCUUACGUACAUCUCACACUAGACCCGGUCUAUACACCCAACCACUCUCUAUUAACCUCCAUUGUCCGAGACUUGUUUUUUUUGGAAUAAUUACGUACACAUCUCUCAAAAUUUCUGAAAUAUUUUUAUAAUUAUUUAUUUUUUUUAUUUAAAAUAUACAUCUUAUAUUUUUUUCGUUAUUAAAAAAUAACUUCGCUGUUAGCAUCCGUUAAAUCAUCUUGGAUUAAACCUGGAUUAAAUUUUUACCGGGGUUAAAAAGAUGUCAAAAUUCUCCUUUUGUCCGUAACUUAAUGAUAAAUAAGAAAAAUUAGUAACAACAGAAGGAUAUAUUUGAAAGGCGAAAUGUCAAACUGUUUUUUUUUGCACCUAACUUAAGGGCAAAUAAAAAGUUAGUAAUAAUAGAAGGGAUAUAUUUAAAAGGACAAAAUAGUAAUUUUACAAAAAUAAUGUUUAUUUCCGACAUUCACUAAUAAAAUUUUACUCUAGAGAGAUAUAUUUGAAAAAACUUAGAUCUUUAGGAGAAUAUUUUUUAUAUUAGCCUUCUAAGCAAGGAAAAUAAAAAUGUCUGAAAUUUUUUUGGAGUAUAUAAGUGAUUAAUUUUUUUUAGCCCUUGUGUAUUUCAAAUUGCAUUAGAUAAUUUAAAUAUAAUUUUAUUUGAUUAAUUUUAUCUUACACCAUGUGAGAUAAAUAUCAAGAUAUUUUUAUAUAGCAUAGAUUUAUUUUUCUAUCUUAUACCUUGCUUUCUAUUACAAUAUUUUAUAUAUUUUCACAUAAUAGAGAUAACAAUUUUAAAUUUUACUAAAAUUAUACUAAUAAUAUUAUUAUAAAAUUUUUUAAUUUGUUAAAAUUUUUAGCUACGGCUAAAAUUUAGUAUGAAAUAGAAAAAGAAUAGAGUGUCUGAGAUCUAAUGAUAGUGAUGAAUUUGUCAUUUGUGUGAUUUGUUCAUGAUGACGUGGCACACCCGGUUCAUGAGAAUAGUUAUUACAGCUAAAGGGCAAAUUAUAGACCGAAAGAAACCACGCUUUUUUUAUUCAAUUCCUUCGAUCUCCUCCUCACUCUUCUUCUUCUUCUUCUUCCUCUCCCCUUUCCUUUUCUCCCUCUUCGCCUCAUCUCUCUCGAUUCAGCCCUAGCAAUGGCGAACGACGCCAUCCCCUCCUCCUCCUCGUCGUCGGAGGCCGCGGCGGAAGAGGAGGAGAAGAAGAAGAAGAGGCGUAGUGGCCGCGGAGGCGGCGGCGGAGGAGGAGUGGUGUCGCGCGUGUGGAAGGGGAUCUUCGGAGCGGGACAUGACUUGGAGAAGGAGCUUCGGCGCCUCUCCGUGGCGGAGGCCUCCGCCCACGCGCGGAUCAAGCGAAGGGCCCAAGCCACGCGCGCGAUGAGGACGAACCUCGUCGUCGUAUCGAUCGCUCUUGAGGUUUUGCGAUUUGAUUUGAUUUUAGCCGAAUUAGUUUUAAUUAGGUCGCUGGAAUUUAUCAAGUUGAUUUCGAAUUUAGGGUUUGAUGAGGUAGCAAGGUUGUCACUAUGUAUUGAAAUGAGCUUAAUAUUUGGUAGUUGUUUGAUAUUCUCAAAUCAUAUUAGGUUUGAUUGCAAUAAUUCAGGUAGUUUGAAUCACAAACUUCAAUAAUUAAAGUUUUGAUGAUCAAAUAUCAGCAACCUUUUAGUUCGAGGACUAUUCGUCAAAUUUGGCCUAUGAUUUAUGUGUGCAAAUGGAGCAAUACUGCUCGUUUAGUUUUACUUUUUUGUUUGUAGAAACAUGAUUUUUGAUGUUUAUAAUGGUUGCACAGAAUUGCGCCAAGUGAUUGAAAAAUCUGGUAUGAAGCUGUUCGUCCAAUUUAGCCUAUGAUUUAUAUGAGCAAAUGGAGUGAUCUUGCUUGUUUAAUUUUAUAUUAGUUUGUAGAAACAUGAUUUUUAGUGUUUAUAGUGGUUUCACGGCAUUGCGCCAAGUGAUUGAAAAAUCCGAUAUGAUGAUGUACUUCAACACAAUAUAUAUUAGAUUCCGUGUACGUCACAAAUAUAUCUUUCACCAGUUGUGUACUUCUAUAUCUUCUAUAAAAGUUCCUUGUGGUUCUGCAAGUGUUUAUUGCUUCAUUAUUGCUAAAACCUUCCAAAAAAUGAUUUAGUGUUCUUGGUCAUUUUCUACUAGAUCAUUUUUUUUUUGGUAGCAUGGUAUCAGAGCUAGCCCAAACCCCCCUCCAUUCCAAGAGGUCCUUAGUUUGAUUCUUUUAUCCGCCACUUUAUGGCAUCAAUUUCCGUCCUUUAUUCCUUUGUAUUUUCCAUUAUCUCAGACCUUUUGGCAUGGUUCGUUUGAUAUUCACCAUGCAUGCGAGUGGGCAGUGUUAAGACAAAUUCUAGGCCAUUUCCUAGUUGGUCAAUUUUUUUGUUAACACCUAUCAGAUAUUUCUCUCGGUCAAGACUCAGGGUUAUAUACUCGUUAGAAAAGCCUUGAUAAUUUCUUAGGAUAGUUGCUUUUUGAACUGAUUUCUAAUUGUUGUUGAUUUGUUUCACAGGGUUUGGCUGUUGCAUAUGCUAUCAUGACGACAAGAUCAUUGGAUUUGAACUGGCAGAUGAGGGCAGUUAGAGUGAUGCCUUUGUUUGUGCUUCCUGUUUUAGCUGUUGUCAUCUACUCGACACUUGGGAGCGUCAGAAGAAUGUGUAAAUAUCAUGGACUCUUUUCCUUUUAAAUUUUUUUUAUAACCCAGUUCUCAGUUUCUAUAAAUUUGCUGAUUGAGCUUUUGAUCUAUUAGUCUCUCUUUAUAGACGUUUAUUUGACUGUUCUUUCAUAUUUGAUUGGUCCAUUGAAUUUUUUUUAAUUAAAUAGAUAUUUAAAUGGAAAAAAAAAGAAGGGGGCCGUGGAGUAUAGAAGAAGUGAUCCUGGGUUGUACUCAGCUUUCAUCCCUAUUCAAUUAUGUUUUUGAUGGGAAUAUGGGACUUAUUAGGUGUAUCAGCAUUUUUCCAGCUACAAAUAAGGGGGUAUCAUGUUAAUGAAGUUCAUAGUUUUGUCUGGAGAAGGGAAAAAAAGAAAAUAAUGUGAUGGUGGGGAAUCCUUUCGCCACUAAUACAAAAAAGCACAUAUAAGAUGAACUGCCUCAAAAUUGAUUCUCUGAAUCUUUGAUGUUUUUCUUACAUGGUUGACCAUGAGCUUUUUAAAUUCCUUUUAGACACCUAAUGUGGGAGAAACUUUUAGUGAGAUUUGGGAAAAACAUUAUCCUGUUUAUAACCUGUCCUUCUUUUCUUCAGUGGAUAGCAAGGACCAGAAAGCGCUUGAGAGGCUCCGUGAAGAAAGGCAAGCGAAGAUAACUGAGCUGAAGGAGAGGACAAAUUACUACACUACACAACAGCUUAUUCAGGUAGGUUUUUCAUCUUUCUAUCCUUCAUCUAUAUAUCUACUAUUGGCACUUGAUCUUGGGCACAUCGUAUGUUUGGCGAGAAUUUUUCUCCCCAAAUGCAUUGAUAUCACUCUCUGUAGAGUUACAUGCCUAAGUGGUUCCUGUAUGGUCUACUCUUGUGUACCUGUCAAUUUAAUCACUGAGCACUUCUUUUAGUCAAUCAGGUCACUGAAGUCUCGACUAUUUGUGAAAUUCAUUAUUCCAAGUGAAUUAAAAGAACUUGUACUACCGCUUGGUCCAUAUACAUAUCAGUAAUACUCUUGAUUCCAUCCGUUUUUUAAGAAUCUCAGCAAGUGUUUAACCGUCCAUGUCUGCAAAGUCGAUGAUGUACACUUAUAAGAUGACGCUGGGAAUAUACCUAUUUUUUCCUCCUUUUUUUCUCUCUCCAAGAACGAGGUAUGGUUUAGUACAAUUUAUCACGAUCCUAUCAUAAUAACUCUUUUGGUAUCUAAAAGAGUUUAGGGUUCAAAUCUAUUUCUUUAUAUCUGUAACAUUGGAGGGAUAACUAAUAAUUUAACUUCUGAAGUUAGUUUAUUUAUCAUCAAGGAUGGUAUUAGUAAUUUAGCAAAGCUUUGAUUAGCGAAUUUUCAUCGAAAUGGACAUAGCACGAUAUUCAUGUAUCAGUGAAAGUAGAGUGACUAACUUUUAAUUUUUAUUCUCUGUAUAUGUUACUGAUUCUUUAUAACGAUUAACGCAGAGAUACGACCUUGAUCCUGCUGCCAAGGCUGCAGCAGCAACUGUUCUGGCGUCUAAACUUGGAGCAGAUUCUGGGUUGAAAUUUUAUGUUGGAGAUGAAUCAAAUACCAGUCCCUCAUUGGGAGUUAGCAAUGAUGUUAACCCGGCGCAACCUACUCAGCUCCGACACAGAAAACCAGCUUCUGGCAAAAGUGCUGCCGCAGUAAGCAGCCAAGAAGCUCACUUCUUUGAUGAUUCCUUAAAUGAGUACGACGAAAAUGCCGGGGAAAUUGCUUCUCCAAAUCAGAGUUUUGUUGGACAUAAUAAAGGUUCAGCUGGUAGUGACGGGGGAUGGCUCGCUCGAAUUGCAGCUUUGCUUGUUGGAGAAGAUCCGACACAGUGCUAUGCGCUGAUCUGCAGCAACUGCCAUAUGCAUAAUGGUAAGUGAUGUCUUUCGAAGUUGUUAUCAUGUCAAAUUACCUUUUUAUCCCUUUCCGCUCUAAAUGUGCUCGCCCUCGUGUUUAACCUCGAUCACAAGCAACAAAAUGCAAGAACUGACUCAACUGGCUAACUUAAUGUGCAGGAUUUGCGAGGAAAGAGGAUUUUCUAUUUAUAACAUAUUAUUGCCCUCAUUGCCACGCAUUAAACGGGUCUCGACAGCAAGCGGAAAACGAAAUGAUUUUGAAUUCUGAGAGGGAAACUCCGAUUUCUCAAGCUGAUGGUAAUGAUGCGUUCAACGACGCGAGCAAUUCGAGCUCGAUCACCGGCAGUCCAUUUGCAAACACUCCAACAGCUGCCAAAGAAAUGCCUCAAGGAGACAACGGCGACGAGGAAGGAAAUGAUGUGCAUACUAAUUAGAAAUUUGUAUUCAGUAUUAUAUGUAAUGCUUUUACAAUGAGAUAGCUUCUGUUGAAGGGAAAAUUCGUUUGUUUGUCGAUGAUUCCGCAUAAAGAGAGGAAAGGAGCAUGUUGUGUAAAAUAAUUACUAAUUCUUUUUGAGAGUUAUGGUAAUUUUUGGCCAUUUUGUUAUAUACUGUGAGGAGUGGAAGGUACCAUAAUGGGGUUUUUGGGCGACUACACUUAUAGAAUUUUUUUUAAUUCUAAGAAUAUAUAUGUAUCCAACAUUUUUAUUUGUAAAUUAUGUUGCACUAUUUUACAACACAUUGUACUGUUUGAUAAGUUAUUGUGAAGUGCUGUCAAGUAAUUACGCAAUAAAUUUUCAAGUCAUGUAACGUGUUUUUUAAUUGUUCAGCAACUUAUCACAUAGUAUUAUAUUUUUUUACUAAUGGUUUAAUAUUUUUAUUUUUAUUUCUUUGAAUGGAUAAAAAAAAAUGUAGAGAGAGCAUGACGAAACAAUAAAGAAGAAGAUAUAAUAGUGCAACACAAAUAUUGGUAACAAGCAUAAAUAUAGUAAGAAAAGAGUCGAGAUGAAGAAGGAAUAUAAUACACCACUUAGGCCUUUGUUAUCAGGGACGAAGCCAGAAAUUAAAAUUCGGAGAGGGGCCAAGAUUUAGAUUUAAUAGGAAAAAAAUUCAACUUCGGAUAAUAAGAAAAAAAAUUUGUCAAAUUCACUGAUCAGUUAUUACUAGUAACAAUAAUAACAAUAUACUCAAACAGAAACAAGACUGUAAGAGUUGAAGGGAAAUGACCAAGAAAUUUGAAAAAAAAAAGAGACAAAUUUUAUUAACAAAUUUAAUUUGGCCCCCUAAAAUUAAAAUUUAUAAUAUUUUAAUUUUUAUUACAAAGGACUUUUAUGUGAUUUUAAAAAAGUUAGGAGAGGCCAUGGCCACUGUGGGCCCCUCAAUGGCUCCGUUCCUGUUUGUUAUAUUAUUUAUAUAAAUAUGGCACUGCUUUUUUUUUUCGGACAAUAUUUAAUCUUUUAAUAUUAGUAAAUUUUUAUUUUUAAAAAAAUUUACAUAGCAAAUACUAAGGAUUCACGUUGGUGACAAUAGUUUCCAUAUAUUAUGAAUUAAGGUAGAUGAUUUGCACCAUUUAACUAUUACUUUUUGUCUAGAGAAUACGAAAAUUCAUCUUGCGCUAUGUACGAAUUUUGACUACAAAGACAAUUUUGUCAAAUUUUUGAAAAAUAGGAGCAAAUUGUAGAUUCCAAAAAAUGCAUUGGAUCUGCAAAAUCACAAAAUUAGUUAUUAUUUUUUAGCACUGCUAUGGUACACUGAAAAGGGGUACAAGUCACCCCCUCAUCUAAGGACCCUUAGUGGGGAGUUUUUAAUAUUAAUGGACUUAAAAGAAUAUUAUAAUUAUAAAAAUAGUUUUUAAAAAAAAUUAUUUAUAAAAUUAGUUUUAUGCAAUGAAUAAUUUACCAUAUUUAUUUAAAUAUAAUAGUUUAUUUAUUCUCAAAAUGUUAAAAUUAUUUUUACUAUUUAAUACUAUACAUCUUUUGAAGUUUAAAUGUGUAAAAUAUAUAAGUUCGGUAAAUAAUGAAUAAUGUAUCGUUUUUAGAACGCGGUGAGUCAUCGUUUUUUAAAAAUAGUAAAUAAUUCACUGCAAAAAUCUAAUUAUAUAAAUAAAAAUUUUAAAUGUCCAUUUUUAUAAUUAAAAAAAUUCUAUAGCAUCCGUUUGGUUCGGAGUUAAGGAGUGGAAAAACCCUUUAACCCCGAAGUUAUUUCCAAACGCCUAAUUUGGGGAUUGGGGUUAACUAACCCCACCCCACACCACUCCACCCCACCCCACUACUCCAAGUCUCAAACCAAACAAAACACUGUUUUACCAAUUAUCUUUCUUAUCUCAGCCACUCCAAUCAAACACUAUUUUAUUUAUAUCUGGACUAAACCUAAUUUUCAACCAAAUACAAAAUUAUUCUAAUCCCAUCUUAUUCCUGAACUUAACUCUAUUUCUGGAAUAACAAAUUUUUACUUAACCCAGAACCAAACGGUUGCAUAGGUUUAGUCGAUCUCAAAACCUUCUUAAUAGGUCCUUAUAUUGUCCCUUUUUUUUUAUACUAAAAACUUAAAAAUUUUUUUAAUAAAUUCUAGGCCGAAGUAAUGUAUAUCAUACAUGUAGCAUUUUUUUUUUCAAUCAAAAUCUAUUAAUUAAAGAAAAUAUAAAACUGAAGUUCUUAUUGCAAAAUUUCCAUAAUAGAGGGGUCUCUGUACAUUUUUAUGCAGAAAUGGGGCUUCGUUUUUUUGUUAACGACAAUACAGGGAUCGAAAACUCCAACUCUCUCUCUCUCUCCCCCUUCCCCAGAUCUCCUUCCCGGCGAAACCCUAGAUCUCAAUCCCAGGUAUGCUCUUUUCCCUUCCUCCCCAUCUCUCUCUCAAUCUCCGCAUCUUUGAUUCCAUUUCAUUUCGAAGCAUUAGAUCCGUUAGUUUUAGCUUACACUCUUUGAUCGAUGUGAAAUGGCUCAUUAAAUCGCUAUAAAGUUGAAGGUUUUUGCCUAAUAUUGGGCUAAUUGAUGUUACUUUUGUGGCCUAGGGUUGUAGAUCUACGAGCAUUGUACGAGAAGAUUCGAACUAAGAAAUUUUAAGUUUAAAACGAGCGUUCAAAAUGUUGUAUCAAUAUUGAGUUUUAAUACGAUGUUUUCUAAUGCAAGUAGUUCUUAGGGGAAUCGUGGAUCGAUGUGAAAUCACUUAUUAAAUCGCUGUAAAUUCAAAGGUCCCCCCCCCCUCCCUCCCUAAAAAUAGGGUUAAUGAUUGUUUUUUAUUGGCCAAAAAAAGAAUAUUGAUCUAUGAGUGCUGUGGCAAGAAAGAUUUGGAACUUAGAGAUUGUUAGGUCUAAAAUGAGUUUCAAAACACUGUAUCAACAUUGUGGUUUUGAUACGAUAUUGCGUUUGCAAUUCUUUGGGGAAUCUUGGAUGUUUAUGCACUUCAGAUAUUUUUUUUUUACCUUUGCACUAGCUUGGAGAGCGUAAAUUUUGUUCUGAAGAAUGUGCAUUUUCUUAUACAUUAAAAGAAUUUUUUGUGAGUUUUGCUUGUAAAGAACCAUGUUUUGUGGACUGAUACAUUUUGUAGAAUUAUCUGAUUAAUUGAACUCAUUAGAUCCAUUUAUAAGCCUCCCAAUUAAGAAUUGCGAUAGUUGACCAGACAAAAACUUGGUAUUCAUUCUGCCAUUUUGCUUGCAUAAUUUUUUUUUAUUUUUCUCUGAGAUCUCUAUUUUAGAAUACACUUUUUUUAUGCAUGAUAUUUUACUUCAUCUGUGCAGUUAUUCAGGUAAACUGUAUACUGAGCGAGGGAAGUGAUUUACUGCCUUUACAUAGAGAGCCAUUCUUAUUGCAUUUGUUUACUUUUUAGGUACUAGGCUUACAGAGAGAUAGCUGAAUCCUUCGGAGACACAUCUUUUGAAACUCGAGUUUGUCAGCAUGGUAUGAGAAAAGGGAUCCAUCUAGUCAUUUAUCUCCUGAGCUAUCAUUCUUGUUUCUUAUCAUGAAUUUGAAGGUCUAAUGGUACUUGAAUCUUAUAUCAAUUUGGUUAUUUACUGAUUCAUGAAAUGCGGAUUUUCUCAUUUACUAAUGUUCUGCUAUUUUCCCAUUGCCAAGAAUUUAAGUAGCAAAACAAGUUCAGUCAUAUCUAUUGGUUUUAUUUGGAAUCGAUAUCUUCCUCUUGCAAGUUUUUCUUUACUUUGUCAAGUUCAAAUCAAGUUCAGUCAUUUCUGAUUGAAGGUGUCUAGUUCAUGUUGGCUGCUUAUGUUUAUAAAUUUAUUUUCUUUCACGCAAUCACACCUUUCCAAUGUGUCUUCUCGGUAAAGGAACAAUAGGAACAAUAGAAGUUCCUUUGGCAUUGGAUAUCAAGUGGAAAUGUUGACUGUUGAGGAGAUAAGUAGAUGCUAAACAUGAUAAUUGGCAUAGAUAGGGAUUAGCAUGAGAACUACUUUAUAAAUAAGGUUCUUUUGGAAAAAAAUGUUAGUACAUUUAGUAAGACCUUUUAAUGUACUUAUUCUUGACUAUAUUCAAUUCAGAUGACAAAUGGAUAGAUUGUGUUUAUGUAUAUCAGUCUUCAUCCUAUAAUUUUAGUAAUUAAUGACUAUUCAAAGUCUGAAGGAAAUCAACUAAAAAUUUGCUAUGUUUUGUUCAAACAGGUGGUUCUUGCAGCUUCGAUCAUAACAAAGUCUGGAAAAGGUGAAUUUUCUCUUGAACACUAUUCUGCAUUUCUUUAUACAUUACAAUUUAUAUUUCUUUUUAUUUUAUCCUUUUCUGAUAAAUAAUGUAAACUUCAGUUUCUUUUGCGAACUUUAGCUAAGAAACAUUGCAUUUGAUCUGUCUACAUCAUGAAUAUUUUUAAUAUUUCUAAGUUGUUUCGUGUCUGUGUGAUCCAAUUGCCUUAAGUUAAUGCUGCAAAUAUGUUUGUCAUGAUACUAUCUUAUGAGAUAAUCUUACUUUCAAUACCAAUUUGCAGCUUAAUUUAGAUAAGAAUCCAAUGAUACUUACUGUUUUAUUACUUUUUUCCUCUGCAUGAAGAAGAUAUCUAUAUACUAUUAUCAUUUAAACAUUCUUUAUCUUCUACGUAUGUUAGCAACCUUAUAGUUAUCCAUUAUCGCAUUUGAUCUAAAAUUAGGGCUGCCAAUCUGCCAUCAAUGAUGUUUCUGAAAUGUGGUUAGUUUUAUUUUCAUUAUUAUUUGUCUCUUAUAAGUGAAACUUGGCAUUGGUCUAAUUUUUUUUUCAGUUCUCGAUUUGAUAGAUUAGAAUACUUGGAUGUAGAUCAUUAUGUGUAUGUUCUGUUGUUAUGCUAUUAUGUUCCAUCAUGUUGUCUUACUUUUUGAUUGCAUUCAUUCCCCUGUAACUCCUUUCAACUACGAAACUUUUCUUAGUAGUAUUAUAUUGGUUGUCAUUUUUUACAAAACUUCUAUUUGUCAGAUGUGAAUGAAGGAUUUGAAAAUCCAUCCUGUUCACAGUAGAACUGAAAGCAUAUACGUCCUUUUGAUUUUUGCUGAUGAUUCAUGUCUUUUUGUAUAUUGUGUAUAAACAAAAUGAAAAUGUUAUGUGAAGAUAAUUGUGUGUUUUUGUACAAGUGCAAAUUUUCAUGAUUAGUCAACCAAGUUUGCUAAUCCUCAAACUAUUUUUUGUACCACAUGACCAACAAUGGUCCCAUGCUGAAUCCUUGAGACUUGCAUCUCUAAUCUACUAAAACGACAAAAUACCUUAUUCUCUUAAGUUAUCAUUUAAUUGGAAUGAUCCAAAAUUGACGAAAAUGCAUCUUUCAUCUGCCUCUAUCUCGAAGAGAGGAUAUUAAUGCUCAAUUUUAAGUAAUUGUUCUAGUAACUCUCAUUCCUGCCCCUCGAAAGCUUGGCACAAAUAACCGAUAUUACACACUGUUAGCUUUGCGCCAUCUCAUAUUGACACACUUCAGAGAUCCAAUUAUUGGAUAUCUGUCUUCUUUUACCAUUUUUUACCUGCUGAAUGCCGGAGGAAAAUAUAUAGCACAGAUGAAUUAUAAUUCCUUAUAGGGAAACCUUGUAGACUAUUCUAGACUCUAUUUCAUAUUAAUGUUAUGUUUUUCUUAAUUUUGAUUACUAUGACUAUUCUAGUACCUUAAAUAUGGCCUGAUGAAAUAUUGUCCUGUCUGACAUAGGUCCGUUUUAGACUCUGCCUUUGUACAUGAACUGCUUAUCAUAGGGAUUACUACAUCCCAGUAUUCUGGGUGCUCUGUUGUUUAAUCUCAUAAGAUAACUCUUGUUUUUUCUUCUGUGGACUUGAUUACAGCACUUGUUUCAAGACAGUUUGUUGAUAUGUCUCGCAUAAGGAUAGAAGGACUACUUGCUGCAUUCCCAAAGUUGGUUGGAACUGGAAAACAGCAUACUUAUGUUGAGACUGAAAAUGUUCGCUACGUGUACCAACCAAUAGAAGCAUUGUAUCUGCUACUUGUUACAAACAAACAAAGUAACAUUCUUGAAGAUCUGGAGACACUGAGACUCUUAUCGAAACUUGUAUCCUUUUCUGCUUCAAGUCUUGUAAUUAUAGCAAAGUUACUGUUUCAAUUUUAGAUUUGUUCUUGCAUCCCUCUGGGUUUGUUGUUAUUUCUUUCUCUUUUUUUUUCUCAUUAAACGAGCUUUAUAUUAGUGUCUGGAAAUUUUGGUCAUGUUGAUUGAAAUUUUGUAGUGAUGGUUUCCUUAUACUGUACAAAGGUACCAGAAUACUCACCCUCUUUAGAUGAGGAGGGCAUAUGCCUGACAGCUUUUGAGCUGAUUUUUGCCUUUGAUGAGGCCAUCUCUUUAGGGCACAAAGAAAAUGUGACUAUUGCACAGGUUAAACAGUACUGUGAGAUGGAGAGCCAUGAAGAGAGACUGCAUAAGAUGCUCAUGCAAAGCAAAAUUAAUGAAACUAAGGAUGUCAUGAAGCGAAAAGCUAGUGAGAUCGACAAAAGCAAGGUAUCUUUUUUUUUCGCCCUCCUCUUGCUUCAUCUUCUUAUAGUGAAAGCAGUCUAUUGUGAAUGUGCAAAUAUACGACUAUUGCCUUUUAGUUUUAAUUGAAAUCCUUUUUCAUCUCUCAACUAUGUCUUUCACUAUUAGAUGGAAUCAACUGUAAUGCAUAAGCGUACGGUUGACUUAUAUAAACCUUGGAUACUUCAUUUUCAAUGAAUUUGUGCCAAAUUUACUUGGCUGACAAUUUUUACUCCUGGACUUAUAUAAAAACUUUGUGUUAGGACAUUGGGCUUGCAUUUCAGCAAUUUUCUUUUUUAAAAAUUUUAUGUGAAAACUGAUAUGCUUGAGACCUUUUUACUAUAGCAUUUGUUUAUUUACAGCUUUAAUCUCCCUUAUCCUUGUUGUCAGACAAAUUGCAGGCAUCUAGCUGGUGGAAGCUUAAAUAUUCAAUUUUUUGUAACAAGAAAUAGACUCACCGGUUAUAAGAUGAUAAGAAAUAUGGGUAAAUUUGACAUAUGAUAAACCAAAUAAUUUUGCUUGCUUGAACUUUCAUGUGACUCUAAAUAGGCAGAAGAUUUAAUUUUGAUAUAUAUAAAACUUAAGUCUGUAAGCAAUUGUUGAUAUGAUUUCGAGUUUUUUUUUUUUUUCCUUCUGGAGACAUCCACUUGGGUCAUCAGUUUUUUGCUUCAUGGAUGCUAAAACUUUGAACCAUUAAUCUCCGUCAUUGCUGAUUAUCCAUUUCUCUAUCUCAUUAUCAGUUUUCUUCUUCAAAUGCUAUUAACCAAAUAAACAAUAGGCAUGAUUAAUCUAGCUUUUGUUGGUUCUAUUAUGAAAUUCUUUAAUGCUUGCAGAUUGAGAAAGGCAGAGGGGACAAAGGAGGAUUAAUGUCGAUGUCUGGUCCUCGAAGAAUUGAAAGUGCUUUUAGUGAUAUGAGCAUUUCUAGCAGUGGUAGUGGAUUUGGAAGUGGUUCCGGAUUUGGACUGAGCACGGAUGCUGACUCUUCCUCCAAGCCCAAAGGUUUGUACCUCUAGAUGUCAUUGCCUCAUUACAAGCUCAUUAUAUCAAAUUUGGCUAAUAUCACUGUAAUUUGUUUCUAAUUCUUGAGAGAUUGAAUUAUUUCUUCUGGAAUCUAUAUCCUAUAUUCCUUCAUGUCUUAGUUGCUGAAAUCUUUUGUAAAGAAUGUGCAAUAUGUGCAACUCCCUUUCAAGGAAAAGUGUAACUUGAAUCUUUCUUUGAUUUAACUACCCUUUGAAUGGAAAUGGUGUAUACUUGAACAGUGGCAUUAUUAGUUACGUGGUACAUAGCAUCCAUAUCUUAUAAUUUUCCUUCUUUCAUUAGGCUAAGCAUCAUAUCUUUUUGACACAUUAUCGUGCCUAAAAUUAACGUAAUACUGUGAAACUAAGUGUGUAUCAACUUUAAAUAUCAUAAUUCGUCUGAUUGAGGGAGAUCUAAAUUUCUGGAAAAAGUUUUAAGGUACUUUUAUAAAUGUAUCAAUUUGUUACAUUUUUUUUCAUUGUAGUCAUUUCUUUAGCCCACAUUUGUACAGCUGUCAUGUUGGGAAAACAUACUCAACUUUGGCGUUCAAUUUCACUAGCUUUGGUCUUCCAUUUUGUGUUUUGUUGUAUUGUUUGUCUUGUUAUGAAUCUGUAGGUCGUCCACCAGCUUCUGCUACAGCUCCGCCAAAAGGCCUUGGCAUGCAACUGGGCAAAACACAGAGGACGCAUCAGUUUUUGGAAUCUCUAAAAGCGGAGGGAGAAGUGAUUCUCGAGGACGUUCAACCAGGUGCUACUCAGUCAAAGUCAUCUCUGCCACUAAGUGAUCCUAUAACGUUGAACAUCGAGGAGAGGCUUAACGUUACCGUUAAGAGAGAUGGAGGAGUCAGUAAUUUUGAUCUCCAAGGAACUCUUUCUCUUCAAAUUCUUAAUCAAGAGGAUGGCUUUAUCCAACUUCAGGUUCUGAUACAUUUCUCUCACACUAUGAUUUAUCAUUUCAUUUGAAAAUCCAUGAUUCAAAUGCAUUUGCUAUUUUUAUAAUGAGAAUGCUCAAGACACAAUAGAAUUCAGAAAAAAAAAAAACAGCUGUUAUUUUAUUAGUGUGAGAAGCUUAAUGAAAUAAUGAAAUUGCUAUUUUGCUUGUUUUUUCUUGUAUAGUUCUGGUAAUUCCCUGGUUUGAAAUUGAAUCAGAUGACCUCAUCUAUUCCUUAUAAUGGAUAUUUAUUCCCCUUAGAUUUAACUAGCAGUCUCAUCUUUAUAGACAUGCAAUUGGACCUUGGGGUGUACUAUAGUGUGAUUUCCCUUGCAUGGAAAUAUCGACUGACAGUCUGUGGAGUUACUUGCUAGUCUAGAAAUUUUCUAUUGAGUUUAGUGUAUCUCCUUUCUUCGCAAUUGGAGUUGUGUUCAAGAUGAUAUGUACUGAUCCAGUAUAUCUAUUUAGUAACUGAUGCAAUCUUGCCGAAUUCCGAAGCUUUAAUCAGAAUCAUUUGUGACCUGUUCUGAUUUUAGUUCCUGUAUUAGUAGUUUACGUUGAGUAUAAAAUAUGAAAAUAUAGUUCUCUACUAGCUUCUGCUUUUAGAGACAAACUGAUGUUUUACUUGGUAUUAUAGUAGGAGAUCCUGAGUUUAAAUCCACCACAUUCCUAGCAUCAUUUAAUUUUUCCCACAUCUUGGGCCUAGUGAAAAGUCUUGAUCAUAGAUAUGAUGGUCUGCUGAAUAUAAGAUAUUGAAAACCCUUAUUCUCUAAUAGCUUUAGCUUUUAGAGUUGUUUAUCAAUUUAUGCCGACUAUCCAAUAUUUACUGAGUACGGUACCAUUUCCUUCAUAUUUUUUUAAAUUCUUCCAAUGAUGUAUAAGAUGCUCUUUCUGGCAGUAGACUUGUACCAUCAUUGCUGCUAUGUACAUGGAUAUUCAAUGAUAUUUCAGUGCUGAUUCUGCCAAGGAUUGUUUGCUCAAUCUGUUCAAUGUACGAAAAAUAGAUUUGGAAUGAUAGAAUUUAUGAUAGUGGGCCAAUUUUAUCUAACAGAUUGAAAACCAAGAUGUACCAGGCCUUAGCUUCAAAACUCAUCCCAAUAUCAACAAAGAAUUGUUUAAUAACCAGCAUGUUAUCGGGUUGAAAGAUCCAAAUAGGCCUUUCCCCACUGGCCAAAAUGAUGUCGGUCUGAUGAAAUGGAGAAUACAGGGCUUGGAUGAAUCCUCUUUGCCAUUGACUGGUAUGUAUUGCUGUAGUAUUAAAAGUAAGAGAUAUUUACAUACGCAAUUCCCCUGAAAAAUAUCUAUUUCUAUAUAUCACUGCAGAAUCUGAGUUUCAUAUAUGCGCUUCAAAAACUUAGUUUUCUACACAUUUGCCCUUCUACUUACAAAAUGUCCCCUGUGAAAAAUAUUUUUUUCCAAUUCAAAACCAAAUUCCACACAUGACUGGAAUGGACAAACCUGUAAUAAAAGUGGCUUGGUAAUAAAUUACACUUCACAGGGGUAUAUAUGAAAUUUGGACUUUUCAGGGUUGUAUUGUAAUAAAUAAUUUUGCAGGGGAAACCCCUUGCAAUUUGGACUUUUCAGGGUUAUAUUGUAAUAAAUAAUUUUUCAGGUGACUUUGUGUAGAACCCCUUGAAAAUAUUGAUGAUUACUUUUAGACUGUCUUGCUAACUUGCUCAUCUGGUCUUGCAGUUAACUGCUGGCCCACUGUCUCUGGAAAUGAAACUUUUGUGAACAUUGAGUAUGAAGCUUCAGAUAUGUUUGACUUGCACAAUGUUGUGAUUUCUAUUCCUCUUCCUGCUCUUCGGGGCCCACCAACUGUGAGGCAGAUCGACGGAGAAUGGAGGCAAGCAUUUUAAACUUAUUGUUUUAUUGGAUCUUCUUGGAUGUCAUCAAGUAUGAAUUGCUUUUUUUAAAAAAAAAAAUUUAAUUAAGAAGGCAAAAAGGAAAAACCGUUGGAGUAUCCAUAAGCUGAUUGUCUAAUUGUUUAGAUGUUUGAAUUGCAUAAAAAUUCACAAAUUUUCAAUCUAGUAUGCUUAGUUGGGUUCUUCUUUCUGCUGGAAAUGUAAAUUGAGAACAGUGAGCUUCUACUUGAAGUUAUCGUUAAUUCUAUUUUGAAAUUUUAAUCUGAUUUGUAAUAAUUUAUUCACUGCUAAUUGUCUCUGAGGUCCCUCUUUAAUUUCACGUAUAGCUCACCCUUUUGGUGUUGUCAAAUGACUCUUUCCAAUAAUUCUAAUAUUUGUCUCUUUAAGCUUUUUGUUUUUCUUUGUAUGUCUCCUUUUCCAGGUAUGAUUCAAGGAACUCCACACUGGAGUGGUCUGUUCUUCUUAUUGACCAAUCGAACCGCAGGUAAGCUUUUAUCUAUUCUUCAUUAGCUAUAAUUACAUUCUUCAAUUUUAUUUUUUUAACAUAUAAGAGCGCUUCAAAUUGGCUAAUUAUUAUCCCCUUUUUUUUUUCCUUUUUCUUUGUAGUGGAUCAAUGGAGUUUGUUGUUCCUCCAGCGGAUGCAUCAGCAUUUUUCCCCAUCUCUAUCAAAUUUACAGCUGCUAAUACUUACAGCGAUGUGAAGGUUAGAUUUAUCACAUACUCAAAUGUUCUUUCAUUUUCUAGAAUAUUUUGAAUGCGGUAUGUGAUGGUCUUGUAAGUUCAUCCUUUCGUGAGUCUAUAUUUCAUACAAAGUGUAGGACACCCUGUUUCCUGUUUAGCAACUUUGCACCAUUUACUGUGCUUGAUUGAAAGCCGGUCAUCAAUUUAUUCAUUAAUUUAACGAGUCACAUAUUAAUGGGAAGAAAGUUUAUAAAAGAAUCUUAACCGAAUCUAUCUGUUGUCUUCACUUGCAAGCUGACUUAUUGUGAAACUGUAGUAGAUAGCAAAUAAAUAUCACAUUCUAUAAUGAUUUUUUGUCGUUCUUUGACCUCAUUUAUUACUACUUGAACCACAAUAUUCAUUAUUUACUUUGUGAAGCAUUUCAUGAUAAAUUGUUCGACAUCAACCUAAGUGUACUCAUCAUUCGACUUCUUGCUUAUGCUCCUUUUUUAGAUAAUGCUCCAUUUUGUUCUUUUCUAGUCUCUGUUAAACUUAUACCCUAUUACUAACAUGAUAUCCAAAAACUAUUUUCAGGUCGGUGGCAUCAUUCCGCUUCGAAGCGGUGCUCCUCCCAAAUUUUCACAACGGAUUCAGUUGAUUGCGGAUUCGUAUCAGGUGGUUUAAUUCUCUGAUGAAAAUGUUGCUUUACUACUAUUAAUAAAGUCACACUUGUGCGCAGUUCAAUUUGAAUGGAGUAAACUUUCUCUUUUAUUUUUGCACCCCUUUUUUUUUUCCAUAUAUUUAUAUCACCAUUUUAACUGAAGAAACAGCUGCACAGGAUUUUUUUUUUUUUUUUUCGUUUUUUGAUUAGUUGGCAGCAGUUAUGUCAUAGAAGUAUUUUUAAUAUUCUAUCACACAGUUAUUUUUGUGCCAGCUGAGAUAGUCCUGCAGAAUUUGAGUUUAUUGUUUGGAAAAUAUAUAUAUUCAGCUAUAUUGUUGUUCUAAGUUCUAUCUUUAAAAUGAGCAAGAUUUCUAUCAGGAAUAAAUUUAAGUUAUUAUCUUUUUUUUCCUUUCGGCGUGUGGAGAAGUUUGUACUAGAGUGCACAAAUGUGCAAGGAAGGAACGAAUUUUCUCUAUUCAAUUUCAGCUCUAAAAGUUCGCUUCAACAAAUUUCUCUAAUUCACUCUUAUCUGGUUCCCGUAUUAUCUUCGACAUGUGGUGGAUAUCACAAAUAAUAAAGCUGGGAAUCAAAUCCGUUAAAACUGAGUGUUUUUCUACUAUGAUAGUAGUUAGAGAAACCGUCCGUAAUGUGCAGAAUCCUCUAGUUUGAUAUCUGCUCUUUCGACGAAGACAUUUUUUUUUUUUUGAUCUUUUUGUAUUUUCUGUUGAAAAUCCCCUAUGCCGAAAAUUUCUGUUAGCCUAAACUCCAGUGGUUAGGGGGGAUUUCCGUCUGCACUGCCGACGUUGGCGUGUGUCGUGGCAGACGGUGCAAGCAUUCAUCUUUUCCGGCAUCUCUGGUCCAAACUGAGCCCUGGAUGGCCCUCUUGCUGGCAGCCACUACGGCUUUGCUUGCAAAAAAGUUGGGACGGCUGAAAAAAGUUAAAAAGUUCUUUGUGGAAUCCCAGUUUCCAUCUGAGGAGAGAGAUAGAGCACGCGGAAAUCAUUAGCUCGCCCAGAAGUUUCCCUGGAGGAACACUUGAACACUCCGGGGAUUUACACUUCAGCUAGUGUUAGCGGAGCGUGCGAGCGUAGAGGCCUGGCCUGGCCUUAAAUCCAAUUCUAUCAUCAGAAGCUGCUUGCUUUACCAAAAGCCAUAGUAGACAGAAACGAUUGUAGCAAUUUCAGUAGAGGAUUUUUUUGACAUUUAGUUCACUCAAAACUUUUUUUUUUAUAUAUAUAAAUAGCCUCGAUAAAAUUAUAUUUAUAAAAAUAAACCUCUUUCAACCAUAUUGAGGCUAUAUCCCGGAUAGGUGAAGGCCAUGAGCGUUUUUAAGUCGAACGUAAUAAUCUAAUCACCAAUGAUGACUAGAUUACCCUUCGUUAUUAUGUUUUUUCUGUGUUCCUUUUAACUUUCAUUAUCCCUAAAUCAAAGAAUAGAAACAAGGGAGUAGAUACAAUUUAAAUACGGUGAUUGGAUCACGGUAUUAAACUUAACAUAAUCCUCCACCAUCCAAAGUGGCACUCGCUUGGUCAGAAGAGGACCAGUUUUUACAAAUAUAAAUUUGCUGAAACCAUUAUACAAGAAAAUAUUUUCGAGUCUUAAUGCCAAAAAUACCCCCUAUCAAUAGCUGUGCAGGGUCGGCUGACCAAGUUAUUUCUUUCUCUAUUCAACAAAACGAAAAGAAACAAGCAUAUUUUCAUAUAUAUAUAUAUAUAUAUAUCUGAACAGAUUAUCCCAAGAUUACCUCAACUUUUUUCUCGCGUAUUCAUGUGCUAACACAAGUAAACAAUUAUUCAUGGCACCAAGAAACUUCAUCACCUGGUUGCACCCUCCGCAACACAGCGGUUCAGCAGAGAUGGCCCUCAGAAAAAAGAAGAAAGGGUUCUCCUCGCUAUAACAACGGAUUGGAUUCCGAUGAAUAAAUAGGUUACAUACAUUACGCCGAAUGGGAAUGGGCACAAAAAAACUAUUACACAAAGCUCGCUCACACGAACAAACCGCACAAGAAGGGCGAAAUGUAUGGAUAAUCCCUGUAUUGUCGCAAUAUUGCUGAUUAGUCUCCGAACCUUUCGCUCACACUUCAGUAUCUGAAGUGUUAUUAUAUACUGCCAACCCUAACCACCAGAAGAAUCUGGCACGCCACUUUCUCCCAUAAAACGGCCUUUCAAAUCGCGAUGAGAAAGUUUAGGAUGUAAGCAGCCGUAUAUAGUACAGGGGGCUACCCAUUCAUUUCACCCGAAAAAAAAGUGAAAGACGAAAUAAAAUUCUCAUCCAGCAGCUGUGGUGCACAACACGCACCGCAUACGAGACUCACCUGAUCGGGUUUCAUCGUCAUCCUCGCCGUCAUUGUCGUCGUCGCUGCUAGAUUUAGUGCUCUUUGCUUUCAUAGUUUCCAACCCAUCCAUGAGGCACGGGACGUGGUACCCGUGGCAGCAGAAGAACACGACAACCGACAGGUCACGGAUCGAGAAAGGGUCGAAGCAGAGGCAGCAUCGCCCUCCGCCCCUUGUCCUCGAUUUUAAUUCGAUCGUUCUUGAGCUUUGGAGUCUCUCAAUUGAGCGGGUGGAGGUACCGUCUUCCCUCUUAUUUUGCGCCUCUUCUUCUAUACUACCCAAGUACACGGCCCGGCGAGCCUCAUUGAAGUACUUAACCAAGAGGUUGACGCAAUCAGCCUGUUUAAGAACUUUUCAGUUGAUUAAUUGUUAUAAGCUACUUUGCACGACACUUGAAGUAUUGAAACCUACAUAUGGGUGUUUUGUUAAAAUGGGGUAAAAUAUAGGAUUUAAAAUUUCACAGUUCAAUGAAAAAUUGCAAUUUUACGUCGCAAUGUUUAUAGGCGGUACCCUACAAUUUCAGCCAAGUUUAGAAGAAAAGAUGCACCUUGAGGAUGUCAUUGCAUCCGUGUCUAAGCGACAUUUCGGUUCGGUAAUCGGUUAUAAUUUUGACAAGGCGGUCCCGUAACCUACAACAAUCAGAAGGAAUUAUCAGUCAUGCCAUUUCAGAGGAAUUUGACAUAAUAUUAAAAAAAAGUGAACAGCUAAAUGAUGGUAAGCCGACAGAGAAAUAAAAUACAUCCCUAUUUGCAAUAAUUUCAAGAAUAUUACAAGAAAUAACAUUAGCAAUUGGAAACAAAUUUUCAACAUGCCGUAACUGCAAAAUUAGCUAAAAAGGAUAAUUAAUGGACAUAGAAAGUUCAGCGAAAUGAGCUUCAUUUUGUUGAAAAACAGAAAAUGUGGUGGUUAAUUGGAAUAAAUAAGAUGCAGAAAAUAACAAAGUUGCUGCUCACCGAGGAAUUUCUAAUCCAUUGGGCACAACAUUAACAAUGUAGAGAGGAUCAAGAUUACCAACAGUGUGCUCCAACAACAUUCCUACCUGCUCAAAUAGUCAAAUAUACGGAAUAUACUGCAUAAAUAUAAGAAAAUGAUAGUUUAAUUUAAAAAUAUAUACAAAAUGAUGGUAUAAAUAUAAAUAAAAAUAUAAAUAAAAAUUAUAUAUAUAUAUAUAUAUAUAUAUAUAGGCUGGGGCUACUAUACUCUUAUGAGUAUAGACUCUCUUGUACUCAUAAAUUUUUAACCGUUGAUUGAUAGGAUGUGUGGUUAGGAUGACAGUGGUUCCCACUUAGAAUGAUAGUGAUCUCCUAGGGUUGAGUGGGUAGUUGGUUGAAUAGUAUCAUCUAACGGGUGAAAAUGAUCAAUAGAAUAAAUCUAAGGGCAAAAAACUUAUGAGUAUAAGGGAGCGAAUACUCAUAAAAGUAUAGUAGCCGGACUCAUAUAUAUAUAUAUAUAUAUGUAAAUGUAUAUUAAUUGCCCCUUCAUUGUACCAUUUCAGGCUUCUGAAGGCAUUGCCUGAUUAACUCCUCCCAUAGUUCAUCAUCAUGUUGAUCGGUCACAAAUUCUACAGCCUACAUAAAGUUAAAAUAUUCAUUUAUUAGACACCAAGAAGUAUAUUAUUAUCCAAUCAUAAUGCAGUAAUUACGAUGGAAUGAAAUGUUUUUGGUAAACAAGGACAAAAGAAAAAGAAGAAAACAACUGACACAAACAAAGUUACUUAUGCACACCUCCUGUAUGUCCUCCAACUUAUUUAUAAUAAUAGCAAGGGCCUGUUUUGCAUUUCCCAUCCUACCAAGGACAAAGACUUGCUCUCUUAUGAGCUCUUUCCUAGCACAAAUUUCAUAAGCCUGAAAGGUAAUAAAAUGUUAUUUAUUUAUUCAGUAAAUCUGAAAAAAUGUUAGCAAAUCAAGUCCAACCUUGUCUAGCCUGUAAUGCUGACUGGUACGAAGAAAAGGGAGUAGCAAUCGUGAUUCGUAAUCUGCAUAAAGCUCUACCUAUGACAUAAAAGGACAAAGUACACAACGAAUAAUUAAUCAAGAAUAAGUGUUAUUGCAUGCACAGCAAGUACUGAAAUUAUUCAAAUUCAAAAAGAGUAGAGCUCAGGGGGAAAAGAAAAUUGUACAAGGAAAAAUGAUGAUUGCCCACAGUAAUGACAAAUAACUAGAGAUAGGUAAUUAUUGUGAUAUGAUCCUGAAGGGAUGAAGAACAAAUAAAAUUCAGUAAGAAAACAGAUAUACCUGCAUAUCAUGGAACUCUUUUCCAGCAUUAAUGUCAACCUCAAAAAGGGAAUGCAAGUAAAGAUGCAAGAAAUAUCUCUUGUCACACUUUUUAUUGGACUGCAAAAGCUGCCCGACAACUUCAGAUGGAGGAAUUAUAUCACGGUGUUGGAUCAAUAAAAGAACUGUUCUUUUACUGUCAAGUAUCAUAAGAUCGACCACCUGUAUAAGAAAUAAUAGUAAAUAUAAUAUUAAAAGAAUUGCCUUAACGAUUGCAUAGAUGUACAAGUUAAUUCUAACAUUUAUUUGACAAUAAAUAUAAUUGCUAUCUUAGUAAUAUUUUGCUAAUAGGGACUAAAAGCAACAUGCAUAAACUUCAACACAACCAAUAAAAUGAGAAUGCAAUAACAUAUAAUUUCAUGAUAACUUGAAGCUCAACAUACAUUCCUUUCUUUCAGUGAGCAGCUGUUAAUACCUGUAGAUCAUAAAACUCUUAAAUGCUUACCGGUUUGGAGUGUAAUCAUCAUAGUGAAAGGGUCAACGUUGUACUCUGUUUGAAAUGCAUUUUGUCUAUUCUUAUCCUUCAACUCCUCUCUCUAGGCUUCAAAGUUUUUAAAAAACCUUUUUUGGAUAUAUAUGAAGACUAACACAUUUUUUUGAGUGAGAGAAAGCACAGUAUGCACAAACAAGAAACAGAGUCAUUUCAGCAGACUAUUCUUGUCAAGAUAAUCGUAAAAGGACCAUUUUGCAGAAAAGAAAUAGUAAAAAUUUGAACCAUAGAUUUUAACAAUGGUCAGAUGCAUGAGGAUUUUUACUCAUAAAGGAGAAACAACAAUAGGACAGAACUUUUCAUCUGAGCCACAAGAACAAACAACAGUAUUGUAUCCAAGUACUAGAAGAGGAAUAAACAAAAGCGUAUGCCGCAGAGCGCAAGGCUACUUUUAGUGUAGCCUCCACAGUAAUGAUAUACAACCUUACCCUAGUUAAUAAAAGGAUUUCCAUGAAUCAAACCAGCAUCUAGAGGUUGUAACAAAAGGAAUCACUACAGUUAUUUGCACAAGCAGAUAGCUAAAACGAGUGGGCUGUAAGCUUCAUAAGCAUACCAAGUAUGAUAGAAUAUAGCUCUUCCCAUGAAAGUAAAACUAAGAAAAGAAAGUAAUACUGAGAAAAGAUAAAAGUGAAAUUAUCGUCAACAUUAGGGCUGAUAGCAUACCUUGUCAUGAACGGCAUGAUAUAAACUGUGCUUUUCAAUAAAAUUGAAAACGUCAGGCUUCAAUACCUGAAAAGACAAAAAUGGAAAGAUGAAGUGGGAAGGUAACAUCAAUAUGCGAAUUAAGGCUUGUUUGGCCUGUUUGGGCUUGGAAGAAAUGCUGUUACUCAAAGAGCCGUUCAAAGCAGUGGUAAUAUUUUCUUUUUUUAACCGUAAGUUAUCCUCUACAGCUUCUCACUGCAGAAGAAGCAAAAUGUUCAAAUUGGAACUUUUGGUUUUGGGGCCUGAAAGACUAUUUUAGUCUCCCAACAGCAAAAGCUCGGGACAAUUUGCUAGCCAAACACAUGGUUUAUGGAAGCUUCCACUUCGUGCAUAGAGAUGCUUUUCCAUAAGCCAGGCCAAAAUGUCGCAUGAAGCGUAAGUACUUACAUCAGCAUACAAACCAAAGGCUUUCUCAUACAGUCCAUUGAUCACAUAUAAUUCAGCUAAUGCCUGUUACAAAAACAUGAAUAAAUAAAUAGGAGAUAUAGAACAGAUGUACCAACGCAAAAAUUCCAAACUAACCUCUUUCAAAUUAUCAGUCAUAGAGGAGGUAUUCAUUUGUGGCUCAAUGGCAGAAAUAACAGGUGAUACAGAAUAUAAUGUAGGCGGCCACGAUUUAACAGUUGACAAGAGAAGUUUGUGAAAUGGCGGGUUAGUAGCCAAUGCAACAAGGGCAACCUGUUCAUAUAAAGAAUAAUAUUCAGGAACUCUACAAGCUAAUGAUAAAAAUCUUACUCAUGAAGCAACAACUACAGAUCCAUUAUUUAUCUUACAGACCUCAUAUGCAGUAUCACUCAGCUGAGGAUAGUCUGUAGGAAUGUAAGGAACCAACACAGGAAGCUGGCGCAGAUGGGCAAAGUGAAAAACCCACCUAUUGAAGAAAAAGUUUUAGUUAACAGAGAAUUGAAAACUGUGAAAGUUAAAUUGUGGGCUUUUGCAAACCUUUCCCAUGCUGAAGCGGAUCCACGGAGUAACUUAGGACACAAAGAUGCAGCUUCUGCAUAUUUCCUUUCAACAAUUAGAUGAUCAAGGUAUCUUGAUCCCACCUGACAUAAGAAGAGCACAAAAUCAUUGACCAAAUGAAAUGUUCAAUGAAUCUAGAGAACUUGAAAUUAGUAGCAUGUAUUAAAGAAUUUAUAAGAAGGUAGCAAAAUCCUAAUAAGAAUUCCAGAAUAUAAAGAUAAACUAUUAUAAGAAAAUCAUAGUAGACAAGGCCAUAUGCCACUGAUGCUAUCUUAAAGAGAGCUUAUGACUUUCUGCACCAAACAGGAUGGGAAACACUGAAAGGUUAUUAAAUGAAUGAGAAAUAGCUAUUCCGCCUACAAUUCUUUUCUUGCCAACCCACGAAACCAGUUGAUAAUAGAUUUCAGUUUUUGACCAACAUUUUUAUUGCUAAACAAUCCCACUGGGCCAGGAUUAUAUGUUUCUUCAACCAGUUAUAUUAUCAUUGUACACCCAGUAACGAUGGCAAUGGGGAUAAAAUCAACAGUUAAUUGGAAGCGGAUUUUAAAUUGUUGCUUAAAAUGUCCAUUGCUAGAUUACAUAGUAUAAAGUGCCAUGCUGUUUCACAGCUCGCAAAAUCGAUGAGCUUGACAAUGUAGCCUUGUGCACAAACAAAAAAAAAAAAACAGAAUUCUGUUUAAUUUAAAUAGUAGGGUUGCUAUUCAUACAAGUACAAUAUCGACUCAAAAAAAAAAAAUCUUUAUGAUGGCAAAUGCAAUCACAGGCGUUACCAGCCCCUCCUUUAACUAACAGAUUAAUAGCAAGAAAGAGAAAGAAGCAGCGCCACAAUAAUCUCUUAAUCAAGUGCUUAGAGGGGAUGUGGAUCAGUAGAUCUCAUUUGCUACAACUGACCAGCGAGUAAGUACUACUUUUAAUAAUAAGUAAAUAAUGUGCAAUUGUUUGUCAUGGAAAAUAUUGACAACUGUUACGCUGGCAUGUACAUCCACCCAUAUGAUAUUGCACCAUUGAUAAUUAAAGGAAAAACAGCAGAGAUCUAAUGUACCUCAUCAAGAAGUUCAGUCCGUCCCUGUCCCGCUUCAACUGCAGCUAAUGCCUUUUCAUGCCAACCAUGAUGAAGAAGCCAAGCUAUGUGAUCUUCAGCAUCUCUAAUUUUCAUACAGAUAUUGGAUAGUUAAGAGCAUGGAGUCUGCAAUUUUACCGAGCUUCAAAAAUACACAUACUCUUGUCCAUGUUUGAUGACAUUUUUCAGAUCAAAACAAGCAAGCAAUUAUACAAGUUGAAAAUAUAUCAGAUGGUCAAAUCAGAAAUUUGCAGGAUUCCCUCCCUAGUUUAUUUCUAUCUCAGCCCAAACCCUUGAAACAAUUUAGAAAGGCCCAAUUUUAUUUAGAAAAAGGAGGAAGAGUAGGUACUUCCCCAAAAUAGCAAUUCAAAUCAUAACAUGUACAUAGAUAGUAAAAUGUAAUGGCAUGCAUACAUACACUAUAUAAGUACAUUGUGAACACCAAUGCAAAUAAGUCAAAGAUGCUGCUAAGUUCAAGGGGGAAAAAACAUAAAAUAUAGAACGAUGGUUCCUAGAGUAACAGCCUAACGAGUUAAAAGACACCAGAAAAAGCUUGAAAAAAAGAAGAAGCUAAAGUACUUAAAAUGAGUAUAAAUUCUACAAAAUCCUCAUAUACCUAGGCCUCGCAAUCACUAUGUCUUUGGGAGAUACGAUAUAAUAGAGAGGUUCAUCACCAGCAGCCCACUGACCACCAGCAUAGCUGCUUCCUAUGCAAAAGUGCAAAAGCAGUUAGAAGUUAGCAUUCCAAACCAUGCAACUACAGUUUACAUAUUAUAAACAAAAUGAUUAGGGCUGUUUGGUCUAAUUGUAGCUUAGCAGUUACUUCUACAAAUAGCAAUUUGAAGAAGUUAGUUUUUUUAAGCAUUUGUAACAAACCUAGUCCCUAAUGAUCAGGUUUCCAAUUUGUCCUCAAGAGUUUCAAUUGUAACAAUUUAGCCAUAGAAGUUUGACCAAAAUAUCAGUUUUGUCCUUUGAGCUUCCAUCAUAACAACUUCGUCUCCGAAGGCUAAUCCGGAUUUCAGUUUCGUCCUUAAUGUUCCAUUUCUAACAAAGCAAUAUCUAACUGCAAUGCUGACCUAGCCAAGUUAGAAGUAUAAUAACAAUAGAGCGACUUGCUCGUUAUGCAAAAUGAACUUCGAAGACUAAAGUACUAAAACUAUUGAGGAAAGUGAAAUCAAAAGCGAAGUUCAGGGAUGAAAUUUGUAAUUAACCCUUUUGAUCAAAAUCUCCUUUACAGCCUCUCGUUGCAAUAGAAGCAGAAUCUCAAAUGGGAGCUUCCGCUUGGGGGCCAAACCCCUUUUAAUUUCUUGUCCAAAGAAAAUUUUGAGCCUAUUUGUUAGCAAAAUAGCUGGUUUCUAAAGCUUAUGAUAGGGAAGCUAUUCCAUAAGACAGGCCAAGCAGGCAAUUCAAAUUGGUAAAGGGUGUUUGAAACCUGUGAAUGGAGCAUGUGCAAGAGCAUAAUCUUUUGCCUUAUAAUGUUCAUAGCCAUGAACAGGUAAAGCAUCAGUUGUUAGUUCCUCAUUUUUCCAUGUGACAAUUCGUAUUUCUGGCCUUUGUGCAGUUCCCUGUGUAAAAAUUCCACGCACAUUAAGAACAAGUACUUCUGACUAAUGUAAAAUAUUUCACAAGAGCUAAAGUCAGAGAAAUUUACAAUGUCCAAUGCAACCAGCAAACAGGAAAAAUUAUUGCCAGCACCUGUGCACCACAUCAGCCAGCGCACCACCCAUUCUCUACCAUUCAUCCAUCACAUACUUCUAGAUCAAUAAAUGCUAGGAAGUGGGGACUGAACAGUGAGAUGGGAUGAAGGGCGGAGCAUGGGCGGGGGCACAGGCUGACAAGAUGUGGCAAAUGCAGGCAAUAAUCUAUCCUACUUAGGCAAUCAUUAGUAUUACUAACUGCUCUGGAGCAAGACUUUUUGAAAGCACAUUGAUCAGAAAACAAAGAACCAUGUAGCCCAGUAAAUCUGGUUUGACCCUAGUUGGGAAAACAUCUAGCUUAGUGUUGCCAGCCAUCCAAACUCAUUUUGACCUUGUUCACUUUCUUAAAAUUUCAUACUUUGGUCAUAGCUAGUGCAAUUACAUAACUGUCCAAAAAUUUGAUCAUUAGGCAUGUUUUGGUAGAUAGCGUUUAGCGUGCUAGUAAAUGCAGGUCUGCAUUUAGACCUUCUAAAGGUGAGACAGACUUAUUUUUGUUCCCACAAUUUCAUAUAGCCAUAUAAAAAGAAAAACCACACAAAAGUCCAUAAACAAGAAAAAAGACUUUCAAAUAAUGUCAAAUGAGAUCACUGCAAUAUUAUACUUUUCUCUUUAACUCAUGGUUUCUCAAGCUUCCCAUAGCCAAAAACUCCAAGAUUUGCAAAAAAACCUGAAACUGGAUAUGAGACUAAGAUUUGGACCUAGUCAUAAAGUCACAAUAGAGUUGACAAUAAAGCAGCAUUUCAUUUUAGGGUAUUUCACAUAAGUAACUGCACAAAAUCCUCUAUUUGAUAAAUGUAUACACGCGACAUCAGAAUUUUCACAUAUACCCCUUGGCAGUGCAGUUUAAGAUAAUGCUCUCACCUUAAAUUAGGGUUACAAUUUACAGGGGAAGGGUUCUAAAAAUAACCAUCCAGAAUAUAUUUCUAAAAAUAAGCCCCUGUAAAAAAAUCUGAAUUGUCAGAUGCGCGUGUCCUUUGGAACUGCCGCUCAAAAAAAAAUGUUGUUACCCUAAACUAGAGAUCCAUUUUACAGGAAAGCUGGUUUUGUUCAGAUUUUUUAUUUUUUUGGUAUGUAGAGGAAGUUUUUUCUAAAACGAUGAGAUAUUUUCACUACAAGGAAAUAAUAUUUCGCAGGAUAUUAAGUAUAUAUGCAAUUAGUUAGUACUUUGAUAGAGUAUAAGUGAAAUUUGCUAAAUAUAGUUUGAAAAUGCUAAUGUUGUCAAUCUAAAAAAUCAUUCUUUAAGCUACUAAAUGAAAAUACCUGCCGUGAUGGGACAGUUGUACUGAAAUCCUUUUCUCCAUUUUGCUCCUCCGGGAUGUAUGCUAGUACUACUAAAGCAUCGCCGUAUGGAGCAAUACCAGAAAUGUAGUAACUAGUUUGAAAAGAGGCCACAAUAUCCACAUACUUAGUACUUGAAAUGGAAAUAUUUGUCCGUACACCAUUCACACCAUUGGGAGAAUUAGCUCUAAUGGCAGCAAUCUUUACACUCGUUCCCCAGCCAAUGACCAAGAGAGUGUCAUCCUAGAUACAACAAAUCUUCUUAGCAUGUGACAUAGAAAAUUUCCAGAUUCAACAUAGAAAGAGGAAAGAACCUGCAAUUGCUAUAAACCUUCUCAAAAGUAUUUAAGAAAAAAAAAGAGAAGAAGAAAACAGCCAUCAUUAGCUGAGUUAGGCCUGGCUAGAACUUUUGACAACUGCUGCAUAAUAGAGUUGUUUGGGGAAGCACAAGCAGCUUUGUCAUUACAUUUCAUUACAUUUCCCUAGCAGCUUCUCAAUAACCUAAUUGGAACAUCUGCUUUUGAGGCCCAAACACUCAUUUUAUCAUCUUGCCAUAGCAAAAGCUCUAGAGACUCUUCAUGACAAACUCCUAGUAACUGUUUCUUGAAGUAGAGAAGUUAUACCAGAAACUAAGCCAAACAAACAAAUUAGUGCCCAAAUACCCUCUAAUUUAUUCCUUUAUAAUCAUAAAGAGAGUAAAAUGCAAUAAUAAACAAUCAUGCACUUAAUUCUGCUACUGCCCAUGAUUCAUUGCUCCUCCAUCUUACCUCCACCCCAUCCUGAUAAAGUAUUAACAAUAAAAAUAAAAUAAAAUAAAAAUAAAAGAAGAGACUUCCAGAUCAGAUAGGUAGGCUUUUCGUUGGUAUUCAUUAUAUUCUCCGGUAGCUUGAGUUUCAAAUUAAUACUGAUUCAAAACUGUAGAAAAAUUUUUACUGCCGACCUUUUCAAUUGUCUUAUUUUCUGAUAAUUUAGUGGACUGCCAUCUGAAAUCUGAAAAAUGUUCACCAAUUUCAGCAAAUGGUAUAUCAUUAUUUCGACAUAAAGCAAUUUCCGGCCUGUAAAUACACCACUUACUAGGCUAAAACAAGGCCCAAACUCAAGAUAGCUGAAAUUCAGUCUCAAUAACACACAUAUGCGUGUUACUUGUAUUACUUUACGGGCCAAUAAGAACAGUAUCAUAUAUCUAUUUCUAUCAGUCAGGAACAGUAAAUCUCAAAAAUCUCAAAUGACUUAAUAUUUUGAGCAUGAUGAGGUCAAGCACAACAUUCUCUUUUGAAAUGGUUGCCUCAGCCAGACUACUUCAGAAUGAAAAGGGGAAACUUCACAGAAUAUAUUUUACCUGCCACACCAAGUGAGGAAGUAAAAGCUCUGGACGGGGGAUUCCCCUCGGUCUCUCAAUAAAAGAAAUUCGCUGAUGAUUUGCCAUGUCAUAAACUUUUACUCCUGCAUCAUUAGCCCAAGCAAUAAGACUUGUUCUCCACUUCACGGUAUGAAUUGGACCCUCACCGUCAUGCAGAAUCUGAGAAGAUACAAGGAUGCUGAAUAAUUAAAAUCUGACAAAUCUACAUAUAUGUACCCCCAAAUUACACAUUUAUAUACAUAUAUUCUUGUAAAAUCAGAAUUUAUAUCUUUUCAAAAGUGCAAUUCUUAUAGAAAUACUCGUUUUUAACCUGAGUCAUCCAAUUCAGGUGAAAAUUUGGCUUUGCACAAGAACAAAGCUUUCCAAUGAGGGGCAUUUUGUAAGUAGAAGGGUUAUAUAUUUAAGAAAUUAAAAUUUUGAGACGCAAAUAUGAAAUGAGUCUUGCAGGCGUAUUAGUAUAUACGUUAACAUCUCGAGACACAAGCGGGUACUAAACCGAAAUAUAUUCUAUAUCAAGAAAUAAGACAUACCUGCUUAUUAUAACCUAGCCAGUUCUUCAUGUUGAGAAAUAGUUGACCAGCUAAACCACCCGCGACAAACCUUCUUGAGGAUUUCCGUGAAUAGUCAGGGUCUAGAGCUAUUGCUUUCAUAGGCCGAUGAUACUCGAAUUUCAAUUUUUCAUCCGUAAAAAGGCUGCUUAUAACUACAGAUCCAUCAUCUGAGCAGCUACCAAUAAAUUCACCUUCUGCAUCAAAGCUAAGGUCGUUGACUGUAGCGGUAUGAGCAGCAAAUUCUUUGACCUGUAAAUAUAAAGUGUUGAGAACAUCGGCAUAUUUCGGCAAGAUAAUGGCAAGGAGUAGUAGACAACAGGGCAAAUCAGAAUAAAAAUGACAAGUACUUCUCAAAACAACUAAAAAUCUGGUCCAACCAAUAUGUCGGAACCUCAAAUAUCCUUAAUCUUCCUAAAGAUGAAAAAUCACGCCAUGCAAUCAAAACUACUUCAACUAUAUUGAACCUAAGUUAGAUUCAUCUAAGCACAAACUAGGGAUUGAGUAACUCUAAAGAAUAACAACUAACAUUUUAUACAGCUAUACGCGGUCAGCUAUAUAGGUCGUAUACUUUACAUAAGAUUCUUUGUGAAAUAAAUAUUAUCAUGUAUUUCCUUAUUAUGUCCUCCAGUGUUCAUUAUAAUAUUCCCUUCCCUCAUAAGGCAACUUCUACUUGAAUACUCUUUACUGACACCCCAAGUGGUCUUCUUUGUGCAUGUCCAAACCAUCUCAAUUGGUUCCGCGUGAUUUAACCAGUUGGGUGCUAUACCUAAUUUGCUACUUAAUAGAAUCCUUUCUUUACUUUAUCUUCCAUACUAGCCCCACUAACAUGACUAACUUUAUAGUUGUCUAAUAAAAUCUUCCUUCUACUUUCAGGGGUAUAACAUUAGAAGCACUUCUUUCACUUCUAAUCAUCUUAUGCUUCCGUGCUAGAGCAUAUGGAACGCAGUUUUUUACAAAUGAAACAGUAAAGAUAAAAAAAGAAAAAUUCAUGGUGGAUAAACAUAACUAAGAGGGAUUUCUGUCGUUAACUUGGAUACAUCCAAGUGAAAAAGAUGGCAAAUAGUCUAACAGUGCAUUCAAGAUGUUGAUAAAUCAUCUUAUGCUCCAGUCAUCAAAUAAAAGCUCAUCAUCCAACUACCAUUCAAGAUAACCUACAAAGCAGUUUAUAUUGGGAGCUACACACAAGCCUAUAUGUGCAGGGUAGGGCCCCUCCUUUAAAAAGCAGAUGAUACAAAGGCGUAAAAACAGGGAAUCAAUAUCUAACUUACAAGACCAAGAGAAUAAAAACAAAUGUGAUUGUUUCAAUGAUUGGCUCUCACAAUGCCUAGAUGGUGGAAGUAAUGCUGUAAUUAGGGUACACUAUCUACAAAAGAUAGGGGAAAAAAUAAAAAAACUUUAAUUACUUGAACAAAAAAGAACUGUUCUAAUCAAAAUUAAAAACUACAAAAAUUAAGGUCGAUCUCCCGAUCUUUAUAUUUGAACAUUGAAAAUUCUAAUUCAGUUUUCUUGACCAUAUUUCGGACAGCAAAUCCCCACAUCAACAAUAUUUCACUUCAAAACCAAUCUCAUGACAGAAAUGAUCAUAUCCGUUUGGGCGAUUAAAAAGAAAUUAUUUGACUACAGGAUGUGUCGAUCGCAUCAUAAUUCUACCUCCGAGUUUACUUUACUCAGAAAACCGAUCUAAGCGACCAAAAAUCGUUCUGAGGGAAAAAGAACGGAAUCGAAUCGGAAUCGACCUGAUUGCCCUGGAAAUCGAGGAUGUGGACGGUGCCGUCGUGGGUGCCGAGGGCGACCAUGCGCUCGGCGACGGCGAUGGACGCGGCGGCGUCGGUGGAGAGGAGGGGGGGAACGCUCCCCCCCAUUCUCUGGUACUUGAGCCUCGGCUCCUCCUCGUCCUCUUCCGCCUCCUCCUCUCCCCUGUUCUCUACAUGCUCCUCCUCCUCCUCCUCCUCCUCCUCCUCUUCCUCCUCCUCCUCGUCGUCGUCCUCCUCCUCCCUCUCGUCGUCCCCCUCGACCCCGUUCUCCGAGGGUUGGAGCUCCGACGCCAUGGCUGCUGCGCCGAGAUCCGUGUACAGCAGGAGCUUCGAGAAGCGCCCACGCGAUCGCUCUCUCUCUCUCUCUCUCUCUCUCUCUCUCUCUCCUUCUCUUUCUCUCUCUAGAUUUUUUUUUUUUUUAUCCUGUUUAAUGCUAAACUUCGUGCCAAUUUUAAUCCGGUUCGUUUGUCGUUACGAAAUUAAAAGGAAUUAAUACGAAAAGUCGGGGCGUUUGAUAGAUCCGUUAACCCGCUUAGGACUUAACGGGCGAAAAUGAGGAGCCCAUUAUUAAUCGGAUCGGGUAAUAUAUAUAGUAAGCUUUUUAUCGCCUUGUUUUGAUGCCCAAACAAGUUAUUCACAAACAAAUUAUUAUGACUUUAUUUAUAUACUAGUGUAGUAACCCGCGCGAUGCCGCGAAUAAAUGAUAGAAGAAAAAUUAAAAAAUAUUGAAGAGUAAGAAGAAAGAAGUUUGGAAAAUAAAAAUUCAAGUGUGUUUUAUUUUUUGGGUAGGAAAAUGUAUGAAUUGAAUUAACCAAUAUGGUCAUUGAAAAUCGAUAACUGCCCAGAAUCAACAUUCAAAAAAAAAACCCUACAAAAGUCGUAUGAAGAUGGAGAUAAUAAUGUUGCGAUGAUGACGACGAUAGCGAUAAAAAUCUGAUGAAAAUUUGCAGAAUUUUGCACCCUUUUGGACAUGGAAUGAUCAAAAGUUACGGGCCAAAACUGCCAUAUCAAUUAUGAAAUAAAAAAUAACCUCUAAAUUAAUCAAAAUAAUGCAUAUAAAUUAAAUCCUUGAUUGAUACAAUCACCAUACAAAAAUAAUGCAAAUAAAUUAAAUUCUAAAUGAAUACGUAGUAAGAAUUCGAGAUUAAAAUAAAGAAAAGAAAAAAUUAGGUUUAGGAUUUUCGUUUUCCAAACCUACCCCUCGAACCGUCUAUUAUUGCUCUCCAAUUAGCUUUCUCUAUUGAAAAAAUCGUUCGAUUACCUUCUUUUUCCAUAAUCCGAAGAGAUCGACAUUGAUAGAAACCCUAUAAACACUCUUUUGAUUCGGAGGGGGGGUUCGGGUCGAGUCGGAUUGGCACGGAUUAGGACUUGGAAGACUCCCUUGCUCUUUCCCAAUCUCUAGAUCUAUUCUCAUUUUUUAAUUUUGUAUGUAAGGAAUUGUUUGUGGAAGAAGAAAGGACUAAUUUUGAAGAGGAAACGUAUAAAUUAAAAUGCGUAUUGAUUACAUGCCAUUGAAUAGAGAGGAGGGAAGGAGAAAAGCCAAGAAUAAAAAUUAAUUAAAAAAAAUAAUUUUGAAGAGAAAACGUAUAAAUUAAAAAGCACAUUGAUUAUAUAUCAUUGAAUAGAGAGGAUGGGAGUGGAAAAGCCAAGAAUAAAAAUCAAUUCAGAAAAAAGAUUAGCGAGGGUGGAGAAAAACUUGCCACGUGGCAAAAUUAUUGAGAAUUCAUAUAGAGUAAUAGAUAAUAGAUAAUAGAUAAUAGAUAAUAGAAGUAAUAGAUAGAUAAUAGAUAUAUGAAAAUAAAUUAUUUAAUAAUAACUUAUUUGGUUUUUUUUUUGUGAUUUGAAAUAAAAAGUUUAAAUAUCUUUGAAGAAUCUUAACAUUACUGAUUUGGAAAGAGAUAACAUAUUUUAUUUACAAUGUAAUUUAUACCUUAUUUCAAAUUUAGUUCAUUGAAAGGUUUUGAGAAAUAAAUUAUUGAACUUCUUCUUUUUGCUUUUUUUUUUUGAGAGAUAGCUAAAAAUGUGAAUCAACUAGGAUUCGAACUUGGGACCUCGGGUAUCAACCACUAAACCCUUUGCCACUUGUUCUAGUGACGGUCGGUUAAAUUAUUGAACUUCAGUUUUUGUUUAUUAUAUUUUACUAAAUUCCAUGUAGUUUGUCAAACAAAAAGACAAACCGAUUUAUAUUCAGUAAUCACACUAUCUCUAGAGAUGGCAUGGCUAUUAAUUUAUCUCUUAAGAUCACUUUUACGUGCAAAUUGUUAAUUAGUUGUUAAACUAAGUAGCUAAAUAAAAAUAAUUUUGAGAUGAUAUGAUAAUAAUUUAAAAGGGUAGUAAUUAUUGCCACAUAAGUUUUUGAUGAUAACUUAAUUAAGUGCCACAACAUAAUGGAAUAGAAUUUAGAUUAUGUUAAAUUGAGAGUAUUAAAUAAGAUUCUCUUAUAGAUUCUAUAUAGUAUUUAACUUUGUCCUGUUUGAUUUAAAAUUUAAAAUAUGGCAUGUGUUGCAAUCAACAUCUAUCAUGAGUUUUAUUUAUAAUUUCUACUCUCAUAAUUGGGCCAAUAUAGACAAAGGUUAUCUCCAAAUCUAUACUACUUAUAAAAACGUGAGUUUUAAAUUUUUUUUCUUUCCAAAAAUGUCUCUAUCAUUUUUACUAAUAUUGUCAUGUCCAGUAAUUUUCAACCAUCCAUUUUAAAUAAAUAUUUAAAUAAUAAUUUAUUCUUAAAUAUAGAUUUUAAGUUUUCGCCAUUGGAUCUCAUCCAACGAAUAAAAAUGAAAGUAUCUGUCAUUUUUGUUGACAAAAAUACCCUCCAUAUCCGUUAUCUCCUAUGUACGCCGCGUUUCUUAAAUGACCAAUCAUUUAAUACGUAAAACUAAAUUUAUCUCUUAUCUAACGUAAUACGCGCCAAUCACGUAAUGCCUCCGCUAAUCACGUAAUAUGUAAAAUUAAAUUUAUUUCCUAGCCACACAUUUUUUCAAAUAUUUUUUCUUAUCAAACAUAAUACCUGUCAACACAUAGUAUUCAAAAUUAAAUUUUAAAUUUGUAAUGCCCGCCAAAAUUUAAUACCCGCGAAUUUGAUUUUUUUUUUUGGUAUUUUCUCAUUUUCAGCUGUACGUUUCUUAUAUAUAAAAUAUAUAUUUUUUUAAUAGUAUCCUUUUUUAUUUUUAUCUAUAUUUUUUUUCAAAUAUUUUUUUAGUAAUAUCUUUUCUCAUUUGUUACAGCGGUACAUCGUCAUCGUCCUACUCAUCAUCAUUGUUUGUGCCGGUACAUUGUCGCGUUCACCACCUUCGUCAUAAUUAAAGAGGUAUUUUAAUUCUAUCUGAAAUUUUUUCUUUUUUUUAAUAUGCCUUUAUACUGUUUUAGUUUUUUUUUUUGUUUUUUCUUAUUUUCAUAUAUACGUUUCUCAAAUAUAAAGUAUAUAUUUUUUAGUAAUAUAUAUUUUUAUUUUUAUUUAUAUAUUUUUUAAAUACUUUUAAAUAUUUUUUUUGUAAUAUACUUUCUCAUUUGUCCCCGUUGUCGACACUGGUACAUCGUCAUCAUUAUCACUGACGCCGACACAUUAUCACCUUCGCCACCUUCACCGCCUUCGCACAAUUGAAGAGGUAUUUUGAGCCCAUCUAAAAAUUUCUCUUUUUUUAAUAUAUCUUUAUACUGUUUUAGUAUUUUUUUAGUAUUUUUUAUUUUUACUUAUAUAUUUCACAAAUAUAAAGUAUAUUUUUUUAGUAAUAUUUUUUUUUAUUUUUUACUAUUAUUUUUCUUAAAUAUUUUCAAAUAUUUUUUUAAUAAUAUUCUUUUUUAUUUAUCUCCGUCGUCGACACCGGUACAUCAUCACAUUACUUACGUCUGUACAUAUCGCCUUUGCCAUAAUUAGAGAGAUAUUUUAAUUUCAUUUGAAUUGUCUUUUUGUAAUGUGCCUUUAUACUGUUUUAGCAUAUUUUUUUUAGUAAUUUCUCAUUUUUACCUAUAUAUUUUUCAAAUAUAAAACAUAUAUUUAUUUAGUAAUAUUCUUUUUUAUUUUUAUCUAUAUUUUUUUCAAAUAUUCUCAAAUAUUUUUUUAGUAAUAUUAUUUCUCAUUUGUCCCCAUUGUCGGUAUUAGCACAUCGUCAUCAUCUUCCUCAUCGUUAUAGCCGUCAUCGGCGCCAACACAUUGUCGCCUUCGUCACCUUCUAUACUACUGCUAAUUUCUAUAUAAUUUCAGUUUUCUUAGAUGUUGUAGAAAUAAUUGUCUAAAUCAAUCACUCUUUAUUUGUAUGGUGUUAAUCGUUCUAAACGUGAAGGUAAAGCGUUUCUCUUUUUAUCAUUUCACAUAAGUACAUAUUUAGUAAAAUCAUCAUGAAUAAUCAAAAUUAAAAAAAAUUAAAUUUAAUAAAGAAUUCAUAAAGUAAAUAAAAAUUUUUAGCUUGAUUGUAUUUCUUGAGUUUUUGGAAAUAGAUAGAUUAAGCACUAAUUUUAUUCACAAAUUUCUGCGCUAAAAUAAAUUGAUUCUAGAUAAAAUAAAUUUGAAAUACGACAGAAAAAUAAAAUUAAAAAGUUACAUUUAUUCAUAAUUACGAUAUUAACGUGCACUGUUUUAAUACACAACUGAAUUCAUUUGUUAAUAGCACUAUCUUGUCCUAAAGGACAAUUAAUUCGAUUCAUUACUUCAAUCCAUCCAAGAUAAUUAGUUAUUAUAAUGUUUUUCAUUGCCAAUGUUGUUAGCACUAUCUUGUCGCUGAGGAUUAUCUAAUUCGAAUCAUACUUAAUCCAUCCAAAUAAUUAGUUAUUAAUAUUUUUUCUCNNNNNNNNNNNNNNNNNNNNNNNNNNNNNNNNNNNNNNNNNNNNNNNNNNNNNNNNNNNNNNNNNNNNNNNNNNNNNNNNNNNNNNNNNNNNNNNNNNNNAAUAAAAGUGACAAAUAUAUCACUGAGCCAAUCUUCUAUAAAUUUAUUAUUUGUGAACCCACAUUGCUUUUCUAAAACUGUAGCAGGUAGGACAAAAUAUCAAUAAAUAGGAAAUGUAUGUAGGCUAAUUAGUUAGUUAGCAUGAUUUUUAAAUGCAUUACAGUGGACUUACUAAAAUGUUGGUUCUAACAUUUAUCUUUUAAUAUAAUCUCUUCUUUAUUGUUUUUAGGGUUCUUUUGAUCUUUUCUGAUGAGGGUGAUACCACCUAAAAUUGUUAUGAUAGAUGGAUCUGAUCUAAAGUACCUUCCAAUGCCUUUCUCUCGAAAAAAAAUUAUCGAUUUUUAGAAAUUGGUGGUUGAGACUCCUCCAUUCCCCAUAUUUCCAUCUUUUAGCACCAAAAUCCUGCAAUUGUGGCAAAAAAAAAGAGAGUAAAAAUACACACAAAAAAGCAAAUUUAGAAAAUAACACAAAAUACUCCACAUUGGUUUUCUAUAGUUCCAAAAACGCUAAAAAAUUGUUGAAAAAAAAAAAAAAAACAAAAACAAAACUCUCUAGUCUAAAAUUCCAUGGCUUAAAUUCCUAGAACAUUAAAAAAAAAAUUUGUGAAGGAAAAGGCCUCCAUUUUCUCCAUAAUUAGAAGAUUCAACCAAAUAAUUAGAAAAAAAAAUUGCAAAUCCAAGGAUAAAAAUAGAGAAAGAAAUAAAUGCCAAAUGCUAGACGAAAUGCCUAGUAAAAAAAAAAAACUCCACAUAAAUCAGACCUUUCAUAUUAAUAAAAUUUAAAUAAAUAACGGCGACCUCACAAACACCCAAUCCUACUCAUUCCACUUCAAAUCCUACUAUAUAAAAAAAAAAAACAAAAAAAAGAAAAAAAUUAAGAAAAAAGAAAAGCAGAAUCCAAUGCGGGAAAGAAGCGAAACAGAAUCAUACACUAGCGAAGAGAAUAUAAUCGGAGAGAGAGGGAGAGAGUAAUUUCUUACUGAUUACUUCGAUUUUGGUUCUAUUUGUAGGGUUUUUUUUUUUUUUGUUCUUUUUUGCCCUAUUUUCUGAAACCCUGGUUUUUCGAUCGUACCGAUGCUUCGUCCGCUUCGGAGCCGCUGUUUUUUUUAUAGCAAUAUAGAGAGAGAGAGUAGAGAGAGAAAAAUGAGAGCGGAGAGUAGAGAGAGAAAGAGGAGUUUCCCGGGCUGUGGCGGUUGUUGUGGUGGCUUCAGACUCGGACCGAGAGGUCACUGUGAAUCAAUUUUUUGGGUUAAUUACAAAUGGCUUAAUUGCACACACAUAGCUUCCCCUGAAUACAUCGAAUAACUGAUAUAUUCUUAUAUAAAGUUUAACUUUUUACUUUUGUUCCUAUAAAAAUUUUAAUAUUUUUAAAUAUAUUUUUACUGUUAAGAUUCUUUAGAAAAAUAUAAUUAACCUGAUUAGUAAAUAAGUUAAAUUAACCUUUUUACCCCUUCUAUUAUUAUUCGGUAAAAUACCUUUUUGAUAGAAUAUUUUUUACAUAAUUAUAACAGUUAGAGCUUUUGAAGGGAUAUAUUUAUAAGGAUAAAAAUAUCAUUUUACUUGUCUGCUGUUAAAAAAUAAUAGUACACUAGCGAUAACAAAUCAGAGGGGGAAAUAUGAAUAUCACUGAACUUUUACAUAAAUAAAAAACAAAAGUUGAACUUUUUAGAAAUAUAUUUAAUAUUCGAUAUGUUUAUAUGAAACUGUAUACAAUUAACCCAUUACAAAUUUAUCCUUACAAGAUAAUAAAAUUACAUAGUCCUAGGCCAAGCUUUUUAUUGGAUCGUUGGCGUUCACUAUUAAUCCCAAAAAUUCACGUUUUAAAAAUAUACAAUUAAUUUAUUUAAAAUGUAUUGAUACAGAACCUAUGGGUCACAUUUGUGACUUAGCCCAACAAGAUUCUUGCCACUUCGAACAUGACUUGGUCCAAUCCGAUUUUCUGCCAUUUCGAACGUUACUCGGACUAACUCGACCUCCAGCCACAAGGCAAGAUAUUAAUCCCUUUAAACAGACAGGUUUAAAAGCAAUGAACAUCGGAAAAUAAAAAAAAAUUCAGAAUGGUUUACUAUUCCAAAAUAGUAAAAAAUAAAACUAAAUUAUUUUUUAUUUACAAUAUUGUUAUUUCUGGAAAGAACUAUUUUUGUAUUUGGUUAAUCUUAUAUAAUAAUAGACAAUGGUAAAAAAAAAUAAUAAUAGCUGAAUUUGAUAUAAGAUUUGAUUAAUAUUUUGUNUAAAAAAAAAUAAUAAUAGCUGAAUUUGAUAUAAGAUUUGAUUAAUAUUUUGUAAUAAAAUAGAUAUAAAAUUAUAUUAUAUAGAAAAAUAUUUGAAAUAUAAUGCUAUUUUUCAAAUUUCACUUAAACUUAAAUUUAAUAAAAAUUUAUUAUACUAAUUGAGUUUAAUUUAUUACAAUAUGUAAUAUAUUUUGUCCAUAUAAUUACCUUAAUUUAAUUUAUAAUCUUAACAAAGCUUAAAAUUAAAUCUUAAAACCUUAAUUUAAUUUAUAAUCUUAACAAAGCUUAAAAUUAAAUCUUAAAAUAACAUUAUUCCAUCAAAAGAGUGGAAUAGUUGAUCUGGAGCUAUCUCAAGUCAGAACAACCGAAAAUAGCAAUAUUUGACUGGAAUAUUUUAUUCCGACUAAAAAAUACUUUAUUUGACGGAUAGCGAGGAUAACGUGCUGAUUUAUUUCUGAACCAAAUGGGGCUUAGCAAUUAAAAAUAUUCAGCUCACGUUGUAUAAUUUGUAAAAUACAUUUGUCUCAUUUACUAACAGGUUAAAAAUUGACUAUCUUUCUACAUAAUAUUUAUUCUACUGUGGUCCUCAAACUAUAGGGAAUGUGACACUUUCAUCCUUUAGCUUUAAUUUGCUAUAAAUUUUAGUUUGAACUUCAUGAAUCGUUCAAAUUAAGUUUUGUAAAAUAAUUAGUUGACUUAAUGGUAACGUAUUACUAAUAUAAAAUAAUGUGUCAACUAUAAAAAUGACAUGGGAUUGACACAUCAGUGGCAUACGGACAAUCAAUUAAUUAAAUUUGUCCAUUCUGAAAUAAUUUCCUUGGUUUUUUUUUUUGCCAUUGAUCAAAUUAAUAUUAUUCCCUUCUUUCUUUCCUUUCUCUCUCUCCUUAGUUUUUCUCCUCGCUCUUCAUCUUCCUCCUCCAUAGCCGUCCUCAUGUCGACACCGCUCUCUUCUCUCCUACCUUGCGCAUACGGCUGACAUCCAUGUCGGUGAUGGUGGCUUGGAUAUGGCAUAGAUCGCGAAGGUGAGGUUACAGCGGAGAGCAUGAUUACAGAUAGCGACGAGUGUGCUACGAAAAUUGAGAAUGAUGAAGAGGGAAAACACAUUGGGACGGGGACGGUGACUGCAGCAAAGGACGAGGGAAAAAGAGCGAAAAAGGAUGCAGAAACGGUUGGUAAGAACAGAUGUAAAUCAGUAGGCAAAUUCUACAGAGGUGGAUUUGGUUUGAUUGUUUCCUUCUUUGCUUUUGAUUUGUUUUGGAUUUUUCUGUCUCUUCCGGAAAGCUACUGAACCUGUGGGGAAACACGAGGAAGAGGAUCAAAGUUCACGGGUUUACAAUCAAGUUCAAUAAUUGGCCUCACUUUUAGCUAGACCGGUAUACUAUCUAUAGCACGGAGCCCUUCGUACUAUCAAGUUGUUUUUAAUGAUGCGGCUUCCAAAUCGACUAUUGACUCCGUUACUCUUGAUUUACAGCAUUAAAAGUAUUUGAAAACUAAAUUUUAUAAUUUUUCGUUAUUAUUUGGCUAAUAAUCAAAAAGUUUCAAAAUUGAUAAUUUUAAUGGUAGAUGUGAUACUUUUGUGAAUUUAACGAUGUAAAAAAAUUCAAAUCUGAUGAAAUUUAUAUAUAAAUUUUUUUUCACUAUUUAAAGUAAGAUCAGUACCUCUGAUCUUAAAUUCAAGUCUUUUAUCAUCAUUUUUUAUGAACUUUUUAUUUUCAUCCGUUCAUUUUUAGAUUAUUCGUUUGAUAAGUAAAUGAUGCUAAACAAUUAUGAAAUUUAGUUUUUAAAUACUUUCAAUAGUGUAGAUCAAGUUUAACGAAGGCGAUCGUCGAUUUCGAAACCGCAUCAUUGAGAACAAUUUGAUAGUACGGAGGCCUCCGUACUACCGAUAGUAUACCAACCUAGCUCUCUCUCUCUCUCUCUCUCUCUCUAUAUAUAUAUAUAUAUAUUUUUUCAACUCUUUGACACCAAAUUUAAAUAAAAUUGAAUAGAAUUUAAAUAAAAAAAAAUUCAGUUCGGUUUGUUCUACCAAAAGUUUUCAAUCUUUUCUCCAAGUUUUGAAACCUUUCAUAAGAUUAUAAUAUUUUAUUUAUUUUACUUAGCAUUUUAAAUAUCCAACUCGUUAUAUUCAGCUCCUUGCAAGAAUAUCUUAUUACCGAAGUACAGGAGGUAUUUGGUUGCCCGAAAAAUAUCAAGAAAAUAGUUUUUUUAAGUUGAAAAAAUGUUUUUCGUUUGUUUAGUUUUUUGAAAAAGUAAUUUUUCUAUUAAAAGAUUUUUUCUGAUUUUAUAAAACAGUGGCAUUUGAUUCCUUAAAAAUAAAUAAAUAAAUAAAUAAAUAAAUAAAUAGAAAGCUAUUUUCUGAAAAAAAAUCAUGAAAAAUAUAUGAGAUAUUUUUUAAAAAACCCAGCCACCCCCGACGGCUUAAUGUGUUAUACUCUUUAUUACUCUAUCUGAUUACUGCAGUCAAAAUUACAACCACUUUACACAUAGUGACAACUCUUGCUGUUGAAUUUUCUUGUAUAGUUUCAAUUAUAGUAAUUAAAUUCAAAUACAUCAAAUCAAACACCAUAUCAACAUUGUAUUUAGUUACAAUAACAGUGCAAUUACAAUUAAUAGUGUAGAGACCCGCGCGAUGCAGCGGGUAGAAAAUAGAAAUAAAUUUUUAAUAUUUUAAUAAAAUUUAUAUUUACAGCUUAUUGGAAGCUAUACCAUAUUUAAGCACAGUCAAUUUGCAUGACUAAAUUCAGUUGUUAAAAAAAUAAAAUAAUAGUUAGAAGCAUAUGAAAUACAUAAAUAAUAACUUAACGUAUCUGGCUUAAGAAAAUUUUGGUUGACGUCUCAGGCUCCAAAUCUCCGCAUCAUACUUUUUAAUCUACGAAAGAAAUUUUGCCCACAACAGUGUCUACUCAAAAAAAUGAUCAUAAUAUAAAAAUAAAACAAAAAACACCAAUCUUAAAAAAACUAAUAUUUUUUUGGAGCACUUCUCUUACUCAUCCAAAUCUCAUAUAUCUUCUUAAUCUUCAACUGGUAGUUGCUCCCUGCGCCGAGUCAUUUCUGGAUUUCCAUUGUAACCUAUGAACAAAUACCUCAUCUGCAUCACUAAACUGCGAUAUCUAAACCGACACAGUCUUGCCAUCACAUCAACCAUAGAAACCCUAAUUCUUAAACAAUUUGAUUUAUCAAAAAGUUCCUGCAAUUCUUGAGAAGCAAACUCCCGCACAACGUCCCCGCGAAGAGGAGGCUAGGACGGCGCUCCCCUCGGCCUAGUUGCCGGCACGCGGGAGCCGUGCGAGAAGGCAGCCGAGGCGGCGGCGGUUCACGGCGAGCGACGGCUCCAGUGCAGACUGGCCCAGCGAGCACUUAUAUGGGGCGCGGCUGGACUUUACAGGACGAUAUUUUUUGAAGGAGACAACGUUCUUCGCAUGCUCUUCUUCUUCAUCAUCCUCAUAAUCUUUGUUAACACAAUGAGAUAGAGAGAAUGAGAUAAGUGUGGGGUGAGAGAUUAGAUGAUAAUGUUUCUUUUUGCAUGAAAAAUAACAUGUCAUGCAAGAAAGAGGGGGUGAGGGGAUUAAUGGUGGAGGGGAGUGGAUUGGAGUUAUAAAGCUCACUAAUUGGUGAAAUAUAAUGCAUGUAAUUAAAUGUGGACAGGUGAAAGUUUGAGCAUUUAGAAGUGGAGAUUAAUAGUGGAGGGGAGUGGAUUGGAGUUAUAAAGCUUACUAAUUGAUAGAAUAUGAUGCAUAUAAUUAAAUGUGGAGAGGUGAAGGGUUUAGCAUAGCAUUUAGAAGUGAUGAUUAAUGGUGAAGAGGAGUGGAUUGGAGUUACAAAGCUCACUACUUGGUGGAAUAUAAUGCAUGUAAUUAAAUAUAGAGAGGUAAACGGUUAAGCAUUUAAAAGUGGAGAAGAAACGUAAAUUUUAUAUUGGGGAUUCAUAUAAGAGAUGGAUAUUAUCUAUUAAUCUAAGAAUGAAGGGUUUCUUGCCACGUGGCAAGAAAUUUUAUGGAUUUAUUAUGUUUAAUAGAUAUGCAACCAAACAGUCUUUACAUCAAGCCGUAAAAAACCUAUUUACUCGGCCCAAGAUGAACAUCAGAAUAGGCCCAGACUCCAAAUGGGCCAAAGCCUAAAACACGGAGAAGAGAAUGGGCCAAAAGUCCGAUAAAAAAUGAAACCGAAAGGUUAGAGGCCUUUGAGAGGAUGUUGAUACGCUUAUUCAUCUGAUACUUUAUAAAGAACUCGGUAGCAAAGCCCCCACAAAAGCCGACUUCGAUUAUUACUCUGCAAAAUGAAUUCGGCGGGCGACGGAGCCCCUAAACUGCCCGAUUUCUAUUGUAGUCGGCAACGAGGAGCCUCCGCACGCCGACUACAAGAGAUCGAUUUGUGUAAAUGCGAAAAAAAAAAAAAAAAAAAGGGAGUGAGAAUAUCAGUUCUCGGUCAAACGGUCAGCAUUUUGGCGCCUCCUUUCGGAAAGCGCUCGCUCGCUGCCACGUCAUAGGGGCGGUGCAAAAAGCCAAAACCAACCGCCAAGGCUUACGUACAUCUCACACUAGACCCGGUCUAUACACCCAACCACUCUCUAUUAACCUCCAUUGUCCGAGACAUGUUUUUUUCGGAAUAAUUACGUACACAUCUCUCAAAAUUUCUGAAAUAUUUUUAUAAUUUUUUAUUUUUUUAUUUAAAAUAUACAUCUUAUAUAUUUUUUUGUUAUUAAAAAAUAACUCCGCUAUUAGUAUUUGUUAAAUCAUCUUGGAUUAAAUCUGGAUUAAAUUUUUACCGGAGUUAAAAAAAUGUCAAAUUUCCCUUUUGUCCGUAACUUAAUGAUAAAUAAGAAAAGUUAGUAACAACAGAAGAAUAUAUUUGAAAGGGCGAAAAGACAAGCUGUUUUUUUUUGCCCCUAACUUAAGGGUAAUAAAAAAAAGUUAGUAACAAUAAAAGAGAUAUAUUUAAAAGGACAAAAUAGUAAUUUUAUAAAAAUAAUGUUUAUUUCUGACAUUCACUAAUAAAAUUUUACUCUAUAGAGAUAUAUUUGAAAAAACUUAGAUUUUUAGGAGAAUAUUUUUUAAUUAUAUUAGCCUUCUAAGCGAGAGAAAUAAAAAUGUCUGAAAUUUUUUAGGAGUAUAUAAGUGAUUAUUUUUUUUUAGCCCUUGUGUAUUUCAAAUUGCAUUAGAUAAUUUAAAUAUAAUUUUAUUUGAUUAAUUUUAUCUUACACCAUGUGAGAUAAAUAUCAAGAUUUUUUUAUAUAGCAUAGAUUCUUUUUUCUAUCUUAUACCUUCCUUUCUAUUAUAAUAUUUUAUAUAUUUUCACAUAAUAGAGAUGACAAUUUUAAUUUUUACUAAAAUUAUAUUAAUAAUAUUAUUAUAAAUUUUUUUAAUUCGUUGAAGUAUCAAAAAAAGUAAAAUUUAGCAUAAACUAGGAAAAGAAUAUAGUGUUCUAAGGAUAGUGAUGAAUUUGUCAUGAGCGUGAUUUGUCUAUGAUGACGUGGCACACCCGGUUCAUGAGAAUAGUUAUUGCAGCAAAAGGCGAAAUUAUAGACCGAAAGAAACCACGCUUUUUUAUUCAAUUCCUUCGAUCUCCUCCUCGCUCUUCUUCUUCUCCUUCUUCCUCUUCCCUUUCCUUUUCUCCCUCUUCGCCUCAUCUCUCUCGAUUCAACCCUAUCAAUGGCGAACGACGCCAUCCCCUCCUCGUCCUCGUCGUCGGAGGCCGCGGCGGAAGAGGAGGAGAAGAAGAAGAAGAGGCGUAGUGGCCGCGGAGGCGGCGGCGGAGGAGUGGUGUCGCGCGUGUGGAAGGGGAUCUUCGGAGCGGGACAUGACUUGGAGAAGGAGCUUCGGCGCCUCUCCGUGGCGGAGGCCUCCGCCCACGCGCGGAUCAAGCGAAGGGCCCAAGCCACGCGCGCGAUGAGGACGAACCUCGUCGUCGUAUCGAUCGCUCUUGAGGUUUUGCGAUUUGAUUUGAUUUUAGCCGAAUUAGUUUUAAUUAGGUCGCUGGAAUUUAUCAAGUUGAUUUCGAAUUUAGGGUUUGAUGAGGUAGCAAGGUUGCCACUAUGUAUUGAAAUGAGCUUAAUAGUUGGUAGUUGUUUGAUAUUCUCAAAUCAUAUUAGGUUUGAUUGCAAUAAUUCAGGUAGUUUGAAUCACAAACUUCAAUAAUUCUAGUUUUGAUGAUCAAAUAUCAGCAACCUUGUAGUUCGAGAACGAUUCGUCAAAUUUGGCCUAUGAUUUAUGUGUGCAAAUGGAGCAAUAUUGCUCGUUUAGUUUUAUUUUUUAUUUGUAGAGACAUGAUUUUUGAUGUUUAUAAUGGUUGCACAGAAUUGCGCCAAGUGAUUGAAAAAAUCUGAUAUGAAGCUGUUUGUCCAAUUUAGACUAUGAUUUAUAUGAGCAAAUGGAGCAAUCUUGCUUGUUUUAAUUUAAUAUUAGUUUGUAGAAACAUGAUUUUUAAUGUUUAUAGUGGUUUCACGGCAUUGCGCCUAGUGAUUGAAAAAUCAGAUAUGAUGAUGUGCUUAAACAUAAUAUAUAUUAGAUUUAGUAUACGUCACAAAUAUAUCUUUCACCGGUUGUGUACUUCUAUAUCUUCUAUAAAGGUUCCUUGUGGUUCUGCAAGUGUUCGUUGCUUGAUUAUUGCUAAACCUUCCAAAAAAAUGAUUUAGUGUUCUUGGUCAUUUUCUACUAGAUCAUUUUUCUUGGUAGCAUGGUAUCAGAGCUAACCCAAAUCCCCCUCCAUUCCAAGAGGUCCUGAGUUUGAUUCUUUUAUCCGCCACUUUAUGGCAUAUAUUUCCGUCCUUUAUUCCAUUGUAUUUUCCAUUAUCUCAGACCUUUUGGCAUGGUUCAUUUGAUACUCACCGUGCACGCGAGUGAGGAGUGUUAAGACAAAUCCUAGGCCGUUUCCUAGUCGAUCAAUUUUUUUGUUAACACCUAUCAGAUAUGUCUGCAGCACCUGCAUGAAGCUUGUGCCCUUCCCCAGGUGUGGGUUGAGGGACUUCAAGAAGGCCAGAGCCUGCCCGUCGCUCACGUCGCUAAAUAUCUUCUUCAAUCUCAGCUCCUUCACGUCCUCCUCGCUGCUCAAGAGGAGGGCGAGCAGAGAGAGGUAAGAGCCGACCCCGUAGUCGGUCACACCGACGGCGCAAGUCUCGAACGCCACCAUGUUCGAUAUUACGGUCUGGGUCGCAUCAUCGAUUUGGAUCGGCGGAAGGGACAGCCACCCGAAGAGCAAGCCGCUGCGGAAGGUAAUGUCCCGGAACCGGGACAUAUCACUGGCGCGGAACCGAACCCCGAUCUCUGUGAGCUCCAUGGCAGAGCUGAAGAGCGAGAAACGAGUUAACCCACUGGGUUUUGACUCAAUGCUGGGGCCUAGGUAACUCUCGCGCACGAGGUCUAGUAGGUGGCAGGGCUUAUAACCGCUGACGGCGCCCUCGUCGAACUGGGGAGGCGACUCCAUCUCCAAGGAAGAGACAAUUGCUCGGGCAAACCAGUGGAUCCACACACGUCGCAAACUCAUGAGGGCCUCCAGCACCACCCACGGAAUCUGGUUCUCGAGCAACAAGAUGUCCUUCCUGAUCUGUGAGCCGCGGAAGGUGCUGAAGCUCAUGAAGAUGGACGAAGAAGGCAUGCAAUUGCCAGUCAUAAGCGCUACGAACUCCAACAGGUAGCAGCCAUCGAAGAACACAAUGUCGGCGAAUUCCUUUUCGCUCAUGUACUCAAAUAGGUCCGCAUAGCCACUCCGAGCCUCCCCAGCGACUGCACGGACCUUUCUGUAGAAAUCUUCGACGGAGUGUCUUGGGACCUUUCUGUAGAAAUCUUCGACGGAGUGUCUUGUGCUGUUGCAAAAGUCAUGAGCGGCCGCUUUCUUGACCACUUCCAUCGACUGCAGUUGCAGGUCAUGUCAGUGGUAAGGACUGCAGUUGCGGGUCGUGUCGGUGGUAAGGACCGAUGGCCACUAUCUCGGGGUUGAAGUACCGGGCGCCAUUCUCGAUACUUCAAAGAGGUUCGGGGACCUUCUGUGUGAGGGGCUUGCCCAAUUGAGCCUCUGCUCGUACCUUCUCAUUGCUCGCCUUCAUGAUGGCAGCAAGCUCUCUGCACUCGGCCGUGGUUUGGUCGGCGGAUGCCAUGGCCGAGUUCCUCCCUUGCCCUUGCACAGAUGAAUCUUAACAAUCGUUUCUUGUCUGAACUUCUUAAAAUGAGCUUCUAGGAGUGAGAAUGAAACGGGCGAUACGAAACAAAGAAAAGGAAAGAAGAGUGUGAAGCAACCGUUAUUUUUGUAUCAGCCGUGGCUUGGUUGACGAAUGCCAUGGCCAAGUUCCUCUCGGCAGCACGCCCCUCGGCAGCACGCUUGAAUCGCAGUAAUCGUUUCUUGUCUGAACUGCUUAAAAUAAACUUCUGGAGCAAAAGCUUCAAUGUGACGGACGAUGGGAAACAAAGAAAAAGGAAGCAAAGUGUGAAGCAACCAUUACUUUAUUAUUCUUACAAAGAGAGAGAAUGAAAAGUGGGAAGCUAAGUGUUAUCUUUUUAAAGAAUGAUGCUUUAUGACAUUUUAGAAGAAAAUUAGGGAAGAAAUCCUUUGGCUGGUAUCAUUGCUUUUACAACUUGGGAAGGCAACUCUAGUACUGAGCUUUGGGUUAGAGAAGUUCUAUAAGAAGAAAUCCAACUUAACCAGAGCCUUUCCAGCAUGAGCUUUGUGGAACGCCUGGAACAGCACUUGGAUGCGAGUACACAAUCUUUCGUGGAUCCAGACACCUGCCAACUCUCUAUUUUCAUCGAUGCCUUUCAAAAGAUUGUUUUGAGGUACAAAUAAUAUUUUUCUUUUCGAUUGAGCAAUACUAGGGGUACCAAUACUAGGGGUACGUCUCUACAGUCAGUGUAAGUCUCUUUUCGAUUGAGCAAUGCCCGGGGCGGGGAUACAUCCCCUGCAGUGGAUGUAAAUUUUAGGCUCAAAUUAUAAAAAUUAUCUUAUUAAUUUUUUAUUUUAAAAAACUAUAAAUUUUUAUGCACCCGUUUGGUUCGGGAUUAAGGGGUAGGGGUGGAAACGAGCCGAGCUCGCGCGAGCUUAUGUCAGCUCAAAUUCUGCUUGAAAUUAAUUUCGAGCCUAAAUCUAGGCUCAAGCUUGGCUUGAAAUUAAUUCGAACCGAGCUCGAGCGAGCCUAAUUUCGAGUCAAGCCGAGCUCGAGCUCUAAAUGAGCCGAUUGAAAUUCUCGACAUUAUAUAAUCAAUAGUUUAAUUUUUAUAGAACAUUACCUAUAAUUUGAUGUAACAUGUUCAAUAGUUCAAAAUACAAAAUAAUUGCAAGAAAUGUGAGCACUGAGCUAGGAUGACUGCCUGACUGGGUGAGGGUCUGAGAGAGAGAGAGAGAGAGAGAGAGAGAGAGAGGGAAAAAAAAUUAGGGAUUUGAAAAUUUGAAUGUUAUAAUGUUUUAGGGUUAUGUGCAAUAGUGAAAGUCUGAAAGAGAGAGUGUGUUAUGUAAAUUUAGAAUUGGGCUCAAUUACACAGUUGUACUUGUUGGGUUUAUUUUAUGGGCCAACAAUAAUGGCCCAAAUUAAAUUAAAGCCUAUAUAUAAUUAAAAUACAUUAUAUUUAUAAAUAUUAUAUAUAUAUAUAUAUAUAUAUAUAUAUAUAUAUAUUCGUGCUUUGCGAGCUUUUCGUGCCUAAUUCGAACGGGCCGAGUAAUACUCAAGCUCGGCUUGAAAUGAAUUUCGAGCCUUUUAUUUUGUUCAAGCUCGGCUCAUUUAAUUUCGAGUCGAGCUCGAACGAGCCGAAUAUCGAGCUGAACACGAGUCGAACGCGAGCCGGCUCGCUCGUUUGCCAGCCCUAUUAAGGGGUGGAAUAACUCCUUAGCUCUGAAGUUAUUCCCAAACACAUAAUUUGGGGGGUGGGGUUAGCUAACCCUACCCUACCCCACUACUCUAACCAAACAAAACACUAUUUUACCUACUAUCCUUCUUUCUGAACUACUCCAAUCAAACACUAUUUUAUCUAUAUCUGGACUAAACCGAAUUCUCAACCAAAUACAAAAUUACUUUAACCCCACAUUAACCCUGAACUUAACCCAAUCCCUGAAAUAACAAGUUUUUACUUAACCCCGAACCAAACGGUAGCUAUAAGUAGGUGUGUAGGUGAUAAUUUUCUUUGCCGGUUGAGCAAUGUUAGUGGUGCACUGGUAGACUAGGCGAAAAUCUUAUGCCUUAAGAGCUCAAAUUUUAUACUUAUCAUAUUAGUUUUUGUUUUUUUAAAAAAAAACUUAAAUUUUUUUUAAAAAAAAAUUUGAGAGAAAAAUAGCACGCUAUCCACUCCAUUUAUUGAAAUGAUGAACUAGACUGCAUGGGUGAGACAACAUCAGCCUCGAGUGGGGGUGAAAAAAAAAUACUAAUAAUAAUAAUCAGAGCCUCCGAUUAGCUGGGAGUAACAAUUCCCAAAGGUUCAGAAGCUGUUUAAUCCUACCCGAUACAAGAAGGGGGUUCGGACGAGCCUUUCUAAAGAUCACGUCGUUCCUAGUCCCCCAAAUACUCCACCAACAUGCUACCAAUCCGAUUAAGUUUGUUCUCGUCGCUUGCGAUCCAAUCCUUGCUGUCCAUUUAUCCCAUGUUGACGACACGUCUUCCCCCUAAUCAGAGAGCUGAGUGUUAUCCAAAGACGUCGCCAAUAGGAAUUUCAAAAAGACGCACUGUGCGAAUAGAUGGUCGACAGUUUCUUCUUCACACCCACACAACACACAGUCAGAGUUACCUGUCCAUCCUCUCUUUAGCAAGUUAUCAGUUGUAAGGGGUCUCUUUUUAAGUACGAUCCAACAGAACACUUUCACUUUUGAGGGAACUUGUAGUCUCCAAAUCCUACUUGAUCGAAUGCCCCUGAUGCCCCCGUCAGUCACCAUCGAGUAAGCUAAUUUCACCGUGAAUCUCCUAUCUUAGCUCCAUCUCCACUGCGUCCUGUCAGGUGUCAGGUCUAGUUGGUAGCUGGAUAUCUUUUCUCUGAGAGCUAUUAGAGUGGGGCUCAAACCAGGACCUCCAGAAUUAACGUCACCAAGGAUCUUGCUUCAGUUCCACCCGUCGCUUGUGAGACAGUCACUGAUUUUCCUAUGUUUUUGUUGCAGAAAGGAAUAAAUUUUGGGGAAGGACGAGGCCAACGUCUUUUCCCCACACCAGCGGUUAGUCCAGAAAUCAAUAGUGCAUUCGUUGCCCACCUUGAAGUAUAUUCCCCACUGGAAGAUUGCGCUAAGACUAAGCACUCCCUUCCACCAGUGAGUAUAGGGUCUAAAUUAUCUACCGUCCAGAAUUUCCACCACCAUUUGAUGAGGAAAGCAUGGUUCAUCGUGGCUAGGUUUAGGAUUCCCAGCCCACCUUUUUUCUUACUUUUGCAAACGUUCUUCCACGCCACCAGACACCCCCUACCUGAUGUGUUAUAUCCUUCAUUCCAGAAAAAGUCUCAACGUAGAGUCUCGAUACGCUUAAUUACCCAUUUGGGUGCCUUGAACACCGACAGAAACUACAGAGGGAGAUUGGUUAGGACUACGUUGAUCAGAAUAAGUCUACCUCCUUUCGAUAGAAGCUUUGAUUGCCACCUGUCUAUUUUCCAUUGAAUAUUCCUGAUCAGCCCCAUUCAGUCAUCCUUGGAAGGGGGACGGGUGAAUCUGUGAUGCUUGAGGUAUAAGAGUUACAUCUAUAAAAAAAAAAAAAAAAAAGAGAGUACAAGGAGUAUUUUUAUUUUUCUUUUUUCGAUUACAGUCAGUAUUUUUCGCACACGGCAUUAAAAUAAUUAUUAAUAAACAAGAAAGAUCAACGUUAACAUGUUUAAUCAAAUAAACGUGCGCCUAGCGGAAGCCCAUCACUCGCAUGACCUUGCUGGCCUGCAUACAGUAUGCGUUCACGGCGCGGACCAGCGUUCUGAAGUGGUGCUGAUAGCCGCCGCCCACGUUAAGCGGGGCGAGCCUCCCAAAAUAUGUUGCCGCCACAAGCCAAUCCUCGGCGCGAAUUUUGAGAAUCCCCGCGUCGAUGAGCACCGUUGCGUCCUCCCGCCCGCCGAUGAGCUCGCUCAUAAACAUCGCGUAGCUGCAGAAGAGCCGCUCCGUCGGUUCCCAACCGUCGCCUAUCUCCAUCGCCACUAGAUUGUUCACCGUGUAAAUGGCGAGCCCGUUACGAGGAAAUCGCGGGAACUCUAACACGCCAUUUUUGUCGUCGAACGUAAUGUCGGCGAGAUGGGGCGUCGUCUUUGGCUUGAACCUCACCCCGAGCCUGCUGAGCUCUCGAGCCGGGGGCAUCAGUUUCCAUAGCACCCAGUCCACGGGCGAGUUCGAGGAGCUCGCGUUCAGUAGCCUCCAUAGGAGCUCCAUCUUUCUUAGCUUGCCAACUAAAGGCGGCGGCGACCGCCGAGAAGCGGUCGGUGGUGGCAGCGGGCGAAGGCAUAUGUGUAGUAAAUGGACUAGAUGAUAGACGGGUCCGUUGUAGCCAGCCGGCACUUCCUGUAUUUCUCCCAUGGUGAGGUAAAACACCGCUAGGUUUCUGACGAGCGCUCGGCCUUCGUCUUUGGUCCCGAACUCGGGUACGGCGGUAAUGCGGAACAGCUCCUCGAGGACGAAGAAGGGGAUUUGGUUCUCGACUAGAAGCAAGUCAUACCUGACCGACUCGUUGGCGAGCGGCAACUCAUCCUCUUUCUUGCUUAUCCAGUAAUUGACGAUCGCCUCGAUGAUGAAGCAACCGUCGAGCACCAUCAUUUCAACAAGAUCUUCGCGAGUAAAGUUGUACUUCUCCAGUGAUUCGUAGCACUGGAUGAUGCAACUAAUCAUCCCCUGGACGAUUGGGAUGCUGGUGAGUGCAGAUACCAGAAACAUUCUCCUGCCGCGAACUGAGUGAGGCAGUCUUAACUAGAGCUAAUUGAGGAAAGUUUUUAGCAAAAUCUUCAAUUUUCUAUCGUUCUCAUUCUUUCCAAUGUUUUUUUUAAUAAUUAUAUACGCCAUCAGAAUUAAAGCUUCAGGAUAGCACACUGCGAUCAAUCUAGUUGCUUCACAAAACUUGAGGAUUAUUAUAAACUAAAUUAUUAAUGUCUGCUUUGCCUUUUCCUUCUCCUAGUGAAAAGGUUUACAAUUAUCUUUCAUUUAUUAUUAUUAUUAUUAUUAUUAUUAUUAUUUUCAAAAGUGGUCGGUUUUUAGAGUGAUUCCAAUUUUGGGCUCUUGCGGGCGCCAAGUUGUUAAGAUGCCAAUCCAUACCUGGAUGUGGUUCAAGUACUGAACCACCACUGCAGUCUCUCUGCCGACGGCGUGGCCUCGAAGAAUCAAUCUGCGGAGGAACUCCAGUUUGGUCUUCUCCACGUUCGUCGUGAAUGUAGGCAUCAUGAGCUCAGUCAGCAGAGGGACGCCGCCGCCGAGCUCAGGCAGAGGGAGCUCAAUCUUUGCUUCCCCUGCUGUCCUUCUUUCAGGCAGAGGGAGCUCAAUCUUACCUUCCACUGUCGUCCUUCUUUCCAGCAGAGGGGAAGUCCACUGAGGAAGCUGGAUCGGACCGCGCUGUUGCAGAGGUCCGAUGCGUACGACCGUAGGGUAGAUACGGCCGCGCCAUAACACAUCCUGAUCUUGAGAGAGACGCGCGAUGCGCCCCCCCAUGGGUUGGUCUUGUGAGAUUGUUUGGAGCUUGGAGGGCAGUUUCCAGCUCCCUUGGCCUUCAGUCUCGGUACUUGACAUGGCCAUUUCCAAUUCUUUGUUUGUUGUUACGGAUUUACUUAACAACAGACACUUUAAAUAGUAAGGAGACAAGGAAUAAUCUAUCAUCCGCUCGACUACUACUCGGAGCUCUAUACAAGCAAGGAAUAUCGCAUGUAUAGUCUUUGCUUCUUCGGCGUAUGUACCAUAUAACCAGCACAGGGGAUCCAAGAAAGGAACANAAAAAAAUGAGAGAAUCGUUUAAAUUUUUAAAGUUUGAUUUACAUAUUAAAAUUAAAUAAAUUAAAAAUUUUAAAUGUGUCGAUUAAUAAGUUGAAGAAUUAUUGAAAAAUAUAAACAUGUUAUAUAUAUAUCUACUUAUUUAUUUAAAAAUAGUAAGUUUAAAUGAUUAAUAAACUUAUACAAUUAUUUUAUGCAUAGUGAAGGUAAUCUCACCAUUCUAUUUGAAGAGAUGACAAAAUUCACAAAUACAACUAUGAGCUUCAUAUUACCAAACAGAAGAAAUGUAACUGCAGUAAUUGCAACUGUAUAAAACCAAACAGACUAAGUGUAGUUACAACUGCAGUAUUUGCAACUGCAUGUAUUUCCAACUACACUGUUUUUGCAAUUAUAUCCAACCAAACGGCCCCUAAGAUGCACUGCAGUUCCACAAAGUGGACCGCCUUCAUUAUUGCAAACUCAAACUCCACAAUUAUUUUUUUUGCUUUUUAUGCAGGACUCCUUUUUUUUUUUUUUUUUCCUAAAACACCAUUUAACUAUCUUUUUCUUCAAUUCCUAUUGUAUAAAUAAUAACUUUAUAAUAUUGAAUGAAAGUUGUUCGAGAAUACCACUUUAAAGUGACUGAGCAUAUAUUUAACUUAUUUUAAUUCGAAAUAACAAAAUAUAUAAAGAUAAUAAAGACUAGUUAAAAAUAAUUUGAUAGAAGAUUUUAAUUAAUCGAUCAUGAAGAUUUAUUUUUAUUUUCUUACUAUUUAACUAAUGACUAUUAAUAAAGUUAAUAGUUUUUGCGUAAGCCAAUAGAUUUGUUAGUAGUAAUAUAGAGAUUGGCGAGAAAAAAAUAAUUAAGCGAUAUCUAAGAGAAAAAAAUAUUUCAAGAUAGAAAAAUAAAAAUCAAUCUCAAAUAUAAUGAAAAGAUUGAUAAAUAUAAUGAUGGUGCUAGUACACAAAAAUAAAGAUUAGACUACAAAAAGAAUGAAAAGUGUCGAGGAGUUGAUCAAAACUAGACACUAAAAUCUUUCUCUUUUUAAAUUGAUUUGAGCCUUCUAUGGUUGGCAAAGAUCUCGAUUUGAUGCAACAGAAUACUAGCUGUUCUAUUCUACGAUAUAACAGCUUAAUUUUCGUCGUAUAGAUUUAUCAGCUCUACACAAGUAAAUUAGUCGAAAGUUCCACAAAAAAUAAUACCUUUUUUGGCCAACACUCAAAGAAUACAAAUAAUAGAAUAUAGAUAAGUUGUGUUUGUUGUGUGUUGUGAAGAAUAAAUAAGCUCACUAUAAAUGGACUUCACAAAUAUUAAAAUUAAAACCCAUAAGCUGUGUUUGCUUCCGAUUUAGGUACAAGUUAAGGUAUAAGUAAAAAUUAGACUAAUUUUACGUUUGUUUCUGGGAAUAAGAUAAUUGGUGCUUUGAUGGUUAGAUUGGAACAAAAAAAAUAUGAGUUAUAAAUUUAAAUUAAAAAUAGUUUAUCUAAUUAAUUAACAUCAAAAUAUUAAUUAAAAAUAAUUCAAUAAAUUAAUAAAUUUAUUACGUAUGAAUAUUAUGAUAAAUUAAUAAUUUAAUAAAUAUAAAUAUUAGUUAAUUAUAGAAAUAACUUAACUUUUUAAUUAGUUAGUAAACUAUUUUAUUUAGAUAAUUAAUUAAAAAUUAAAUAGAUUAGUCAAAAUAUUAAUGGUUGGUCAAUAUAAAUAUUGGUUAUUAAAUAAAUUGAUUAAAAUAUUAAUUUUUAAUUAGUUAAUUAAUGAUAAAUAAUAAAUUAAUUAAUUACUUUACUAUUUAAGCAAUAGGUAAUGACUUAAAUACAUUAAUUAGAUUAAUUAAUAAAUUAAUAUCAUAAUUAAAAUUAGAUUAGACUUUAAUUAAUCAUGUUUUUACUUAGAACAAACUGUUUUGGAGGGAAGGGUGGGAUGGCUGUUUCAAAAUUAUACCAGAUUAUACCAAUUUAUUUCAGGGUGGGAGAACUGCUGUUUUCGAGAGCCAAAAAUAUCGUUUUGAGACCAAAGCGGGGGGACAAAAGUUUAUCUCCCCUUGUUGCUGAAUCAAACACUACCGGAAGUUACAAGAAUUAGGUGUGAAAUCAAAUGUUAAGAGUUACAGGAAUUGAAUUGACAGAGUGUACGGGACUGAGAAAUGCAAGAUGUAUAGGUAAUGUGAGGAUUUGUAACUUCGCUUGCAACUCCACGGUAAAUGCAUAGGUUAUCAAAAAUAAAAAUAAAAUAUUUCAACAAAAUUUUACUCAUCUAUAUAACUUUUGAAUCGGGGAUCCUAAGAGGGUACGGCAGGGGCCUCCGCGUUUUGCGUGAGCGGGGCGACGCGGGCGGGUCUGGACGGUGCGCGGGCGCGAGGCGCGAGCGGGCGGGCCGGGCGAGCCGGCGCGGCGGGCGAGGCGCUUGGGCGGCGCGCCGAGCGUGCGUGGGGGGCUGGCGCUCGGGCGAGCGCGCGCUGGUGCGAGCGCGGGCGGGCGUUGCGCGCGUGGGCGAGCCGGCAGGGAAAUGGCGAAGUGGCGCGGGGCGGGCUGAGCGCAGCGCGCGUGCGCGGCGCGAGCGGGCGCGGGCAUUUGCACGGCGCGCAGGCUCGGCGCGGGAUGCGGGCCAGCGCGGACGGGCGGCCGGGCUGGCGCUGUCGAGCGGUACUGAGCGCGCAAGCCGGGUUUGGGCGCGAGCGGCGGCGGGCGAGCGCGCGCGCGGACGGGCGGACGCCAGCUUUGGCUCGGAGAGGGGCGAAUGUGCAGCAGCUCGGUCAUGCGAGCCGGCGGUCCUUCCCCAUAACCCCCCUCCAUUACCUCCGUCGCCCUCCAUACCCAUCUCCAUGCUGCCACCUAGACCCCCUCCAUACCCUCUCCCAUGCUUGCAGACCUUAUUUAUUUAUUUUUUUUUAUCGCAUGCCUCCCUCAUCUCUCACCACUCACAUAACAGCGACUCCCACCCUUCCGUUCCUCCCCGUCGCCCUCCCUGCCUCGCCCUAUUGCUGCUAUUGCCGAGCGGCGCAAGCGGGCGGCGCGAGCUCGCGAGGCUUCGUGCUUGCCGCGUAAUUCCGGCAGACUCGAGCGGGUUCGCCGCGGAAUCUGGUCCCCCUACAGCGUUUACCAAGACAAGAGGGGGAGAGCUGCUUAUAACGCUAUUUCCCUAACGUUAAUGCUCCAUUGAGUCUACUUCACGGUACUUUCGGUCGGCACUCAUUACCGUGUUCAUCGCAGCUGUGUUGUCGAUCACCGAGUGCUUGGUUUAAUGCUGCUGAGAAAAUUGUUGUUUAUGGACUAAGUGUAUGGUUUAAUUUAAUGCUGCUGCAGAGAGUAGAGCCAGGAGGCCGCUGCUUAUGGUCAUCGGCGAACCGGAGCUCUGCCUCCAACUUGGUAUUGGCGACGAUCGACCAUCCGGCGAUGCCGACUCCGCCAAAGUUUGCAAGUAUGUGCAUGUGAUUAUAUUCCCAUAGAUUUUGAUCUCUUUAAGGUCAUGCAUGUUGUUUACAUAUUUCUAAUCUUUUUAUGUAGAUAGAUUAUUUGAUGAUGAUACUAAAAUUGAUGUUUUUGUAGGGAUGCGAGAUGUUUUGAAAUGAAAGAGAAGUGCCAGGAGAAGCAGCAACAGCAGCAGAAUAAGCAGAUUACAAUCUUCUACAAGGGGCAGAUUUGCGUCUACGACAUCACAGAGAUUCAAGUUUGUUAAUUUGGUUCCAUUCCAGAUUUUCUACUAUUUUUAAGAGUUUGCAAUAUAUAUAUAUUAUCUAUCUCCAUCGGUUUACAACCUUUAAUUUUCUUUUCUUUUGUCUUUUUUUUUUUUUUUCAUCGGAGUUAACAGGCAGAAGUUGCAAAAAAGAAUUGCGUGAAGCUUGGUUGCCUUCCUGCAAGCAGGGACCUGCAGUGAUGGAAGGAAUGCGUGGGCGGUACUCAUGCAGCCCUCUCCCCUGAGAUUUGCGGCUGCGCCACCGCCACCGCAGUAGCGAUUCGCGGAGAAGCGGGCUUCGGGAAUGGGCGGUGGGCAAAAGCGCGGCCGCACGCAGCGGCGGCACUUCAAGCAGAGCCGUGAGAACGUGUGGAAGCUCAACCCCAAGAAGACCCGCCCCGACGCUGACAAACCCGACGCCGACGCCAAAGCCAACGCCAACCCCAAGUGGGAGCCCUUCACCACCCAAAACCCCGGCUUCAACGAGCACUACAAGGUGCUUCUCCUCUCCGCACUUCCACGAGAUCGAUUCUUGGUUUGGCGUGGAUUUGUUUUGAUGAUUGGGAUCUUAUACGUGGUGCGUAGUUUGUUUCGUUUUAAUUGCGAUUUCUUGGAGGAAAAGGUGAAUUUUUUGGAUCAUUCUUUGGUGCCAUCCCAAUGGGGAAUCCCUUUCUCCCUUUUUUUGAUCUGUGAAUUCAUGUUUAUGCUUGCGCUCUAUGAUGUAUAACACAAAUUGUACCUUAGGCUUGACAUAUUUACGUGCUUUAUUUUUUUUUUCUCAAAAUUAUUAUGUAAACUUCAAACAAUCUGAUCUUGCCCCUCAUUCUUAAGCACCUCUUUUCUUUUGUGUAGGUUCGGACUGUUGAAACUUAUUGUGGGUCGUUAGCCAAUAUGGCAUGAAGCACAUGCGAUCCCUCGCAAAUAUCUGCAAUGCAGGUGUUAGAAAAGAGAGCAUGGCCGAGGGUUCUUCAAGCUUGCAUGAGGAUCCCCUCCAACUCUUGGAGUUCUCUGCAGAGAGGUUUCAGCGCUUGAAGCAUACAUCAAAGCAACUUUGGUCAGAGUAAUAAAUUUGUGACUUAAUGUUAUAAUUGCUUAGCUUUGUUAUGUUGCACUGUGUAUAUAAUCUCUGAAUAGCCUUGAAAAACAUCUAUUUGGUUAACAUGGCCAUUUCUUGCUGUUCGUCACUUCUUCACUGGAUAUUGUAGCAUGAUCUAUUUUAUAAUGUAUAGCAUAGUAUUUUACACAGCUAAGCAAAAUUUCUAAAUGAAGAAAACCUUAGUCAGGACUUCAGAAAAAAAAAUGGACAACUUAGAAGAGCUAUAGCGCAAAAUUUGGAGCAAUCACUAACCAGCACCACUGGGUGUAUUAAGCAUUUAUUAUUCGAAACUGCUCAAUGAAAAUAACGAAGGUUACCCAUAGUGUUCUGUUCUGUUUUGGGACCUUUUCGCUUUGAGUUUGAUUUUAUUGCUGUGUAUAAGCUUAUGCUUUUUGCUCCGGUUGGGGAUCCUAAGAGGGGUACUGGGCAGUGGGCCUCCGUGUUUUGUGUUGGGGGGGGGGGGUGGCGCGAAAGGCAACUGCGCGCGAAAGCGACGCAGGGCCGAGCAAGAGGCUGCGGGCAGGGGCCGGGCGCAGCGGCGCGCGUGCGCGGGGCAAGGGCGCGGGCUCAGGCGAGCAUGCGGCCGUCGCUCGUGCGGCGCUGAGCGGGCUGGGCGCACGGCGAGCGGUGCGAUGCCAGCCGCCGCGCGGGCGGCGAGCCGUGCGUGCGGGUUUUUUUUUUUUCCCUUUUUCUUUCUUUUUUCGCUGUCAGACCCACUCCGGACUCUCUCUUUUUUAUUUUAUUUAUUGUCCUGUUCUCCGUUUACAAACACGUUGAUCAAAUUCAAAUUUAAAUCCUGUGCACGCGCAGGCGAACGGGCUGCGCGGCUAGCGGACACGGGGCGAGCAGGAGCAUAUGCGUUCUUUGAGUGACGCGGUGCGACAGUGGGGGGGGGGCCGCGGGGUGCGCAACCCUGCAUGCGAUGCGAGCGGCAGUGUUUGUGAGGCUGCAUACAGAAAAUUUAUUAAAUUUUAAAGUUAAAUUGUUGUCUUGAAUGUUGCUUAUUGUGGCUAUCUUAAAAGGCUGUUUUUUUUUUGCUAGGUAUUUGUGCGUGUGGCCGCGACUGUUUCUCAUGAGCGCGCGGAGUUACGGAGACGGGCGGGCGAGCAGGAGCGGGUCCAUUCUUUGGCGAAGUCGCUGGACAGGCGAGCGGCGAGCAGCGCGGCGCGGUCACGUGCGCAGGUAUAUAUAUAUAUUAGUAUAUAUUGUGCUUUUAUUUGAUUUCUUUAAAAGUCAUUUAUUUCUUUUUGCCGUUGGGUGGCAUACAGAAAAUAAAAAAAAAUUAUCAUUUAAUUUUUAAUUUACAUUUUAGAUCUGCGCGGGGGGUAGUGAGCGGAGACGGCGUGGGCGAGCCGGAAGCGGGUGGGGUGCUUGUGACGGUGCCGGUAAGGGCGCAAGCGAGCCGCCGGCCGGCGUGGCACGCCCCGUCGCAGGUAUAUAUAUAUAUUAUUAUAUAUUUAUAUAUAUAUACCUAUUAGGGAGAACAGUGGCAUUUCUUCUUAAACACCAGAUUCAUCUCUUUUACUUUAAAAUGUUCUUAUUUAUUUUUAAAUAUAAGUAAAUAUAAUAGAUAUAUAUUUUAUGGUAUAUAUACAAAUAUAUUUAUACAUUUGUUUUCCUGCUCCCUACUGUUUUUGAUAUUAUGUGUAUACUUUAUUGGAUGUCGCUUUUUUUGCUACCUUGGGUUUAUUAAUUAUCUAGGAAUUAAUAUAUAUGGAUUUAGAUUUAUUUUUUCAUUAUUGGCAAAAUAAUCUGUUGGCUACUUUGCACCUGCUCUGUUAGUCCAUCGGGUUAUAGAAACUGAAGCAGUUUCGGUAUUGUUUUGCUUAGUCAGUACUCGCAAGUCUUGGAUUAGUCUGUAGAAAAAGCUUCUGCAGUUACAUAGUAUUCUGGUUUUGUUCUCCAAGAGAAUUUUUUGGAGAAUUUUUUUUUUUUUUACUUUUGCUGUAGUUUUAUGUGUUGGCCGACAAAAAAGGCCUUAUGACUUUAUUUACUAUGUUUUCUUUUCGGACAUUGCUUGAUUUGUAGGGUUUAACAUUGCGUGACUUACUAUGUAUGCUGGUCUUUUGCCUGUGAUACAUAAUAAAAACAAAAAAUAUAUUAAUAGUUAUAAUAAUUUACUGUUUUAUUUUCUUCCCGCCGCAUCGCGCGGGGCCCGUACCUAGUUUUAUUAUUAAAGGACGGAAUAUGUGAAAGUUUAAUGACCAAAAAAGAACCGUUAUAUAUAAAAAAAAUAUGUUCUUUAUUGAAUCUUCACUUAGUGAAAUAAUAAUUUCUAUUUUAGAGCCAGAGUGACUUCAUAUUUGAAUUUUUGCUACUUAAGAAAAAUAAAGUCUUACUGCUUAUAGAUAAUAAUUCAAGUAUCAAGGCGAGGUUUACUGGUUAGUACGUUAUGGCCUUAAGGGUGCGUUUGGUUCGCGCUAUAUUCCUAGUAAUUCAAUAGGAAUAAAAAAAUAUGACGGUGUUUGGCUAAACGCACUAAGUAAUCUAGUUGGUAAUAUUAGAUUUACUUGGGAAUGAGAUUUAUCCCAAAGUACUAAUCUCAUUCCCUUAAUGGAGGGUAGGUAUUCUCAUAUUAAUGAAUUGGGGUAAUCAUAAUAUGUCUAAUCUCUUUCUUUCUCCUUACCCGCGGCUAGUUGGUAUUAUUUUUCUUUACAUUCUAACUUCAUAUCUCUCUCUAAACUUAUUUUUUUUUCUCUAAACUUCAACUCUCUUUCUCUUUCUAAACUAAGCUCUCUCUUCCCCUCUUUUUCUAAAAUCUCGACUCUCUCACUCCCUCUAAUCUCGACUCUAUUUCUCUUCCUAUUUCUUUAAUUAUGCUCUCUCUCUCUAACCUAUAUUCUCUCUCUCUCUCUUUUUCUAAAAAGAUAUUAAAAUUUUUGAUGGCAUUAUUUUAAAUUAAUUAAAAAAAAUAAAUAAAUAAAUUGUAUAUUUUUUGUAAAUUUAAAUAACAUGACUAAAUAAUAUAACCGUGCGAAUCAAAUACAGGAAUGCCACAUUCUUAGUAAUAGGAUGAAUAGAAAUAAGAUUCUCGAACAUCUUUUUAUUGCUAGUAAUCUUUCAUAGUGCGAACCAAACGCACCCUAAUAGUAUUCUUAUAGCCGAGAAUCUUUCCAAGAGAGGCUGGCUGUAACAAUUUGAGGGGCCAUUUGGUUGAACAAAGUUGUAAAUUCAAAAGAGGUGCGUGAAACGGUUCACUAGGAUCUCACGAAGAGAGUACGCAGAUUGCUUGAUCGGUGGCUUAUGGUGGAAUAUCUGAAAGGAAUGUAAUUGUUGCAGGAUUUGUUUAAAGGAGUCCAACUGACUGAUGAGGAGAUGGUGAGAGAAAAUUAAAAUCGAUUUGCCUGAGCAUCUCUGUACGACUCUCAGCCUCCCUACCUCUUUUUUUUUUUAAUUUUUUAGAGAGAAAGAUAGUAUGCUAUUCAUUUCAACUAUUUUUUUUUAAAAGUAAACUUAGCUGAAAACGUGAAUCAACUAGAAUUCGAAUUACCGACUGUCUCUAUAGCAAGUGGCAAAGAGUUUGGUAGUUAGUAUCCAAGAUCCUAAAUUCGAAUCCUAGUUGAUUCAUAUUUCUAGCUAAAUUUAUUUUUAAACAAAAUAAACGAAGCAUGUAGCAUGCUACCCAUCUCUCAAAAAAAAAAAAAAAAACUAGAAUUCGAACUUAGGAUCUCGGAUACCAACUACCAAAUUUUUUGCCACUUGCGCUAGGAACGGUGAGUGCCUCCCUACCUCCUUAUAUAUACUACAAACAUUCUUAAUUCGUUAUAACUUUGUAAUUUUUGUAAACCGAUAUAAAUGAAAAAAAAAAAAACUUCAGUAGAGAGUUCCGUAACGGUACUUCGUUGAGGAAUCUUUAUUUAUUGUCAUGUGUUAGUUUUAUUUUUCAUCCGAGAAUUAUAAUCCUUCUUUAUAGAAUUUUAAAUUUUUUUAAAAAUUUUAGUAUUAAAAAAAACUCAACGAAUUUUUGAAUGAAAGCAAAACUACAACAUGAGAUGAGAAAGUAUCUUAUUAGCAUCUAUAUCUAUAACAUACAUGAAUUCUCAGUUUUGGAACAGGUGGCGAGCGUGGAGGCGCGGGCAGAGGCGAGCGCGGGGCGCGGGCAGGCGGGCGCGCGUGGCGGGGCGCCGCGUGGNNNNNNNNNNNNNNNNNNNNNNNNNNNNNNNNNNNNNNNNNNNNNNNNNNNNNNNNNNNNNNNNNNNNNNNNNNNNNNNNNNNNNNNNNNNNNNNNNNNNNNNNNNNNNNNNNNNNNNNNNNNNNNNNNNNNNNNNNNNNNNNNNNNNNNNNNNNNNNNNNNNNNNNNNNNNNNNNNNNNNNNNNNNNNNNNNNNNNNNNNNNNNNNNNNNNNNNNNNNNNNNNNNNNNNNNNNNNNNNNNNNNNNNNNNNNNNNNNNNNNNNNNNNNNNNNNNNNNNNNNNNNNNNNNNNNNNNNNNNNNNNNNNNNNNNNNNNNNNNNNNNNNNNNNNNNNNNNNNNNNNNNNNNNNNNNNNNNNNNNNNNNNNNNNNNNNNNNNNNNNNNNNNNNNNNNNNNNNNNNNNNNNNNNNNNNNNNNNNNNNNNNNNNNNNNNNNNNNNNNNNNNNNNNNNNNNNNNNNNNNNNNNNNNNNNNNNNNNNNNNNNNNNNNNNNNNNNNNNNNNNNNNNNNNNNNNNNNNNNNNNNNNNNNNNNNNNNNNNNNNNNNNNNNNNNNNNNNNNNNNNNNNNNNNNNNNNNNNNNNNNNNNNNNNNNNNNNNNNNNNNNNNNNNNNNNNNNNNNNNNNNNNNNNNNNNNNNNNNNNNNNNNNNNNNNNNNNNNNAUAAUUAUAAUAAUAAUUAUAAUAUAUAUAAUUAUAAAUAUAAUUAUAUAUAAUUUUUUAUUAGUAUGAUUUUUGUCUUUAUUUUUUUUAAUCUUUCUUAUAAUUUUAUUACAGCAAUAGUUGUUUAUUUUUUAGUUAUUUUUUUAUACAAUUUUUUGACUCUUUUUUUUUACUAUUAUUUAUUUUAUUUAUAUAUUUAUUUCUGCAGAAUCGUUCUGCAGCAACACGUCGGUCCUUUACUAGUUUUUCAAUAAGAUGUCGUAAGUCAUUAGAGAGCUCCCUGCAAUGGAAGCGUUAUUAAACUUGUUUUCUAGAGAUUGCUUAAUGAUAUAAGUAUUAAUUGCUUAAUGAUGGAAGUAUUAUUUGUCGGUGACUCAGCGUGCUUGAAGGUGUGUUGUCAGUUAAAAGUUAUUAUCAAUUUUAACUUGCACACCUUAUUUAGUGUCUUUAUUUACUCAGACGUUCAAACCAGAAAAGUGAAUCAUUAAACAAGUUGUACAUUAAGAUCAAAGAAACCAAAAAAAAAAAAACAAAACAAAACAAAAGAAAAAACAAAAUAAACAAAAUCAGGACAACAAUUUAAUUUCUUUUUUCUUUUAAUUUUCCAUCAUUUUUAUUUCCAUCAUUUUAUUUCAAGGGCAAGCAAAGCACGUAUGAAAAGAAACAAAUUAAAGCUAAGUCUUAGGUAAUGUUGGAAUGAAGCUUGUCAUUUCCGAGGAUAGAUGGUGAAGAUGGUUUGGAGAAUAGUGAUGAGGAAGAGAACGACUGAGGUAGCGGCCAAAAGGAAGUUGAAGUUGUUGUAGACGAUCUUGUGAAUAAAGACCCUCACCUUUCUGCGUCUGUGGUAGUCGUUAAGGUGCUGAAGCAGAGACAUGUAGUCAUUGCCGGUCAUGAGGUAAGGGGAGAGGGACUUGAAGAAGCUGAGAGACUGUUGGUCGCUGAGACCGCCGUAUAGUAUCUUCUUUGAUCUCAGCUCCUUGACGUCCUCCUCCCGGCUAAUGAGGGCGACGAGCAGAGAGAGGUAGGAGCCUACCGAGCUCUCAGACGCAACACCGGGGCACAUCUCGAACGCCACCAAAUUGCUGAGGACGAUCCUGUUGUACGUGGUGAGCACGAUUGGUGGGAGGGAUAGCCACCCGUAGAGCGGGCCCCUACGGAAGCUGAAGUUGCGGAACCGGAACGUAUCGCUAGCACAAAUUCGAACCCCGACUUCUGCGAGGUCGAUGGCGGAGGUGAAGAUCGAGAUAUGCGUCACAAUAUCGUCGCCUCGCUGGACCUGGGGGCCUAGGAAUUUCUCACGCACGAGCUCUAGGAGGUGGCAGGGACUGCGGUCGUUGUCGCGGUGGCUGCCGCCCUCAUCGUAUGGAGGCAGCAACCCCGCCGUCAUAUCAAUCUUAGCAACAAUUUUUUGGAGAAACAGAUCGAUAGGUACCCAUCGGAAACUCAUAAGGGCCUCUAGAACCACCCACGGAAGCUGGUUCUCGAGCAACAUGACGUCCCUAAAGACUCGAUCUAGGUUGAAAGAGCUCAUCCACCUUUCGACGGAUAAAGAUGCCGGGAUGUACCCGGUUGCCGUCACAAUGAACUGCAGCAGAAAGCAGCCAUCGAAGAACAUCAUGUCCGCGAAUUCCUUGUCGCUGAUGUCGUCGAAUCGGUCCGCAUAGCACAACCGAGCCAGAGGAGUCACAUCACGAACCACUUUGUAGAACUCUCGGACGGAGCGCCGUGAGCUCUUGCAGAAGUCGAGGGCGACCGCCUUCUUGAUUGCCUCUGCCGGCUGCACUUGCGGGUCGUGUCGGUGGUACGGCCCGAUCGCCACUACCUCGGGGUUGAAGUACUGGUCGCCCUUCUCGAUACUUCGAAGAAGGUAAUGGACCCUCCGUAUGAUGGGCCUCGUUCUGUCUGGCCAUUGUUGCGCUGUGGACUGGAUCUCCGUCAUCGCCGAAACAAGCGCUUCGGAUUCAUCCAUGGCUUCCACGUUCAUGCCGCUCCGCGCACAACUGCUGCUCCUUCAGCAAUCGCCUCUCGUGUUUCGGCCCCUCCUUAAGAAGAAGGACCGGCCAAGCUCCUUCGCCGUCUCUCGUAUCGUUUGCUUUUACCACCACUUCUCCGCAAGGCAACUCGAUUCCAUUACCACGUCGCAAGGCAACUCCAUUCGAUGGUCUUUGGUUUUUUCUGUCGGAAAGCUUUAAAACAACUAUAUAUUUCACCAGCUUUUUUUUUUCUUUCUUUUUCCCUUUGUUUGAAGAGGAAUGCUGCUUGCACUCUAGUAGUGAAAAGAUCAGAAAGAAGUUGAACAACCCUGUGUGAUCUCCGAAGACCGAAGAAUUUCUCUUUUUGGCUAAAUUUCACGGCUUGUCCUCAUAAUGCUCAUGAUAUAUAUAUAUUUUAGUUUUUUAGAUUAUAAUUUAUCAUAAUUUUUUAUUCAAAUUUUAUAAAUUAUUGUAAUUAAGUCUCAUAGUCCGUCCUAUUGAGUAAGCCGGAGACUGAUUCAUCGCCAAUUUGGUAACACUAUAUAUAUAUAUAUAUAUAUAUAUAAAAUUAGGCUGGAAUACUUCUAAUAGCACUAAGUUGUUGGUGCUAUUAGAUUUUCGGUCUUUGGACGAAGGGACGUGCGGUUAGAGUAAUAAUGAUUUUCGAGUUGAAUUGAUGGUUGGUUGAAUAGUAUAAUUUAACAGGUGAAAAUUAUCAAAAGGAUAAAUCUAGCAGCGAAAGAUUCGAUAGCACCAAAUAAUAUAGUAGUUAAACUCUCUCUCUUUAUAUAUACUAGUGAAGACCCGCGCUUCGCGGCGGAAAAUUUAUGCAAUUUUUAAAAUAUUUUGAACAAUUUUUUUUUAUUUUUUUAAUUUCCAAAUUUAAUUUUAAAUUUUAAACUUCGAAAAAAUGAAGAGAGAGAAAAAGUAAAAAAAAUUAUUUAAGUAGAGAGGGACAAAAAAAAUUUGAAGUUUGAAGCACGAUUUAUUAUAUGUAUUAUUAAUAAAUUAAUUAAUUAUAUAUUAUAUAACAUUAUUAAUAAAUUUAAUUAAUUAAUUAAAUUUAUAGAGUUUAGAAAUUAAAAAUUUUNUAUAUAACAUUAUUAAUAAAUUUAAUUAAUUAAUUACUUUUAUAGAGUUUAGAGAUUAAAAAUUUUAAACUUUGAAGUUUAAAAUUGAAAUAAAUAUUAUAUGUUAAUAUUUGAAUUUAAAAUUUAAACAUAAAAUAUAAAAUCUAAAAAAUUAAAAUUUUAAAAGUCUCUCUCUCUCCCUCUCUCUCUCUCUUUCUCCCCCUAGCUCUCUCUCUUUCUCGCUCUUUCUCUCUCGCCCAGCGUCUCUCUCUCUCUCUUUCUCUCUCUCUUCCCCUCUCUCCCUCAGUCCCUCCUCCCCCCGGUGCUCGCGCCGCGGCCGCGGCCGCGGAGAGGGGGAGAGAGAGUCCCUAAAUCCUAAACCCUAAACCCUUCGUAGCGGGUAAAUAAUAUUUAAAUUAAUUAACAUAUAUAAGUAUUACAAUUUUAAAAUUAAAAAAUUAUAACUAACUAAAAAUAUUAUAAAAUAAAUUUUAAAUAGUUACAUUAUUCUAACAACUUAAUAUAAAUUUAUAUUUGAUUUAUAAUUUAGAUUCGGUGUACGAUAUAGUUAAAACAGAAGUAUAGGACCCCAAUCGGGCCUUUCUAAAGUGUAGCAUAAUCAUUAAAAUUAAAAUUUCUAAUUAUAUUCGUAUGAAAUGUUACUAUAUUAUGCAAAUAACACUGUGUAGUCAGUAGUCUGAUGGUCAUAUAAUUUUUUAUAGAACACAGAGUCAUCGUAAUUAAUAUCUUUGAUCUGCAAAUCACAUUCAUCUUUCAGUCUCUUAAGAGCAAUACGUGCGGCAUCUUGUUCAGCCGCAGCUGAUGUAGGAAAUUGGGUGCUCAAACAUCGAACAGUUUCAACUAUAAUUUCACUCUGAGAAAUUUGCAAAUCUAUAUAGCCCACAAACCUCCCCUCGGUGUCCACGCUUAGUACACAUCGUGGCACUUGUAACUGGAGCUGCUCAUAAAUGAACUGCAAAAGGAGGAAGCAGAGAAAUUUUAAUUUUAUGGUUAGAAAUUCUAUGUUGAUCAGAAAGAAACAAUUCAUAGCAAAGAGAACUACUAACCUGAAACCCUACCAAGAAGGAAACGUCCAGAUCUUGUAAAUGUGAGCGUCGAUUCCUGGGGAUAAAACAAUAAGAUUAGUAUUAUUAUUAUAUAAUAUAAGAAAGAAAGAUUUGAUCUGAAUACCUAAAUUUCUUACCGUUCAAAUUUUGGGAUAAUAGCAUAAGAUGCUAGUUUCGAUCUGAGGCAUGGAUGAAUUUUAUAGGCAAAAAUGUAGCAGCGAGGAGGGUAGAAGAAUCGACCAGGGUAGAGGACAGGAUCCAUCUGAAACGGUGGUAGAUUUUAUGAGCACGAUCCCGUCGAUCCCGUCUGAAACGAAAAUAGGAGACGGAUGCUGCGACGUAGAGAAGAGAAGAAACGAUUUGCUGUAACCGACAGGAAAAGAAGCAAGGUCGCGCGGUGGGGGAGCGAUUUACUGUAACGGAUAUGAGAAGAACAUGAGAAAAAGCAAGGUCGUGAGGAGGCGGGGCGAUUUGCGGUUUCGUGCGGAGAAGAAGAAAGGAUCGCGUGUAUUGGUUUGGUUUUAUUUAGAAGUUUAGAUAGUGAACGGUUCGGUUUGCUUCGCUUCGGUUCAGAGAGAAGCAGUUCAAUGGUUCGGUUCAGAUGUUUAGAGACAACGGUUCGAUUCGGUUGGUUCGUUUCGGUUCGGUUCAGAGGUUUAGAGAGAUGCAGUUCAAUGGUUCGGUUUUCAUACACAAAAUUAGAGAGGCAGAUCAUUGGUUCAGUUCGGUCUAAAAGAAAUGGUUUGGUUCAAAGUGGGUUAUUAUUAUUAUUUAUCUAUUAAUUAUCUAUUAACCUAAGAAUGAAGGGUUUCUUGCCACGUGACAAGAAACAUUGUGGAUUCAUUUAGGUUUAUAGAUACUCUUUAUUACUCUAACGGCUUAAUGUGUUAUACCCUUUAUUACUCUAUCUGAUUACUGCAGUCAUAAUUACAACCAAUCUACGCGUAGUGACAACUCUUGCUGUUGAAUUUUCUCGUAUAGUUUCAACUAUAGUAAUUAAAUUCAAAUACAUCAAAUCAAACACUGUAUCUAUAUUGUAUUUAGUUACAAUAACAGUGCAAUUACAACUAUAUACAACCAAAUAGUCUUUACACCAAGAUGAACAUCAGACUCGGCCCAGACUCCAAAUGGGCCAAAGCCUAAAACACGGACAAGAGAAUGGGCCAAAAGUCCCAUAAAAAAUGAAACCGAAAGGUUAGAGACUUUUGAGAGGAUGUUGAUAUGCUUAUUCAUCUGAUAUUUUAUAAAGAACUCGGUAGCAAAGCCCCACAAAAGCCGACUUUGAUUAUUACUCUGCAAAAUGAAUUCGGCGGGCGACGGAGCCCCUAAACUGCCCGAUUUCUAUUGUAGUCGGCAACGAGGAGCCUCCGCACGCCGACUACAAGAGAUCGAUAUGUGUAAAUGCGAAAAAAAAAAAAAGGGAGUGAGAAUAUCAGUUCUCGGUCAAACGGUCAGCAUUUUGGCGCCUCCUUUCGGAAAGCGCUCGCUCGCUGCCACGUCAUAGGGGCGGUGCAAAAAGCCAAAACCAACCGCCAAGGCUUACGUACAUCUCACACUAGACCCGGUCUAUACACCCAACCACUCUAUUAACCUCCAUUGUUUGAGAGAUGUCUUUUUUUGGAAUAAUUACCUACACAUCUCUCAAAAUUUCUGAAAUAUUUUAUAAUAUUUUAUUUUUUUAUUUAAAAUAUACAUUUUAUAUAUUUUUUCGUUAUUAAAAAAUAACUCCGCUGUUAGUAUCCGUUAAAUCAUCUUCGAUUAAACCAGUAUUAAAUUUUUACCGGAGUUAAAAAAUGUCAAAAUUCUCUUUUUGUCUGUAACUUAAUGAUAAAUAAGAAAAGUUAGUAACAACAGAAGGAUAUAUUUGAAAGGGCGAAAAUUCAAACUGUUUUUUUUUGCCCCUAACUUAAGGGCAAAUAAAAAAAAAUUAGUAACGGUAGAAAGGGGAUAUUUAAAAAGGCAAAAUAGUAAUUUUAUAAAAAUAAUGUUUAUUUCCGACGUUCACUAAUAAAAUUUUACUCUAGAGAGAUAUAUGAAAAAAUUUAGAUCUCUAGAAGAAUAUUUUUUAUAUUAGCCUUCUAAGCGAGGGAAAUAAAAAUGUCUGAAAUCUUUUAGAGGUAUUUAAAUAAUUAUCCUUUUUUUAGCCCUUGUGUAGUUCAAAUUGCAUUAGAUAAUUUAAAUAUAAUUUUUUCUGAUUAAUUUUAUCUUACAUCAUGUGAGAUAAUAUAUUAAGAUAUUUUUAUAUAACAUAGACUCUUUUUUUUAUCUUACACCUUGUUUUCUAUUGCAGUGUUUUAUAUAUUUUCACAUAAUAGAAAUAAAAAAUUUUAAAUUUUACUAAAAUUAUACUAAUAAUAUUAUUAUAAAAUUUUUUAAUUUGUUAAAAUUUUUAGCUACGGCUAAAAUUUAGUAUGAAAUAGAAAAAGAAUAGAGUGUCUGAGAUCUAAUGAUAGUGAUGAAUUUGUCAUUUGUGUGAUUUGUUCAUGAUGACGUGGCACACCCGGUUCAUGAGAAUAGUUAUUACAGCUAAAGGGCAAAUUAUAGACCGAAAGAAACCACGCUUUUUUUAUUCAAUUCCUUCGAUCUCCUCCUCACUCUUCUUCUUCUUCUUCUUCCUCUCCCCUUUCCUUUUCUCCCUCUUCGCCUCAUCUCUCUCGAUUCAGCCCUAGCAAUGGCGAACGACGCCAUCCCCUCCUCCUCCUCGUCGUCGGAGGCCGCGGCGGAAGAGGAGGAGAAGAAGAAGAAGAGGCGUAGUGGCCGCGGAGGCGGCGGCGGAGGAGUGGUGUCGCGCGUGUGGAAGGGGAUCUUCGGAGCGGGACAUGACUUGGAGAAGGAGCUUCGGCGCCUCUCCGUGGCGGAGGCCUCCGCCCACGCGCGGAUCAAGCGAAGGGCCCAAGCCACGCGCGCGAUGAGGACGAACCUCGUCGUCGUAUCGAUCGCUCUUGAGGUUUUGCGAUUUGAUUUGAUUUUAGCCGAAUUAGUUUUAAUUAGGUCGCUGGAAUUUAUCAAGUUGAUUUCGAAUUUAGGGUUUGAUGAGGUAGCAAGGUUGUCACUAUGUAUUGAAAUGAGCUUAAUAUUUGGUAGUUGUUUGAUAUUCUCAAAUCAUAUUACGUUUGAUUGCAAUAAUUCAGGUAGUUUGAAUCACAAACUUCAAUAAUUAAAGUUUUGAUGAUCAAAUAUCAGCAACCUUGUAGUUCGAGGACUAUUCGUCAAAUUUGGCCUAUGAUUUAUGUGUGCAAAUGGAGCAAUAUUGCUCGUUUAGUUUUACUUUUUUGUUUGUAGAAACAUGAUUUUUGAUGUUUAUAAUGGUUGCACAGAAUUGCGCCAAGUGAUUGAAAAAUCUGGUAUGAAGCUGUUCGUCCAAUUUAGCCUAUGAUUUAUAUGAGCAAAUGGAGUGAUCUUGCUUGUUUAAUUUUAUAUUAGUUUGUAGAAACAUGAUUUUUAUUGUUUAUAGUGGUUUCACGGCAUUGCGCCAAGUGAUUGAAAAAUCCGAUAUGAUGAUGUACUUCAACACAAUAUAUAUUAGAUUCCGUAUACGUCACAAAUAUAUCUUUCACCAGUUGUGUACUUCUAUAUCUUCUAUAAAAGUUCCUAGUGGUUCUGCAAGUGUUUGUUGCUUCAUUAUUGCUAAAACCUUCCAAAAAAUGAUUUAGUGUUCUUGGUCAUUUUCUACUAGAUCAUUUUUUUUUUGGUAGCAUGGUAUCAGAGCUAGCCCAAACCCCCCUCCAUUCCAAGAGGUCCUUAGUUUGAUUCUUUUAUCCGCCACUUUAUGGCAUCAAUUUCCGUCCUUUAUUCCUUUGUAUUUUCCAUUAUCUCAGACCUUUUGGCAUGGUUCGUUUGAUAUUCACCAUGCAUGCGAGUGGGCAGUGUUAAGACAAAUUCUAGGCCAUUUCCUAGUUGGUCAAUUUUUUUGUUAACACCUAUCAGAUAUUUCUCUCGGUCAAGACUCAGGGUUAUAUACUCGUUAGAAAAGCCUUGAUAAUUUCUUAGGAUAGUUGCUUUUUGAACUGAUUUCUAAUUGUUGUUGAUUUGUUUCACAGGGUUUGGCUGUUGCAUAUGCUAUCAUGACGACAAGAUCAUUGGAUUUGAACUGGCAGAUGAGGGCAGUUAGAGUGAUGCCUUUGUUUGUGCUUCCUGUUUUAGCUGUUGUCAUCUACUCGACACUUGGGAGCGUCAGAAGAAUGUGUAAAUAUCAUGGACUCUUUUCCUUUUAAAUUUUUUUUAUAACCCAGUUCUCAGUUUCUAUAAAUUUGCUGAUUGAGCUUUUGAUCUAUUAGUCUCUCUUUAUAGACGUUUAUUUGACUGUUCUUUCAUAUUUGAUUGGUCCAUUGAAUUUUUUUUAAUUAAAUAGAUAUUUAAAUGGAAAAAAAGAAGGCGGCCGUGGAGUAUAGAAGAAGUGAUCCUGGGUUGUACUCAGCUUUCAUCCCUAUUCAAUUAUGUUUUUGAUGGGAAUAUGGGACUUAUUAGGUGUAUCAGCAUUUUUCCAGCUACAAAUAAGGGGGUAUCAUGUUAAUGAAGUUCAUAGUUUUGUCUGGAGAAGGGAAAAAAAGAAAAUAAUGUGAUGGUGGGGAAUCCUUUCGCCACUAAUACAAAAAAGCACAUAUAAGAUGAACUGCCUCAAAAUUGAUUCUCUGAAUCUUUGAUGUUUUUCUUACAUGGUUGACCAUGAGCUUUUUAAAUUCCUUUUAGACACCUAAUGUGGGAGAAACUUUUAGUGAGAUUUGGGAAAAACAUUAUCCUGUUUAUAACCUGUCCUUCUUUUCUUCAGUGGAUAGCAAGGACCAGAAAGCGCUUGAGAGGCUCCGUGAAGAAAGGCAAGCGAAGAUAACUGAGCUGAAGGAGAGGACAAAUUACUACACUACACAACAGCUUAUUCAGGUAGGUUUUUCAUCUUUCUAUCCUUCAUCUAUAUAUCUACUAUUGGCACUUGAUCUUGGGCAAAAAAAAUGCAUUGAUAUCACUCUCUGUAGAGUUACAUGCCUAAGUGGUUCCUGUAUGGUCUACUCUUGUGUACCUGUCAAUUUAAUCACUGAGCACUUCUUUUAGUCAAUCAGGUCACUGAAGUCUCGACUAUUUGUGAAAUUCAUUAUUCCAAGUGAAUUAAAAGAACUUGUACUACCGCUUGGUCCAUAUACAUAUCAGUAAUACUCUUGAUUCCAUCCGUUUUUUAAGAAUCUCAGCAAGUGUUUAACCGUCCAUGUCUGCAAAGUCGAUGAUGUACACUUAUAAGAUGACGCUGGGAAUAUACCUAUUUUUUCCUCCUUUUUUUCUCUCUCCAAGAACGAGGUAUGGUUUAGUACAAUUUAUCACGAUCCUAUCAUAAUAACUCUUUUGGUAUCUAAAAGAGUUUAGGGUUCAAAUCUAUUUCUUUAUAUCUGUAACAUUGGAGGGAUAACUAAUAAUUUAACUUCUGAAGUUAGUUUAUUUAUCAUCAAGGAUGGUAUUAGUAAUUUAGCAAAGCUUUGAUUAGCGAAUUUUCAUCGAAAUGGACAUAGCACGAUAUUCAUGUAUCAGUGAAAGUAGAGUGACUAACUUUUAAUUUUUAUUCUCUGUAUAUGUUACUGAUUCUUUAUAACGAUUAACGCAGAGAUACGACCUUGAUCCUGCUGCCAAGGCCGCAGCAGCAACUGUUCUGGCAUCUAAACUUGGAGCAGAUUCUGGGUUGAAAUUUUAUGUUGGAGAUGAAUCAAAUACCAGUCCCUCAUUGGGAGUUAGCAAUGAUGUUAACCCGGCGCAACCUACUCAGCUCCGACACAGAAAACCAGCUUCUGGCAAAAGUGCUGCCGCAGUAAGCAGCCAAGAAGCUCACUUCUUUGAUGAUUCCUUAAAUGAGUACGACGAAAAUGCCGGGGAAAUUGCUUCUCCAAAUCAGAGUUUUGUUGGACAUAAUAAAGGUUCAGCUGGUAGUGACGGGGGAUGGCUCGCUCGAAUUGCGGCUUUGCUUGUAGGAGAAGAUCCGACACAGUGCUAUGCGCUGAUCUGCAGCAACUGCCAUAUGCAUAAUGGUAAGUGAUGUCUUUCGAAGUUGUUAUCAUGUCAAAUUACCUUUUUAUCCCUUUCCGCUCUAAAUGUGCUCGCCCUCGUGUUUAACCUCGAUCACAAGCAACAAAAUGCAAGAACUGACUCAACUGGCUAACUUAAUGUGCAGGAUUUGCGAGGAAAGAGGAUUUUCUAUUUAUAACAUAUUAUUGCCCUCAUUGCCACGCAUUAAACGGGUCUCGACAGCAAGCGGAAAACGAAAUGAUUUUGAAUUCUGAGAGGGAAACUCCGAUUUCUCAAGCUGAUGGUAAUGAUGCGUUCAACGACGCGAGCAAUUCGAGCUCGAUCACCGGCAGUCCAUUUGCAAACACUCCAACAGCUGCCAAAGAAAUGCCUCAAGGAGACAACGGCGACGAGGAAGGAAAUGAUGUUCAUACUAAUUAGGAAUUUGCAUUCAGUAUUAUAUGUAAUGCUUUUACAAUGAGAUAGCUUCUGUUGAAGGGAAAAUUCGUUUGUUUGUCGAUGAUUCCGCAUAAAGAGAGGAAAGGAGCAUGUUGUGUAAAAUAAUUACUAAUUCUUUUUGAGAGUUAUGGUAAUUUUUGGCCAUUUUGUUAUAUACUGUGAGGAGUGGAAGGUACCAUAAUGGGGUUUUUGGGCGACUACACUUAUAGAAUUUUUUUUAAUUCUAAAAAUAUAUAUGUAUCCAACAUUUUUAUUUGUAAAUUAUGUUGCACUAUUUUACAACACAUUGUACUGUUUGAUAAGUUAUUGUGAAGUGCUCUCAAGUAAUUACGUAAUAAAUUUUCAAGUGAUGUAACGUAUUUUUUAAUUGUUCAGCAACUAAUCACAUAGUAUUAUAUUUUUUAACUAAUGGUUUAAUAUUUUUAUUUCUUUGAAUGGAGAAAAAAAAUUUGUAGAGAGAGCAUGACAAAACAAUAAAGAAAAAGAAAUAACAGUGCAACACAAAUAUUAGUAACAAGCAUAAGUAUAGUAAAAAAAGAGUCUAGAUGAAGAAGGGAUAUAACACACCACUUAUUAGGCAUUUGUUAUAUUAUUUAUAUAAAUAUUACACUACCUGUUCUUUUUGGACUAUAUUUAAUCUUUUAAUAUUAGUAAAUUUUUAUUUUUUUAAAAAAAUUUACAUAGCAAAUACUAAAAAUAAAAAUAAAGGAUUCACGUUGGCGAAAAUAGUUUGCAUAUAUUAUGAAUUAAGGUAGAUGAGAUGCACUAUUUAACUAUUACUUCUUGUCUAGAGAAUACGAAAAUUCAUCUUGCACUAUGUACGAAUUUUGACUACAGAGACAAUUUUGUCAAAAUUUUGAAAAAUAGGAGCAAAUUGUAGAUUCCAAAAAAUGCAUUGGAUCUGCAAAAUCACAAAAUUAGUUAUUAUUUUUUAGCACUGAUAUGGUACACUGAAAAGGGGUAUAAGUCACCCCCUCAUCUAAGGACCCUUAGUGGGGAGUUUUUAAUAUUAAUGGACUUAAAAGAAUAUUAUAAUUAUAAAAAUAGUUUUUUUAAAAAAUUAUUUAUAAAAUUAGUUUUAUGCAAUGAAUGAUUUACCGUAUUUAUUUAAAUAUAAUAGUUUAUUUAUUCUCAAAAUGUUAAAAUUAUUUUUACUAUUUAAUACUAUACAUCUUUUGAAGUUUAAAUGUGUAAAAUAUAUAAGUUCGGUAAAUAAUGAAUAAUGUAUCGUUUUUAGAACGCGGUGAGUCAUCGUUUUUUAAAAAUAGUAAAUAAUUCACUGCAAAAAUCUAAUUAUAUAAAUAAAAAUUUUAAAUGUCCAUUUUUAUAAUUAAAAAAAUUCUAUAGCAUCCGUUUGGUUCGGAGUUAAGGAGUGGAAAAACCCUUUAACCCCGAAGUUAUUUCCAAACGCCUAAUUUGGGGAUUGGGGUUAACUAACCCCACCCCACCCCACCCCACCCCACCCCACUACUCCAAGUCUCAAACCAAACAAAAUACUGUUUUAUCUAUUAUCUUUCUUAUCUCAACCACUCCAAUCAAACACUAUUUUAUUUAUAUCUGAACUAAUCCCAAUUUUCAACUAAAUACAAAAUUAUUCUAAUCCCACCUUAACCCUGAACUUAACUCCAUUCUUGGAAUAAUAAAUUUUUACUUAACCCAGAACCAAACGGUUGCAUAGGGUUAGUCGAUCUCAAAACCUUCUUAAUAGGUCCUUAUCUUGUCCUUUUUUUUUAAUACUAAAAACUUAAAAAAUUUUUUAAUAAAUUCUAGGGCGAAGUAAUGUAUGUCAUACAUGUAGCAUUUUUUUUUUUUCAAUCAAAAUCUAUUAAUUAAAGAAAAUAUAAAACUGAAGCUUUAUUGCAAACUUUCCAUAAUAGAGGGGUCUCUGUACAUUUUUAUGCAGAAAUGGGGCUUCGUUUUCUUCUUAACGACAAUACAGGGAUCGAAAACUCCAACUCUCUCUCUCUCUCCCCCUUCCCCAGAUCUCGUUCCCGGCGAAACCCUAGAUCUCAAUCCCAGGUAUGCUCUUUUCCCUUCCUCCCCAUCUCUCUCUCAAUCUCCGCAUCUUUGAUUCCAUUUCAUUUCGAAGCAUUAGAUCCGUUAGUUUUAGCUUACACUCUUUGAUCGAUGUGAAAUGGCUCAUUAAAUCGCUAUAAAGUUGAAGGUUUUUGCCUAAUAUUGGGCUAAUUGAUGUUACUUUUGUGCCUAGGGUUGUAGAUCUACGAGCAUUGUAGNNNNNNNNNNNNNNNNNNNNNNNNNNNNNNNNNNNNNNNNNNNNNNNNNNNNNNNNNNNNNNNNNNNNNNNNNNNNNNNNNNNNNNNNNNNNNNNNNNNNNNNNNNNNNNNNNNNNNNNNNNNNNNNNNNNNNNNNNNNNNNNNNNNNNNNNNNNNNNNNNNNNNNNNNNNNNNNNNNNNNNNNNNNNNNNNNNNNNNNNNNNNNNNNNNNNNNNNNNNNNNNNNNNNNNNNNNNNNNNNNNNNNNNNNNNNNNNNNNNNNNNNNNNNNNNNNNNNNNNNNNNNNNNNNNNNNNNNNNNNNNNNNNNNNNNNNNNNNNNNNNNNNNNNNNNNNNNNNNNNNNNNNNNNNNNNNNNNNNNNNNNNNNNNNNNNNNNNNNNNNNNNNNNNNNNNNNNNNNNNNNNNNNNNNNNNNNNNNNNNNNNNNNNNNNNNNNNNNNNNNNNNNNNNNNNNNNNNNNNNNNNNNNNNNNNNNNNNNNNNNNNNNNNNNNNNNNNNNNNNNNNNNNNNNNNNNNNNNNNNNNNNNNNNNNNNNNNNNNNNNNNNNNNNNNNNNNNNNNNNNNNNNNNNNNNNNNNNNNNNNNNNNNNNNNNNNNNNNNNNNNNNNNNNNNNNNNNNNNNNNNNNNNNNNNNNNNNNNNNNNNNNNNNNNNNNNNNNNNNNNNNNNNNNNNNNNNNNNNNNNNNNNNNNNNNNNNNNNNNNNNNNNNNNNNNNNNNNNNNNNNNNNNNNNNNNNNNNNNNNNNNNNNNNNNNNNNNNNNNNNNNNNNNNNNNNNNNNNNNNNNNNNNNNNNNNNNNNNNNNNNNNNNNNNNNNNNNNNNNNNNNNNNNNNNNNNNNNNNNNNNNNNNNNNNNNNNNNNNNNNNNNNNNNNNNNNNNNNNNNNNNNNNNNNNNNNNNNNNNNNNNNNNNNNNNNNNNNNNNNNNNNNNNNNNNNNNNNNNNNNNNNNNNNNNNNNNNNNNNNNNNNNNNNNNNNNNNNNNNNNNNNNNNNNNNNNNNNNNNNNNNNNNNNNNNNNNNNNNNNNNNNNNNNNNNNNNNNNNNNNNNNNNNNNNNNNNNNNNNNNNNNNNNNNNNNNNNNNNNNNNNNNNNNNNNNNNNNNNNNNNNNNNNNNNNNNNNNNNNNNNNNNNNNNNNNNNNNNNNNNNNNNNNNNNNNNNNNNNNNNNNNNNNNNNNNNNNNNNNNNNNNNNNNNNNNNNNNNNNNNNNNNNNNNNNNNNNNNNNNNNNNNNNNNNNNNNNNNNNNNNNNNNNNNNNNNNNNNNNNNNNNNNNNNNNNNNNNNNNNNNNNNNNNNNNNNNNNNNNNNNNNNNNNNNNNNNNNNNNNNNNNNNNNNNNNNNNNNNNNNNNNNNNNNNNNNNNNNNNNNNNNNNNNNNNNNNNNNNNNNNNNNNNNNNNNNNNNNNNNNNNNNGAUCAAGUCUAACGGAGCCGAUCGUCGAUUCGAAAAUUCCAUCAUCGAAAACGGCUCAGGAGCACGGAGGCCUCCGUGCUCCUGAGAGCACAGCAGCCCUGCUCUACAUAUAUAUAUAUAUACAUAUAUACAUAUAUAUAUAUAUAUAUCUAUAUAUAUAUAUAUUAGGUCUUGUGUGCUAUUAGGAGCACGGAGGCCUCCGUGCUACCAAUAAUAUACCAGCCUAGCUCUAUAUAUAUAUAUAUCGAGUCCGGCUACUAUACUAUUAAUAGUACAAACCGCUUACUAUUAGCUUUUCGGUCCUUGAAUGAAGGGAUAUGCAAUCAGGAUGAUAGUAACCCCCUAGGGUUGAGUGGGUGUGGUUAGUUGAAUAGUAUGAUCUAACGAGUGAAAAUGAUCAAUAGAAUAAAUCUAAGGGCAAAAAACUUAUGAGUAUAAGGGAGCGAAUACUCAUAAAAGUAUAGUAGCCGGACUCAUAUAUAUAUAUAUAUAUAUGUAAAUGUAUAUUAAUUGCCCCUUCAUUGUACCAUUUCAGGCUUCUGAAGGCAUUGCCUGAUUAACUCCUCCCAUAGUUCAUCAUCAUGUUGAUCGGUCACAAAUUCUACAGCCUACAUAAAGUUAAAAUAUUCAUUUAUUAGACACCAAGAAGUAUAUUAUUAUCCAAUCAUAAUGCAGUAAUUACGAUGGAAUGAAAUGUUUUUGGUAAACAAGGACAAAAGAAAAAGAAGAAAACAACUGACACAAACAAAGUUACUUAUGCACACCUCCUGUAUGUCCUCCAACUUAUUUAUAAUAAUAGCAAGGGCCUGUUUUGCAUUUCCCAUCCUACCAAGGACAAAGACUUGCUCUCUUAUGAGCUCUUUCCUAGCACAAAUUUCAUAAGCCUGAAAGGUAAUAAAAUGUUAUUUAUUUAUUCAGUAAAUCUGAAAAAAUGUUAGCAAAUCAAGUCCAACCUUGUCUAGCCUGUAAUGCUGACUGGUACGAAGAAAAGGGAGUAGCAAUCGUGAUUCGUAAUCUGCAUAAAGCUCUACCUAUGACAUAAAAGGACAAAGUACACAACGAAUAAUUAAUCAAGAAUAAGUGUUAUUGCAUGCACAGCAAGUACUGAAAUUAUUCAAAUUCAAAAAGAGUAGAGCUCAGGGGGAAAAGAAAAUUGUACAAGGAAAAAUGAUGAUUGCCCACAGUAAUGACAAAUAACUAGAGAUAGGUAAUUAUUGUGAUAUGAUCCUGAAGGGAUGAAGAACAAAUAAAAUUCAGUAAGAAAACAGAUAUACCUGCAUAUCAUGGAACUCUUUUCCAGCAUUAAUGUCAACCUCAAAAAGGGAAUGCAAGUAAAGAUGCAAGAAAUAUCUCUUGUCACACUUUUUAUUGGACUGCAAAAGCUGCCCGACAACUUCAGAUGGAGGAAUUAUAUCACGGUGUUGGAUCAAUAAAAGAACCGUUCUUUUACUGUCAAGUAUCAUAAGAUCAACCACCUGUAUAAGAAAUAAUAGUAAAUAUAAUAUUAAAAGAAUUGCCUUAACGAUUGCAUAAAUGUACAAGUUAAUUCUAACAUUUAUUUGACAAUAAAUAUAAUUGCUAUCUUAGUAAUAUUUUGCUAAUAGGGACUAAAAGCAACAUGCAUAAACUUCAACACAACCAAUAAAAUGAGAAUGCAAUAACAUAUAAUUUCAUGAUAACUUGAAGUUCAACAUACAUUCCUUUCUUUCAGUGAGCAGCUGUUAAUACCUGUAGAUCAUAAAACUCUUAAAUGCUUACCGGUUUGGAGUGUAAUCAUCAUAGUGAAAGGGUCAACGUUGUACUCUGUUUGAAAUGCAUUUUGUCUAUUCUUAUCCUUCAACUCCUCUCUCUAGGCUUCAAAGUUUUUAAAAAACCUUUUUUGGAUAUAUAUGAAGACUAACACAUUUUUUUGAGUGAGAGAAAGCACAGUAUGCACAAACAAGAAACAGAGUCAUUUCAGCAGACUAUUCUUGUCAAGAUAAUCGUAAAAGGACCAUUUUGCAGAAAAGAAAUAGUAAAAAUUUGAACCAUAGAUUUUAACAAUGGUCAGAUGCAUGAGGAUUUUUACUCAUAAAGGAGAAACAACAAUAGGACAGAACUUUUCAUCUGAGCCACAAGAACAAACAACAGUAUUGUAUCCAAGUACUAGAAGAGGAAUAAACAAAAGCGUAUGCCGCAGAGCGCAAGGCUACUUUUAGUGUAGCCUCCACAGUAAUGAUAUACAACCUUACCCUAGUUAAUAAAAGGAUUUCCAUGAAUCAAACCAGCAUCUAGAGGUUGUAACAAAAGGAAUCACUACAGUUAUUUGCACAAGCAGAUAGCUAAAACGAGUGGGCUGUAAGCUUCAUAAGCAUACCAAGUAUGAUAGAAUAUAGCUCUUCCCAUGAAAGUAAAACUAAGAAAAGAAAGUAAUACUGAGAAAAGAUAAAAGUGAAAUUAUCGUCAACAUUAGGGCUGAUAGCAUACCUUGUCAUGAACGGCAUGAUAUAAACUGUGCUUUUCAAUAAAAUUGAAAACGUCAGGCUUCAAUACCUGAAAAGACAAAAAUGGAAAGAUGAAGUGGGAAGGUAACAUCAAUAUGCGAAUUAAGGCUUGUUUGGCCUGUUUGGGCUUGGAAGAAAUGCUGUUACUCAAAGAGCCGUUCAAAGCAGUGGUAAUAUUUUCUUUUUUUAACCAUAAGUUAUCCUCUACAGCUUCUCACUGCAGAAGAAGCAAAAUGUUCAAAUUGGAACUUUUGGUUUUGGGGCCUGAAAGACUAUUUUAGUCUCCCAACAGCAAAAGCUCGGGACAAUUUGCUAGCCAAACACAUGGUUUAUGGAAGCUUCCACUUCGUGCAUAGAGAUGCUUUUCCAUAAGCCAGGCCAAAAUGUCGCAUGAAGCGUAAGUACUUACAUCAGCAUACAAACCAAAGGCUUUCUCAUACAGUCCAUUGAUCACAUAUAAUUCAGCUAAUGCCUGUUACAAAAACAUGAAUAAAUAAAUAGGAGAUAUAGAACAGAUGUACCAACGCAAAAAUUCCAAACUAACCUCUUUCAAAUUAUCAGUCAUAGAGGAGGUAUUCAUUUGUGGCUCAAUGGCAGAAAUAACAGGUGAUACAGAAUAUAAUGUAGGCGGCCACGAUUUAACAGUUGACAAGAGAAGUUUGUGAAAUGGCGGGUUAGUAGCCAAUGCAACAAGGGCAACCUGUUCAUAUAAAGAAUAAUAUUCAGGAACUCUACAAGCUAAUGAUAAAAAUCUUACUCAUGAAGCAACAACUACAGAUCCAUUAUUUAUCUUACAGACCUCAUAUGCAGUAUCACUCAGCUGAGGAUAGUCUGUAGGAAUGUAAGGAACCAACACAGGAAGCUGGCGCAGAUGGGCAAAGUGAAAAACCCACCUAUUGAAGAAAAAGUUUUAGUUAACAGAGAAUUGAAAACUGUGAAAGUUAAAUUGUGGGCUUUUGCAAACCUUUCCCAUGCUGAAGCGGAUCCACGGAGUAACUUAGGACACAAAGAUGCAGCUUCUGCAUAUUUCCUUUCAACAAUUAGAUGAUCAAGGUAUCUUGAUCCCACCUGACAUAAGAAGAGCACAAAAUCAUUGACCAAAUGAAAUGUUCUUAAAGAAUUUAUAAGAAGGUAGCAAAAUCCUAAUAAGAAUUCCAGAAUAUAAAGAUAAACUAUUAUAAGAAAAUCAUAGUAGACAAGGCCAUAUGCCACUGAUGCUAUCUUAAAGAGAGCUUAUGACUUUCUGCACCAAACAGGAUGGGAAACACUGAAAGGUUAUUAAAUGAAUGAGAAAUAGCUAUUCCGCCUACAAUUCUUUUAUUGCCAACCCACGAAACCAGUUGAUAAUAGAUUUCAGUUUUUGACCAACAUAUUUUUUAUUGCUGAACAAUCCCACUGGGCCAGGAUUAUAUGUUUCUUCAACCAGUUAUAUUAUCAUUGUACACCCAGUAACGAUGGCAAUGGGGAUAAAAUCAACAGUUAAUUGGAAGCGGAUUUUAAAUUGUUGCUUAAAAUGUCCAUUGCUAGAUUACAUAGUAUAAAGUGCCAUGCUGUUUCACAGCUCGCAAAAUCGAUGAGCUUGACAAUGUAGCCUUGUGCACAAACAAAAAAAAAAAAACAGAAUUCUGUUUAAUUUAAAUAGUAGGGUUGCUAUUCAUACAAGUACAAUAUCGACUCAAAAAAAAAAAAUCUUUAUGAUGGCAAAUGCAAUCACAGGCGUUACCAGCCCCUCCUUUAACUAACAGAUUAAUAGCAAGAAAGAGAAAGAAGCAGCGCCACAAUAAUCUCUUAAUCAAGUGCUUAGAGGGGAUGUGGAUCAGUAGAUCUCAUUUGCUACAACUGACCAGCGAGUAAGUACUACUUUUAAUAAUAAGUAAAUAAUGUGCAAUUGUUUGUCAUGGAAAAUAUUGACAACUGUUACGCUGGCAUGUACAUCCACCCAUAUGAUAUUGCACCAUUGAUAAUUAAAGGAAAAACAGCAGAGAUCUAAUGUACCUCAUCAAGAAGUUCAGUCCGUCCCUGUCCCGCUUCAACUGCAGCUAAUGCCUUUUCAUGCCAACCAUGAUGAAGAAGCCAAGCUAUGUGAUCUUCAGCAUCUCUAAUUUUCAUACAGAUAUUGGAUAGUUAAGAGCAUGGAGUCUGCAAUUUUACCGAGCUUCAAAAAUACACAUACUCUUGUCCAUGUUUGAUGACAUUUUUCAGAUCAAAACAAGCAAGCAAUUAUACAAGUUGAAAAUAUAUCAGAUGGUCAAAUCAGAAAUUUGCAGGAUUCCCUCACUAGUUUAUUUCUAUCUCAGCCCAAACCCUUGAAACAAUUUAGAAAGGCCCAAUUUUAUUUAGAAAAAGGAAGAAGAGUAGGUACUUCCCCAAAAUAACAAUUCAAAUCAUAACAUGUACAUAGAUAGUAAAAUGUAAUGGCAUGCAUACAUACACUAUAUAAGUACAUUGUGAACACCAAUGCAAAUAAGUCAAAGAUGCUGCUAAGUUCAAGGGGGAAAAACAUAAAAUAUAGAACGAUGGUUCCUAGAGUAACAGCCUAACGAGUUAAAAGACACCAGAAAAAGCUUGAAAAAAAGAAGAAGCUAAAGUACUUAAAAUGAGUAUAAAUUCUACAAAAUCCUCAUAUACCUAGGCCUCGCAAUCACUAUGUCUUUGGGAGAUACGAUAUAAUAGAGAGGUUCAUCACCAGCAGCCCACUGACCACCAGCAUAGCUGCUUCCUAUGCAAAAGUGCAAAAGCAGUUAGAAGUUAGCAUUCCAAACCAUGCAACUACAGUUUACAUAUUAUAAACAAAAUGAUUAGGGCUGUUUGGUCUAAUUGUAGCUUAGCAGUUACUUCUACAAAUAGCAAUUUGAAGAAGUUAGUUUUUUUAAGCAUUUGUAACAAACCUAGUCCCUAAUGAUCAGGUUUCCAAUUUGUCCUCAAGAGUUUCAAUUGUAACAAUUUAGCCAUAGAAGUUUGACCAAAAUAUCAGUUUUGUCCUUUGAGCUUCCAUCAUAACAACUUCGUCUCCGAAGGCUAAUCCGGAUUUCAGUUUCGUCCUUAAUGUUCCAUUUCUAACAAAGCAAUAUCUAACUGCAAUGCUGACCUAGCCAAGUUAGAAGUAUAAUAACAAUAGAGCGACUUGCUCGUUAUGCAAAAUGAACUUCGAAGACUAAAGUACUAAAACUAUUGAGGAAAGUGAAAUCAAAAGCGAAGUUCAGGGAUGAAAUUUGUAAUUAACCCUUUUGAUCAAAAUCUCCUUUACAGCCUCUCGUUGCAAUAGAAGCAGAAUCUCAAAUGGGAGCUUCCGCUUGGGGGCCAAACCCCUUUUAAUUUCUUGUCCAAAGAAAAUUUUGAGCCUAUUUGUUAGCAAAAUAGCUGGUUUCUAAAGCUUAUGAUAGGGAAGCUAUUCCAUAAGACAGGCCAAGCAGGCAAUUCAAAUUGGUAAAGGGUGUUUGAAACCUGUGAAUGGAGCAUGUGCAAGAGCAUAAUCUUUUGCCUUAUAAUGUUCAUAGCCAUGAACAGGUAAAGCAUCAGUUGUUAGUUCCUCAUUUUUCCAUGUGACAAUUCGUAUUUCUGGCCUUUGUGCAGUUCCCUGUGUAAAAAUUCCACGCACAUUAAGAACAAGUACUUCUGACUAAUGUAAAAUAUUUCACAAGAGCUAAAGUCAGAGAAAUUUACAAUGUCCAAUGCAACCAGCAAACAGGAAAAAUUAUUGCCAGCACCUGUGCACCACAUCAGCCAGCGCACCACCCAUUCUCUACCAUUCAUCCAUCACAUACUUCUAGAUCAAUAAAUGCUAGGAAGUGGGGACUGAACAGUGAGAUGGGAUGAAGGGCGGAGCAUGGGCGGGGGCACAGGCUGACAAGAUGUGGCAAAUGCAGGCAAUAAUCUAUCCUACUUAGGCAAUCAUUAGUAUUACUAACUGCUCUGGAGCAAGACAUUUUGAAAGCACAUUCAUCAGAAAACAAAGAACCAUGUAGCCCAGUAAAUCUGGUUUGACCCUAGUUGGGAAAACAUCUAGCUUAGUGUUGCCAGCCAUCCAAACUCAUUUUGACCUUGUUCACUUUCUUAAAAUUUCAUACUUUGGUCAUAGCUAGUGCAAUUACAUAACUGUCCAAAAAUUUGAUCAUUAGGCAUGUUUUGGUAGAUAGCGUUUAGCGUGCUAGUAAAUGCAGGUCUGCAUUUAGACCUUCUAAAGGUGAGACAGACUUAUUUUUGUUCCCACAAUUUCAUAUAGCCAUAUAAAAAGAAAAACCACACAAAAGUCCAUAAACAAGAAAAAAGACUUUCAAAUAAUGUCAAAUGAGAUCACUGCAAUAUUAUACUUUUCUCUUUAACUUAUGGUUUCUCAAGCUUCCCAUAGCCAAAAACUCCAAGAUUUGCAAAAAAACCUGAAACUGGAUAUGAGACUUAAGAUUUGAACCUAGUCAUAAAGUCACAAUAGAGUUGACAAUAAAGCAGCAUUUCAUUUUAGGGUAUUUCACAUAAGUAACUGCACAAAAUCCUCUAUUUGAUAAAUGUAUACACGCGACAUCUGAAUUUUCACAUAUACCCCUUGGCAGUGCAGUUUAAGAUAAUGCUCUCACCUUAAAUUAGGGUUACAAUUUACAGGGGAAGGGUUCUAAAAAUAACCAUCCAGAAUAUAUUUCUAAAAAUAAGCCCCUGUAAAAAAAUCUGAAUUGUCAGAUGCGCGUGUCCUUUGGAACUGCCGCUCAAAAAAAAAUGUUGUUACCCUAAACUAGAGAUCCAUUUUACAGGAAAGCUGGUUUUGUUCAGAUUUUUUAUUUUUUUCGUAUGUAGAGGAAGUUUUUUCUAAAAAGAUGAGAUAUUUUUACUACAAGGAAAUAAUAUUUUGCAGGAAAUUAAGUAUAUAUGCAAUUAGUUAGUACUUUGAUAGAGUAUAAGUGAAAUUUGCUAAAUAUAGUAUGAAAAUGCUAAUGUUGUCAAUCUAAAAAAUCAUUCUUUAAGCUACUAAAUGAAAAUACCUGCCGUGAUGGGACAGUUGUACUGAAAUCCUUUUCUCCAUUUUCCUCAUCCGGGAUGUAUGCUAGUACUACUAAAGCAUCGCCGUAUGGAGCAAUACCAGAAAUGUAGUAACUAGUUUGAAAAGAUGCCACAAUAUCCACAUACUUAGUACUUGAAAUGGAAAUAUUUGUCCGUACACCAUUCACACCAUUGGGAGAAUUAGCUCUAAUGGCAGCAAUCUUUACACUCGUUCCCCAGCCAAUGACCAAGAGAGUGUCAUCCUAGAUACAACAAAUCUUCUUAGCAUGUGACAUAGAAAAUUUCCAGAUUCAACAUAGAAAGAGGAAAGAACCUGCAAUUGCUAUAAACCUUCUCAAAAGUAUUUAAGAAAAAAAAAGAGAAGAAGAAAACAGCCAUCAUUAGCUGAGUUAGGCCUGGCUAGAACUUUUGACAACUGCUGCAUAAUAGAGUUGUUUGGGGAAGCACAAGCAGCUUUGUCAUUACAUUUCCCUAGCAGCUUCUCAAUAACCUAAUUGGAACAUCUGCUUUUGAGGCCCAAACACUCAUUUUAUCAUCUUGCCAUAGCAAAAGCUCUAGAGACUCUUCAUGACAAACUCCUAGUAACUGUUUCUUGAAGUAGAGAAGUUAUACCAGAAACUAAGCCAAACAAACAAAUUAGUGCCCAAAUACCCUCUAAUUUAUUCCUUUAUAAUCAUAAAGAGAGUAAAAUGCAAUAAUAAACAAUCAUGCACUUAAUUCUGCUACUGCCCAUGAUUCAUUGCUCCUCCAUCUUACCUCCACCCCAUCCUGAUAAAGUAUUAACAAUAAAAAUAAAAUAAAAUAAAAAUAAAAGAAGAGACUUCCAGAUCAGAUAGGUAGGCUUUUCGUUGGUAUUCAUUAUAUUCUCCGGUAGCUUGAGUUUCAAAUUAAUACUGAUUCAAAACUGUAGAAAAAUUUUUACUGCCGACCUUUUCAAUUGUCUUAUUUUCUGAUAAUUUAGUGGACUGCCAUCUGAAAUCUGAAAAAUGUUCACCAAUUUCAGCAAAUGGUAUAUCAUUAUUUCGACAUAAAGCAAUUUCCGGCCUGUAAAUACACCACUUACUAGGCUAAAACAAGGCCCAAACUCAAGAUAGCUGAAAUUCAGUCUCAAUAACACACAUAUGCGUGUUACUUGUAUUACUUUACGGGCCAAUAAGAACAGUAUCAUAUAUCUAUUUCUAUCAGUCAGGAACAGUAAAUCUCAAAAAUCUGAAAUGACUUAAUAUUUUGAGCAUGAUGAGGUCAAGCACAACAUUCUCUUUUGAAAUGGUUGCCUCAGCCAGACUACUUCAGAAUGAAAAGGGGAAACUUCACAGAAUAUAUUUUACCUGCCACACCAAGUGAGGAAGUAAAAGCUCUGGACGGGGGAUUCCCCUCGGUCUCUCAAUAAAAGAAAUUCGCUGAUGAUUUGCCAUGUCAUAAACUUUUACUCCUGCAUCAUUAGCCCAAGCAAUAAGACUUGUUCUCCACUUCACGGUAUGAAUUGGACCCUCACCGUCAUGCAGAAUCUGAGAAGAUACAAGGAUGCUGAAUAAUUAAAAUCUGACAAAUCUACAUAUAUGUACCCCCAAAUUACACAUUUAUAUACAUAUAUUCUUGUAAAAUCAGAAUUUAUAUCUUUUCAAAAGUGCAAUUCUUAUAGAAAUACUCGUUUUUAACCUGAGUCAUCCAAUUCAGGUGAAAAUUUGGUUUUGCACAAGAACAAAGCUUUCCAAUGAGGGGCAUUUUGUAAGUAGAAGGGUUAUAUAUUUAAGAAAUUAAAAUUUUGAGACGCAAAUAUGAAAUGAGUCUUGCAGGGGUAUUAGUAUAUACGUUAACAUCUCGAGACACAAGCGGGUACUAAACCGAAAUAUAUUCUAUAUCAAGAAAUAAGACAUACCUGCUUAUUAUAACCUAGCCAGUUCUUCAUGUUGAGAAAUAGUUGACCAGCUAAACCACCCGCGACAAACCUUCUUGAGGAUUUCCGUGAAUAGUCAGGGUCUAGAGCUAUUGCUUUCAUAGGCCGAUGAUACUCGAAUUUCAAUUUUUCAUCCGUAAAAAGGCUGCUUAUAACUACAGAUCCAUCAUCUGAGCAGCUACCAAUAAAUUCACCUUCUGCAUCAAAGCUAAGGUCGUUGACUGUAGCGGUAUGAGCAGCAAAUUCUUUGACCUGUAAAUAUAAAGUGUUGAGAACAUCGGCAUAUUUCGGCAAGAUAAUGGCAAGGAGUAGUAGACAACAGGGCAAAUCAGAAUAAAAAUGACAAGUACUUCUCAAAACAACUAAAAAUCUGGUCCAACCAAUAUGUCGGAACCUCAAAUAUCCUUAAUCUUCCUAAAGAUGAAAAAUCACGCCAUGCAAUCAAAACUACUUCAACUAUAUUGAACCUAAGUUAGAUUCAUCUAAGCACAAACUAGGGAUUGAGUAACUCUAAAGAAUAACAACUAACAUUUUAUACAGCUAUACGCGGUCAGCUAUAUAGGUCGUAUACUUUACAUAAGAUUCUUUGUGAAAUAAAUAUUAUCAUGUAUUUCCUUAUUAUGUCCUCCAGUGUUCAUUAUAAUAUUCCCUUCCCUCAUAAGGCAACUUCUACUUGAAUACUCUUUACUGACACCCCAAGUGGUCUUCUUUGUGCNGGAUAUACCGACUGGCGCAUAUCGACAUAUUUUACAAUCAACAAUAAGAAAUCUCAAUGAGUUAGGGAUCAAACACGAAUCUACUUAGAUUGAAUCCAAGUUAUAUCAACUUCAUCAAAACUAACGUACCGCACUAAAAAGUAGAAAUCCUUCUAAUUCCUAUAAACUCCAAGGCUGUAUAACCAACCUGGUCUAAAAAUCAACAAAACUCUUCAUGAACAGUAAAAAUAAGACUAAACGGGACAACAGAUGAUGAGGAACGGUAAUAGAACGGCUUUAUACGGCUACAAGAGUUGUGAAAUAUAAAUGUCCAGUUUCUUAAACGACGAGUAUGGCGAUGUCAGUUGCUGGAAUCGAAACUACGUCUUCCACUUAAAUAACCAUCGACGAGUCUACUACCUAGACAUCAAUAUUCGUCGGAAAAAUGCCUACUUUUUAACUUUAAGCUCAUAGUAGCCGGAUACUUUCGUUAUCGAGAUCUGGGACUGAUAAGUGCCUUUAGGAGUUCUUCCAAACAGCGCCCACCAAAUCGACCAGUUGAUAAAGAGUUGUACUUCUUGACCGAUCCAAUAUUAUUCGUCCAUACAGAAUAAAGAACUAUAUCUUAUAUAAAGCCAAAUCAUGGGCGAACACAGAGCUCUACAAUUGCAUAUAUGAUUAUGCAUGUAUUUCCUUAUUAUGUCCUCCAGUGUUCAUUAUAAUAUUCCCUUCCCUCAUAAGGCAACUUCUACUUGAAUACUCUUUACUGACACCCCAAGUGGUCUUCUUUGUGCAUGUCCAAACCAUCUCAAUUGGUUCCGCGUGAUUUAACCAGUUGGGUGCUAUACCUAAUUUGCUACUUAAUAGAAUCCUUUCUUUACUUUAUCUUCCAUACUAGCCCCACUAACAUGACUAACUUUAUAGUUGUCUAAUAAAAUCUUCCUUCUACUUUCAGGGGUAUAACAUUAGAAGCACUUCUUUCACUUCUAAUCAUCUUAUGCUUCCGUGCUAGAGCAUAUGGAACGCAGUUUUUUACAAAUGAAACAGUAAAGAUAAAAAAAGAAAAAUUCAUGGUGGAUAAACAUAACUAAGAGGGAUUUCUGUCGUUAACUUGGAUACAUCCAAGUGAAAAAGAUGGCAAAUAGUCUAACAGUGCAUUCAAGAUGUUGAUAAAUCAUCUUAUGCUCCAGUCAUCAAAUAAAAGCUCAUCAUCCAACUACCAUUCAAGAUAACCUACAAAGCAGUUUAUAUUGGGAGCUACACACAAGCCUAUAUGUGCAGGGUAGGGCCCCUCCUUUAAAAAGCAGAUGAUACAAAGGCGUAAAAACAGGGAAUCAAUAUCUAACUUACAAGACCAAGAGAAUAAAAACAAAUGUGAUUGUUUCAAUGAUUGGCUCUCACAAUGCCUAGAUGGUGGAAGUAAUGCUGUAAUUAGGGUACACUAUCUACAAAAGAUAGGGGAAAAAAUAAAAAAACUUUAAUUACUUGAACAAAAAAGAACUGUUCUAAUCAAAAUUAAAAACUACAAAAAUUAAGGUCGAUCUCCCGAUCUUUAUAUUUGAACAUUGAAAAUUCUAAUUCAGUUUUCUUGACCAUAUUUCGGACAGCAAAUCCCCACAUCAACAAUAUUUCACUUCAAAACCAAUCUCAUGACAGAAAUGAUCAUAUCCGUUUGGGCGAUUAAAAAGAAAUUAUUUGACUACAGGAUGUGUCGAUCGCAUCAUAAUUCUACCUCCGAGUUUACUUUACUCAGAAAACCGAUCUAAGCGACCAAAAAUCGUUCUGAGGGAAAAAGAACGGAAUCGAAUCGGAAUCGACCUGAUUGCCCUGGAAAUCGAGGAUGUGGACGGUGCCGUCGUGGGUGCCGAGGGCGACCAUGCGCUCGGCGACGGCGAUGGACGCGGCGGCGUCGGUGGAGAGGAGGGGGGGAACGCUCCCCCCCAUUCUCUGGUACUUGAGCCUCGGCUCCUCCUCGUCCUCUUCCGCCUCCUCCUCUCCCCUGUUCUCUACAUGCUCCUCCUCCUCCUCCUCCUCCUCCUCCUCUUCCUCCUCCUCCUCGUCGUCGUCCUCCUCCUCCCUCUCGUCGUCCCCCUCGACCCCGUUCUCCGAGGGUUGGAGCUCCGACGCCAUGGCUGCUGCGCCGAGAUCCGUGUACAGCAGGAGCUUCGAGAAGCGCCCACGCGAUCGCUCUCUCUCUCUCUCUCUCUCUCUCUCUCUCUCUCCUUCUCUUUCUCUCUCUAGAUUUUUUUUUUUUUUAUCCUGUUUAAUGCUAAACUUCGUGCCAAUUUUAAUCCGGUUCGUUUGUCGUUACGAAAUUAAAAGGAAUUAAUACGAAAAGUCGGGGCGUUUGAUAGAUCCGUUAACCCGCUUAGGACUUAACGGGCGAAAAUGAGGAGCCCAUUAUUAAUCGGAUCGGGUAAUAUAUAUAGUAAGCUUUUUAUCGCCUUGUUUUGAUGCCCAAACAAGUUAUUCACAAACAAAUUAUUAUGACUUUAUUUAAAUACUAGUGUAGUAACCCNCGAAAACUUAAAAUCUAUAUUUAAGAAUAAAUUAUUAUUUAAAGAUUUAUUUAAAAUGGAUGGUUGAAAAUUACUGGACAUGACAAUAUUAGUAAAAAUGAUAGAGACAUUUUUGGAAAGAAAAAAAAUUUAAAACUCACGUUUUUAUAAGUAGUAUAGAUUUGGAGAUAACCUUUGUCUAUAUUGGCCCAAUUAUGAGAGUAGAAAUUAUAAAUAAAACUCAUGAUAGAUGUUGAUUGCAACACAUGCCAUAUUUUAAAUUUUAAAUCAAACAGGACAAAGUUAAAUACUAUAUAGAAUCUAUAAGAGAAUCUUAUUUAAUACUCUCAAUUUAACAUAAUCUAAAUUCUAUUCCAUUAUGUUGUGGCACUUAAUUAAGUUAUCAUCAAAAACUUAUGUGGCAAUAAUUACUACCCUUUUAAAUUAUUAUCAUAUCAUCUCAAAAUUAUUUUUAUUUAGCUACUUAGUUUAACAACUAAUUAACAAUUUGCACGUAAAAGUGAUCUUAAGAGAUAAAUUAAUAGCCAUGCCAUCUCUAGAGAUAGUGUGAUUAUGAAUAUAAAUCGGUUUGUCUUUUUGUUUGACAAACUACAUGGAAUUUAGUAAAAUAUAAUAAACAAAAAAUUGAAGUUCAAUAAUUUAACCGACCGUCACUAGAACAAGUGGCAAAGGGUUUGGUGGUUGGUACCCGAGGUCCCAAGUUCGAAUCCUAGUUGAUUCACAUUUUCAGCUAAGUUUAUUUCUAAAUAAAAUAAAUGAAACGGGUAGCGUGCUACCUAUCUCUCAAAAAAAAAAAGAAAAAAGAAGAAGUUCAAUAAUUUAUUUCUCAAAACCUUUCAAAGAACUAAAUUUGAAAUAAGGUAUAAAUUACAUUGUAAAUAAAAUAUGUUAUCUCUUUCCAAAUCAGUAAUGUUAAGAUUCUUCAAAGAUAUUUAAACUUUUUAUUUCAAAUCACAAAAAAAAAACCAAAUAAGUUAUUAUUAAAUAAUUUAUUUUCAUAUAUCUAUUAUCUAUUACUCAAAGUUUGUCGGCCAUUUGGAUCUCAUCAAACGAUUAAAAUGAAGAGUACUCUGUCAUUUUUGUGUGACAAAAAUACCCCUCCUCCAUAUCCGUAAUGUUCAUCCUAUGUACUGCCGCGUUUUUCUAAUGACCAAUCAUUUAAUUACGUAAAGAUAAAUUUAUUUCUAGUUAUCUAAGGUAAUACGACAGCCAAUCAUAUGCCUGCGCUAAUCACGUGAAUAUUGAAAAUUAAAUUUAUUUCCUAGCCACACAUUUUUUCAAAUAUUUUUCUUAUCAAACAUAUACUGUCAACCAUAUAUUCAAAAAAUAAAUUUUAAUUCUGUAAUUGCGCAAAAUUUAAUACCACGCGAAUUUGAUUUUUUUUUUGCGUAUUUUCUCAUUUUCAAGCUGUAGGUUUUUUAUAUAUAAAUAGUAUAUUUUUUUAAUUGUAUCCUUGGUUUAUUUUUAUCUAUAUUUUUUUUCAAUAUUUUUUAGUAAUAUUUUCUCAUUUGUUACAGCGGUUACAUCGUCAUCGUACCUACUUAUCAUCAUUGUUGUGUGCUGGUACAUGUGUCGCCCCGUUCACCACCGUUAGUCUAAUUAAAGAUGGUAUUUUAAUUCUAUCUGAAAUUUUUUCUUUUUUUUAAUAUGCCUUAUCUGUUUAAGUUUUUUUUUUUGUUUUUUCUUAGUUUCUAGAUACGGUUCUCAAAUACUAAAGUAUAAUUUUUUAGUAAUAUAUAUUUUAUUUUUAUUUAUAUAUUUUUAUAAAUACUUUUAAAUAUUUUUUUUGUAUAUAUUCUAUUUGUCCCCCGUUGUCGACAUGGUCAUCGUAAUCAUUUAUCACUGAGCGACAAUUUCACCUUCGCCACCUCCGCUUCGCACAAUUUUGAAGAGUAUUUUGAGUCCCAUCUAAAAUUUCUCUUUUUUUAAUAUGUAUCUUUAUACGGUUUUAGUAUUUUUUUAGUUUUUUUAUUUUCUAUACUUAUAUUAUUUCAAAAGUAUGAAGGUAUAUUUUUUAGUAAUAUUUUUUUUAUUUUAUUCUACUAUUAUUUUUCUUAAGAUAUUUUCAAAUAUUUUUUUAAAUAAUAUUCUUUUUUUAUUUAUCUCCGUCGUCGUGAACGCGUACAUCAUCCAUAUUACUCUCUGUACAUAUCCGCCUUUGCAAUAAUUAGAGAAUAUUUUAAUUUAAUUUUGAAUUGUCUUUUUUGCUAAGUGCCUUAUACUGUUUUAGCAUAUUUUUUUUAGUAAUUUGCUCAUUGUUUACCUAUAUUUUUUUCAAAUAUAAACAUAUAUGUAUUUAGUUAAUAUUCUUUUUUUUUAUCUAUAUUUUUUCAAAUUUCUCAAAUAUUUUUUUAGUAUAUUAUUCUCAUUUGUCACCAUUGUCGGUAAUUAGACUGCUCAUCUUUCUCAUCGUUUAGCCGUCAUGGCGCCAAACUGAUUGUCGCCUUCGUCAACUUUAUUACUACUGCUAUGUCUAUAUAUUCAGUUUCUUUAGAUGUUUAGAAAUAAUUUGUCUAAAUCAAUUCUACAUCUUUAUUUUGUAUGGUGUUAAUCGUUCUAAACGGGUGAAGGUUAAAGCAGUUUCUCUUUUUAUCAUUCCACAUACAAAAAUUAUUAUAACUAAUUUUUGGAUGGAUUAAAGUAUGAAUGAAUUAGAUUAAUCCUCAUAGGACACAGAUAUGUUGCUAACACACAUAUGGCAUGAAAAAUUAUUAAUAACUAAUUAUUUGAUGGAUUGAAGUAUGAAUCGAUUAGAUUGAUCCUUUAGGACAAUGAUAGUGCUAUUACAACAAUUUAUUUUUGUAUUAAAACAUCGUCACGUUAAUAUCGAUAAUUAGAAUAAAUGUAUUUUUAAUAUUUUAUUUUUCUGUUGUAUUUUCAAAUUUUUAUUUAUUAGGAUCAAUUUAUUAGCAAAAUUUGUGAAUAAAUGUGCUUAAUCUAUCUAUUCCAAAAAUCAAGAAAUAAAAUCAAGCUAAAAUUUUUAUUACUUAUAUGAUUUUAUUAAAUUUUAUAUUUUAUUAAUUUUAUUUUCUGAUGAUUACUAAUAUUUACUUAUUAUUUUUCUUACUUUCAGUGCAAUUUGUAUGGAAGAAGACUGAUGUUGACAUUUUCAGUUAGUUUAGAUAGAUUUUGUGUUCUUUCUUUGAUGAUAUUGUAUUCUAUUUCUAUUUCUUGGUAUUUUAUUUUUUUGGUAAUAAUUAAAUAUUAUAUUAUCGAUCUAUAAUAUUUAUUAUAAAAAAUUUAUUUGUUAGUAUUGGUGUGACGUGCAUUGCCGUGCACUUAACUAGUAUAUAUAUAUAUAUUAUAUUAAUAUAUUAUUAUAUAUAUAUAUAUAUAAUAUAUAUUAUAUAUAUAUAUAUGAGUGCCUCUACUAUACUUUCGAAAGUACGGGAACCUCCGUGCUUGUAAGUUGUUUUCGAUGAUAGGAUAUCCGAUUCGACGAUCGGCUCUAUUAGGUAUAAUCUACUCUAUUGGAACUAUCUAGAAACCAAAUUUUAUAAUUUUUUGACAUCAUUUACUAAGCGAUCAAAACGUCCCAAAAAUGACUAUUUUAAUGGCCAAUGCGGCACGUUUUUAAGUUCAACAGUAUAGAAGUAUCCAAAUUACAUGAAAAUUUAAUAGAAAAUUCUACUUAACGUCAAUAGCAAGAUCAAUACUUUCGAUUUGAAAUUUGAGUCCUUUAUCAUUAUUUUUUAUGAGAUUUUUAUUUUCAACCGUUUAUUUUGAGGCUACUCAUUUACUAGACAAACGAAGUCAAAAAAUUAUAACAAUUGGUUUCUAGAUAGUUCCAAUAGCGUAGAUCAUGUCUAACGGAACCGAUAGCCGAAUCGGAUGUCCCAUCAUCGAAAACAACUUGUAAACACGGAGGCCUCCGUACUUUCGAAAGCAUAGGAGCCUAGCUCAUAUAUAUAUAUAAAUAUAGAGUUGAGCUAGAAUACUAUCGGUAGCAAACGGGCUCCGUUGCCACCAAUUUGUUUUCGAUGAUGGAGCCUCCAAAUCGACGAUCAGCACCGUUGAACAUGAUCUAUACCACUUGAAGUUUUUAGAAAUCAAAUUUCAUACAUUUUCGAUAUUAUUCUCUUAUCCAUCGAGUGGACAAAAAAAUGAACCGUUGGAAAUAAAUAUUCUUUAAAAAAUGAUGUUAGGAGUCUUGUAGCCAAGAUCAAGAGUAUAGAUCUUGUUUUAGAUAGUUUAAAAAAUUUUCUAACAAAAAUUCAAUUGAUUUGGAUAUCUUUACACUGUUAAACGAGAAAAAGCCUCAUAUCGACCAUUAAAAUUACAAAAUUUAAAACCCUUUGAUCAUUAGGCAAAUAAUGUCGAAAAGAUUUAAAAUUUGAUUUCUAAACACUCAAAGUGGUAUAGAUCUUGUUUAACGGUGCCGAUCGUCGAUUUGGAGGCUCUAUCAUCGAAAACAAAUUGGUGGCAACAGAGCCCGUUUGCUAUCGAUAGUAUUCUAACUCAACUCUCUCUCUCUCUCUCUCUCUCUCUCUAUAUAUAUAUAUAUAUAUAUAGCUAAUUUAAAUUUUAAAUUAUUUAAACAUGACCAGUUAAAUGAGUUUGGCAUAGAGAAAAAUACACUAAUAAAUUGCUUCGUAAAGUUUCAUUUGAUAGUAUAUAACUGUAAGGAUGGUUUGGUUCAAGGUUUGUAAUAUUUUAAAAAUAUUAUAUAUUUUAUAUUUGGAAUGACAAGAUUACUACUAACUUUUACCCUUCUUUGAAUAAAAAACUUAAUUAUAAUCCUAAUCAAAUUUCAAUAUUUUAUUAAUUUUUCUAAUACAAAUAUAUCUAAUUCUAAUUCAAAACUUUUAAAUUCAUCUUCCUAAAUUUUAAAAAUUUAUUCCACAGGGAAAAUCAUAAAAAUCUAAACAACAUCUAUAAAAAAAUCAAUAAAAUAAUAAUUCUAAUAAUUAAAAAAUAAAAUUUUGUUUUUUUUUUUAACAGCAUCACAUGAUGAAAAUUUAUACAUUGAACAAAAAUAACUAUUGGAGUUAAAUUAGAUAGUGGAAAAUUAGUUAAUAGUUUAUGUAAAUAAGGUAUUAUUUUAGCACAUUCUCAAAAUUUGAAAUCAUUAGAGUUGUUAAUAUUAGUACUAUAUUUAAAAUCAUAAAUAAUCAUAAAUUGUUUCACAAGUGUCCUUCUUGUGAGACAUUCAUUUAUCAUGCAUUUAUCAAGUGUACAAAAUAUAACCUUUUAUAUUGCAAAAAUAUAAAAAAUGUACUCUUUUUUUUCAAUUUAACAUGUUUUCAAGUAUAAAAAAUAAUUUUAUUUUUCAAGAGAAGAGAUAGCUUGUAGAUUGUAUAAAGUACUAAUUUGCCAUCUUAUGGUACAGCGUAUUUUCACUUUUCCAGUAAGUUUAACCUUUUUACCCUAUAAUUUUUUAUUUUUAUUUCACUGUAUGGGAUGGAAUAUGAAAAUAUUAUAAUUUGUAAACCACAUUAUAGUAAGUAAUACAUUUUAUGAAUAGCAAAGACAUAAAACAUGGCGUUUUAAUAUCUUAUAAUUUGCAUUUAAUUAGGUUAUGUUGGAUGUAUAAACAUUCUAUUCGGUAUAUAUCUUUGAUUUAUUAGAAAAGUGUAUAGUAUUUAACUAGAUAAAAAGUGAAAUCCGGUGCUUAAAAUGGAUAUCAUAUUCAACUUUCAAAUAUUUUUCUAAAUAAGAUAAAGUACUUCUAAAAUAUAUUAUUUUAUUAAAUUAUAGAUGUUAAAACUUUUUAAAAAGCAAAAAUUAAUUCCUACCUUGCAAUUGCAUAAGAGAAUUUUCAUAACAAAUAACUUUUCAUGUAAUAUCUUAUUCCAACAUCUAAGCAAGGCCUAAACUACCAUAUAAUUUGUAAAAUAUAUUACUUUACAUAUUCUUAACGAAAUAUCCUUUAUGGUUCUUCUGUUUGGAUAUACUAACACCUUGUUUAGUAUAUCUUUUUAACUUACUUAAAAAAGCUUCCUAUGAUAUAUUAGAUCUUAGUAAAUAGGCAAGAUUGUAGUAAGAAUUUCCAGUUAGUAUUUUUUUUUUUUUCGUAGUGCUUGAUUGAGUUGAAGACGUUUUAGCGUGAAAUAGACGCAAACACGAACUCCAAAAUUCAAAAUUUAGCUUGUGGGAAAUUAAACUAAAUAAUAUAAUAUGGAUAUAGAAGUUAGUAUGCCAAUUUUGACGAUACAGAACAACCUAAUCGCAAAUCUAAGGAGCAAAAUGAUAGUCAGGACGACGAGGUGAUCUGCUACCGCUCUCCUAGUCAGAACAACAGCCACAACACUUCAGAGUGGUUUGAAAAAUUUCUCAUCAAAAUUAUGCAAAAUCAACUCCUAAAACGUAUAGAAAAUAAUUUCUAACUCUCAAUUUCUUUAAAGAUUCAUCAAAAAAGUAUAAACAAAAAUUAAUAAUAUUAUAUAUAAGGUGUAUUCUUGUGCAUGCGGCUGAUCUUUUUGAUGUAACCGGACUUCGCUGUAACACUUGUAUAAUAUUUGAUAUAUGAUAAGUGUGAUAAUGUAUAGAAUAAAAUAACAUACUUGGCCUCUAUGUUGGUUUUUUGAAAUAAAAUAAAUUACUUCAUAGGUGAAACUUACUAUCCUCCCAAAUUGAGAAUGUCAAAACUUUUAUUAAGGUCUAGUUUAAUAAUGCGGUGACUACAAACAUCAGUUUUAUACUACAUAAAAAUAAUACUUAAAAAAAGCAUGCGAUUUUAACUGAAAUUUUAUAGUAUAAAAGAAAAAAAGUUGUAAGUACUUGUAAAUUUCUUGUGUCUUCUAUUACUAUAAAAAUAAUUUACAAAAUUAAGCCUAAGAAGUAAAAAAAAAAAUCAAUCUCCUUGCUCUUAAUCACAAUACAAAAAUUUCUUGCUAAAUAAGUUAUCAACAAAUAAUUUAGUCCAGCAUCCAAAUAUGAAUUGUUAUGAAAUAGAGAGACAAAUGAACAUGGGCCGAACAACAUGGGCCUCAUGCCUUAUUAAAGGUUUUUUUUUAUUAUUAUUAAAGGGUAAAUUACACUUAUGGUUCUAAAAAUAUGAGACGCGUGACGGUUUAAUCCUAAAUUUUAAUUCAUUGUAAUUUUUAAAUCAAAUUAUAAGAUGUGUAGCGUUUCAGUUCUCAAACUUUAGUUAAUUAUAAUUUUUGAUUCAAGCUAUAAAGCAUGUGAUAUUUUAGUUCUCGAUCCCUCAAUAAUGUAGCAAUAUCCUACUUGACAAUAUAAUAAUAAUCAAGAUACUAUAUCACCUGGAUAUGAAUUGAGCUGGAAUGCUUUUAGAAGCAUUACCCUCUUGGUGCUUAUAGGUUUUUAACCCUUGGAUCUACUCCUUAAUUACUAAUAAUCUUUGGAUCAAACACUAUUCUAUCUAUCACCACCUAUCAUCAUCAUCCCAACCCUACAUCUCUCAAUCUAAGAAUUAAAAAUUCAAAAGCACCACCCUCUUGGUGCUUUUGAGAGUAUUCUAGUUCAACUCCCUCGAUAUUAGUAAUUCAUUAACUAUAAUAAUUCAAAAAGCGUGUCCUUAUAUUUUGAGUUAUAAAAUAUAACUAAUUAAAAUUUGUGGACUAAAUUGCUAUCAGAAUUUAGUUAUAAUGAAUUACAGUUUGAAGAUUAAAAUAUUACACAGUCAUAGUUUGAGAGGACUAAAAUGUAAUUUACGCUCUCUCGUUUUUUUUUUUUAAUUUUUUAAUAAGUUGUCCUUGUUGGGUAGUUUUUUUAGCAACAUCACCGUCCACAUCAGCACGUGUUGGGAGCCCAAAAGCCGCGCACAGCUGUACACUCCGGUGCCACGCGGCGCUUUUUCAUUGGCUUCGGAGUCUCCUCACGUGGCGUUCCACAGCUCGUCCCCGUCGCGCCACGUGUCUCCCGUUCAUCACCCCUCGAUCGACACGCGAGCGUUGACCUAUGGCUGACCCUCCGAUCUCAACCGUCCAAUGCUGCUCGGCCUUUUCUUCGCAAUAUCCACCGUCCGAUCAUAUGUCGGCACUUCGGCGGGAGAUAUUGCUUGUCCUUGGUGUACUCAUACAUCUCAUGCACCGUACUUAAAAAUUAAAAUAUAAUCUAAUUGAUAUGAUUUAAAAUAUUUUGAAAUGUCUAUAUUCAUUAAAUAUAAGUUCUAAAAAGAUAAAACAUAAAUUGAAAUUUAAAUGUUUUCUAAAUGUUAAAUUAAUCUGAAAAAUUAAUUGGUAUAGAUAAAAUAUUAGUCUAUUUAUAGUGAUAAUAAUAUUCGAUAUUCAUGAAUUUUUCAUACGUAAAUCUUUUAGUGCCAUAGAUUAUUAUAGAAGACAUUUGAUGGAUUAUUAUUUUUAAAGGCUCUAAAUUUAUUAUUGAAACAUGGAAUGAUUAUAAAAAUAGAAAUAAAUAUUAUUUGAUUCAUAUAUAAAAUCAAAUUCAGAUUUGAAAACAUCGACGUCGGAUGUUGAUCUGAUGAUUCUAAAAAUAUUAAUGGCAAAUAUAUGUAUUGGAUCUAGUUAGCAUAUAUUUUGACUAAAAGUAACUUAUAUUAAUUGAAGAGUUAGUUGCAUAUCUCUCCAUACAAAACAAUGAAAUUGUAUAUUUAACUCCAUAAAAUAUUUUAGUUAUCACAUUUAUUUUUUAAAAAUACAUAGUUCAUAAGUAUACCUCUCGUCACUACUUAGUCAGUUAAAGUUAAAUUUUCAAUAUUUUAAAUUAGAUUUAAUAUUAUUUACUAAUUUUAAUAUUGUUCUUCUAUUUUUUGUGUCAUUCUACACAAACUACAAAUUGUAAAUUCCAAAAAAAUUCUAUAAAAAUUAUUUUUUACAAGAACAGAUUUGUUGAUUUAGAAUUUUAAAUAGAUUAUUUGUACACCAUUGAUACAAAUUUGUUAAGAAGGAGUGCGGUGCACGGUGCACGGUGCACCGGGUGCACGCAAGUAUUUUCCGUCAGUAGUAUCAUGGGAUAUGUAUAAAUAGCGUGGACCAAUAGAGUAAAGGGGCCUACUAUUCCCGUUGCAACGCUCCGUUCCGUUUUUUCCAUUUUGCGCUCUUUUUAAAUCACCGGUUGAGGAAGGUCCUAGAAGCUACUUUAUUUUUUUUAAUUAUAAUUAUAAUUAUAACAUAUAUUUUCUUCUUAGAUCUCCCUCUAGGGUUUCCUCGUCGCCUCGAUCGCUCCGACGAAUCCACCUCCUUUGAGCAUUUGCUACGGUUUUAAUGGUAAAUAAAUGACCCCCUCCCCCGAUUUUUGGGGUUUUCUUGGUUUGAUUUGAGCUAGUUUGUGUUGUUUGAUCCAAAUUUACGCCUUAAAUGCUUUGAUUCUAUGUUCGGAUCUUACUUUGGGGUGAUUUUUUUUGGUAGGAUUCGUCUACGAUGAAGAGCGGAGCGCUAGUGCUCACGGAUGAGGUCGGUUUCUCUGUGCGUGCGGUGAGGGAUUUGGGGAUUGAUGGGGCAUCCUUUGAUGAUGCUGUUGUUAUUACCCAAUGCGGCUCUUUGGGUAAGAUCGAUACGCUUUUCUCUUUAGUUGGAUGUGUAAAAGGCCCCAGAAUUGUGAUUUGGUCAUUAAUUAGAAGUUUUGAGGGGUUAAAUAUUCAACGGGGGUUUAAUUUGUUAGGUUUGUGGUUUCCUUUUUGUUUGGUUAGUACUUUAAAUUUCUAAGAGAUUGGUUUGGUGUAGAAUGAUGAACCUUAGAAAUUUUGGAAGUGAUGAACUUCAAUUAAUUAUUCUACAGGGUUUAAUUUGUUUGGUUUGUAGUUUCCUUUUAUUUGGUUAGUACUUUUGAAUUUAUAAGGGAUUGCUUUGGUGUAGAAUGAUGAAACUUAGAAAUUUGGAAAUGAUUGCCUUUAUUUAAUUAUACUACAAGGUUUAAUUUGUUUGGUUUGUAGUUUCCUUGUUGUUUGGUUAGUACUUUAAAUUACUAAGGGAUCCGUUUGGUGUAGAAUGAUGAAACUUAGACAUUGGAAAUGAUUGCCUUUUCCUAUUAAACUAUCAGAUUACGCAGAUCCCUUAGGGUAUGCCAAACUAGAUGUACAUGGUUUCUGAUGAUUAUUAGCUUUCUCCUCCUUUUUGUAGUUUUCACUUGGGACCCUCAUUCCAUGAUGAUUAUUAUUAUUUCUAUCUUUCAUAAAUUCCAAUAUGAAGUUACCAGCAGUAUUCAGAUAUCUCCCCCAUCAUUUGCAUUUCUUCUCGCUGUUUAAAUCUUUAAAAAGCCUAGCGAUUAACCGCUAUCGACAUCAUGAAUGAAUUGGAAGCUAUUAGGGCCUGGUCAAUGGCAACUAUUUACAUGAAUAAAAGUUACAUGAAUAAAUAUAUCAAGAAGAGUGUUUUUAUUGUGUGUGGCCUAUUCUCUCUUUCAUUAGAUGUUUGAUUGCCUCAGUAGUAGAAAUAACUACAAAUAAGUCUAAAGGAGGUAAAAACAUGGACUUUGUCUUUUCCCUCUUCCAUGUGUGCAGAAACUUUCUAGGAUCUAAUUCUCUAUAGACUAAUAAAUCGUAGUACUUGUCAUACUUGCUGGGUUUAAAUAAUGCGGGAGUAAGCAUAUUAUGAAGUGUUUAAUAGUGAAUUAAUGGUCUUCCAGUUCUUUUCUCCUCAUAAACCAGCCAAACAAAUGCCUUUUCCUCUUCUCUUCUUCUAUUUGCAUCAAGAAGAGUUGGAAGAAUCCAUUUUUACACCUUUUUUCUUCCUACUUUUGUAGUUUUUACUUUUUUCUCUCCUAGGCAUGCCAUCGGCACAUUAUGAAUUGAUUUUCCAUCAUUGUAGCAAUAGGUAGACAUGAUACUUAAAUUCCAGCUUGAUAUCCUUUGAGAGUGAUAUUGUCCUUUGUCAGUUGGUUAUCAUGCAAUUGGUGCAUCAAAGGCUUUCAUAACUUAGCUCCAAUUUUUUCAGAAGACACCUUGAUUUGUUAACUUAUGGCCUUUCAUACAGGUGGCAAGUUGCCAUUUGGAGCCGCAUCCUUUGAUUCUGUUCUUGCUGUUCUGAGAAGCCCCGAAUCUUCUGGAGAGCUUUGGCUUGGAGAGAUUGGUCGGGUGUUGAAAUCUGAGGGGCAGAUUAUUAUACAGACUUAUCUGCCUUCCACUUCACUGGAUAAGGUGGAUUGUACAUCUCAUGCUGAUUUGCAUAUUGUACUUUUUUUAAGUGAAUAUUUGAUGCUGAAAGUUUGUAAAAUCUAACUCUUUAACAGCCAAGCAACACAUUAGAGCGCAAACUGCUCUUGUCGGGGUUUGUCGAAAUCCAAGCCUUCGCACCGGCUCAAGAUGGUCAAUCCGUUACGGUGAGUCAAGUCCUCUAUUCUAAAUUGUUGACCUAUCCUGCUUCUUAGUCAUGUGAUAAAGCCGUAUAGGCGCAACCUGAACUAUGAGCUUUUUCAAAUGGGUAUACGAACUUAAAACUUUUGAUUUCAGUACCUAAGUUUCAUCACAUUGGUUUCAAUACUUCUUUGUCAGACAAUAACACUUUUGUAGCUUUAGUUACGGGAUAUUCGUAACAGAAUAUUCUAUUAUUUAAUAGAAUAUUCCUGAUGUCCACCUUUUGAAAUUAAAGAAACUUUAAAGUUUAGAUGCACAUUUUGAGGUGUGCUAUAUUUCAGUCAGUACUGUAUGGUUUUCCUAAUCAUCUUUCCCCUUGGCUUCUCAAUGAUUAUGCCCUUCAUGUGUGCUAGAUUAAGGGUAAGAAGGCUUCUUGGACAAUGGGGUCAUCUUUCCCCCUCAGAAAAGAAGCAAAGAUCCUUCCCAGGGUUCAGAUUGACGAUGAGUCAGAUUUGAUUGAUGAAGAUAGUCUCCUAACUGAAGAAGACCUGAUGAAACCACAAGUACCGAUAGGUUCGCUUUUAGACCCUUUCAUUUUGUCUAGUUGGUUUGCUGAUCCUUAUUCCUGCAUAGAUAGUAACAGUUAUUUAAUGCUGUAAACAGUUGGAGAUUGCGAAGUUGGAAGCACUAGAAAGGCCUGUAAAAACUGUACGUGCGGCCGGGCUGAGGAGGAGCAGAAAGUGCAGAAAUUGGGGCUUACUGCAGAGCAGAUAGAUAAUCCUCAAUCUGCUUGUGGUAAUGUAAGUGACAGAUUACUGAGCAAUCUCGUGUGAGUUUGAAAUGAUAUUUCUCAAAAAUAGUGCUGCCACACCAAUAAAUUAACAGCUACAACGCUUAUAAAAUCAUGUUCCCAAAAAAGAAUGUGCAUUUAAAAUCAUAAAUAUGUGAUUAUUCUCUCAGAUCAAAUGGGAGAAGUUAAUUAAACCACUGAAUGAUGUUCCAUCAUCAAUUAAAGAAAACUCAACCACCAAAGAGAAGUUUAGUUCAUGGAAUUUGGUUGAUAGUUUGGGUACUUCCUGGAUAAUGCACCUCGAGUAUUGCUGCUAAUUACAAGUUUCGAGUUGUUGAUAUUGUUUUUGUUUUUUUUUUCUUUUGUUUAAUGAUUUUUGUGUGUGAAUCUUGUAGUGUGGGCUUGGUGAUGCAUUCCGCUGCGGCGGAUGUCCCUACAAAGGCCUUCCUCCAUUCAAGUUGGGUGAAAAGGUGGCUUCACAAUCUCUUCUUGUUAUUCAUCAUGCGAUUUAUGUCCUCAUUUUGUAUUCAGUUGCUUUAAAUAUAUUUUGGUGGUUAUUUGUAGGUUUCAUUGUCCGGCAAUUUCCUUGCUGCGGAUAUAUGACAGCGGACUGAUAACAGCACUAGAUAGUUAUGAUUGUUUUCGCAAAAGAUGAGCGGAGAUAUUACCUCAUUAGUCUGAUCUCAAGUUGAUGGAAAUGAUAGGAGCUUUUCGUUUCAGUUCUUUUACUUUUGUCGCCUUCUUUCAUAGGAUACUGCAUGUUGGCUGUCUUGAGAGAUUUUAAGCUACAUACUGAAUAUGAAGUUGUAGUAAUAAUUUAAUACUUCUAUCGAUUGAAAACACACAUUAUGUUCUGCAUUGUAAAAUAAAUCAUUUUGGUUCAAUUUAUUUCACCAUAGUUGGAGUGUCUUUGGCUGCUGUGUUAAAUGAUGCAAGGGAAUGUAAUGUGAGACCAACUUGGAAAUUCUCUCUACAUCCACUUAUUUUUAACAAUUCAAUGCAACCCUUUUUUCUUUUUCUUUUUUUUUUUUUUUUCUGGGAAAACUUCAAAUAUUAUCUGUGGUUUUUUGCUUUCUCACUUUAAUAUCCUGUGGUUUAAAGUGUAUUAUUUUAGUUUUUUUUUGUGGUUUUGUUUUUUUUCUUUUCGACGUUACUUUCAUUAACUCUUCGUUAAAUUAUAUAGAAAAAUCUUUAGAUAUAGGCGGUUGAAAAAACUUUAGAUAUAGGCGGUUUAUCGAAUAUUUAUUUUAAUAUCUCGUGGUUUAUCGAAUUUGCACUUAGUAUCAUGGAAUUUAAAGUGUAUCACUUUAGUAUUCUUUGGUUUCGCUUUUCUCUUUCCAUUAGCACCUUUGUUAAUUCUCAGUUAAAUCAUGUAAAAAAAACUUUAGAUAUCUUAUUUAUGAUUUAUCGAAUAUUCAUUUUAAUAUCCGUGGUUUAUUGAAUUUUCACUUUAGUAUUCUAUAGUUUUAACUUUCGCACUGAUUUAAUAAAAAAAUUAAGGGAGGGAAUAACGAAAAGAGAAAACCAAAUUGAGCGAUACAUUUUGAACCAUAGAGUACUAAAGUGAAAAAAUGUGAAAUUACAUGAUGGAAGUAGAUAUAGGUGAAAUCGCACGCAUCAAUUACAAUAACUAUAGAUAGUGUACUGUAAAAGCUGCAACAGGCGCACAAAAUUGACGGUAUUAAGUAUGAUCGUCAAAUCAUUACUGUUUGGCUCGGUGGUAUUGUAAGACUCCAGUUAAUCGUAUAUAUAAAAGAUAUAAUAGGGCUAAAAUUUUUAACCCAGCUUAAUUAUUUUGGGUGGUGACUAAAUUCACCAAGUUAAAAAAGUUAAGCGUGCUAGGAUGGAAGUAGUCCUAAGAUAGAUGACUCCUUAGAAAGUCGGGGUCCUAAGAUGGGUGACUCCUUAGGAAGUCGGGGUGUCACAGGUAUAGCUCGCUGGUGCAUUGAAGACUUUCAAAUUUUUGAUUUUCUUUCUGCAGCUACAAAUAGAUUGUGCAGCAGACAAGAUAAUUGCAAAAAUGUCAAAAAAUAAAAAAUGACAAAGGCAAAUGGCGUCGCCCGGACUCGAACCGGAGACCUUCAGUGUGUUAGACUGACGUGAUAACCAACUACACCACGACACCUCUUGUGUCAGGUUCUUAUUUCUUUUCUACAUAAAUAUAUUAAAUAUGUUAUUUUUUAUUUUCCCCCAUUAAAUCCUUAACAUUAGAGCCUAUUAUAUCCCUAGCCUUUACCAUUUAUCCCUUCGAUCUCUAACGGCAUCGAUUGCGUCAAGACUAAUUGCACUUACCUUCAAUAUCGUCCUCCAUGUCUAUGAUCACCUCGACCUCAUACAGGAAUAAUAUUACUAUCUUUAUUGGAGCAUCUGAUGCCCCUGGUGUGGAACAAGACAUACAGUUAACUCCUCAAGAAAGUUAAAACAGUUGGCGUUAAGAUUGAUUGGGAGAUACUAAAUCGUAAUCGUAUUUUAUGUUAGCAGGUAAAGCUUUAUUAGUGUGGUGUUCUAGAGCUUAGUCGUUGGGCUUGAAUACAGUGGAGAUAGUCGAUCGAGACAUCUGUAGAGUGUCGCGUCGAGUGGGAGUUGUCUUAGCGCGAAAUGGACGCAACAACGUUUAGUUAUGACCGACCGUCUCUAGUGCAAGUGACAAAGAACUUAGUGAUUGAUACUCGAGGUCCCAAGUUUGAAUCCUCACGUUUCAAGCGAAGUUUAUUUCUAAACAAAAUACAUGAAGCGGGUAGUAUACUACCUCUAUCUAAAAAAAAAAAAACGUUCAGCUAUAAAACAUGUGGAUAUUUCUUGGAUGUGAUGUAUGUACAGUAUGACUUUAUUUAUAUUAGUUAUUUUUAUUCCAAUUUUGAUGUUAAUUGUAAUUGUAGUUCUUUAGUUAUAUUUUACAGGUUUAAACGCUCAGUAUGCAUGGAACUUUUCGUAUAUACGACGGAUCUGUUGACGUACUCGAAUUUUCGCUGUAAUCCGGGACGUGACAAUUAAAGAAGGCAUGAACUAGUCUAUUAAAAUUUGCUUGAAUGUGAAUUAUUGGGAACCAACCUACAACAAAAUAUAAAGAUUGUUAUUUUUUUUUUCCUAAAAAGGAGGUUGAAUCUAAAGCACACAUAGAUUUCCAGAAUAUUUUAUUAGUACAUUCUUUGUUAGUUAGUGUAAAAAGAAUAUAAAUUGUAGAGGCAAUUGCUUAUAUAUUUCUGAAAAUUUUUCGACUUUCUGAUUUACUUCUCUUAGAAAGUUAAUAUUGAAAAUACUUUUUUUAUGUUCCAACCUAUUUCAAAUAUAUCCUUAGAGUUAAAAUUUGUUAAUGAACUCUGUUAUCUCUAUUAAAUUACUAUUUUGCUCUUUCAAAUAUACCCUUCCACCAUCAUUAACUUUUCCUAUUUGCCCUUCAGUUAGGAAUAUAAAAAGUAUUUUGCGUUUUGAUCUUUUCAAAUCUACCAUUCUACCAUCACUAACAUUCCUUAUUUGCACUUAAGUUAAGGGCAAAAGUGCUAUUUUAAUUUUUUUUUAACUGUUGUAAAUAAUUAACUCACGUUUAACCCAAGUUAACUUAACGGGUGGCAACGACAGGGGUAUUUUGAAAUAACAGAGGAACAUAUGAAUGGUAUAUUGGAAAGAACAAAAAAAAGGAAUAAAUAAGCUAUUUUUGAAGUAUUGAGGGAUAUAUUAGCAAUUAUUCCUAAAUUGUAAUACUAAAUUGUGGACUUGUUCUUGAAUUGUUAGGUCAUAAAAGCCAAAAACUUUUUAAUUCAAAAUCUUUGAAAUUCUAACUUAAUGCAACUAACUUUGCACAGAAUCAAAGCAGCGGCGCCUGAUCAAAAGCUCUGUUUAGGUCAACAAUUCAAAAGCACUUUUCACCCUUUGAAACUCGUGUUCUUGUUAAGAUAAAUUGACUAAAGAUAUAUAAUAAUUUCUACACAAAUUUGGAAAAUCAUGCGAAGUUUAUUUUUGACCUGCUAGAUGGUGCUGGUCAAUAGACCGAGAGAAAGAAAAAAAAAAAAAAAAAUCUAAAAUGUAUCAGUCACACCACCCUAACUAAUUAAAUGGGAAAACUUCAAAUAACCCCCUGUGGUUUCACUUUUCUCACUUUAGUACCUUGCCAUUUAAAGUGUAUCAAGUUAGUAUCCUGUGAUUUCACACUUUCGCACUUUAGUACUCUGUGGUUUAAAAUGUAUCAAGUUAGUACCAUGUGGUUUCGCACUUUCUCACUUUAGUACCCUGUGGUUUAAUAUUUCAUUAACCGAAAAAUGAAACUACAGAGUACUAAUUUGAUACAAAAAUAAAACCACAUGGUACUAACUUGAUACAAAAAUAAAGCCACAGAGUACUAACUUGAUACAUUUUAAAUUACAAGAUACUAAAGUGAGAAAGUGCGAAAUUAUAGGGUACUAACUUGAUUCACUUUAAAUCACAGGGUACUAAUCGUAAAUUUUGAAAAGUAUUUUUUAAUGGUUUCCUAUGAAAAAGUAAGUUUUAAUUGGCUUGUGACAAAGAUGAUAUGAUAUGUUACGGAGAAAACCAGCUUCCAGAAAAGACAUAUUGAAUCUAAAAUUAUUCAAAACAUUAUGUCUAAAUUCUCCAUUUUNGAAGCGGGGGGUCCUUAGCGGCGUCGUCACCGGCGCCGUCACUGGCGCCGUAGCUGUUGGCAGAGAAGGUGACAAAAAAAUUAUAGAAAAAACAGAAAAAAAAGAAAUAAAGAUAAAAAAUUAUAUAAAAAGAAGGAUGAAGAUGAAAUUACAUCGUUAAUUACAAAAAAAAUUAUAAGUUGCACUAUUUAAGAUGUAAACUGCUGUUUUAAGAUAAAAUUUAUACUCUUUGAACGAAAAUUAUACUAUUUUUUAUCUUAAACUGCAUCCUUUUAGGUGAUAUUUAUACUGUUUCUCUUCUUGUUGCACUGUUUCUCCUGUUGUUGCAUUAUUUCUCCUCUUAUUUACACAGAAAUGAUGCAACAAGAGGAGAAACAGUGCAACAAGAGGAGAAACAGUAUAAAUAUCUCUUAAAAGGAUGCAGUUUCUCCUCUUAUUGCAUUGUUUCUCCUCUUGUUGCACUAUUUCUCCUAUUGUUUACACAGAAAUGGUGCAACAAGAGAAGAAACAGUGCAACAAGAGAAGAAAUAGUAGAUAUAUCUCUUAAAACAGUGCAGUUUCUCCUCUUGUUUACACAGAAAUUGUGCAACAAGAGGAGAAACAGUAUAUAUAUCUCUUAAAACAGUGCAAUUUCUUCUCUUCUUGCACUGUUUUUUCUCUUGUUGCACUAUUUUUUCUCUUAUUUACACAGAAAUGAUACAAUAAGAGGAGAAACAGUAUAAAUAUCUCUUAAAAUGGUGCAGUUUAAGAUAAAAAAUAGUGUAACAAGAGGAGAAAUGGUGCAACAAGAGGAGAAACAAUGCAACUUUUGUUUAAAGAGUGUAACUUUCAUCUUAAUGGAUGCAGUUUACAUCUGAAAGAGUGUAAUAAGAAGAGAAACAGUGUAAAUAUUUCUCAAAGAGUGUAAUUUUCGUUUAAAGAGUGUAGUUUUCAUCUUAAAGCUGGAGUUUACAUCUUAAAUAGUGCAAUUUAUAAUUUUUUUGGCAGUUAACGAUACAAUUUGAUGUUCAUCAUUCUUUUUAUAUAAUUUUUUUUAUCUUUAUUUUUUUUCCUGUUUUCUCUAUAAUUUUUUUUUGUCACCUUCUCUGCCAACAGCCACGGUGCCGGCGACGACACCGCUAAAGACCCCCGCUUCGAGCCUGUAGCGCCGCAGUGACCUCCACGGUGUCGACGUCGGCGCCGGCGAAGAUGCAUCGUCGUCGGAGGCGGCAGAGAAUGAGGGAGAGNNNNNNNNNNNNNNNNNNNNNNNNNNNNNNNNNNNNNNNNNNNNNNNNNNNNNNNNNNNNNNNNNNNNNNNNNNNNNNNNNNNNNNNNNNNNNNNNNNNNNNNNNNNNNNNNNNNNNNNNNNNNNNNNNNNNNNNNNNNNNNNNNNNNNNNNNNNNNNNNNNNNNNNNNNNNNNNNNNNNNNNNNNNNNNNNNNNNNNNNNNNNNNNNNNNNNNNNNNNNNNNNNNNNNNNNNNNNNNNNNNNNNNNNNNNNNNNNNNNNNNNNNNNNNNNNNNNNNNNNNNNNNNNNNNNNNNNNNNNNNNNNNNNNNNNNNNNNNNNNNNNNNNNNNNNNNNNNNNNNNNNNNNNNNNNNNNNNNNNNNNNNNNNNNNNNNNNNNNNNNNNNNNNNNNNNNNNNNNNNNNNNNNNNNNNNNNNNNNNNNNNNNNNNNNNNNNNNNNNNNNNNNNNNNNNNNNNNNNNNNNNNNNNNNNNNNNNNNNNNNNNNNNNNNNNNNNNNNNNNNNNNNNNNNNNNNNNNNNNNNNNNNNNNNNNNNNNNNNNNNNNNNNNNNNNNNNNNNNNNNNNNNNNNNNNNNNNNNNNNNNNNNNNNNNNNNNNNNNNNNNNNNNNNNNNNNNNNNNNNNNNNNNNNNNNNNNNNNNNNNNNNNNNNNNNNNNNNNNNNNNNNNNNNNNNNNNNNNNNNNNNNNNNNNNNNNNNNNNNNNNNNNNNNNNNNNNNNNNNNNNNNNNNNNNNNNNNNNNNNNNNNNNNNNNNNNNNNNNNNNNNNNNNNNNNNNNNNNNNNNNNNNNNNNNNNNNNNNNNNNNNNNNNNNNNNNNNNNNNNNNNNNNNNNNNNNNNNNNNNNNNNNNNNNNNNNNNNNNNNNNNNNNNNNNNNNNNNNNNNNNNNNNNNNNNNNNNNNNNNNNNNNNNNNNNNNNNNNNNNNNNNNNNNNNNNNNNNNNNNNNNNNNNNNNNNNNNNNNNNNNNNNNNNNNNNNNNNNNNNNNNNNNNNNNNNNNNNNNNNNNNNNNNNNNNNNNNNNNNNNNNNNNNNNNNNNNNNNNNNNNNNNNNNNNNNNNNNNNNNNNNNNNNNNNNNNNNNNNNNNNNNNNNNNNNNNNNNNNNNNNNNNNNNNNNNNNNNNNNNNNNNNNNNNNNNNNNNNNNNNNNNNNNNNNNNNNNNNNNNNNNNNNNNNNNNNNNNNNNNNNNNNNNNNNNNNNNNNNNNNNNNNNNNNNNNNNNNNNNNNNNNNNNNNNNNNNNNNNNNNNNNNNNNNNNNNNNNNNNNNNNNNNNNNNNNNNNNNNNNNNNNNNNNNNNNNNNNNNNNNNNNNNNNNNNNNNNNNNNNNNNNNNNNNNNNNNNNNNNNNNNNNNNNNNNNNNNNNNNNNNNNNNNNNNNNNNNNNNNNNNNNNNNNNNNNNNNNNNNNNNNNNNNNNNNNNNNNNNNNNNNNNNNNNNNNNNNNNNNNNNNNNNNNNNNNNNNNNNNNNNNNNNNNNNNNNNNNNNNNNNNNNNNNNNNNNNNNNNNNNNNNNNNNNNNNNNNNNNNNNNNNNNNNNNNNNNNNNNNNNNNNNNNNNNNNNNNNNNNNNNNNNNNNNNNNNNNNNNAAGAAAAGAAAAGAAAAAAGCAAAAAAAAAAAAGUCGUGGCGCGGCCUUGGCGGGGUUGGAAGCGAGGAAGGUUGGGGGAGCGUGGACGAGGGCAAGGGCGAGGGCGAGGGCGAGGGCUAGAGAAUGAGGGUGAGAGGCGAGACGGACCGUUUCCGCCUCCGCUCUGCCGGCGAGAAAAAAAAAGAACGAGAGAAACGAAGAGGAGAGAGAAAGAGGAAAGAGAAAAAGUAAAAAGGGUAUUUUGGUCAGUUUGCUGAAAAAGUGGACCGAAUCUGCAAAAACGAAAAAUGUGGCCCGAUUUUGCAAAAGCCCAAAAUAAGUGGAUUUUUUAUGCAAAUUGGCCAAAAAUUUUCGACUUUCUGAUUUACUCAUCUUAGAAAGUUAAUAUUAAAAAUAUCCUUUUUACGUUUCAACCUAUUUCAAAUAUAUCCUUAGAGUUAAAAUUUGUUAAUGAACUCUGUUAUCUUUAUUAAAUUACUAUUUUGCACUUUCAAAUAUACCUUUCCACCAUUAUUGACUUUUCUUAUUUGCCCUUACGUUAGGGGCAUAAAAAGUAUUUUGUGUUUUGAUAUUUUCAAAUCUACCAUUCUAUCAUCACCAACAUUCCUUAUUUGCACUUAAGUUAAGGGCAAAAGUACUAUUUUAAUUUUUUUUUAACUGUGGUAGAUAUUUAACUCAUAUUUAACCCAAGUUAACUUGACGGGUGGUAACGGCAGAGGUAUUUUGAAAUAACAGAGGAACAUAUGAGUGGUAUAUUGGAAAGAAAAAAAAAAAUAAGGAUAAAUAAGAUAUUUUCGAAAUUUUGAGGGGUAUAUAGGUAAUUAUUCAAAAAUUGUAAUACUAAAUUGUGGACUUUGUUCUUGAAUUGUUAGGUCAUAAAAGCCAAAAACUUUUAAUUCAAAAUCUUUGAAAUUCUAACUUAAUGCUACUAACUUUGCACAGAAUCAAAGCAGCGGCGCCUGAUCAAAAGCUUUGUUUAGGUCAACAAUUCAAAAGCACUUUUCACCCUUUGAAACUAGUGUUCUUGUUAAGAUAAAUUGACUAAAGAUAUAUAAUAAUUUCUACACAAAUUUGGAAAAUCAUGCGAAGUUUAUUUUUGACCUGCUAGAUGGUGCUGGUCAAUAGACCGAGAGAAAGAAAAAAAAAAAAAAUCUAAAAUGUAUCAGUCACACAACCCUAACUAAUUAAAUGGGAAAACUUCAAAUACCCCAUUGUGGUUUCACUUUUUCUCACUUAAGUACCCUGUGAUUUAAAGUGUAUCAAGUUAGUACCAUGUGGUUUCGCACUUUUUCACUUUAGUACUCUGUGGUUUAAAAUGUAUCAAGUUAGUACCAUGUGGUUUCGCACUUUUUCACUUUAGUACCCUGUGGUUUAAUAUUUCAUUAAGAGAAAAAUAAAACUACAGAGUACUAAUUUGAUACAAAAAUAAAACCACAUGGUACUAACUUAAUACAAAAAUAAAGCCACAGAGUACUAACUUGAUACAUUUUAAAUCACAAGAUAUAAAAGUGAGAAAGUGCAAAAUUAUAAGGUACUAACUUGAUACACUUCAAACCACAGGUACUAAUCGUAAAUUUUAAAAAGUAUUUUUUAAUGGUUCUCUAUGAAAAAGUAAGUUUUAAUUGGCUUGUGACAAAGAUGAUAUGAUAUGUUACGGAGAAAACCAGCUUCCAGAAAAGACAUAUUGAAUCUAAAAUUAUUCAAAACAUUAUGUCUAAAUUCUCCAUUUUUAAGGAUAAAUUUAUCUUCACAUUAUAAAAAGAAUUAAAGCUAAUUAUAUAGACAUAAUCAGGGACAAAGUUAGGAUUCAAUCUUGAGAGGGGCCAAAAUAUAUUUAAAUAUAAACUUUAGUAAUAAAUAAAAAACAAAAUUUUUUCUAAUUAAAAAUUUUUUAUUAAAAAAUUAUUAAAUAAAUAAAUAAUGUAAAAGUAUGAACUUUAUGUUUUUUAUUUUCAUAUGUUUAACUUCUAAUUUUUUUUUUAUAUUAUUACAUUAAAAUAACGUAGAAAUUUUACUAAAUCUAUCAGUAAUUUCUUAGUUUUUUAGUAAAUAAAAUUAACAUAGCUAUUAAAUUUAGUGCAAUUAUUGAUUUAGUCAAAUAAAAGAGCUCAUCUAAGAUAAAUAAAAUUUUUAGAGUAGAGAAAUAUAUUACAAAAUACUCUAUAAGCAAGAAGCUUUUAAUAUAUUUUCACCCAUAAAAAGAGUAUACCGAUUAGGAGAAAGAGAGAGAGAGAGAGUUAUAUUGACACCAUACUAUUAAGUAAAUAUUGAAAAACUAGGGGGGCUAAAGCUAUCCAUGGUGCACAAAAAAAAAAAUUUUGAAGGACCAUUAAACAAAUAUUGAAAAGUUGAGUAGGGCCAUGGCCACCUUGGGCUUCCAUAUAGCUUCGUCCCUGGACAUAAUAUAUAACAUAUUAUAUCAGAUUAUGAAAAAUUAUUUAUUUUAUUAUAUUAAUACAAAUUAUUGGCACUUAAGUUCAAUGAUUUAUAAUAUAAAAUGGUGUUGCGAAUACUAUAAUACACUUUAUUGUUUAUAUUAAAUCAUCUUAUAUUGUGUAUUUGAUAUAUAUCUCUAUAUUAUGUAAAUUAUUAAUCAAAAUAUAUUAUUUUAAAUUGUUUAUUUAAUAUUUAUCUUCGAAUUUAUAAUUUGCACUACUCUGCAGAUAAAUGCCAAACACAAUCUAAGCUAUUUCUCAAGAAUAACAUGAUUUUAUACUAAACAUAAUUUUACACUUACUUAUAUCAGAAUAGGUUAGUUAUACCUCCCAAAAAAAAAUCCUGAAAACAAAACAAAAGUUUCUAGAAAAAAAAACAAUCAUUUUAUAUUAUUUUAUAUAGUAUAAGAUCUUGAAAUCGAACUGGAUGAAUCCGCCUAGCUUUUUUAUUUUUCCUUUCUGACCUUAAAAAUUUAUAUUUUGCACACUUAAAAUUUUAGAAUAUUUUUAGGGGGAUGCGCGUCAGCGGAGAUGGCGAAAUAAUCAAAAUUUUCUUAUUUAUUCUAUAAAAAGUAAUUUUUAAUAUAUUUUUUAUCAAUUUUAAAGAUAUUUUCAGUAUAAAUUAUAAAACAUAGAUUGAAUAGUGACAGAAUCGUAACAAAUGGAGGUUAAAUGCAGCAACUUGAAAUAUUAAGAGAAUAAAUAUAGAUUUUUGAAAGUCGCAAAAAAAGUAAAAUUACAGAUAUUUACAGAAAAAUUUCUAUAUUUUAGUCAAAUGUUUAUUAUAAAAUAAGAAUUUCUCAAAAAUGAGUCACCUUCCUCAUCGUCACUCAUAAAUCAAACAAUGACCAAAAUUGCACCUACUUUGAUGGCUAAUGAACAUGUUCAACAAAGAGGUGCCCUCACAUAAGAAUAAUUAAUUUGUACCAAAUCCUUUUGACUAUAUAUCUCUUAGACAUAAUUAAUUCCGUAGCACUUAAAUGAAUUCCUAUAUAUCCAAACACAAUUAUUUUGGGUAAACUUCAAAUACGAUUUCGCACUUUCUUAGUUUAAUACCCUAUGGUUUAAAAUGUAUCAAGUUAGUACUAUAUGAUUUUAUUUUUUUUCUUUUUGUCAGAUCCUAUGUUAAUAUUUUGUUAAAUUAUAUAGAAAAACUUCAAAUAUUUCAUCUAGAUUUAUCGAAUAUUCACUUUAGCAUCCUUUAAUUUUAACAUCCUUCAAAUACCCUAUGAUUUAACAAAAAAAAUUAGUGGAAUGGAUAAUAAAAGGAGAAAAAUAAAACCACAGGGUAGUAAAUUGAUACAUUUUAAACUACAGGGUAACAAAAUGAGAAAGUGCGAAACUAUAAGGGUGGUAUUUGAAGUUUUUCCUAAUAUAUAUAUAUAGGGUCCGGCUACUAUACUAUUAUGAGUACGAUCGCCCUCGUAUUCAUAAGUUGUUUUCGAUGAUAGAGCUUCCGAAUCGACGAUCCACACCGUUAAACGUUAUUUACAGCAUUUGAAAUCAAAUUUUAUAAUUUUUCGAUAUCAUUGACCUUACGAUCAAGAGGUCACAGAUUUGACAAUUUUUAACGGCCGGUAUGAAAUACUUGUUAGUUUAACGGAGUAAAAGAAUCGGAAAUUGUUGAAUUUUUGAUAGAAAAUUCUAUUCACUACAUAGAUAAAGAUUAAUAACUCUGAUCUUGAAUUGAAGGAUCCGAUCAUCCUUUUUUAGGACGUCGUUAGAUUUUGACCGUUCAUUUUAUGCCCACUUGAUGGACUUUAUUAUGAUUUCGAAAAUUUACGAAAUUUAUUUUCUAGAAGUUUCAAAUACUCUAGAUCAUAUUUAAUCGGACCCCUCGAGAUGGAUCGCUCGAUUCUUGAAAGACAUCCCAUCAUUGAAAACACAUUAUAAGUAUGAAGGCUCCAAUACUCAUAAUAGUAUAUAUCCACGGCCUAUAUAUAAUAAAUUAUAAUAUAUAUAUAUAUGUAAUAAUAUAAUAAUUAUACCAUUCUCCUUCAUUUUCAAAUAUAUAUAUAUAUAUAUAUAUAUAUAACAAUUUAUAUAUACUCAUUCUCCUUCAUUUUCAAAAAGCAGUAUGAAUUAAUUUCCAUAUUGUUACAUCAAUAGAGCAAUAGCUUAUAUACCCUUGAAAAGUUUACAACUUUUUGAAUUACUUCUUUUACAAGACUAAUAUUGAAAAUGUUCUUUUUACGUUCUAAGCUAUUUCUAAUAUACCCGAAAGUUAAAAUUUGUUAAUAAACUAUGUUAUCUCUAUGAAAUUACUAUUUUACCCUUUCAAAUAUAACCUUCUAUCAUCACCGAUUUUUUUUAUUUACCCUUAAGUUAGGGGCACAAAAGUAUUUUAUUUUUUAGUCUUUUCAAAUAUACCCUUCUAUCAUCAGCAGCAUUUUUUAUUUGCCCUUAAGUUAAAGUCAAAAGUGGCAUUUUAAUUUUUUUUAAUUGUGAUAGAUAUUUAACUCACGUUUAACUCAGAUUAACUUAACCGAUGGUAACUGUAGGGGUAUUUUGAAAUAACGGAGGAACAUAUGAGUAAUAUAUUGGAAAGAAAAAAAUAAAAACAAAUAAGAUAUUUUUAAAAUUUUUGAAGGGUAUAUAGGCAAUUAUCCCUAUAAAGAAUUAUCUAUAGAUUUUAUUUUAUUUUAUUUUGUUAUUAUUAUUUUUUUUGGGUUUUAAGGAGACUUUGAAGAUUACCUUGCACGUUGAAGAUGACCUUGCACGGCACCGGCGAGGCUGCGACAAACACCCGCUCUCUCUCACUGACUUUUGUUUGGAAAUUUAAGAGAGAGCGAGAGAGUAGAGACUUUUCUUUUCUUUUCUUUUGUUUUCUUUUUGUGUGUAGUGGUAGAUAACUAGAUAUAAAAGGACUCGGUAAGAGCAACACCAUGUCAUUGGGGUGAGAUAAUAGUAUACGUCAUAUGUGUUACAUCAAUGGCAUAUGUAUAGUCAUAGUCUUAUAUAUAUAUAUAUAAGGCACCUACCCACAACACCUCGCAGUCAUGCAUUUAAAUAGUAAUAAUAAUAAUAAUAAUAAUAAUAAUAAUAAUAGUAGUUAAUAUAUCGAUCGUCCCUGGAGCAAGUAGCAAAGGGCUUCGAAUCCUAGUUGAUUCACGUUUCUUGCUAAGUUUAUUUCUAAAUAAAAUAAACGAAGUGGGUAGCGUUCUACCUAUCUCUCAAAAAAAAAAAAAAUAGUAACUAAUAUAUAUUUGAAUAAUUGAGUUAGAAUAUUUUUGGAAGCAUCAUAUUCUUGGUGCUUCUAAAUUUUUAGCCCUUAAAUCUACUCAAUUAUUAAUAGUUUUUGGAUCAAAUACUAUUCCACUUACCAUCCCUACAUUUCUUCACGACUUCAUCCAAAGGCUAAAAACUCAAAAACACCACCUCUUUGGUGCUUUUAUAAAGUAUUUUAUAAAGUAUUCUAGCUCAACUCUAUAUUUGAAAUCGGGGGAUAAUAACUAAUAUAUUCUAAGUAGCGCUAUUCUGAAUGGUGCCAUUUAAAUAUUUAAGGUUUUCUUUCGUUCAGAUAUAAAUAAGAACUGUUUAUUUUAGAGAUAAAUAUAAAUUUGUGUAUAAGUAAAAAUUAGAUUAAUUUUAUAUUUGGAUGAAAAUUGAAUUAUUUUCGGAAAUAAGAAAAAUAGCGUUUGGANUUUAAAUAUAACCUUCUAUCAUCACCGACUUUUCUUAUUUACCGUUAAGUUAGGGGCACAAAAAAUAUUUUACUUUUUGGUCUUUUAAAAUAUACUCUUCUAUCAUCAUCAAUAUUUUUUAUUUGCCCUUAAGUUAAGAGUAAAAGUAGCAUUUUAAUUUUUUUUUUUAACUGUGAUAGAUAUUUAACUCACGUUUAACCCAAGUUAACUUAACGAGUGGUAACUGCAGAAGUAUUUUGGAAUAACGGAGGAACAUAUGAGUGAUAUAUUAGAAAGAAAAAAAUAAAGAUAAAUAAGAUAUUUUUGAAAUUUUGAAAGAUGUAUAGGCAAUUAUCUCUAUAAAAAAUUGUCUAUAGUUUUUUUGUUUUCUUUUUUUUGGGUUUUAAGGAAACUUUGAAGAUGACCUUGCACUUUCAAGAUUACCUUGCACGGCACCGGCGAGGCUGCGACAAACACCCGCUGUCUCUCACUGAUUUUUGUUUGGAAAUUUAAGAGAGAGUGAGAGAGUAGAGACUUUUCUUUUUCUUUUUCUUUUUUUUUUUUUGUGUUGUGGUAGAUAACUAGAUAUAGAAGGACUCGGUCAAAGCAACGCCAUGUCAUUGGGGGUGAGAUAAUAGUAUACGUCAUAUGUGUUACAUCAAUGGCAUAUGUAUAGUCAUAGUCUUAUAUAUAUAAGCCACCUACCCACAACACCUCGCAGCCAUGAAUAUAAAUAGUAAUAAUAAUAAUAAUAAUAAUAAUAGUAGCUAAUAUACCGAUCGUCCCUAAAGCAAGUAGUAAAGGGCUUCGAAUUCUAGUUGGUUCAUAUUUUUUGCAAAAUUUAUUUCUAAAUAAAAUAAAUAAAGUGGGUAACGUUCUAUCUUUCUCUCAAAAAAAAGGGGAAAACUUCAAAAACCCCCCUGUGGUUUCAUGCUUUCUCACUUUAGUACCCUAUGGUUUAAAACGUAUCAAUUUGCCCCCCUGUGGUUUCGUUUUUCUCUUUUUGUUAUCAAUUUUAUUAUUAUUAAGAGAAUAGGUAGCACGCUGCCCACAUUCGUUUGAUUUCGUAACGUAAAUAAACGUACUAGAAAUGUGAAUCAACUAGGAUUAAGACUUGGGACGCUUCGGUAUCAACCGCCGAGCCCUUUUGCCACUUGCUCUAACGAGACGGUCGGUAAAUUCCCUGAUUGUUAAAAUAAUAAAACUAACUGUUUACAUUGAGGAAUAAAUAUGAAGCCAAUGUGGUUUUCGCUUGCAUUUUUGUUGUAAUACUAAUUACGUAUAUGCGGUGAUGCUGCAAAUAUAAAAUAUUUUAAAAAUAAUAUUAAUUAUUUAACUUUUAUACUUUAUAUAAUUUUAUUAGCCAGAUUAAUAAUUAACGUAAUUUCAAACACAAAUAAUGUUAAAUUGGUACAUGUUCGUAUAAAUUUUUAAAAGAGGCUUAUUAUAAAAACUAAUUAAUUAUGAUAUAUAAAGUAAAUGGUUAUAAUAUAGGUAACUUAAAUGAUAAAAAUAACUUAAUAAUAAAAGUUUUGUAGGAUCUAAUUAGUAAUUAGAUAGUUUUUAUAAGACGAUAAUUAUAAAAAAACAUUAUUUGAGAUUAAGAGUUAUAAGUGUACAAUUAUGUUCGGAUGGGUAUAAAGAAGAGAGGCGCGGGGGGGGGGGGGGGGGUGUGAUUAUAUUACUAAAAUUUAUAAUUUGUAAUUUUAAAAUUAAAAUUUAUAAUUUUUUUAAAUUUAAUUUUUAAAUCUUAUAAUUUUUAAAUUUUAAAAUUUGAUAUUUAUAUUUUUAAAUUAAAAUUUGGAUUAAUUUACAAUUUGAUUAUUUUAUAUUUUAAAUUUAAAAUUUGGACNNNNNNNNNNNNNNNNNNNNNNNNNUGCUGCAAAUAUAAAAUAUUUAAUAUAUAAUAUUAUAAUUUACUUAUAUAAUUUUAUUUAUUCCAGAUUAAUAUUGAGUUAAUUUUUAACACACAAAUAAUUUAAAUUGGUAUACUGUUUUAGUAUUAUAUUUUUAAAUAGAGCUUUAUUAUGUAAUAAAACUAAUUAAUUUAUGUAGUAUAAAGUAAAUGGUAAUAAUAUUGGUAUAAAUGAUUAAAAUAAAUAAUAAUAAAAGUUAUUAGGCUCUUAAUGUAGUAUUAGAUAUUAUUAUAGACGAUAUUGAUAAAAAAAAAUUAUUUGAGAUUAGAUAUAGUGUUACAUUUAUUUCGGGAUGGGUAUAAACUGAUAUUUUCACCUUAGAGAAGAGAGGGGGUUAGAGGAAAAGUAGAGAGAAUUUUAAAAUUUAUAAUUUUAAACUUUUAAUUUAUUACAAAAUUCUAUAAUUUGUAUGAUUUAAAAUAAAUAUUUUCAUAAUUUUAUAAAUUUACAAAAUUUUUAAUCUAAACUUUUUUAAAUUUAAAAUUGAUAUUUUAUAUUUUUAAUUUUAAUUUAUCGUUUCAUUACAUUUGAUAUUUUAAAUUUGCGAUUUUUGAAAUUUCAAUUUUAAAUUUAAAAUUUUAAUAUAUCACUAAUUUAAAAAUUAAAUUUAAAUUUAGUUAGAUGUGGUUAUAUCAUUUUUUUUAUUAUACUACUCAUUUUUUUUUAUUUUUUUUAUGUAUCCAACCGCUAUUUUUCUUAUUUCCGAAGACAGUCAAAUUCUUAUCAAAUAUAUAAUUAAUCUAAUUUUUUACUUAUAUCACAAAAUUUAUUUAUUACUUAAAAUAAACAGUUUAUUUAUAUGCUGAACAAAAAAGAAACCUUAAAUAUUAUAAAUGGACCAUUUAGAAUUCAGCGCUACUUAGAAUAUAUUUAGUUCUUAUCUCGAUUUCAAAUAUAGAGUUGAGCUAGUAACUGCUUUGUUAAAAGCACAACGAGGUGGUGACUUUUUGAGUUUUUACUUUGAUGAAGUCAUUGAAGAAAUGUUAGGGACGAUAAAGUGGAUAGAUUUUGUCCCAGAGGUUAUAAUAAUUAGGAGUAGAUUUAAGUGCCUAAAAAUAUAGAAAGCACCAAGAAAAAAGGUGGUGCUUUCCAAAAUAUUCUAACUCAAUUAUUAAAUAUAUAUUACGUUACUUUUUUUUUGGGAAAACUUCAGAAAACCCCCCCUGUGUUUCAUGCAUUUCUAUUUUACUAUCCUGUAGGUUUAAACGUAUCAUUUGCCCCCUCGUGGUUUCAUUUUAUAUCUUUCUCGGACAGCUUUUUCGUAACAUUCGUUAAAUUAUAUACAAAAAACUUCAGUAACAUCUAUAUUUAUCGAAAUAUUCACUUUGUAUCCUUCUAAUUUUAACUUUUGUCACUGAUUUAAGAAAAAAAAAAAAAAAAAAAAAAAAACAAAAAACAACGAUCAGUAAAUUUAGACCAACUCCAUGUAAAAAGGCCAAACAUUUCCCUUUUUAGGGGAUAAUAAUGCUUUUUAAAAUUUUAAAAAUAUUUUUAUUUAUAUUUGAAAUAUCAAAAUAAUUUUAUUGAUUUUAAAAACUUUCUUCAAAUAUUUCUAUUUUUUUAGAAUUUACUAGUAAGAUUGAAUUUUAAAUAAAUAUUUUAGUAAUUUUAAAAUAAAUUUAAAAAUAUUGGAUAGUAAUAAAAGAUAAAUAAGCAAAAACUCUUCAAUGAGAAAUAUGAUUUUUUUUUUCUGCUUUAGUUAAAAAAGCAGGUAUCAUGUUCCAAUAAAAAUAAAAAUACAUAUCUAGAUCUAGAUAUUUAAUUAUUUGUGACAGCCAAUGCAUGUCUUGCACGUAUAUCCAAGCAAGUUAUUAGGAAAGAGACAAAUUUUAUUUGUAUUAAAUAUUCAUAUAAUAAGAUGAUUAAUAGGAGACAAAAAGAUGUCUGGAUAAGGAUGGCAUUAGUGACAGAUAAUAAUUUAGAAAAGGAAAUAGUAAUGGCUAAAUUACACUUUUGGCCCUCAAAUUACGUUGCACGUGAUACUUUGGUCCUCAAAAUUUAAUUAAUAAUAAUUUUUAAUUCAACAUAUUUAAAUUAUUAUAAUUAAGUCUUAUAAUUUAAUUUAAUUGAUAUAAAUAAUGAUGUGCCACCGAUGUAACAGUAAUGUGACAUUUUAGUUAUUAUCAUGCCAUCAAUUGAAAUAUUAUUCUGCUAUUGCCACAUCAGCAACAAAUCACUUCCAGUUAACUUAAUUUAACUGCAGAAUAAUUUAAAAAAUUCAAACAAAAAAUUAAUAAUAAAUUAAACUUCAGGUUUCGUUUGGUUCGGGGUUAAGUAAGAACUAAUUAUUUCAGGGAUAGGAUUAAGUCUGGAAUAGACCAAUUUUGCAUUUGAAUGAUAAUUGAAUUGUUCCUGAAAUUAAGAAAAAUAGUGUUUAAAUAGAUAAGAUGGAAAUAAGAAAAAUAGUUGGUAGUUAUAAAUAGAAAAUAAUGAUAUUACCCUAAUUAUAUAUUUGAAUUUAAUUUUUUAUUUUAUAUUUUAAAAUUUCAAUUUAAAUAGAUAACUUUUGAAAUUAAAAAUUCAAAAUUAAAUCUAUAUUUUUAAUUUUAAAUUUAAAAUUUUAAGUUAUAAAUUUUCAUUUUAAAUUUUAAUCAAUCUAACAAAUAUAAAAUUACAAAUAUAAAAGUCCAUUUAAAAUUAUAAUAAAUUAAAAAUGAAUAAGUUUAAAUUUUAAAUUUUAAAUUGUAAUUGAAAUCUAUAUUUUUAAAUCUCAAAUUUAAAAAUUUAAAGUUAUAACUUUUAAAUUUUAAAUUUUAAAUCAAAUCUCAAGUUACAAAUAUAAAAUAUGAAAUUUAAAAUUUAAAUAAUUAAAAAUAAAAUUUAAAAUUUAAAAUCUAGAAAUUUUAAAAAAUAAAUAUUAAUUUUAAAAUUUUAAAUUAUUAAAAUUUAAAAUUUAAAAUUUAUAUUUAAAAAUUAGAUACGGGAGGGAUUAGCUAAUCCUACCCGUAUAGCUAACCCCACCCCAAAUGGGUUAUCCCGAAAUAACCCAUUUGGGAUGAGGUUAGCUAACCAGCUAACCCCCACCCCCUCUCCCAGAAUAGCGUUUGGGGGUGAGGUUAGCUAAACCCAUCCCUCAAAAAUAAUGUUUGCGGGAUUAUCCCCUUAACCCCCUCUUUAACUCCGAGCCAGAGCCAAACACUAGCCCCUUAACCCCCUCUUGAACUCCGAACCAAACACUAGCUGGGGAGGGCACCUCAAAGUUUGAGGAGCAAUAUAGUUUAGCGUUCAUAAAUUGAUUUAGUUUAAUUCACAAAUAAUUUUAAUAAAUUCAAUCAUUUUAAUUAAUUUUAAUUAGUUUAAUUAAUAUUAAAUAAAUUAAUUUUAGUUACCUAUAAAAAAAUUAAAGCUAGAAGACAUGCUAAUGAACUAACCAAAAAUAAUAGGAAUAAUUUUAAGAAUGACAUUUUCUUGUGGUUCUAAUUUUAUAAGUACCCUUUGAAGUUUAAGUAUUACCAAUAUUCUUAUAAACAUUAGGAAUAUUCUAAUAUUCCUAAUAUAAUAUGUGUAAAUUAAUGAGUAGUUAUAAGAUUUCCUUUUUAUCCCCCAAUAAAUUUAAAACUUAGCAAACUUUAUCAAUAAAUUAAGCAAUUUUUUAAAUUUUAAUGAGUUUUUUUAAGGCUAAGUAUACUUAAUUAAAAAGUUACACCAUAAUCUCUAAUAUAUAUAGCUUUUGUAAAACAACAUAUAUUUAUAAAUUGAAAUUUUUGAUGGGCUAUAUUAUGGGGAAAACUUCAAAAACCUUCCUGUCGAUUUCGCACUUUUUCAUUUUAAUACCUUUUGAUUUAAAGUGUAUCAAGUUAUAUCCUGUGGUUUCGCACUUUCUUACUUUAGUACCCUGUGGUUUAAAGUGUAUCAAGUUAGUACUCGUGGUUUUAUUUUUGUAUUAAGUUAGAAUUCUGUGAUUUUAUUUUUGUAUCAAAUUAGUACCCUGUGGUUUUAUUUUUUUCUUAAUAAAAUAUUAAACCACAUGAUACUAAAGUGAGAAAGUGUGAAAACACAUGAUACUAACUUGAUACACUUUAAACCACAGUAUAUUAAAAUGAAAAAAAUGCAAAACCAUAAGGUACUAAUUUGAUAUACUUUAAACCACAGGAUACUAAAGUGAGAAAGGGUGAAACCACAAGGGGUAUUUGAAAUUUUUUUAUAUAUAUUAUAUAUGAAAUUUAGGACGUUGAGAGGGUACAUUGAAAUUGCUUCCAAAAAUAGAUAAAGUUGUAAAUAUAAAAAGAAGAAAUUUAGCUCCAUAUAUUUUCACAGAAGCUUCUAAAUCUGUCUAUCUUCUUCUUCUUCUUCUUUUUGUAAUCUUUUAAGCAGUUAAUGUUUCUCUACGGCAUCUCCAAUGUCGUUUUCUCCAUCACCCUUCCCCUUCAUUCGUUUUUAAUAUUCUUCUUAUAAAUUUACAAAAAAAAAUUCUUAUAUUUAACCCCAUUUCAAUUACUAUUAUUUUAUAUUAAAAUUCAUGUUAAUUACUAUUUUUUAUUUACAUCGAAAAUUUUAAAGCAUUCAGAUAUAGCGCUCAGAGGUCUCGAUUGUAACUCGUUCCAACUAGCAUUCCGUUAUUUCGAACAUGACUCGACUCAACUUAACCUUUGGUAAUUGCAAACAUGACUCCACUCAGCCUAACCUCCCGCCAGAUCUCUUUAUGCCAAUAAACUCGACUUUACCUUUCAUACCACCAAAGUCAAAACACUGAUUGCAGUACAAAUUAUGAUUGAGAGAUCGAAAGAGAGUUCGAGUGAUCCGCUCUCUCUAUCAUAUGUCAAAACAAAUAAAAAAAGUUAGCUAAGAAUUUAAGAAAAAUACACCUAUGGUACACCACUUAAUAGGUAUGAAAUGAUUAGUAUCAGAUUCAAAUAAGGAUGCAAACGGACAGAUCUGGGGGUGGGAGCCACACCCCGCUUGCCGCCCCGACUAGCAAAAUUUCGCCUUGCCUUCCACCCCGAAUCCGUGAUAGGUUAAAAUAUAUCCCAUAAUCCGUCCCGUCUCGUAACCCGCAUUCCGCCGGCGUCCCGAAUUCGCCCCACCAACUAAUAUUUUUUAUAAAAUUAUAAUAUUAUUAAUAUUUUUGUAAAAUAUAAAUUAAUAAUUUAUAAUAAUAUUAUAUAUAUAAUUACAGCAUUAAUUAUAAAAAUUAAAAAUAUCAAUCACAAUUCGAAAUAAAAUUCAGAAGUUUCAAAUACAUGAGUAAUGAGAGCACUAAUUUAUUUAUAUUUUGACUUUUUUUUACAAAUAUAUUAUUUUUUAGAAAUAUUUUUUAAAAUAUAAAUAGUUUUCGAGGAGGAUUCGGAGUGGAUAAUGGUGGGGCAGGUGCGGGACGGGUCAAAAUUUCUUUCGUUUUCUGCCUUAAAUUCGUCUCGAAUCAUAAAAUUUAUCACGUUUUCUACUCCAAAUCCGUUUAUUUCUUCCCGUUUACUAUCUCAUUCGGAACGGAUCAGAGCGAAAGCUCUACCGACUCGGAUCCGUUUGCGUCUCUAGAUUCAAGAUAAUCAAAUCAUAUUCAAUGAUCCGCUAUUAAUGGAAUUGAAAAAAUUUACUAUUCAUAUUCAGCGAUUUGACUGAUUAGAAAUAUCAUAUCAAUAAUAUGACCGCAACCUUCCAGUUUUAUGUUCCUAAGUUGUCGACAUAAAUGAUUUUUUUUAGUAAUCAUAAAUUUAAUAAGCUCUAAUAAAAAUCAUAAAAACAAGCAAAACUCGUACUUUUCUUUUCCUUUUUUUUUUUGUCGCAUUUUUAUUGACUCCAAAGUCCACAGCGCGUGCCCACCGUGGUGCUAUUAUAUAUACAACAUCACAAUAAUGCAUUAUCACCAUCAUCAUCAUCAUCAUCUCCUCCGCCUCUUCCAACAUUCGCUGUGUGUGUGUGUGUGAGAGAGAGAGAGAGAGAGAGAGAGAGAGAUCGCCAUGGAUGAGCUCGGGGCGAACGCGACGAACAGCGCGCCGCUGACGCCGCUAGGGUUUCUGGAGCGCGCGGCGUUGGUGCACGGGGAUCGGGCGUCGGUGGUGUACCGCGACACGGUGUACACCUGGUCCCAGACCCUGCGCCGCUGCCUCCGCCUCGCCUCCGCCCUCGUCUCCCUCGGCAUUUCCCCCGGCGACGUCGUACGUACUUACUUACUCUCCCUAUUCGCUUCGCUUCUCCUUAAUUUGUUGAUUCGAUGGUUCCCUCGAUUGCGAACACGCCCGCUUCCCCCACCCAAAAUCCCAUCUUUGUCUCUGUUUCCACGUUGAUUAUCUCAACUAUUUAGAUCCCAAUAUCUCAUUUCCGAACCCCCAAACUUUCAAUAUCUCAAACUUUUUCCCCACAAUUUCAUCCCCAGAAUCGCAAAAUCCCAUCUUUUUUGCCGAUCUCUCAAUAUCUUGUUUUUNCAGAAUCGCAAAAUCCCAUCUUUUUUGCCGAUCUCUCAAUAUCUUGUUUUUUCUUUUUUUUUUUUGGGUUUUGAUUUGCUACAGGUCUCUCUUUUCCCUAAAUUACAUAAAAAUUCACCGUCAAAACUCGAUUUUUUAUUUUCCUCCUAUCACAAUAAAAUUUACAUUUUGUUUUCUUUUAAAAUAAAAAAUAUUCACUUCGCCCUUUGCCUUUAAUAAUUCGAUAGGAUUCCGUUUAUAAAAUAUUAUUAUAUAUUUUUUAUGCCAAAAAUAUCUUUAGCUUUAUCUUCUGUAAACAUGAUAAAAAAAGUGCAAAAUAGUGAGGAACAAAAUGAUCAUUUUAUUGUCACGGUUCACACCGUACUCCUUGUGAAUAUUUUUUUAUUUUAUAAAAUAAUAAAAUAUAGAUUUUUAAAUGACAGGAGAAAAAAUGAAAAAUUGAAUUUUGACAUGUGGAUUUUAUGUAAUUUAGCCUUUUUUUUUGUGUUUUAUUUUUUUUUAGAAAUAAAUAAUAUGCUAUCUGUUUCAUUUAUUUUAUUUAAAAAUAAAAUUAGCUGAAAAUAUGAAUCAAUUAGGAUUCAAACUUGGGUCUCGGAUUACCGACCACUAAGCAGCCACUUGCUUAGGACAGUUGGUUUUUUUUGUGUUUUGUUGUCUCCUCUCCUCCCCUAACAACAACAACAACAACAACAUGAUGAUGAUAAUGAUGAUGAUGAUGGACAGGUGUCUGUGUUGGCGCCGAACAUACCGGCGAUGUACGAGAUGCACUUCGGCGUGCCGAUGAGCGGCGCCGUGCUGAACACCAUCAACACCCGCCUCGACCCCCGCACCGUCUCCGUCCUCCUCCGCCACUCCUCCUCCAAGCUCGUCUUCGUCGACCCCCUCUCCCUCCCCAUCCUCCUCUCCGCGCUCCCCCUCCUCCCCGCCUCCCACCCCCCUCCCCUCGUCGUCCCCAUCGACGACCCCUACGAGCACGAACAAGCCCCUCCACUGCACUCCUUCCCCACCACCUACGAGAAGCUCCUCGAGGAGAAGGGCGACCCGGAGUUCCAGUGGGUGCGGCCGCGGAGCGAGUGGGACCCCAUGGUGCUCAACUACACCUCAGGGACGACCUCGGCGCCGAAGGGGGUGGUGCACUGCCACCGGGGCCUGUUCCUGGUCACCGUCGACUCGCUGGUGGACUGGUCGGUGCCGCCGCACCCGGUGUUCCUCUGGACGCUGCCCAUGUUCCACACCAACGGCUGGUCCUUCCCUUGGGGCGUCGCCGCCGUCGCCGGCACCAACGUCUGCCUCCGCCGCGUCGACGCUCCCGCCGUCUUCUCCGCCCUCCGCCGCCACCGCUGCACCCACAUGUGCGGCGCCCCCGUCGUCCUCAACAUGCUCGCCAACUCCCCCCACUCCGACCCCGACCCCGACUCCGCCCCCGUCAACGUCCUCACCGCCGGCGCGCCCCCGCCGGCCGCCGUGCUCCACCGCGCGGAGAAGCUCGGGUUCCGCGUCAGCCACGGGUACGGCCUCACGGAGACGGCGGGGCUGGCGGUGUCGUGCGCGUGGAAGGGGGAGUGGGACCGGCUCCCCGCGCUGGAGCGCGCGCGGCUGAAGGCGCGGCAGGGCGUGCGCACGCCCUGCAUGGCGGCCGUCGACGUGGUGGACCCCGCCACCGGCCGCCCCGUCCCGCGCGACGGCGCCGCCGUGGGCGAGAUCGUCCUCCGCGGCGGCUGCAUCAUGCUCGGCUACCUGAAAGACGCAGCGGCGACCGCGCAGGUGAUCCGCGGCGACGGGUGGUUCUACACGGGCGACGUCGCGGUCAUGCACCCGGACGGGUACCUGGAGAUCAAGGACCGGUCCAAGGACGUGAUCAUCAGCGGCGGGGAGAACAUCAGCAGCGUGGAGGUGGAGUCGAUCCUUUACGGUCACCCGGCCGUGGACGAGGCGGCGGUGGUCGCUCGUCCGGACGAGUUCUGGGGCGAGACCCCUUGCGCCUUCGUCAGCCUCAAGAGAAAGCAGCAGGAGAAGCAAGAACAGCCGACGGCGGAGGAGGUGAUCGCGUGGUGCAGGGAGCGAAUGCCGCACUACAUGGUGCCGAAGACGGUAGUGUUCGAGGAGGAGCUGCCAAAGACGUCCACGGGCAAGAUUCUGAAGUACGUGCUCCGCAGCAAGGCCAAACAGAUGGGCCCCAGGACCAGCAGCAGCCGUUUGUGACCGACGAUAUAUAUAUAUAUAUAUAUCAUAUAAUUGAGUGGCUUUACUUACGCAAAAUAAUAAGUAAAAACCAAAAAAAAAAAAAAAGAAAAAAAAGAAGAAGAAGAGAGAAUGCAUGUUGUUACUAUUUGGAAAAUGCUCUUGCAUACAAAUAAAUUAUGCCACUCGCUGGAUGUAUUUCUAUUUUGAAAUUAAUAGUCAUGUUUAUUUUCUUGUGAUUUAUACUUUUUCUAGUAUUGUCUCUAUUUGUAAGUAUAAUUUUACUGAUUAUGAUUAUUAUUGUUAUAUACAAAGACUGCUGAUGUGUUGACAAAUAUAAUACAUUUGUCUCUCAGAAGAAAUAUGUUUAAAAAUUUCUUCCCAGAGACUUGCUUCACACUCACUCGGGUCAAGUCUUCGCCAGUAAAUAAGUGGUUGGUAGUGUUUUUUUUUGGUAUUUUUUUAAAUGAAAAAUAGGGUAGCAUAACAAAUAAAAUAAAUGAAGCGGGCAGCAUACUACUAUCUCUUAAAAAAAAUAAUAAUAAUGAUAGAGAGAGCUUUGGUUGGUAUACAUAAAUUUAUAUAAGCAGCAUAUUUAUUAAUAAUUAUAUGGAGAGUUUUGAUUGGUAUACAUAAAUUUAUAUAAACAACACACUUAUUAAUAAUUAUAUGGAGAGUUUCGAUUGGUAUACAUAAACUUACAUAAGCAGCACACUUAUUAAUGUAUCUGCUGUACAUACGAACAAUNUGUUAUUUUUUUUUUUUUUUUUUUUUUUUUUUUGGCGUCAAAAGUAAUAAUAUCUAGAACGGACAAAUUAGGUGAAUUGAAAAAUAUUGAGCACCACCGAUCGUUUCUAGAGCAAGUGGCAAAGGAAUUGAUGGUUGAUAUCCGAGAUUCAAGUUUGAAUUCUAAUUGAUUCAUAUUUUCAGUUAAAUUUAUUUUUAAAUGAAAUAAACGAAAAAGGGUAGCGUACUAUCUAAAAGUAAAUGAUUCUUUUGAAAUUUAAAUAACGUUUUAGUUGUCUUUAUUGAUGAGGCCAUGAGGGCUGUGAUGUUUUUCUUUAUUAUUAUUAUUUUUUAUUUUUUAUAGCUAGGAAAAUAGUUUUAAGUGGGACUGUGGGACAGUGGAAGUGGAGUGAGUGACGGUUAUAUUGACCAAGUGGUGCUUUCUUACUGCAUGCGGAUGUCAAUGGACACGGGUAUCUAAAAUUUUAUCCGAAUUCGAACCCGAAAAAAACGGAUAUAUUCGAUGCUAAAUAGAUAUGAAUUCAGAUAUGGAUAUCAAAAAUAGAAACCUGACGGAUAUGGAUUUUGACUGUACCAGACCCAAAUCCGAACCCGAUUCGAAUCCGAAUUUAUUUUGUUCUAUAUAUAUAUAUAUAUAUAUAUAUAUAUAUAUAUAUUCUUAGUCUAUGAUAUAAUAUUAUUUAUUUAUUUAUUUUAUUAUAUAUAGAGGGUAACAAUAACAAUGUUAUGAUAUGGGCAAGUGAAUAGAAAUGUCGAUAUGGGAACCACAUGCAUGUGAUGAUGUGAGACACAUUUUUAUACAUAAAGAGAAGUAUAAAUUUUCAAAUCAAGGUCUAGUUUGAUACUAUGGUGAUUAAAAUCACUUUUCAUAUUUUAAAAAUUUUGACUUUAAUAGAGUUUCUGCUUUUUUCUUCAAUAAUAUAAAAUUAUGGUGGUCAAAACUAUUGUGGUGGAACGGCAAAAUAUUUAGAAUAACUGCAUUAUGGCCAAUUUGCAUAAAAAAUCCACUUAUUUUGGGCUUUUGCAAAACUGGACUAUCUUUUUCGUUUUUGUAGAUUCGGUCCGUUUUUUCAGCAAAUUAACCAAAAUACUCUUAUUACUUUUUCUCUUUCCUCUUUCUCUCUUCUUUUGCACUGUUUUUCCUCUUGUUGCACCAUUUUUUCUCCUGUUACACUAUUUUUUAUCUUAAACUGCACCCCUUUAAGAGAUAUAAAAAGGUAUAAGGGUGUCUCCGCUCCGUCUCCGCCGCUCUCUGGGAAGAGAAAGAAAAAAGAACGAGAGAAACAAAGAGGAGAGAGAAAGAGGAAAGAGAAAAAAGUAUAAGGGUAUUUUGGUCAGUUUGCUGAAAAAACGGACCGAAUUUGCAAAAACGAAAAAGGUGGCCCAGUUUUGCAAAAGUCCAAAAUAAAUAGAUUUUUUAUGCAAAUUGGCCCUGCAUUAUUGGUUCCCAACAUUUUACCUUUUUUUUAUUUUUUAUUUUGGCCCCCAAACUUGCGUCUAAUCAUGUUAAACCGAGUCUCGCUACCCUAAAUAUUAUUCUUUACAUCUACAAUCUUCUCGAUCACGCAUAUGAUAUCUGCUGUCACUUUUAGAAUAUUUAGGCUUAGUUUGGUAUUGAGGUCUAUCUGACGCUAUUAGAUAAAAUGGAGUCGAGGAAAAAGUAUAUAGGGAUAUACUUCUGCGUUCUCCGGUGGGACUGCAGAAAAUAUAUCGUAACCGAUUCAUCGCGAUAUGCGGAACGCAAUAUUACGUAAGGAAACAAAAGUAUUUUUCCAACGUACUUUCUCACCGCACGUAAUGCAAUCUCCCCGCAAUCCCAAACGAAGCCUUAGUAUUCUUAAUAGCAAGUCCGACGUAUCACUAAAUUUUCGUAAACAAACUUAAAAAAAUUAUCAUCAGAAUUAAUUCAUAAACCUGAUCUAUACACGUAGAAGUAUUUUAUUGGAGUUGACAUAGUCUACUUUAUCAACGUAAGAAAAAACAAUUAAAUAUUUGAGAUCCCACCAAAAUGAAAUGCAAAGCUUAGAAAUCUAGUAGCCAAAACUAAAAGAUCAAGCACGAAAAGUUCAAAAAAUAAUAAUAAUAAAGAAAAUAAAGAUUAGCGACAAAUAGUGUAAUUAACCUUUUAAUCUAUGUUUGUUCUUUGACUAUUAUGUCACGCUACCAUGUUUUUCAAAAAAGAAAGAAAAAAACUCUAUGCUACUACAUAGAUGGGUAGUUAUUAAAAUGCAAUAAAGGUCACAUUUUUCAUCAAGAUUACGAGAUUAUUAGGUGCAAUAGUGUAAAGCGGGGGGUCAAGUAACAUGGAACGGGGAUUCAAAAAUAAUAACCUAAGAUUUCGUUUUUUCUUUUUUUAAAUCUUUUAAGCUAAAUAUUAGGUGCAAUAUUUUUUAUUUUUUAGAGAGAUAAAGUGUAAAUUUUUAAAUGAUAGGGAGAGAAAGUGAAAAAUUAAAUUUUGCUAGAAGGAUUUUCAGUAAUUUAGCCUUUUAUUUUUUUAUUUUUUUAAAAAAAAAGAAAUAGAUGAAAUGUUGCCUUUAUAUUUCGACUAAUAUUAUAAAAUAAGUAAAGUUACCAGCACAUUUGUCACGUCCCGGAUUACAGCGGAAACCCGGGUUACGUCAACAGAUCCGCCGCAUGCAUAAGGAUACACCUUAUACAUACGAAGCGUCAACAAAAUUAACUAAAAUCUAAUAAUAAUAGGUAUCAGAGAAAAAUAAAACUAUAUACUAUAAUAACACUGUAACGAUUUACAAUCAUCAUCACACUGGUCUUCAAAAUGGUACAAUAUUUCUGACCACUCCAAGUAUCAAAACACUGUAUAGGCUGCUCACUAAUAGGUGGUCCAACUAUACACACAAGAAGGGUAGGAGAUACUAACUAUCCACGAUCCCCUUAUCUCGACAGUCGCUGGUGCUGAAGGCUUUGAAAUAAAAUAUUAAAUAAGAAGGUAUGAGAACUAUAAUCAAUAGUUCCCAGUGGAUACGAUCAUCAAUGUCGGCGAUCUACACCACGAGGUCUAUAAGAAGCAGAAAUAGUAAAUACUGAGCAAUAUGAAGGAACAGAUAUUAAUAGGAAUAAUUGCUGAAAAUAACUGCUACUAUCAUAUCUCUACAAUAUAGCUGGAAUUGUAAAUUAUGUUUUGCAUGCAUUAAUUAGAGAUUAAAUAAAAUAUUACAAUAAUGCUCAAUCAUAGUGACCGACUCAACAGUCAGGUCUAGCCUGCGCCACCUCGUGUCCACCACCCACCUAUAAUGGUCCGCUACCACGCAGGCUACUGUUUGCCCCAUGCCAUAAUAAUAUCUCAUAACCCAACCUCCGGAGUGGUACUGGCGGGACGCUACCCCAACCGAGUAUAGUAUCACUGUCAAACUCAAAAUAGCAUGCAGGCUGUGAUCAAAUGCGAUGAUCAAACAGAUCAUGAUAAUACUGUUAUACUGUGCAAAAUAUAGUUAUACUCUACACUAUCUGUAGCUGUCUAUUGACUUUUAGAAAAAUAUCACAUAUAUAUGUGUCUCAAUUUAUUAUAUUGGUAGGUAUCAAAAUAUCACUAUUUAUCUUAACUAUGUCAACAGUUCAUCUCACAGGCUAAAUAAUGUAAUAUGGAUAUAGAAAUUAGUCCGCCAAUUUUGAUAAUACGGAACCCACCUAUUACGCAAAUCCAAUGAAAUGAACAGUAGACAGGAUAGUAGCCACAACACUCUAAGAUAGCUCGAAAAUCUCUCGUCAAAAUUACGCGAAAUCCACUCCAUGAAGUCGAAAAGGUAAAAAUACACGUGCGCGCACUCGACUCGCUCGUUCGCUCGCCUCGCUCGCUCGCUCGUAAGAAUGAAACCAAGUUUUUCCUUCUUCCCUGUUAAUUAAUUUUGUGCUCAAAACCUCCCUCCCCCCCUCUCUCUCUCUCUCUCUCUCUCUCUCUCUCUCAAACUUAGCAACAAAAAAGAAAAUGAUAAGGAUGGGGAAUAGCACGUGGAUUCUACCGCUUAAUAAAGUAAAAUUGCCAACAAGCCCCUCUAUAACUAAGUAUUUGUUGCUAGCCGAACGUUCUCAUCCUUGACCUGGUCAAAGAUCUCCCUCGGAAAAGUGCGCAGGGAUGUGGAACGACUACGAUUAGUGACCCUCGAAGUUUGCGCUCUUCGAUUAGAUCAAGCGAUUCGGCUAAUGAGGGAUCGGAUUAGCUGAGUUCGAAACUUUUACUGUAAAAUCAGUUCGGCUGGAUGAGCCGAAUCUACGGACUGUGUGAAAACUGGGGUUGGCCGAAGGAACCGAAUGAAUGGAAAACACAGUAGUUGGUCGGCCGAAAAAGCUGAAUUACCUUUAUAUAUAUUGAAUUUGACUGGUGGAAAAAGAACAAGGGUCGUGUGUGCCUGAAGGCAUACAGACUCGGUUGAUCUAAUCUAAUUCUACUCCUAGGAAAAGCAGUAAAUGCUGGAAAGUAAAGGAUUACAAGUAGACUACUCUUAAAAAAUGCAGAGAAAUUGUAAAGAAAAUAAAGGUGGUCUUCUAUUCUCGGAAAAAAAUACCUCUUUCUAGGACGUUAUUGGCUUAUUUAUAGAUCGCCUUUGUUGAUCAGUUAUUGUCUAUUCAUGAUCGGCCACUACUCUUGUUUUUCCGGGCCACUUUCAACCGAUCAGAACCGCUUGUGUAACCGCUCGCGGCUACUGUAACUUUACUUAAUUUGUGCGGUGAUUACUUAGAAUUUCUUUCGAUACUCUUGGUGCACAAUAAAAUCCUUAUCAUUAAAGAACAGUGUUGAGUGGAGUACCGAUGCACCACUUGGAUGUGUCUUAUUGGCCCAACAGUAUUCAACUUUAGUCGUCUACAAUAUAAAUUUUGAGUUUCAAAGUCCGUUUUUACGUCUAUUUUGCGCAAAACGUUUCCAAUUCAAUCAAGCAUAAACUUAUACUGUAACUUUGCCAAUUUGUUAAGGUUCAAUAUAUCAUAACAUUGCAGCGGACUAAUAUUAUAAAAGACAGAAGAUUGAUAAAAUAAAAAUUUUUAAAUUUUUUAACUUACAUGAGACAUCAAUAAAUAUAAAUAGUAUGAGAAAAAAAAAAAGAAAAAACUUUAAAUAUUACCCCUAUGGUUUUGCACUUUUUUAUUUUAAUACCCUAUAAUUUAAAGUGUAUCAAUUUAGUACCCUGUAAUUUUUUUUUUCUUUUCGUCACUCCCUAUGUUAACUUUUUCGUUAAAUCAUAUACAAAAAACUUUAGAUUGAAUAUCACGUUAGUACCUUUUAGCUUUAACUUUGUUACUGAUUUAACUAAAUAAAUUAGUGGAGAAGAUAAUAAAAAAUUAAACCACGUGGUAUUAAAGUGAAAAAAUAUGAAACCACUGGAAUAGUAUUUAAGUAUUUCCCAAAGAAUAUGAAGAAAUUUUAUUUUACUUGUUUUUCGUAAACGCAUUAAUUGAAAAGUGAACGGGUAGAAAGAUAAAAUAUCGGACAGAGAUGAGGGUGAAAAGACGAAGCAUCAAAAAGUAAGAAGGGGAGAAAGCAAUAGUGAAAAAAGGAACUGCAAAUUCUAUGAAAAAAGAUAUAAAAUAUAAAAAAAAAGUUCCUCUGUACCCUUAUAAAAUCAUUAAUUUCAUAAAUAUCUAUCUAAAAAUUAGAAUAUCAUAUAUACCCCGCCAAAUUUGAAAUACUUUCAAAAAUAACCCUACAAUCAAAUUUCUAUCUAAAUUAAAAUUAAUUAGUAUUUAAAUUCCAAAUUUACCACUAUUAUGUAUUCAAUAGUCAAUUAUUUUAUUUCAUAAAUAUUCUCUAUUAUAUUUAAAAAUUAAGUAAGUAAAAUUCAAUUGAUUUUAAUUUAAAAAAAUUAUUGAUUUUAAUUAAAAAUAAAUAUUUCUAUUUGGUAUAAAUUGUAGUUCAAUUAGCAAUGAAGCAAAAUAAAAUAAAAUUUAACUAUAUUUUAUACCAAGUAGAUAUAUUUAUUGUUAAUUAAAAUGAAUUUUUUUUCAAACUAAAAUCAAUUGAAUUUUACUAAAUUUUUAGUCUGGAAGAGUUUAUUAAUUUUGAAAUAUUAGAGAGGUAAAGUUGGAAUUUAAAUAUUAAUUAACUUUAAUUUUGAUGGAAAUUUGAUUGUAAGGUUAUUUUUAAAAAUUUUUCAAAUUUGACGGGAUAUACAUGAUAUUUUAAAUUUUAGAUAAAUAUUUAUAAAAUUGUCCCUCCAAUAUAGUAGAUUGGUCGGGCACAUGAAGAACGUUACAAUGCUUUUUUUUGGGAAGUCAAAAAACAGGACAAGAAGUGGGUGGGUUUCUUGGCCGGAAUUUUAGGGGAAAGUGAGCAAGAGAAUAUAGAAAAAAACAUAUAUAUAAAAAUAAUAUAUUACACACAUGUAUAUUUGAAUCAUUUUAUCCCGUUGAAUUUAUAAGCGUGACACAUCGGUUAUUAAAAUAAUAAUCUUUGAGACUAUUUUGAUCACUUGUAAAUAAUAUUAAAAAAUUAUGAGAUUUGGUUUGUAAAUAGUUCUAACACAGUAAAUUAUGUCAAACGAAAUCGAUCGUCAAAUCGAAUAUUUUAUUAUUGAAAACAAAUUACAAAUACGGAGGCCUGCAUAGCUUUAAAAGCACGAGACAUAUUCAUACAUUAAUACAUUAACUCUUAUCUUUGAGGGUCAAAGUACCUCGCACCUCAUAAUUUGAGGAGCAAUAUAAUUUAGCCUUCAUAAAUUGAUUUAGUUUAAUUCAUAAAUAAUUUUAAUGAAUUCCAUCAUUUGGAUUAAUUUUAAUUAGUUUAAUUAAUUUUAAAUAAAUAAAUUUUAGUUACCUAUAAAAAAAUUAAAGCUAGAAGACUUGCUAAUGAACUAACAAAAAAUAAUAGGAAUAAUUUUAAGAAUGACCAUUCGUGUGGUUCUAAUUUUAUCAAUACCCCUUUGAAGUUUAAGCAUAACCAAUAUUCUUAUAAACAUUAGGAAUAUUCUAAUAUUCCUAAUAUAAUAUGUGUAAAUUAAUGAGUAGUUAUAAAAUUUCCUUUUUAUCCCCCAAUAAAUUAAAAACUUAGCAAACUUAUCAAUAAAGUAAGCAAUUUUUUAAAUUUUAAUGAGUUUUUUUAAGGCUAAGCAUACUUAAUUAAAAAGUUACACCAUAAUCUCUAAUAUAUAUAGCUUUUGUAAAACAACGUAUAUUUAUAAAUUGAAAAUUUUGAUGGGAUAUAUUAUAUAUGAAAUUUAGGAAGUUGAGAGGGUACAUUGAAAUUGCUUCCAAAAAUAGAUAAAUUUGCAAAAAUAAAAAUAAGAAAUGAGUUAGGCUCCUAUGCUUUGAAAAGUACGGAGGCCUCCGUACUUGUAAGUUGUUUUCGAUGAUGGAGUAUCCGAUUCGGCGAUUAGUUUCGUUAGACAUAAUUUAUGUUAUUGGAACUAUUUAAAAACCAAAUUUCAUAAUUUUUUGACUUCAUUUGUCUGGUAAACGAACGGGUAGACUCAAAAUGAACGGCUGAAAAUAAAAAUUUAAAAAAAAAUAGUGAUAAAAUAUUCAAAUUUCAAAUCGGAAGUAUUAUUCUUACUCUUAAUGUUAUGUAGAAAUUUCUAUUAAGAUUUCAUGUAAUUUGAAUUCUUCUACACCGUUAAACUUUAAAACAUGCCACAUCGGCCAUUAAAAUAGUUAUUUUUGAGACUCUUUAAUCACUUGGUAAAUAAUGUAAAAAAAUUAUGAAAUUUAGUUUCUAAAUAAUUCUAAUAAUGUAGAUCAUGCCUAAUGAAACCGAUCGUCGAAUCAGAUGCUUUAUCAUAAAAAAUAAUAUACAAACACAAAAAUCUCCAUAUUUUUGAAAGUAUAUUUAGUUUUAUAUAUUUGAACAGAAGCUUCUAAAUCUUUUUAUUUUUUUCUUGUGUCUUUUUAGCAGUUAAUGUUUCUACACGGCAUCUCCACCUGUCGUUUUCUCCAUCACCCUUCCCCUUCAUUAGUUUUAUAUUUAACCCCAUUUCAAUUAUUAUUAGUUUAUAUUAAAAUUUAUGUUAUUAUUAUUCUAUAUUUACAUCUAAAAUUUUAAAGUGUACAGAUAUAGCGCACAGGAUUUUCGAUUGUGACUCAGUCCAAGCAAUCUUUCGUUAUUUCAAAAAUGACUCGAACCAACUCAAUCUUUCAUUAUUGCAAACGUGACCCCACUCAAUCUAAUCUUUUACCACAUGAGAGAAUAUUGAUUUUUUUAAGUCAAUAAAUUCGCCUUCACCUUUCGUACUAUCAAACUGAAAAGAUCGAUUGUAGUACAAAUUGUAUUACAAAUUGUAAUCGAGAGAUCGAGAGUACGUCGAAACAAACAAAAAUUAGCUAAGGAUUUAAGAAAAAACGCACCUCCGGUACACCACUUAAUAGGUAUGAAAUGAUUAGUGUCACAAUCAAGGUAAUCAAAUCAUAUUCAAUAAUCCACCAUUAAUGAAAUUGAAAAAGUUUACUAUUUAUAUUCAGCAAUUUGAUUGGUUAGAAAUAUCAAUACGACCGCAACCCUCUAGCCAUAGAUAAUUUUUAUUUAAUAGUCAUAAAUUUAAUAACCUCUAAUAAAAAUCAUAAAAACAAGCAAUACUCAUACUUUUCUUUUCUUUUCUUUUCUUUUCUUUUUUUUUGUCGCAUUUUUAUUGACUCCAAAGUCCACUGCCCAUGCCCACCGUGGUUCUAUUAUAUAUAAUAUACAACAUCACAAUACACGAACCCCCUUAUCAUCUUCAUCAUCAUCAUCAUCUCCUCCGCCUCUUCCAACAGAGAGAGAGAUCGCCAUGGAUGAGCUCGGGGCGAACGCGGCGAAUAGCGCGCCGUUGACGCCGCUAGGGUUUCUGGAGCGCGCGGCGUUGGUGCACGGGGAUCGGGCGUCGGUGGUGUACCGCGACACGGUCUACACCUGGGACCAGACCCUGCGCCGCUGCCUCCGCCUCGCCUCCGCCCUCGUCUCCCUCGGCAUCUCCCCCGGCGACGUCGUACGUACUUACUUACUCUCCCCUAUUCGUUUCGCUUCUCCUUAAUUUGUUGAUUCGAUGGUUCCCUCGAUUGCGAACACGCCCCCCUCCCCCACCCAAAAUCCCAUCUUUGUCUAUAUUUCCACGUUCCCCCAAACCACACCUUUUCCCCUUGUUCCUCCACUUUCAAGAUCUCAAACUUUUCCCGCCCCAAUUUCAUCCCCAGAAUCGCAAAAUCCCAUCUUUUUUGUCGUUCCCCCGACCCCGAUCUCUCAAUAUCUUGUUUUUUUUUUUGUUUUGGUUUGCUACAGGUCUGUCUUUUCCCAACAAAAAUCUCACCUUUCUCCCAAUUCCACCCCCAAUUCCGUCUCUUCUCUCCCCUGCUCUCCGCAUCUGUUUAAUCUAAUCUAAUCUAAUCCAAAAUACUUGAAUUGAGUUAGAAUUGAAUCGAAUUGAAUUGAAUUGAUGAUGAUGGACAGGUGUCUGUGUUGGCGCCGAACAUACCGGCGAUGUACGAGAUGCACUUCGGCGUGCCGAUGAGCGGCGCCGUGCUGAACACCAUCAACACCCGCCUCGACCCCCGCACCGUCUCCGUCCUCCUCCGCCACUCCUCCUCCAAGCUCGUCUUCGUCGACCCCCUCUCCCUCCCCAUCCUCCUCUCCGCGCUCCCCCUCCUCCCCGCCUCCCACCCCCCUCCCCUCGUCGUCCCCAUCGACGACCCCUACGAGCAGGAACAAGCCCCUCCGCUGCACUCCUUCCCCACCACCUACGAGAGGCUCCUCGAGGAGAAGGGCGACCCGGGGUUCCAGUGGGUGCGGCCGCGGAGCGAGUGGGACCCCAUGGUGCUCAACUACACCUCGGGGACGACCUCGGCGCCCAAGGGCGUGGUGCACUGCCACCGCGGCCUGUUCCUGAUCACGGUCGACUCGCUCGUGGACUGGUCUGUGCCGCCGCACCCGGUGUUCCUCUGGACGCUGCCCAUGUUCCACGCCAACGGCUGGUCCUUCCCCUGGGGCGUCGCCGCCGUCGCCGGCACCAACGUCUGCCUCCGCCACCGCUGCACCCACAUGUGCGGCGCCCCCGUCGUCCUCAACAUGCUCGCCAACUCCCCCCCCUCCCCCGACUCCGACUCCCCCGACUCCGCCCCCGUCAACGUCCUCACCGCCGGCGCGCCCCCGCCGGCCGCCGUGCUCCACCGCGCGGAGAAGCUCGGGUUCCGCGUCAGCCACGGGUACGGCCUCACGGAGACGGCGGGGCUGGCGGUGUCGUGCGCGUGGAAGGGGGAGUGGGACCGGCUCCCCGCGCUGGAGCGCGCGCGGCUGAAGGCGCGGCAGGGCGUGCGCACGCCCUGCAUGGCGGCCGUCGACGUGGUGGACGCCGCCACCGGCCGCCCCGUCCCGCGCGACGGCGCCGCCGUGGGCGAGAUCGUCCUCCGCGGCGGCUGCAUCAUGCUCGGCUACCUGAAAGACGCGGCGGCGACGGCCCAGGCGAUCCGCGGCGACGGGUGGUUCUACACGGGCGACGUCGGCGUGAUGCACCCGGACGGGUACCUGGAGAUCAAGGACCGGUCCAAGGACGUGAUCAUCAGCGGCGGGGAGAACAUCAGCAGCGUCGAGGUGGAGUCGAUCCUCUACGGGCACCCGGCGGUGGACGAGGCGGCGGUGGUCGCUCGCCCCGAUGAGUUCUGGGGGGAGACCCCCUGCGCCUUCGUCAGCCUCAAGAAGCAGCAGGAGAAGAAGCAAGAACAGCCGACAGCAGAGGAGGUGAUCGCGUGGUGCAGGGAGCGGAUGCCGCACUACAUGGUGCCGAAGACGGUGAUCUUCGAGGACGAGCUCCCGAAGACGUCCACGGGCAAGAUUCAGAAGUACGUGCUCCGCAGCAAGGCCAAGCAGAUGGGCCCCAGGACCACCAGCAGCCGUAUGUGAUGAUAUAUAUAUAUAUAUAUAUAUAUAUAUAUAUAUAUAUAUAUAUAAAAUUGAGUGGCUUUACUUGCACAAAAUAAUAAGAACCAAAAAAAGAAAAGAAAAGAAAAAAAAAGAGAGAAUACAAAUAAAUUUUACUGUCUUUUUAUAAUUAUUAAUUAUGCGACUCGCUGGAUGUAUUUUUAUUUUGAAAUUACUGGUCAUGUUUGUUUUCUUGUAAUGUAUACUUUCCCAUCAAUUUAGUAGAAUCGAGUGUAUUUGUAAGUAUAAUUUUACUCAUUAUUAUUAUUACUAUUUUUAUAUGUAAAGACAACUGGUGUGUUGACAAAUAUAAUAAAUUAGUCUAUCAUAAAAAAUACGCUUAAAAACUUUUUAUCAAAGAUUUGCUUCACGCUCAUUCAGGUCAAGUCUUCGCCAGUAAAUAAGUGGUUGUUAGUGUUUUUCUAUUUUUGAUAUUUUUUUAAACGAAAAAUAAGGGAGCACAACUUCUAAUAUAACAAUAGAGAGAGUUUUGAUUGGUAUAAAUAGAACUUAUAAGCAACACACUUGUUAAUGUAUCAGCAGCACAUGUACAUAUGAACAAUAUCUUAAAAUCUCAAAAUAUAUUCCUUUUUUCUUUUUGGGUUUAAUGCCCAAUAUUUUAGCUUUUGUAAUUAGGUGCUGGGAGGGGAGUGAGUGACAGUUAUGUUGACCAAGUGGUGCAUUCUUAUUUCUUAGUCUAUGAUAUAAUAUUAUUUAUUUAUUUAUUUAUUAUUUAUAGAGGAUAACAAUAACAAUGUUAUGAUAUGGCCUAAGGUAUCGUUUGGUUCGGGGAUAAGCAAAAAGUAGGUAUUCUAGGUAUUCCAGGGAUAGGUAUAAAUUGAGGUAUAAGCGAGGAUUAGAUCAAUUUUGUGUUUGGAUGAAAAUUGAGUUAUUGCUGGGAAUAAGAAAAAUAGCGUUUGGUUAGGUAAGAUGGGAUAAGAAUUAAAGUUGGUAGUUAAAAAUAAAAAAUAACGAUAUUAUCUUUUUCUUUAUAUUAGAAUUUAAACUUUUAUAUUUUAUAUUUAUAUUUUAAAAGUUAAAAUAUAAACUUUUAAUUUAAAAAUUAAAAUUAAAAUUUUAAAUUUUAAAAUCUCAAAUUUAUAAUUUUAAAAAAUUAAUUUUUUAAAGUUUGAACAUUAAAUUUAAGAUGAAAUUUUAAUUUAAAAAAUAACAUAUCAAAUUCUAAAUAUAAAAAAAAUUAAAAUAUCAAAAUUUUAAAUUUUAAAUUAAACAAUUUAAAAUUUAAAUUUUUAAUUUUGUAAUUUUAAAAUUAUAAAUUUUAAUUUUUGAAUUUAUAAUUUAAAUUUUAUAAUAAAUUAAAAAUUCUCUCUCUCUCUCUCUCUCUCUCUCUCUUCAUGGGUGGAACAAGCAGGGUGAUCCUAAAAAUACUUUCUUUUAAAUUCAAAAAUUAAAAUUUUUAAUUUUAAAAUUUAAAAUUUAAGAUCAAAUUUAAAUUUUAAAAUAUAAAUAUCAAAUUUAUAUUAAAAAAUAUAAAAUUUAAAUUUAAAAUUUAAAAUUUAAAAUUUAAAAUUUAAAACUAUAAACUUGAAUUUUGAAAUUACCAAUUAUAAAUUUUUAAAACUAAAAUUAAAAUUAAAAUUUUUAAUUUUUAAUUUUUUUAAAAAAAUAGGGGUGGGAA